AUUUAGAUUACUACUUUAGUGAUCUAAACACUCAUAUACUGUAUUUCUUUACGGAGGGGUUCUCAAAGGAAAAAAAACUCAAAAAUCUUUUACGGAUGGAGUACCAACAUAUACAGUAUACAAAUAAAUAGCUAGUGCAUGUAUUAACCGCAAAGAGACGAAAACAGCCUCCAAAGCCAGUGACCCCAUGACAUCACUGACAGUGGGACCCGGAACGCCACUGACACAUUAUUGAAGCCAACUGAGAACGACACACAUACGACUGCUAGCUAGACCAUGUACGCAGCUACGUGACGUACAUUGCGCACCCACGCGACGACGAUCAACCACUCACGAAAUACGCCCACACAUACGGAUCCAAUAAUAAACGAACUAAGGUACCGUGCCAUGGCAAUGCCACGGCACGCGCACGGCGAAGCCAGGCAAAGGCUAGCUCAGGAGCACGAUCGCACCCGCGCGCAUCAACUCACUCGGCGGCCUUGUCGGCGGCGGCGGCAGCCUGAGCAGCUGGUGCCUCUGCCGGCACCGCCUCGGCNNNNNNNNNNNNNNNNNNNNNNNNNNNNNNNNNNNNNNNNNNNNNNNNNNNNNNNNNNNNNNNNNNNNNNNNNNNNNNNNNNNNNNNNNNNNNNNNNNNNNNNNNNNNNNNNNNNNNNNNNNNNNNNNNNNNNNNNNNNNNNNNNNNNNNNNNNNNNNNNNNNNNNNNNNNNNNNNNNNNNNNNNNNNNNNNNNNNNNNNNNNNNNNNNNNNNNNNNNNNNNNNNNNNNNNNNNNNNNNNNNNNNNNNNNNNNNNNNNNNNNNNNNNNNNNNNNNNNNNNNNNNNNNNNNNNNNNNNNNNNNNNNNNNNNNNNNNNNNNNNNNNNNNNNNNNNNNNNNNNNNNNNNNNNNNNNNNNNNNNNNNNNNNNNNNNNNNNNNNNNNNNNNNNNNNNNNNNNNNNNNNNNNNNNNNNNNNNNNNNNNNNNNNNNNNNNNNNNNNNNNNNNNNNNNNNNNNNNNNNNNNNNNNNNNNNNNNNNNNNNNNNNNNNNNNNNNNNNNNNNNNNNNNNNNNNNNNNNNNNNNNNNNNNNNNNNNNNNNNNNNNNNNNNNNNNNNNNNNNNNNNNNNNNNNNNNNNNNNNNNNNNNNNNNNNNNNNNNNNNNNNNNNNNNNNNNNNNNNNNNNNNNNNNNNNNNNNNNNNNNNNNNNNNNNNNNNNNNNNNNNNNNNNNNNNNNNNNNNNNNNNNNNNNNNNNNNNNNNNNNNNNNNNNNNNNNNNNNNNNNNNNNNNNNNNNNNNNNNNNNNNNNNNNNNNNNNNNNNNNNNNNNNNNNNNNNNNNNNNNNNNNNNNNNNNNNNNNNNNNNNNNNNNNNNNNNNNNNNNNNNNNNNNNNNNNNNNNNNNNNNNNNNNNNNNNNNNNNNNNNNNNNNNNNNNNNNNNNNNNNNNNNNNNNNNNNNNNNNNNNNNNNNNNNNNNNNNNNNNNNNNNNNNNNNNNNNNNNNNNNNNNNNNNNNNNNNNNNNNNNNNNNNNNNNNNNNNNNNNNNNNNNNNNNNNNNNNNNNNNNNNNNNNNNNNNNNNNNNNNNNNNNNNNNNNNNNNNNNNNNNNNNNNNNNNNNNNNNNNNNNNNNNNNNNNNNNNNNNNNNNNNNNNNNNNNNNNNNNNNNNNNNNNNNNNNNNNNNNNNNNNNNNNNNNNNNNNNNNNNNNNNNNNNNNNNNNNNNNNNNNNNNNNNNNNNNNNNNNNNNNNNNNNNNNNNNNNNNNNNNNNNNNNNNNNNNNNNNNNNNNNNNNNNNNNNNNNNNNNNNNNNNNNNNNNNNNNNNNNNNNCCGGCGCUUUGGCCUCGACGUCGGCAGCAGCAGCUGGUGCUUCUGUCUCUUCCACGGCUGCUUCGGCUGCCACGGCAGCCUCCACAGGUGCCUCCGUAGUUGCUGCUUCCUCCUGCACUGCCACAGCGGCCUCCUCCUUGGCCGGUGUCUCCUCUGCCACCGGCUCUUUGGCCUCGGCCUCGGCAGCGGCUGGCUCUGCCUCUUUGGUCUCGGUCUCGGCCGGAGCAGCUUCUUGCUCUGGUUCCUUGGUCUCGGUCUCGGCCGGAGCAGCUUCUUUCUCUGGUUCCUUGGUCUCGGCCUCAGCCGGUGCUGCCUCACGCUCCACCACUUCGGUCUCUGUUCCCUCGGCAGGGGCAGCUUCCGGCUCUUUGGUCUCGGUCACUGUCGGCGUGACAGGGGCCUCCUCAGCGGCGGCGGCCGGCUGGACAACCUCUGUCUCGGCCUCCUUGGUCUCCGCUGGAGCUGCCUCGGGCUCUUUCGCCAGCUCGGUCACGGCCGGCGCAGCAACUUCCUCCUUCACGGCCUCCUCGGCAGCGACAACGGCCGGCUCGACAGCCUCAGCCGUUGCCACCUCGACUGUGUCGACGGCCGGCUCGACAAUCUCCACUGCUGCCACCGUAGCCUCCUCGACCGCGACGACGGCCGGCUCGACGACCUCCACCGCCACGGUAGUAUCCUCGACAACGACGACGGCCGGCUCGACAGCCUCCACCACCGCCGGCGCCGGAGCCUCCUCGACGGGCAUGGCGUGGGUUGCGGCGUGGACCUGCGUUUACAUUGAUGCACGCCUUCAUGUCAGAGAAGUACCAGUACGCAGCGUACGUGUGAUCAGGUUGCUCGUGCCAGAAGAGAUCGAGGUGGCAUGGCACCGUGGCAGCAGGUCAAAAGCUACAUGAUCGAAACGCAACGAAGCAGUAUUGAGCAGUCUACCUGGACGGCGGCCAUUGAUGACGAGUUCCGAGUCGACCGGUCCGAACUCCGACGAGCUGAUGCUAUAGCUCGGUUUGGUGCGACUGAUCAGAUCAGAGUAUGCGAUCGGCUGUGUUGUGUGAAGCAAAUGUGCUGCGGUAGAGGGGCUUAUAUAGUGGCUCUGGAGGGCAAAACGGUCACAAGAUUCACAGCUAGGACGCAAAAGCGAGCAGCCCUUUUGCGUCACGCAGGAAAAUAAAAUGAAAUCGAGGAAUCAAAACACUGAUCUGCAUCAUUCUGAUCUUGGUUGGGAAUAUACUAUUGCAAAACUAUAGUACUGGUACGUACUGUAGAUGCAAGCAAGUUGCGUACGGUGAUCGCUGUAUCGAAAUUAGGGUGGUGGCCACGCAUGCACGGAGGCUAAGGUCCAAACUGCUAUGUUUACGGGUUUGGUUUUCUUUGAUAUGUUUGGGGAAAAGGGCCAAGGGAGAGGGCUGGCAAGGCCACGAGGGCAAGCGUACCUUUGGCGUUGUAAAGAGGGGGCCAUCGCGCUGAGUCACACGCAUGCAUGCACCGACCUGAUCAGUACAUGUGUACAUCGCGUCACGUCCAUGCACGUUCUAUAGUGCCAGCCUUGUAUCCUAGUACCACUAUCCUGCUGUCUGCCCUUGGUCCAGAUCGGUGCAAAAAUAAAUGCUGGGCUAGAAUCUAUUAGUACUGUUAUUUUAUUUCCCCCCCCCCCCCCCCCCCAUUUUAGUUUGGUUCUUGGAAUGGCUAGAGACAUGACCAAACAUUUUAUCUAAUAAAACCUGUUGGAAAAAUCAUCAUUCGAUUUGCCUCUUGAUUAAUCUCAUCAUUUCUCAGCUGAUCACAUCUCUUAUUCUUCUACGCAAAUUAAACUACUCCCUUUAAUUCAUUUUACUUGCCGUCAUGGUCUGAGCUCUCCAGUCUGUGAAUUAUAGCUAACCCUAGUCCCACUGAUAGUGCUGUUUUCUUUCUUUCUUUUCACUGAUGGCGAGGCCUUCUAAUGAUAAUACACACCAUUUCUUUUUCUUUUCUCAUUUGUUCUUGUUUUUAUUUGUAUGCUUAAUUUUUUUUUCAUUUUCCUCUUCUUGCCCGUAAAAUACUGGAAAUCUAAACCGUGAUCAAUGUGUCUUCUAAACCGUAACGGAGGUAGUAUUGUUAAUUCAUCUCAUGUGUGCCCUUUUUCCAAUUGAGACACUGAUAGUCACAACAUCGUCCCCGUCUCCAACGAGGUCCUCAUCCGGAGUCAACGCUUGUCACUGCGGCGUUGUGUGGUUGUGUUGUCCUCACCUUCAGACUUAGAGGAAGUAGAAUUGAUUAUACUCCAUUUACUUUCACCGUUUCUAAAUAUAAGUCUUUUAAGCGAUUUCACUAAAGGUCUACAUACAGAGCAAAAUGAUUCAAUGUACACUCUAAAGUAUGUCUAUAUACAUCCGUAUAUACUCUAUUAGUGAAAUCUUUAAAAAAACUUAUAUUUAAGAACGAAGGGAGUAUAUCAUAAUAAUUAUUGUUAAGGAAAAACAUAAUAAUUAUAGUUGAAAGAACUAGUUUACUAGUUUUCUUGCACUAUAAUUAUUAUGAUAUGCAGGAAGUAAAAAUUGCAGGCACUUCAUCAUUCGCAAACAUGAAUUAUUAUUUAUUUAUGGGGAUUGCAAAAGCGGAGAUAUCAGGGAGAUCGCUAUAUCUCGGUUUUCUACGGCGCACUCGAUGGUGGCGUAGAGACAAUGCAACUUGAGCCGAAGAAUGUGCGCUCGAAUGCCGCCAUUGAAGGCCGUGACAUGAUCCCUAUAGAUCGAGUGGUGCAUAUCUUCUUGGUAGAUGAUCGAUAUGCAGUAGAAAGGGGCGCAGCCACCUAGAGCUAUGUGUAAAAAAGGCCGUGCGUGUUUGUCAAAGUGUGAUGGCACGGCAGUAUAUUUGGAAUUUAGUUAACAUUUUCUUCCUCAUCUGAAGUAGUACCACUAGCUACUUAGGUGUAUUCUCUGCCUUAGAGCAUCUCCGGACUCCUCAAAUCCGAUCUUUCAAACGUCCGCAGACGAACUACUACGUCGACGCACACACAUUGUCCAGUUACUCCAUCAUUGUUAAACAUGUCAUCGGACUAUCAAAAUUUUACAUGUUUGGCUAUGGUGAAGAUCAUCUACGGCUGCCUCUGUUCUUCCCGACACCCUUGCCGUCUUGUCGUGGAAGUACCGGUUGAAGACGCAGUACGGAUCGAGCCGGAUCUUCUCGUCGCCACAACUGUCCUCAUCGCCGCUCACCUCUUUCUCCACCUUUGGUGGUAGUCCGGCCAUUCCCCAAAGGAGCCGAGCACCCUUUGUGCAGAUGCUACAGAGUCGCGGCGGACAAAUCCUUCUGUCGGUCAGGCGCUGUCCUCGCGCGAGCGGCGGAGUGCAACGCGAACCGCUAUUGCCUCCUCCACUCUGCACGGGACGACCCCCCAGUCGACGGAUCCGGACUGGUGAAGACAUUGUUGGGAUUGACUGGAAGCAAAGAAACCACUCAAGAUGAGGCUCGUCAUAGUAGAAAAUAACUUGCAUUAGUAGCAUCCAUAUGUUAUUAGUCCAUAUUAAUAACUUCAUAUUAAAUAAUAUUAUAUGUAUGAUAUUAUGCAAGUAUUUUUUUUGACCGGCUACUGUAGGGAANNNNNNNNNNNNNNNNNNNNNNNNNNNNNNNNNNNNNNNNNNNNNNNNNNNNNNNNNNNNNNNNNNNNNNNNNNNNNNNNNNNNNNNNNNNNNNNNNNNNGCAAGUAACAUACCGAAGGACAAAGGGAAUGACAUACGGGAUUAUACGAAUCCUUGGUACUGAGGUUCAAACAAUAAGAUCUUCGUAGAAUAUGUAGGAUCCAAUAUGGGCAUCCAGGUCCCGCUAUUGGAUAUUGACCGAGGAGUCUCUCGGGUCAUGUCUACAUAGUUCUCGAACCCGCAGGGUCUGCACACUUAAGGUUCGACGUUGUUUUAUGCGUAUAUGAGUUAUAUGGUUGGUUACCGAAUGUUGUUCGGAGUCCCGGAUGAGAUCACGGACAUCACGAGGGUUUCCGGAAUGGUCCGGAAACGAAGAUUGAUAUAUAGGAUGACCUCAUUUGAUUACCGGAAGGUUUUCGGAGUUACCGGGAAUGUACCGGGAAUGACGAAUGGGUUCCGGGGGUUCACCGGGGGGGGGGGCAACCCACCCCGGGGAAGCCCAUAGGACAUAAGGGUGGCGCACCAGCCCUUAGUGGGCUGGUGGGACAGCCCAAAAGGGCUCUAUGCGCCAAGGAUAAGAAAUCAAAGGNNNNNNNNNNNNNNNNNNNNNNNNNNNNNNNNNNNNNNNNNNNNNNNNNNNNNNNNNNNNNNNNNNNNNNNNNNNNNNNNNNNNNNNNNNNNNNNNNNNNGACGUUGUUGGGCCUCCAAGUGCAGAGGGUUGUAGGACAGUAGCAAUUUUCCCUCAAGUGGGUGACCUAAGGUUUAUCAAUCCGUGGGAGGCGUAGGAUGAAGAUGGUCUCUCUCAAGCAACCCUGCAACCAAAUAACAAAGAGUCUCUUGUGUCCCCAACACACCCAAUACAAUGGUAAGUUGUAUAGGUGCACUAGUUCGGUGAAGAGAUGGUGAUACAAGUGCAAUAUGGAUGGUAGAUAUAGCUUUUUGUAAUCUGAAAUUACAAAAACAGCAACGUAACAAAUGGUAAAAGUGAGCACGAACGGUAUUGCAAUGCGUGGAAACAAGGCCUAGGGUUCAUACUUUCACUAGUGAAGUUCUCUCAACAAUGAUAACAUAAUUGGAUCAUAUAACUAGCCCUCAACAUGCAACAAAGAGUCACUCCAAAGUCACUAAUAGCGGGGAACAAACGAAGAGAUUAUUGUCGGUUACGAAACCACCACAAAGUUAUUCUUUCUGAUCUAUCUAUUCAAGAGUCCGUAGUAAAAUAACACGAAGCUAUUCUUUCUGUUCGAUCCAUCAUAGAGUUCGUACUAGAAUAACACCUUAAGAUCCAUAUCAACUAAGACCCUAAUGUCACCUAGAUACUCCAUUGUCACCUCAAGUAUCCAUGGGCAUGAUUAUACGAUAUGCAUCACAUAAUCUCAGAAUCAUCUAUUCAACCAACACAUAGUACUUCAAAGAGUGCCCCAAAGUUUCUACCAGAGAGUCAAAACGUGUGCCAACCCCUGUGCAUAGGUUCCCAAUGUCACGAACCCGCAAGUUGGUCACCAAAAAAUACAUCAAGUACUCACAUGAAUCCACGUGUGCCAACCCAUAUGCAUAGGUUCCCAAUUGUCACAAACCCGCAAGUUGAUCACAGCAGAUAGACACGUGCAAGACAUACAUCAAGUGUUCUCAAAGACUCAAUCCGAUAAGAUAACUCCAAAGGAUAAACUCAAUUCAUUACAAGAAGGAGAGGGGGAAGAACAUCAUAAGAUCCAACUAUAGUAGCAAAGCCCAUGGUACAUUGAGACCAAGACAUCUCAAGAACACGAGAGAGAGAGAUCAAACACAUAGCUACUGGUACAUACCCUCAGCCCCGAGGGAGAACUACUCCCUCCUCGUCAUGGAGAUCGCCGAGAUGAUGAAGAUGGCCACCGAAGAUGGAUUGCCCCUCCGACAGGGUGCCAGAACAGGCUCCAGAUUGGUUUUUGGUGGCUACAGAGGCUUGCGGCGGCGCAACUCCUGAUCUAGGUUUCUUUUGGGGGGUUUCUGAAUUUAUAGGAAUUUAUGGCGGUGGAAUUACGUCGGUUGGGCCCACGAGGAGGUUACAAGCCUGGUCGGCACCACCUAGGGGGGUGGUGGCGGCGUCAGGGCUUGUGACUCCCUCGUGGCUCUUCUGGCCUUCUUCCAAAGCUUCGGGGGUCUCUUUCGGUCCAAAAAAAAGCAUCGUAAAGUUUCAUUCCAUUUGGAGUUCGUCUGAAAAUGGGCCAAAAACACGGAAACAACAGAAACUGGCACUCUGCAUUGAGUUAAUAGGUUAGUCCCAAAAAAGAUAUAAAAUAGCAUAUUCAUGCAUAUAAAACAUCCAAAGUUGACAAGAUAAUAGCAUGGAACCAUCAAAAAUUGUAGAUACGUUGGAGACGUAUCAGCCAUCACCUGUUCCCAGACGCUGCCGACGCCCUGAUAAUCCCCAAGUGCAAGGAAUCAUCGUAGCAAUUUCAAAAGGUGGAAAUGAUAAGUAUGGAGCGUCGAACCCACAAGGAGCUAAAGGUAAGAGCAAUAUUCUCUCAAGUUCUAUCUGCCACUGAUAUAACUCUACGUACGCCGAACGUUUGCUUCCAACUUGGAACGAGAAAUAAAACUACAUUGUGGGUAUGAAGAGAAUAGCUUUGCAUGACAUCGGAGAAAUAAAAUAUAAAAAUAGGUGUUGUUAUCAUAAAGUUAGAAUAUAUUACAAAUAGCGAGUGUGGAAUAGUGAUGGGUCGGUGUGCGGAAUUGUCCUAGGCAAUUGUUAACAAGAUCAGUAAUCAUUAUUGCAAUUUUAUAUGAGGGAGAGUUAUAAGCUAACAUACCUUCUCUACUUCGAUCAUAUGCACUUAUGAUUGGAACUCUAGCAAGCAUCCGCAACUACUAAAGAUCAUUAAGGUAAAACCGAACCAUAGCAUUAAAGCAUCAAGUCCCCUUUAUCGCAUUCGCAACAACCCACCUACUCGGGUUUAUGCUUCUGUCACUCAAACAACCCACUAUAAGCGAAUCAUGAACGUAUUACAACACCCUACAAAGGGAAUCCCUCAUGCUUGCUAGACACGGAGAGAACCAUAGGACAACACCAAUAAUAAAGCAUGCAAGUCAAACCAAUCUAGAUCAUCAAUCAACCCAUAAGACAAAGGGAAUCUACUCAAAACAUCAUAGGAUGGCAACACAUCAUUGGAUCAUAAUAUGUGGCAUAGAGAACCGUGUUCAAGUAGGUGAUUACAGCGGGGCGCGGGGGAGUGGAACGCUAAAAGAAGAUGGGGUUGGUGAUGAAGAAGGUGAUGUUGAUGAAUACGAUCACCGCGGCGAUGGUUCCCCCGGUGGCACUCCGGCACCACCGGGAGAGAGGGGGAGAGGGUCUCCGCCUUGUUCCUCCUCCUCCAUGGCCUCCCCCAAGGUGGGGAGAGGUUCUUCCUCUAGUCCUUGGCCUCCAUGGUGAUGAUGGCCCCUCCAUCUUCCUCCUCAAUGGUCUCCGGUGAUGGUGACCCUCUCCGACAGGGUGCCGAAGAGGGCCAAGACUGGGUUUUCAUGGCUCUGGAGGCUUGCGGCAGAGGAACUCCCGAUCUAAGUUUCUUUUCGGGGGUUUCUGUUUUUAUAAGAAUAUUUGGCGUUCGAACCACGUCAGGGGAGUGCUUGAGGGGCCCACAAGCCAAGGAGCGCACCCUAGGGGGGUGCCCUGGUGGCUUGUGGUUGCCUCGGGACUCCUCUCUGGUAUCCUUUUGCUCCAGUAUUUUUCAUAUUUACCAACAAUAUUCUCCGUAAUUUUUCAGCCCAUUCCGAGAACUUUUAUUUGGGCACAAAAACAACAACACGGUAGUUGUGCUGAAAAAAGCAUCAGUCCGGGUUAGUUAUAAUAAAAUCAUACAAAAACCAUAUAGAAUUAUUGUAAACAUGGCAUGAAUACUUCAUAAAUUAUAGAUACGUUGGAUACGUAUCAGCAUCCCCGACCUUUAUUCCUGCUCGUCCUCGAGUAGGUAAAUAAUAAAAGAAAUCAUUUAUGAAGUGUGAAUGCUAGCAUAGUGCAUAAAUUUGAUCAAUGAUAUAUCCAAACACUUUUUCUAGCAUCAUUACAUAUCAUACACAGUAGCUCAUCUCAUAAAACUUCUCAUGAUGAAGUAACAAGCUAUUCACGUGUUAAAAUGUAGACCAUAAAGUUUCUUGAAAACUAACAAAUUAUGCUUUCAGUCACCAAACAAUUGCAAUUCAUCUUAUUUUUGGGAAGGGUCUAUGUAAGAGAUUUUAUUUAGAAAAUUCCACAUACUCAACUAUCAUAUAGUCUUCCAUGAUUGUUGACGACACUCAAAGCAUAUUUUUAGAACAAAUAGCAUCCAUCGAACACAAAGAAAGACAGGGGCUUAAAGUUUUGCCUCCUAAUUUAUUUACCAUAUAGAUAAUUGUCAACAAUAAUAAUUCAUGAUCAAAUAUAUUUGUAUGGAUAUAUAUGUUUGCAUCUUUCCCCACCACAUGAUGCUUGCCAACUAAUACUUUGAGGUUGGAAUAAGAAGUUAACUCAACAAGAAUAGUAAAUAACAUGAAAGUAAAUAGAUUGGCCCUUGAUAACCCACAAGUGUAGGGGAUCGCAACAGUUUUCGAGGGUAGAGUAUUCAAUCCAAAUUUAUUGAUUCGACACAAGGGGAAGCAAAAGAAUAUUCUCAAGUAUUAGCAGCUGAGUUUGCCAAUUUCAACCACACCUGAAAGAUUAGUGUUUGCAAGCAAAGUAUAAGUAGCAAAGUGGUAUGAUAGCAACGGUGUCAGAAAAAGAUGUGUUGACGGCAGACUAUUCCUAACUUGUUGUAUCAAUGGCGCCAGUAAAUACCACGUGGAAGGGGGACUAUUCUUCCCCGGCAACGGCUCCAGAAAAGUCUUGCAACAAGUAGCAGCAAAGUAACAGCAGUAGUGACAGCAGUAGCAAGCAACAUCAACAACAUCAGUAGCAAGUAACAACAGAGUAACAGCAGUAGCGACAACAGUAGCAGCAAAGUAACGUAGCAAGGACAAGUAGUAAAAGAAUCGUAGGCAAUGGAUCGGUGAUGGAUGAUUAUACCGGAUGUGAUUCAUCAUGUAAUAGCUAUAACACGGAGAGAUAAGUAACUAGCUCCCGUUCGUCAAUCUAAUGUAGGAAUGUAUUCCGUAUGAAGUCAUACGUGCUUAGGGAAAAGAACUUGCAUGACAUCUAUUGUCCAUCCCUACCGUGGCAGUGGGGUCCUAAUGGAAACUACGGGAUAUUAAGGUUCUCCUUUUAGUAAAGAACCGGACCAACGCAUUAAAACUCGGUGAAUACAUGAACUCCUCAUACUAUGGUCAUCUCCGGGAGUGGUUCCGGCUAUUGUCACUCCAGGGUUGCCGGGUCAUAACACAUAGUAGGUGACUACAACAUGCUAGAUAGGAUCUAAAACACACAUAUAUUGGCGACAACAUAAUAGGUUCAGAUCUGAAAUCAUGGCACUCGGGCCCUAGUGACAAGCAUUAAGCAUGGCAAAGUAGUAGCAACAUCAAUCUCAGAACAUAGUGGAUACNAUCUCAGAACAUAGUGGAUACUAGGGAUCAAUCCCCGUCAAAACUAACUCGAUUACAUGAUAUAUCUCAUCCAACUCAUCACCGUCCAGCAAGCCUACGAUGAGAUUACUCACGAAUGGUGAAGAACAUCAUGGAAUUGUCGAUGGAGGAAGGUUGAUGAUGACGAUGGCGAUGAUUUCCCCUCUUUGGAGCCCCGAACGUACUCCAGAUCUGUCAUCUGGAUGAAGAACAGGAGGUGGCGGCGCCUCCGUAUCGUAGAACGCGAUGAAUCCUUCUCUCUGAUUUUUUCCGAGCGAGACGGAAUAAAUAGAGCUGAGUUUGGGGGCGGUGGUGCCACGUGGGUUCCACAAGGCCUCACGGCGCGGCCUAGGGGGGGGGGGGGGUCGCAGCCCACGGGCUUGUGGCCCACUGGCACACCCCCUCCGUUGGAUCUUUGCGCAGGUAUUUUUCAUUUAUUUUAGAAAAAUUCUCCGUAAAUUUUCAGGACAUUCCGAGAACUUUUAUUUCUGCACAAAAACAACACCAUGGCAAUUUUGUUGAAAACAACGUUAGUCCGGGUUAGUUCCAUUCAAAUCAUGCAAAUUAGAGUCCAAAACAAGGGCAAAAGAGUUCAGAAAAGUAUAUACAACGGAGACGUAUCAACUCCCCCAAGCUUAAAGCCUUGCUUGUCCUCAAGCAAUUCAGUUGACAAACUGAAAGAGACAAAAGAAAAACUUUGACGAACUCUGUUUGAUCUUGUUGUUGCAACUAUGUCUAACUCAUAACCAGAAUUUCAGCAAGAUCACAAGCAAACCACAUAAGCAAAUGACAUCUAGGUCUCACGAUAAACUCAUAUCAAUGGCAUAAUCAGCUAGGGAGCAAAUAAUAAUAAGCCUCAAAUGUCAACACUUCAAUCAAAACAACAUGAAGCAGUACGAAUAGAUGGUAUCUCGCUAGCUCUUUCGGAGACCGCAAAACAUAAAUGCAGAGCACCUUCAAAGACCAAGGGCUGACUAAACAUUGUAAUUCUAGCCAAUGAAGAUCGAGUCACAGUCAUACUCAACACAGUUAAAAGCAAAGCAUAAAAAUGACAAAGGUGCUCUCUAAUUGGGUCUUGUUGUAAGAGGAGGAUGACUCAACAGGAACAUAAAUAGACAUGCCCUUCGCAGAGGGAAGCAUUAAUUUGCACAGGUGCCAGAGCUCAAGCUUUUAAAACAGAGAUAAUAAUUUUGGGUGGCAUGCUUUCAUUGUCAACGCAAUGACUAAGAGUUCUCAACAUCUUCCACGCUACACAUGCUAUAGGCGGUCCCCAAACAGAAAAGUAAAGUUUUGACUCCCCCACCACCAAUCAAUCACACUCCACGGCUAGCCGAAUCCUCGAGUACUGUCCAUACCAACAUCAAUCCUGGGGGAGGUUUGUUUGCAAUUAUCUUUUCGAUUUGAGCAUGGACCUGGGAGUUCCAAUUACCGCCCCCUUUCUCGUGAAUGAUAGUGAAUAAACACAUAUCGAGGAUAACACGCCUAGCAUGGAAGAUACCAAUAGCCCCCUAUCACCACAUGAGCGGUUCGGGCAUGCAAAACAGAUUAUUUCUUGAAGGUUUAGAGAGUGGCACAUGCAAAUUUACUUGGAACAGCAGGUAGAUACCGCACAUAGGUAGGUAUGGUGGACUCAUAUGGAACAACGUUGGGUUUAUGGGGGUGGAUGCACAAGCAGUAUUCCCGCUCAGUACAAGUGAAGGCUAGCAAAAGACUGGGAAGCGACCAACUAGAGAGCGACAACAGUCAUCAAAAUGCAUUGAGAUUAACUAACAUUGAAUGCAAGCAUGAGUAGGACAUAAAUCACCAUGAACAUGAACAUCAUAGAGGCUAUGUUGAUUUUGUUUCAACUACAUGCGUGAACAUGCGCCAAGUCAAGCCACUUGAAACAUUCAAAGGAGGAUACCAUCCUAUCAUACUACAGCACAGUCAUCUCAACAUUCAUGUGGGCAUCCAAGACAAACCAUUAUAAGCUCCUAGCUAAGUAAGCAUGGCAUAAGCAACUAUGAUCUCUAAGUUGUCAUUGCAAACAUGUUUCUCUCACAACAAAGCUGAAUCAGGCAUGAUGGGCUAGUCAUAUUUACAAAAACAAAAUAGAUCGAGUUCAUACCAUCUUUUCCAGGCUCAGUCACUUCAUAUAUCGUCAUUUUUGACUUUCACUUGCACGACCGAAUGUUGUGAACAAUAAUAAGCGUGCUCGUGUAGUGGACUAAAGAUGGAAUCUGCAGGAAAACACAAAUGAGAAACACCUACUCCCCCAAGCUUAGGCUUUUGGCCUAAGUUGGUCUACUCCCAAGGAGGGAAAUAACCAGCUCCGGGGUACUCCGGAGUGGACUGAGGAUGCCACUGCUGUGUGAGCUCCUCUGGCUCCCACUGAUAAACUGGCGUCUGGUACUCGACUGCUAGCUCGGGCACGGGCACCUGUGGUUGGGCUAUGCCCCAAUAUGUGUAGAUGUCCAAGGGCAUAAUAAUGUACCUACCUGCAUGAAGAUUGAACAAAGAAGGAGCAAGCAAAGUAAUAGUCUCACGAGUACCCUGACUAAAUACCAGGUUAUAAAUCAUCCUUCUAUUUAUAUCUCUAUCAAAAAAGUCAUGGCGAACCAUGCUAUUGUAAUAUAGAUAUCUCUCAGGAAGAAGAAUCUCUUCUUCCUCGUCCAGUCUAAUAGGUAUCUCAAAAUGUAUAGCAAGACGAGUAGCAUAGAUACCUCCAUAGAUAACGCCUUUAGAACGGUUCGUGUUCAACCGUUGAGCUACUAUAGCGCCCAAGCUAUAAGUUUUAUCGUUAUAAAGGGCUUCGCGCAAGACCGCAAGAUCUGGGGAACUAAGUGACCCAGCUUUCCCACGGCCAAUCAAACAUUUUCCCACAAAUAAUGAGAAGUACCGAAGCACGGGAAAAUUAAUGCUAGUAGCUCUAGCGCAAGACACUCCUCUCUCCUCUCCUACAACAAUAGUAUCGAUGAAAGCUUCCAAGUCCCGUGGACGAGGUUCAUGAAUAUCCCCAACAUAAGGUAAUUUGCAAACAUUGCAAAAAUCUUGGUGUGACAUGCGCUGGGGGAUAUCAUAAAUUUUGAACUCAACCAUAGGAGGAUUCUUCCUCGGAUAGAAGUUAAAACUUUGUAUGAAGAUAUUAGUGAGGAGGAGGUAUUGCGGACACUUAUCUUCAACGAAGGCGGUAAGGCCUGCGUUAUCCACCAAGUGAUAAAAGUCCUCAUAAAUUCCAGCGGUGCGUAAGAACACAUCGCUUGGCCACUUGCACGCUCGAACUUCUGCGACUCGAGGGACCAGAUACUUGGGCUUCUUCUCACUCCCAUCAUCCUUGGGGUCACGGCUUGAAGAGCCUCUUAAGAACCUCCUCAUCUUUUCCCUUUUCUAUCUUUGAAAUUUUCUGAAAAUUUUAGUGAUUCUAAGGAAAAGUGAACAAGGCUCAAUGAAACUCAUAGCAACUACUCCAACAAAUGCCUAGAGGCCAUAUUACGCAUCAAAACUACUUGGGACCAGCUAGAAUUAGCAUGCAAAGCUCAAGAACAUGGUCACCAAGGCAGAAAAAAUACGCGGAGUAUAAGGCACUAGAGCAAAAAAUAAUUGGACCAAUGGAGGAGUCACUUACCAAGGAGUAAUUUCCCCAAAACAGUUCGGAGAACGGUGAUUUGAGCAAAGAGAUCGAAAAUCCCAACAAGAGGAGCGAGAACACGGGUUUGAGCUGCGGAACAAUUUUUUCUGGAGGUAGGAGAACCAGAUAAGAGCAAGAAUGAGUGGAGGGGGUGCCUGUGGGCCCCACAAGCCUGGGUGGUGCGCUCAGGGGGGGUGCCCGCGCCCCAAGCGCUUGUGGCCCACUCGUGCAGCCCCCCGACAAGCUCUUUGUCUCAGAAUUUUUCAAAAAUUCCAAAAAAAAUCAUACUUGAUUUUCAGGACGUUCGGAGUACUUUUAUUUUCAGGGUACUUUUCCACCGAGCGCUAAAACAGAAAACAGGGAAAACUAAACUAAAUCUAUCAUUUUUCUUCUAAGCAAUAGAAGGUGAAAGCUUGGAACAGAGGUUUGUGACUCCUCGAUUCAUCCAUCUCAUUGUCAUCAAAAGAAAUCUGUCAGUGAGGUUGAUCAAGCCUCUUUGACAAACUUUUUCGAAUCACAAAAGAUAAUGGAGAAUUUCCGAAUAAUCACUAGGUCACCUCAAUGGGGAUGUGUAUCUCCCCAACAAGCAAAUCAUACUUCAUCUUGACACGAGGUAUAGGGCAUUCAAAGAUCCCAAUAAAAAUUGAUGAAGUUUUUUCGAUAGCAUUGAUGCAAUGUACUCGAUAUUGUUUCUUCGGAAAGUGCACUGUAUGGUCAUUACCGUUGACAUGGGAAGUGACAUUGCCUUUGUUGCAAUCUAUAACAGCCCCUGCAUUGUUUAAAAACGGUCUUCCGAGGAUGACCGCCAUGGCAUCGUCCUCAGGAAUAUCCAAGAUAACAAAGUCUGUUAAGAUAGUGACGUUAGCAACCACAACAGGCAGAUCCUCGCAAAUGCCGAUAGGGAAAGCAGUUGAUUUGUCGGCCAUUUUGCAGAGAUUUCAGUGGGUGUCAACUUGUCCAGUUCAAGUCUACGAUAAAGAGAGAGAGGCAUAACACUAAUACCGGCUCCAAGGUCGCAUAACACUGGUCUAACGUACCUGCCUUUAAUGGAGCAAGGUAUAGUGGGCACACCGGGAUCACCUAGUUUCUUAGGAGUUCCACCCUUGAAGGUAUAAUUAACAAGCAUGGUGGAAAUCUCAACCUCAGGUAUCCUCCUCUUAUUAGUUACAAUAUCUUUCAUGUACUUAGAAUACGGAGACAUUUUGAGCAUAUCUGUCAAACGCAUUUGCAGAAAGUCAGGUCUGAUCAUUUCAACGAAUCACUCAAAAUCCUCAUCAUCCUUUUUCUUGGAUGGUUUUGGAGGAAAGGGCAUGGGUUUCUGAACCCAUGGCUCCCUUUCUUUACCAUGCUUCCUAGCAGCAAAGUCAUUCUUAUCAUAUCUUCUAUUCUUAGGCCGAGGGUUAUCAAGAUCAAUAGGUUCAAUCUCCACAUCCUUAUCAUUGCUAGGUUGAGCAUCUUCAUGAACAUCACUAUUGAUAUUAUCAUUAGGCUCAUGUUCAUCACCAGAUUGUGUUUCAGUGUCACAGACAGAGGCAUCGUUUGGACUCUCAGGUGUAGCAGCAACAGGGUUGCUAGCGUGCAGGUUCCUAUCAUCUUUCUUCUUCUUUCUAGGAUGACUAGGUGCAUCAGUGCUAACUCCUUGAGAAUCUUGUUCAAUUCUCUUCGGAUGACCCUCGGGAUACAAAGGUUACUGGGUCAUUCUACCGCCUCUAGUAACAACUCUAACGGAAUUUUCAUUCAACUCAUCGAGCAAGUCAUUUUGAGCUUUAAGUACUUGUUCUACUUGAGUAGUAACCAUACAGGCAUGUUUACUCAAAAGCUUAAGAUCAUUGACAUUUCUGUCCACACAAGCACUUAAAUGACUAAGCAUAUGAGCAUUCUGUUCCAAUUGUCUGCUAACAUAAUCAUUNNNNNNNNNNNNNNNNNNNNNNNNNNNNNNNNNNNNNNNNNNNNNNNNNNNNNNNNNNNNNNNNNNNNNNNNNNNNNNNNNNNNNNNNNNNNNNNNNNNNUAGGGCGAAUUCAAUAUCUUUCUUCAUAAAGGAACCAGCACAAGAAGUGUCGAGCAUGGAUUCAUCAUUACGAGAGAGCUGAGCAUAAAAAUUUUGAAUAAUAAUUUCUGUCGAGAGCUCGUAAUUGGGGAAUGAAUAUAAAAUUGGCUUAAGCCUCCCCCAAGNNNNNNNNNNNNNNNNNNNNNNNNNNNNNNNNNNNNNNNNNNNNNNNNNNNNNNNNNNNNNNNNNNNNNNNNNNNNNNNNNNNNNNNNNNNNNNNNNNNNNNNNNNNNNNNNNNNNNNNNNNNNNNNNNNNNNNNNNNNNNNNNNNNNNNNNNNNNNNNNNNNNNNNNNNNNNNNNNNNNNNNNNNNNNNNNNNNNNNCUCCCCCAAGCUUGAGAGAUUCUGUCUCCUUCACGAGGCCAAAAAUUAUAAAUAUAAUUUCGAUCAUCAUGAACCAGAUGCAUAGGAUAAAACUUCUGAUGAAAUUCCAAUUUCAAUCGGUGGUAAUUCCAUGAUCCAAUAUCAUCACAUAGCCUAUACCAUGUCAACACCCUUUCCUUAAAAAAUAAAGGAAAGACCUUCUUCUUGACGUCAUCCUCGGGCGGACCUGCAAGCUUUAAUAAUCCACAAACUUCAUCCACGUAGGUUAGAUGCAAAUCAGGAUGUAGUGUUCCAUCUCAUGCAUAAGGAUUAGCUAGUAUUUUUUCUAUCAUACCCGAAGGAAUUUCAUAAUAAAUAUGUUCAAUAUGUGCAGCAGGUUGAGGAGCAUCUCUUUUUGCUUCCGGUCGGGGUGAAGAUACCCCAAACAAGCCCCUCAAAGGAUUAUUUUCCAUAGCGACAAGUGAUAGUAAAUUUCAGCAGAAUAUAUAAUUUUUUCCUUACCAAGUUCCACUUACCAAAGGCGCUUCACUCCCCGGCAACGGCGCUAGAAAAGAGUCUUGAUGACCUACAAGUGUAGGGGAUCUAUCGUAAUCCUUUCUAUAAGUAAGAGUGUCGAACCCAACGAGGAGCAGAAGGAAAUGAAAAACAGUUUUCAGUAAGGUAUUCCCUGCAAGCAUUGAAAUUAUCGGUAAAAGAUAGUUUUGUGAUAAGGUAAUUCGUAAUGGGUAGCAAGUAAAAAAUGUAACAAUGGUGCAGCAAGGUGGUCCACUCCUUUUUGUAGCAAAGGACAAGCCUGAACAAACUCUUAUAUAAAGAAAACCGCUCCCGAGGACACAUGGGCAUUUAUGUCAAGCUAGUUUUCAUCAUGCUCAUAUGAUUCGCGUUCAUUACUUUUAUAAUUUGAUAUGUGGGUGGACCGGUGCUUGGAUGCUACAGCCCACUUUUGAUUAACCUCUCUCACAAGCAUACGCAACUACGAAAGAAGAAUUAAGAUAAAUCUAACCAUAAAAUGAAACAUAUGGAUCCAAAUCAGCCUCUUACGAAGCAGCACAUAAACUAGGGUUUAAGCUUCUGUCACUCUAGCAACCCAUCAUCUACUUUUUACUUCCCAAUGCCUUUACCUAGGCCCAAAUAAUGGUGAAGUGUCAUGUAGUCGAAGUUCACAUGACACCACUAGAGGAGAUACAAUAUACAUCUUAUCAAAAUAUCAAACGAAUACCAAAUUCACAUGAUUACUUAUAACAAGACUUAUCCCAUGUCCUCAGGAACAAAUGUAACUACUCACAAAGAAUAUUCAUGUUCAUAAUCAGAGGAGUAUUAAUAAUAAUUAAGGAUAUGAACAUAUAAUCUUCCACCAAAUAAGGCAACUGGCAUCAACUACAAAGAGUAAUCAACACUAUUAGCAACCCACAGGUACCAACCUGAGGUUUUGAGACAAAGAUCGAAUACAAGAGAUGAACUAGGGUUUGGAGAGGAGAUGGUGCUCAUGAAGAUGUUGAUGUACAUUGACCCUCUCUCGAUGAGAGGAUCGUUGGUGAUGACGCUGGCUUCGAUUUCCCCCUCCGUGAGGGAAGUUUUCUCGGUGGAAUAGCUCGGCUGGAGCUCUAGAUUGGUUCUAUUGCAAUUCUGCCUCGAGAUGGUGGCGCCUCGUCCCAAAAGCUCUGAUAUGAUUUUUUUUUCAUGUCAAAACCCUUCAUAUAGCAUAAGAUGGGCACAGGAGGUCUGCCAGGGGGGCCACAAGCCUGCAGGGCGCGACGAGGGGGUGCUAGGCUACGCCCCCUGGUUUGUGACCUCCUACUGGGUCCCCUCUGGUAUUUCUUUCGCCCAACAUUUUUAUAUCUUCCAAAACAAUUGUCCGUGACUUUUCAUGACUUUUGGAGGUGUGCAGAAUAGGUCUCUUAGAUUUGCUCCUUUUCCAGUCUGGAAUUCCAUCUGCCGGCAUUCUCCCUCUUCAUGUAAACCUUGUAAAAUAAGAGAGAAAAGGCAUAAGUAUUGUACCAUAAUGUGUAUUAACAGCCCAUAAUGCAAUAAAUAUUGAUAUAAACAUGAUGCAAAAUGGACGUUGAUACGUCUCAAACAUAUUGACAUUUCCAAACACUUUUGCUAUUGUUUUGGCCUCAUUCUUGCAUGAUUUGAAUGAAACUAACCCGGACUGACGUUGUUUUCAACAGAGCUGCUUGUACGGUUUUCUUGUGCGCAGGAAAAUGGAUAUUUAGACGUCAUGGAAAAUUCCUAUAAAAAUAGAGAAAAUCCACACACCGGGAAGAACCAUGGGCCGGAAGAUGGGCCAGAGGGGAGAUACACGCCCCCCAGGCGACUUGUGGGCGCGACCUGCCCCCUCGCCGCACCGGAAGGCCGGCUGGGUGGGGCCCACCCCCUCUGGUGCCCUACUUUGGCUCCUAUUUUUACCCAUGAUGCAGAUAUCCCAGAACAGAAGUCAUCUCGUAAGUUCUCGACGCGGAGCCGCCGCCACCCUCGGUCUUCUUCGGGAGAGCUAAUCUGGAGGUUGUUUUGGCCUUCGGAGAGGGGAAAUCGUCGCCAUCGUCAUCACCAUCACCACUCCCUCAUCCUCCCAUGGCUUCCCCCAUCAUGUGCGAGUAAUUCUCUGCUGUAGGUGAAGGGGAUGGUACGGAUUGGAUGAGUUAUAUCAUGUAAUAGUUCGCCGGAUUGUUGGGGGCAUGUUGCCUAUCAUCUACUAUGGUGUUUAUCAUCUUUUCUACUACUUGUUACUCUUAAUGCUUGUCACUUUGGGACCGAGUGCCAUGAUUUCAUAUCUUAAUUCAUUAUGUUUUCAUGAAUAUAUUUGUGUUCUAGAUCCUAUCUAUGAGUAGUAUGCACCUAUUAUAGUCCGGAAUCGGCGAUCCCAAUGGUGACAGCUUGGGACACCAAAGGGGAUAGACUAUAGUAUGAGGAUUCAAUGUAUUCACUGAUUGUUAAUGCUUUGUUCCGGUGCUCUUUGACAGGAGCACCUUAAUCUCCAUAAGUUCCUUUUGGCCCCGUUGAUAGCGGGAUGGUAGGACAAAAUAUGUUCUGCAAGUUCUUAUUGCAAGCACACACGACUACCUAAGGAUACAUGCCUAAUGUUUGAUAUAUGCCUAGAUGAUCAUUACUUUUCUAUGUGCCUUGCCCCCAAGUUAAAUACAUGAUAUCUCUCAUCCAUGACCAACCAUCCAUCUCCCUAUCCUACAGUGUUUUAAUCCCGCUGGUCACAAGUCACUUUACUUUCCCUGUUUUACUUUCGUUGCUUUAUCACUAUUAUUUCCGUUGCCACCAUCACUUCCAUAUCACCGUUGCUAUUAAUAUUUCAUUGUCAAGCGAGUAUCUUUCAGGUGCGGUUGAAUUGACAACUCAACUAUUAAAGCUUAUAAAUAUUUUUGGCUCCCCUUGUGUCAAAUCAAUAAAUUUGCUUAUCUUACCCGUGAAGACUGUUGUGAUCCCCUACACUUGUGGGUUAUCAAGACCAUUUUCUGGCGUCGUUGCCAGGGAGCAUAGCUUUAUUUACAAGUCUACUUCGAGUUAUUUUGCUUGCUGCGAUUUAUUCACUAUGGGUAAGAAACGAGACCCCAAGGUUCCAAUUUUACCAUCCACUACGAGAAAAGGUAUUGUUCUUAGCACUAGCGCUACGAUUGAUUCACCUUCCGUUAUGAGUAAGUUUGCUUCACCACCACCACAUGUUGCUUCUACCGAGUCUGUCACUAUGCCUGGUACAUUUGACGAUGCUGCUACUACUAUUGAUGAGCCUAGUUUACUUGGUUAUUUUAUUGAGUCUCAGAUUGCUAAGGCUGCAAAGCAGUCUGGAAUUGAACUUCCUGUUACACGCUACCCCAUUGGUAGAUCUUUAGGUUACCCACACUUGAGUGGUCUCAAGGAAAAAAUUCUUGAUCAUGAUUAUAUUGAACUUGAUGAUGAUUUAUGCAGGGAACUUACCGAGUGUGCUCACUCUGACCCUACUUCUGUUAAGAAGUUGCUUGAAAAGCAUUCUAUGAAGAACAAAUUUACUCCUGAUCCUAAAUUUUCGUCAUCUCCUAUUUGCAUUGAGGAUGCUGAUUUUGAUUUCUCUAUUGAUCUUUCACUUAUCUCCAGAGUUGAAGCUAACCCCUUCUAUGGCAGAGAAAAUGACGAUGCUAUUGCACACCUUACCAAACUCACUGAGUUGGGUGGCUUAUUCACUAUAGAGGACAAGAAGAGAAACUAUUAUGUUACUAAGCUACUUCCUUUCUCUUUGAAGGAAGAUGCUAAAGCAUGGUAUGAUUCACUACCAUGUGGGUCCAUUACGAGUCCUCAAGAUUUAGCUCAAUCUUUUGUUGCUAAAUAUUUUCCUGCCCAUAAGGAACAUGCUGCUUUACAAAGAAUAUAUAACUUUAAACAGUUGCAGGAUGAGCACCUCCCUAAAGCUUGGGGGAGGUACUGCACUUUACUCAAGGCUAGACCGGGACAUGGAGUCCCGAAGAAUGAAUUGCUUGAUAUAUUUUAUCCUGGUCUAACCGAUGAAUCUAGAACCUAUCUGGAUAGUUGUGCUGGUUGUGUUUUCAGGGAAAGAACACCUGAGAUGCUGAAGAAUUAAUGGGUAAGAUAGCUAAGAAUCAUGAUGAUUGGUACAUUAUUGAACCACCUCCAUCACCAAAGAAGAGGGGUAUGCUUUUCUCGAGCCCCGAAGUUAUGCAAGAAGCCAAGAAGUCUAUGAAUGAGAGAGGUAUUCAAACUGAAGAUGUGAAGAAUCUACCUCCUAUUAAGAAAUUAUGUGAGCCUACCACUCACCGACCUAUGGUAGAGGUACACUCUAUUUUAGAAUUCAAUGCAAGUGACAUCCCUCAUGGUAAGCCCCUUGAUCAAUGUUUAGAUGAGCUUGAUAAUUGUAUUGUCAAGCAAAAUCACUUUAAUGAGAGGAUUCAAAGCCAAUUUCAUGAUAAUUCCCUUGCUAUCAAAAGUUUGCUUGAUGUUUUAAGUAGAACUGUUAAUGAUGUUAAACGUCAUGUUAAGCAUUUUUCAUAUGGUUCAAACUCAGCUUGAACAAAUUUCUAAUGUGCAAAAAGAUUUGCUUGCUAACAAUAUCAAACAAGUUGAUGCGCAAGCAUAUGGUAUAAAGACCCGAGGUGGUACACACACCCAUGACCCCCUCUAUCCGGAGGGGCAUCCAAAGAGGAUCGAGCAAGAUUCUCAAUUGCAAGAAGAAGACAUUGUCAGCUCCCCGAAGAAGAAGAAGAAACACAAGGAAGCUGACAACUCCAAUGAUCCCAUAAUUGAUGAAGAACCUAUUAUUGACCCUAAUAGUAUAUCUAUUUCCGAUGCUAAAACUAAAGAUGGUGCUAAACCUGAUAAAGAUAAUGAGAAGAUUGAUCCUCCUGAGAUACGAGAAUAAGAAGCACCCGACAAGCGCAAGAGAUAUACUCGAGAAGAUUUUGGUGCAAGAAAACAUGGGAAGGAAAGAGAACCGUGGGUACAGAAAUCAAUGCCCUUCCCAGGUAAGUCUUUCAAAACCAAAAAGAAGAGCAUUACAAUAAAUUUUGUGAAUGGAUGAAACCUCUUUUUCUUCAAAUUCCUUUGACCGAUGCUAUUAAGUUGCCUCCGUACUCGAGGUAUAUGAAAGAUAUUGUUACUAACAAAACAAAAGUUCCUAAUGAGGCAAUAUCCACUAUGGUUGCUAAUUUCUUUCAGUGGCAAGAUUUCCGAGAAGCUUGGUGAUCCAGGUAUACCCACCAUUCCUUGCUCCAUAAAAAUAAUUAUGUCAGAAUUGCUUUAUGUGAUCUUGGUGCAGGAGUGAGUGUUAUGCCUUUCUCUCUUUACAAAAGGCUUUGUCUAGAUAAACUAAUCCCUAGAGAUAUCUCUCUUCAAAUGGCUGAUAAGUCAACAAACGUUCCCGUAGGUAUUUGUGAGGAUGUUCCCGUUGAAGUUGCUAAUUGCUUGAUCCUUACUAACUUUGUUGUGCUUGACAUGCCUGAGGAUGGGAGCAUGUCUAUUAUUCUUGGUAGACCUUUUCUUAACACCGCAGGUGCUAUUAUUGAUUGCAAUAAAGGAUAGGUGACCUUCAGUGUUAAUGAGAAGGAGCAUACGGUAUAUUUUCCGAAGAAGAUUGAUAAAAGGCAUGGCCUUAAUUCUAUUGAGAAUAUUGAGACCGUGAAGGUUGGAGAGUGGGAUUGUCCUCUACAUAUGCACCAAAAAUACAAAACCAUUAUGGUGGGGACAAUAUCCAUUGAAAUAAAGGUACCAUGAUUGCUUUAUAAGAAGUGAAACUUUUUGCUCAAAUAUAACACCUGUUUGGUAGUAAGACUUGAUCAACCUUACUAACAAAUAUGAUUUAUAUGAGUAAAAAGAGAAGCUUGUUAUGUUUUCAUUUCCUUUAUCUUUCAUCCUCUUUGUUGUACCAAAGCAUUAUGUUUUUGAAGCCUCAUAUGUUUAACCUUUGUUUUGAGCUUUCUGCAAAUUUUGCAGCUUUCGGUACUUCGAUUUUUUUUCAAAAGUGAAGUUUUCAGAAAAAUUCCAGAAAAAUUAAAUGAAAAAUUUCCAUGAAAAAAGAGACGCAGGGGCACCUGGAGACAGCCAGGGGGGCCACCCUUGGUCCAGGCGGCCAGCAGGCGCGACCUGCCCCCUGGUCGCGCCCACAAGUUGUCUGGGCCCACGUGGUCCCCUUUCCAGGUACUUCUUCUUCCCUUCUCUCUUUCUCACUCCUAAAAUCCCGAUUUUUCUCCUGGAGCUCGAGUUCUUGCUGCUCUUGGUGGCAAAUUUUGAUCUGUCUCUACAGCCCAUCAUUUGCAUUGAGAAUUUGGGCAUUUGAUCCUUGGUAUGUGACUCCUCCACUCCUCCAAUUAAAAUUUUGAUUGGUGGUCUUAUUUGUGAGUAUUUAGUAGUUCUUGGUGCUAUUCAUAUGAGCUUGCAUGCAUGUUUAGAAAUUUAUUUGUGAUGUUUUGAUACAAGUUUAUGCAUCAGGGAAGUGAGUAGAAUAGUUUGAUCCAACUCAUUUUUGCUUAAAUCUCCAUUUUUGUGAUGAACCAAAAAAAUUAGAAAUGAGUUUGUUUGGAAAAGCAAAAGGAUGGCUUGGGAAGAAGAGACCUGAGCCUACUGAUAGACUAACUAGAGCUGCAGCUUCAUCCUCUACUGUGAGGACAAGUUACAAUGACGAUAUCGUGCCACCAGAGUUGUUCCACGAGACGGACACGGCACGUGCCAUGGCAUACCCGUGUUCAGAUUUCCUGAUGGCGGCAGGUAUUAAAGAUGAGUUUGAUAACCUCUGUGCAGCUGUAGGUUUGACACAUCUCGUAACACGACGUGUGCAACAAUAUCCAAAACUCACAUAUUAUUUUGUCAACUGGUUUAGAUAUAAUGAUAAAAUUUCCAUGAUUGAAUUCAUAUUAUAUGAGGAUGUCUUUACCAUGUCUUUGGCAGAAUUUUUUGAUGUUAUAGGUGUGCGGAAUGUCGGGAUGAUGACCAAAAUGAAUGUUCAUCCCUACGAGCUGAAAUCCCUAUUCACUUCCCUUUUGCAGUAAGGACCCGCGAGUAAUUCACUUGGGGGAGAUCUCCAGCAUCUUGUUUCCCCACAUCAAGUAUUUCGCAUACUAUAUUGCUCGAGGGGUGCUAGUUCGUGACAACACGAGUAACAUUUCGGAUCCGUACCUUGCUAUCUUGGCAUCCUCCCUCUUAGGAGAUUACACGUAUAAUAUUGGUGCGUUCAUUGUUCAUUGCCUCAUUGCUAACAGCGACAAAGGGCCUCACUUUGGUGGCAUUUAUGCCAGGCUUAUCCUCGAGCACCUCAGGCGCAAUGUGCGGACGAAUGAUACGCCUUUUUCAUUCAUAAGCUUUGAUAUUACCGCUAUGAAGAGGCAUGAGUUUGUUACUAGGACUUCCGAGUUUGGUAACCUUAUUUAUAUUAUGAGGUUUGGCGAGCUUACUACUCGCGAGAUCCGUCUACAUGCACCACUUUUGUUUGAUUACACUAGAAGGAAUGGAUAGUCCUUCACCUCGAUUGAGCUAGACGAGUUCGUGAUCCAGCAGCAGUUCCACAACCCCAUGGAGGGGAUUGUUCCCGAGGUAGAAGAGCCUUCUAAUUGGGAGGCCAGACGGGCAUCAGUGUAUGCGCCCGAGGCCUCGUAUCAUUCUUGGAGCCACCCAUACCACUCCGGAGCCAGAGGAAGCUCCUGGAGCCCUCAAUAGCCGAGCUCAACUUAGGCGAAAAGCCUAAGCUUGGUGGAGUACGUAUCCUUCUCACCUUUCAUUGUAUCAUCCGUAGUUUCCUUUUUAAUCUUUUCGGAGUUUUUGCCCGUUCUUCUUUGUUCUUUCUUUGCAAAAACAACAAAAAGAUUUCUCUUUUCUUUUGCUUUCGCUUAACCUUUGGAAAACCCAAAAAGAUUUCUUUUCUCUCUUUAGUUUGCUUUGUUUGCAGAGUUCAGCUCACGUCCAUGGUUGCAAUUGCACUUGAUUAUAUCUUUCUACGUUCGAUCGUGCAAGUGACGAUGCAAUAAUGAAGAAGAUCGACAGAAGGAAUGCAACAAGGAAAGUCGGUAUGAACUCUAUUUGUUUCUACUUUUGUACAUAUGCAUGUACUUAUGAUCUAGAGACUAGCUUAUAGCGACAUAGUACUAUGAUUACAAUGAUUCCCAGUAGUUCAUGCUUUCUUUGUGACUAGUCUCAAAUAGUUGGAGUGCAUAAUGUGUUAUUGAAAUGAUUAGCAUGCAUUGCAUUGUUCAUGGUUUGGCAUAUUGGAGUGGUAUUUCCCUUCGGAGAAUUUCUGGAUUGACUUGGCACAUGCUUACACAUGUUUAUGACUAGAAGUCUAUCAAGCCUUGAUGAUCUUUUUAUUUCAGAAUAGUUAAAUCGCUUUCAUGCCCGAUUCAAAGUUGAUUUGUCGCUCUACAUGAUUAUGACCAUUAUUGCUCUCUAGUUGGGCGCUUCCCCAUCUUUCGCUAGCCUUCACCUGUACUAAGCAGAUUGACUGCUUGUGCAUCCAAAAUGCUUGAAACCAGUUGCGCCAUAUGACUCCGCCAUACCUACCUAUAUGCGGUACUUAUGUGUCGUCCUAAAUAAAUUUGCAUGUGUCAUAUUCUUAACUUUCAAAUAAAUAUUUUGUUUUGUAUGCCCGAAUCACUCAUGUAGUGACUAGGGGCUAUCAGUAUCUUCCAUGCUACGUAGGUUAUUCUCAAGAUAUGUGUUGAUUCACUAUCAUUCACGAGAAAGUGGCUGGUAACCAGGAUGCCCAUUUCCAUGCUCAAAAGUCAAAUCAAAUUUAAUGAAACAAAACUCCCCCAAGAUUGUUGUUUGUAUGGACGGUACCCGUCGAUUCGUCCCGCCGUGGAGUGUGAUUGAUUGGUGGAGGGGGUAAAAACUUUACCAUUCUGUUUGGGAACCGCCUAUAAUCUAUUUAGCAUGGAAGAUAUUGAGAUCUCUUAGUUGUUAUGUUGACAAUGAAAACAUACCACCCAAAAUUUUGAUUUAUGUUUGUUUUAAAGCUCAAGCUUUGACACCUCUGCAAAUCAAUGCUUCCCUCUGUGAAGGGCCUGUCUAUUUUACUUUAUUGUUGAGUCAUCCUCUUCUCAUAAAAGCACCAACUAAGAGAGCAUAAUUGUCAUUCUCAGUGUAAUGUGCAUUGUCCCAAAGUACCACAUUGUCUUCUGUAUGAUUGUGAUAUUACUUAUUCUGAAAUAUUUAUUUCUAGUCUCCUUUAAGACUCCGGAGGAGCGUUUGCAUUUAUGUUCUGCUUCACUCAUGGGAGCUAGCGAGAUACCACUCUAGUAUAUCCAAGUCAUGUGCAUUGUGAUCUCGUUAUGAUUUUCAGUUACAUAUUAUUCAUUCUUAGUUGUUUGAAACUCUUCACAUGAUCGAAGGAUUGCUUCGUGCAUUGUCUUUGUAGCAUUGCUUCAAUACUUGUUGGGCUUGUUCGUAGUGCAUGCUUAUAUACAUCUGAUGAAGCAAAAGAGUUUGUCAAAGUUUUCUUUGUCGCGUUCAGUUUGUUGAACUGAAUUGCUUGAGGACAAGAAAUAUGCUAAGCUUGGGGGAGUUGAUACGCCUCAAACGUAUCGACUUUUCCAAACACUUUUGCUAUUGUUUUGGUCUCAUUCUUGCUUGAUUUGAAUGAAACUAACCCGGACUGACGUUGUUUUCAGCAGAGCUGCUUGUAUGGUUUACUUGUGCGCGGGAAAAUGGAUAUUUAGACGUCCCGGGAAAUUCCUAUAAAAAAUAGAGAAAAUCCACGCACCAGGAGGAACCAUGGGCCAGAAUAUGGGCUAGAGGGGAGCCACAGGGCCCCCAUGCGACUAUGGGUGCGGCCUGCCCCCUGGCCGCGCGGGAGGCCGCCUGGGUGGGGCUCACCCCCUCUGGUGCCCUACUUUGGCACCUAUUUUUACCCGUGUUGCAGAAAUACGAGAACAGAAGUCAUUUUGCAAAUUCUCGACGCGGAGCCGCCGCCACCCUCAGUUCUUCUUCGGGGGAGCUAAUUUGGAGGCUGUUUCGGCCUCCGGAGAGGGGAAAUCGUCGCCAUCGUCAUCACCAUCACCACUUCAUCAUCCUCCCAUGGCUUCCCCCAUCAUGUGUGAGUAAUUCCCUGCUGUAGGUGAAGGGGGUGGUAGGAAUUGGAUGAGUUAGAUCAUGUAAUAAUUCGUCGGAUUGUUGGGGGCAUGUUGCCUAUCAUCUAUUAUGGUGUUUAUCAUCUUUUCUACUACUUGUUACUCUUAAUGCUUGUCACUUUGGACCCGAGUGCCAUGAUUUCUCAUCUGAAUUUAUUAUGUUUUCAUGAAUAUAUUUUUGUUCUAGAUCCUAUCUCUGAGUAGUAUACACCUAUUAUAGUCCCAAACCGGCGAUCCCAAUGGUGACAGCUUGGGACACCAAAGGGGAUAUACUAUAGUUUGAGGAUUCCAUGUAUCCAUUGAUUGUUAAUGCUUUGUUCCGGUGCUCUUUGACAGGAGCACCUUAAUCUCCAUAAGUUCCUUUUGGCCCCGUUGAUAGUGGGAUGGUAGGACAAAAGAUGUUGUGCAAGUUCGUAUUGCAAGCACGCACGACUACCUCGAGAAACAUGCCUAAUGUUUGAUAUAUCCCUAGAUGAUCAUUACUUUUCUAUGUGCCUUCCCCCAAGUUAAAUACAUGAUAUCUCUCAUCCAUGACCAACCAUCAAUCUCCCUAGCCUAUAGUGUUUUAAUCACGCUGGUCACAAGUCACUUUACUUUCGCUGUUUUACUUUCGUUGAUUUGCCACUAUUAUUUAUGUUGCCACCAUCACUUUAAUAUCACCAUUGCUACUAAUAUUUCGUUGCCAAGCAAGUAUCUUUCAGGUGCGGUUGAAUUGACAACUCAACUGUUAAAGCUUAUAAAUAUUCUUUGGCUCCCCUUGUGUCGAAUCAAUAAAUUGGGUUAUCUUACCUUCGAAGACUGUUGCGAUCCCCUACACUUGUGGGUUAUCAGACGUAUCAAGGGGGGAGUUGUAGGCGUCGGGGAGGCGACGGUGGCAGCCAACACCGCACCCAUGUUGGCUCGGGUGAGUAGGAGGAGGACGGUGGGGCUAGGUGGGCUAGGCCGACAGUGUAACGAGUAGGCUUUAGUGUAGAGUACCGCUUGGACCCUUCCAUUUCUUUUUUUUCUCUUUGUUUUUUAUUUAAUUCCAAUAGUAAAUUACUUUUGUAAAAUAUAGUGUUUGACCCAAUCAUUAACUUGCAUUUUUAGGUUCAGCCACAAAAAUUUUGGGGCGCAUUUGUAAGUUUGGGAAUUUUCAUAAUUCAAAAAGGUAUUUAAGUAAUUGUUCCGGCCUCUCCUAUAAUUAUUUUGAGGCACCAAAUCACUUGAUAAAAUGUUGGUUCAUAUUUUAUAAUUACUAGGUGAAUAUUUGCCAAGCAACCAUGAUUUUAGUUUCAGGUUUGUCAAAAUAUUUAAUCCAUUUAUUAUUUUAAUUUUGAAUUUCAAAAGGGAAUUUCAAAUAAGAUAUGAUUCUAAGAUUGAUCAAGCAGUGUUUAGCAAACGCAUUAGCUUAAUCUUGGCCAUAACUGUAGCCUAAUUAUAGUGAUCACUAUAGCUUAAUCCAGGGGUGUCACGUAUACUUUUUGGGUAUUUAUUUACCAAUUUAUAUUAUUUUAGAGCACUAACCUAUUAACCCAGUGCCCACUGUGAGUUGUUGUUUUUUGUGUGUUUUUGGCUUUUCAGGUUUACGGUAGCAAACGAAGUCCAAUUGCCAUGAAACUUUUUAGUGAUUUUUUCUGGACCCAUUGGGGCGGACGCGCCCACAACUUAAAUUGAUGUAUCUUAUAUUUUGCCAAACAACAAAAUAUACUCUUGUCGCUGGUAUUAACAUGGCAUGAAAUUUCAAUUUUUCUCGAUAUAUCUAUUUAUUUGUACUGCUUUUCUCUACUUCAAUACCUGCUCGAUUUAGAUUGGGAAAAUCGUACAGAUUUUAUGAAACCUUAUCAUUUUUUUACUGAAUAUUUUGCAAACUAUCUCAGUUCCUUAAAGUCUACAGGUGGUCACGUACUGUGACUGAAAGUUUACAAGUAGUCAAGUAAUUUGACCAGCCAAGCCAAAAGAGAUGUGUACCAACCUCAUGAGAAUAAAUAAGUAUGUCAAACGGUGAGCACAUCAUACACCCUCAUUAGAAUAAAAAAGUACUAUGUCAAAGGGCACUCACUAGCUGGCACCGCCCAGCUCGAGGAGGCACGUCAAGGUCGCGUCCCAACACCUAGUUACCAAUACUAGUCGUCGACCCCGUGUAAUUGCACGGUCUAAUUAUUUAGACAAUAGCUUAGUGGACUUUUGUAAAUAUUGGUUAUACUUACAAAAAUAUAAAUGGAGAGGCUUUAUGUUGAGCUCUUCAAAAUGUACUUUUUUUAUGAUGAGGGGCGUUUUGGUAACGAUACAUUCAUAUAUAACAUUUACAAGAAGUUCUUCAUUUGUUAACUCUUCGAAGUAUAUGGAAAUUACAAAUAAAAUCAUGGAACAAACAAUAUUCCAAUAAAACUAAUAAAGAAAACUGCUCUUUACUUUCUUAAAUUUGGUGCAUAAUGAUAGUGCUAGAUAGAGUACGUAGUUUGGUGUAUAUAAUCAUGCCAUCAUUCCAAACAACUAAAAAAACAUGAGCACAUGAUACAUUGAAAAACAUAUGAUUUCUUCAUGUGUACUGAUCAAAAUAAAUUUACUUUUAUACAUCGUAGUACCCUUGAAAGUGGUAACUAUGAUAAGAAAUCAGGAUCGCAAAACUGAUACAGUAUUGUACGAAACCUAAUUCAAUUAUGAAAAGCUUUAGUACAGAAUAAGAAAUGUAAACAAAUCUUCUUGACAUAUGUCCACAUAUAUUACCUCUUCUCUGAAUCCACCAGCCAAUUAAAUUAUUUCUCUUCACUUAGAGAUCAAGUGGACUGUCAGAAUAAUAUAAUUAUUUCUGUAUAAAGGGCAUCUAUAAUGAAGUGAAAUUAGACUAGUAAUUUGAGAAAGAAUUUUGUUUUUUUUUAACAUGCACACGAACACAUCUAAUAUUUUAUUAGGGAAAUAAAAGAAUAUUUGGAUGUACCCAAUAUGUCUGGUAAGGAUAAAUGUCACCUUGCUUUAUAAUUUCAAGAAAGAACCGUCUGAAGUAGAGAUAGAGAAAAAUGUACCCAGAAGCAACUCCUCGAGAGAUAAAACUUGUUAUAUCCAGUUCUAUCAAGUGACUCCUAGUCUAGAUUUGCACUUUCUGGUGUGAUAUUGAUGAUUCCUGCCAAGAAACGUAAUUAGUAUAGUUGUGGAGUAAUUAUGAAGAGUGGAAAAGGUAAUUAGUAUUUAUUGGCUAGGCAUAUAAUUUUAUAUAGUGACGGAGGUGUAGUAAGAUAUUUUUUCGGCGAAAAGAGGUAACAACACAAUCAUAUUAGAACAGAGGUGAGAAAUAGGUAAUGCUGAGAAUGUUGCGAAGAACUGAAAUGUUUUAAUUCUGACAAAAACAUAUACCUCUCUUUGCAUCAAGAAUUAUAUUGCUGAGAUAAUAUAGAACAAUCGAACAUAUGAGAUAAGACGAUUAUCUGGCACAUGCCAGUGUGUCCGUGAUUUGUUUUCCUUUGGUCGAACAUAGAUGGCAUACUUGAGUAGUGCUGAUGAUGGAGACCAAAAGGCCAUAACUUGCGAAUAUAGUUAUACCAAAGGUUAUAAUUAUUAUCAUAUAAACAUUAGAUAAUUUUUCUAGUCUAAAUGACAAUUCUAAUUUUCGAUCUUGAGGAAAUGUAAUACAUGUUGAAGACUACUAUUCCUCAAUUAAUCUACAUCGACACUGAUAAAAUAUUAUAUUUGACAGCCUUUAUAGAGUGGACUCUGGAGACCCCAAAAAGACACACUAGUAGAAAUAAGGGCUUUCGUCCCAGCUCGAAAACACAUUAGUCCCGGUUCCUUUACGAACCGGGACUAAUGUUAGUAUUAGUCCCGGUUCGAGCGGCAAAGGCGCCGGUCGGGCAUUAGUCCCGGUUCAAAUGGGACCUUUAGUUCCGAUUCGUGUCUCGAACCGGGACUAAAGGGUUUGGAGGAUUUAGUCCCGGUUCGUGUCUUGGACCUUUAGUCCCGGUUCGUAUCUCGAACCGGGAGUAAAGGGUUUGGAUGAUUUAGUCCCGGUUGGUGUCUUGAACCGGGACUAAAGGUGUUCAGAUUUUUUUUGUGUUUUUAAAUUCUUGUUUGUAGUUUCUGUUUUAAAUUGCUUAUAUCUUUUAGGAUAUUUGAUGUUUUUUAUUGAUUCUUUUUGCAUUAGAUUCAAAAUUUUGUCUAGUUUCUGUUUGUGCCAUUAGUUUUCAAAUUUGAAUGGUUUAAAUUUGAAUUUGUUUAAAUUUGCUUCAAACCCAGUUUUUGAUUAACUUGAGUUUACAAAUAGUUUUUAAUUUAAUUCUUUUUGCUCCCACUCAUGUGUUAGAUUGUUAUCACAAUAAGAUUUAUUUGGUUAUUUUUAGAAUAAUUUAAAUUAGGAUUUUAAUUAAACAAAUAUUGUUUUGCUUAUAUAGUUGUUUUAGUCAUCUAGUUGUUGUUUUUUAUUAUGUUUAGUUAGUUCUUUCUGUAGAUUUUAACAUGUUGUAGUAUGGUGCAUAUUUAAUGCACAAAAAAAUCUAUAGUUCAAUUAAUUUUAAAAAAAUGCCUUUGUAGCAGAUGGGUUUUCGUCUGAAACCUUGAUACUUUGAGUUUUGUACAAAAUAAACAAAAAUGAUAAAAUCUUCAAAAAAUAAACAAAAAUGAUAAAAUCUUCAAACAAUAAAAUCCUUUGAGAUGUUGUUAGGUUUUAGUGUCUAGUCGGUAUAGAAAUUUUGAGAUAUGAAUUUUGACCAUUUUGGCAAAAAAAGGAAAAAAAUAAACGGCCAUAACUUUUGCAUACGAUGUCAAAACAAAUAAUAUAUCAAAAAAAACUAGAAAAUAUUGGUACUCGAUUUCACCCGGGCUUGCCCGAUGAAGUUUUCUCACAUGCUCAAAAUUCCAAAUGGAAAAAAAGUUAUUUCAAAAAGAAGUUUUUCCAAAAAAAAAAGAAAAAUAGUUUUAUUUAAAAAUAUUAGGUUGUUUUCAUUGAAAUUCACUAUUAUUGUUACUUAUUAAGUGUAUUUUAGUAAUUGUUUUUAAUUCAAAAAAUUAAAUCAUGUGACAUGACAUCAAGACCCAAGUUGUUUAGGAUUGAUAGCUUACUAUUGUCAGGAAAACAACAAGUGCACACUUGGCAACUAGGGGCGAUAGAACCAGAAAGUUAAGGUGCUCGGGCUGAAGCAGUGAAAGUAUGGGUGAUCGGCCGGGAAGUUAGACGAUUUGAAAUGAGUGAUCCACGCUAGAGCAGUGAGGAUGGGUGAUUAGAGAUUAAAUUGUCAAAUAAUUCAAAGAUUAGAAAAUUGGAAUAAAACAUAAAAAAUAUUCAAAAAUAAAAUUUGAAAAAAAUUAAAAAAAACUACAUUUUCGGGUCAAAAAAAACAGACGGAUCCUUUAGUCCCGGUUCGUAAGUAGAACCGGGACUAAGGGUGUGUUUGAUCCUCCCGCGGCGGCCGCCGGCCGCGUCGGCCGCCCAGAGUGGUUGCCACGCCCGCCCAUUGUUGGCGAUUGGCCACAUCCCUUUGUUUGGAGAAUAUUCCCAGCAUCUUGUUGACUCUAUCCCUCCUCGCCCCAGAUCCAAACUCAUGGCAACCACAGAAAAAACUGGUUAUCCCUGUCCGUGGGAGGAUAUCCCUCCAACCAAAUACACCCUAAAGAUACUCCCUCCGAGGCGGCCACGUGGAGCACCUUUGGUCCCGGCUUGGAACAGGGCCGGAACUAAAGGUUAGGCCUUUAGUUCCGCCCCUUUAGUCCCGGUUGAUGAACCGGGACUAAAGCCCCUUACGGGCCGGGACUAAAGGCCCUGUCACCACUAAUGACACUUACUAAACUAUCAAUCUAGCCGUACUUGAUCAAAUAGAAAGGAGCUAUAACUUGCACAUGGAGACAUGGCUAAACAGCAAGAUAGCAAUACACAGUACCCCUCACAGUUUGUACAUCCAGAAGACCUGAUCAAUUUUAACACGUACAUAUGAACAGGAAAUUCUACUAGUCUUGUAUCACACGUGAUAAAAAUCCUUUACUGAUAAUCAAUUUCCCCAUGCGCCUCACACCCUAAUUUUCUGCAAGACCAAGAAACUCAAUUGAUGCGAUACUGAAUAUCCCAAGAUCUACUUUUUAAAUCUUAUUCACAUUGUGCUAGACUCAUCUUGAAGACAUCAAUAGUUUUUUUUUUGCAGUGAUGAAGGCUUGAACAGUUUACUUAUUUACAACAGAUAAAAUAGACGGGCAAGGCUAGCAUUAGCAACGAUCCUGCGUAGCAGUAGCUAUAUACAAUCAAACCUAAACUAACAGCAUGAGUCGACUAAAAAAGUGCCAGUGUCCUCACCUGAGAUUAUGUAUAUUUUGCGUCAUCUCUGAUAAAGAAUUAUGAAUUAUGAUAGACCCGGAGUGUAUGGGGAUGUAUCUGCCUUGCCGAGUAGAAGCCUUCCAUAGACUAUGUAGCUCCACACCUGUAUUUGUAGUACGUCUCAUGUCAUGGCUCAUGGGGCAUGGGCCAUGGGCCAUGGAAUUCGCUUUCUACUGAAAGAUGUCUCUGUCGCUUCUGUCCAAGGCAUCACGACAGCUAUGGGCUCUUGCAUCGUAGCACGGGCCACUGCAUCACCCGCACCUUGAGCAAUGCUACAUCUACGUAAAUGUUUACGUAAGUUUACGGGAUAGUCUUGAUAGAUCCCGUGGAUCUUAGGCCAGAUGUGUUCGGUAUGAUGUGGAGAUUUAUUACCUUUUAGUUUGCUCGAUGAGCUCCCUCCGGUCGUCCAUCGUGAGGUGGUGACGACGGUGGGGAAGGAGAGAGAUGUAGCAGCGGCGGCGGUGGACUUCCCAUCGCUUCAGUGCAUCCCUCUAGAUCGGAUUAGGGUUAGAGAGUGGGGAACCAGUGGCGGCGGCGAACCUCGUGUCUUGUGCCAUGGUCCUCACCUCCUCUUUAUAGCACUGCGCGACAGGGGCCCACCAGCCUUACUUGGGCUGGACGCCCCCGAUCAGGGUGUGAGUCAAGGUCCAAUGGGCCGUUGGGCCCAUUGGGGAAAGAGAUCAACCUAACAUUCUCCCCAUUGAUCUCAUCAUAUACUUUUAACUUUACCCGUUUCGUAACAGAUCAAUACAUAGGGCAUGUUUCAUGUCACGGCUCAAUUGCUGAUGGACUCAGACAGCCACAAUGUACCUCUCUAUUUUGAGACAGAUUCUUUAACCUUGGGCCCUUUAUUGUCCGGAAAUUUUAGACUAUACCAAAAAAAACCAUGUCGAUUGUGUGUUCUCCGAACGCACUGGGCGGUAAGCCUUUGAUAAGAAGAUCUGCAAACACUUGUUUGUCGCUUUUAUGCUUUCAAGCAUUUUUCCAUAAUUCCGGACUUUCUCCUUCACAACACAUAACUCUUUGUCAGUGUGUUUGGCAUCAACACUUGACUCGUUGUGACAGGAGCGAAAGAAUUUAAAAUGGUUAUCGUUGUUGUCAACCAUUAUCAACUCCGGGUACAGGUAGCCUUAACCAUGUUGCCCGUCCCUCAGCCUCAUAUCAAGCUAUGACAUAUCAUUGCAUCAAAUUGAUGACAAUCGUUUUUACUCAUUUGGAGAUUUUCCACACAAAACACCGAGUAUGAAAGUUAGCGACAAUUGUGGAUUUCGCUAUACAUUUCACAAGUCCUCUUUUGUACUCACAAUGUUUUGAGAGCACUUAUUUCUUUCAUCAUGAGGCCGAUAUCUUUGACUCCAUUCCAUUGAUUUAUCUAUGGACUGGACAUUUCCAAAACAACCUGGAUAUAUACGUGAACUGUGUCAGGGUAAUAUCUUGAGCUUCCAACAACUGAAGCAUAUGGUACCAUAUCCGUUUACAAUCUUUCUUAUUAACUUUUGGAACACCAUAGUUUCCACUUCCAUUACCCAUGACUAUAAGAACAGGCAUAGGUUUUCUCGUAUGCAUACUUUAGAGAUCUUUCUUAGCAUGUUCAUGCGACAUUCCUAAUACCCCCUUUUAUUCUUUUGAACUUUGAGGACAAGAACUUCUUUUCUCCUCCUGCAGUAGAUUGACAUCACCACUAGCAAGUAGGACAUCAUCCACAUGCAUAGGAAUUGGGAAACGAAUUUCCCAUUCUAUGACUUUGCAUGAAUGCAAUUGUCCUCUCAUUUUCUUUGCACAAAAUCUUUCGAUUUAAGUCAUGUUUCACACAUUUACAUAUUUCCUUUCGAGUCACAUUUGCCUUGUAGACCCUUCAUAAAGUCUAUGUUAGNNNNNNNNNNNNNNNNNNNNNNNNNNNNNNNNNNNNNNNNNNNNNNNNNNNNNNNNNNNNNNNNNNNNNNNNNNNNNNNNNNNNNNNNNNNNNNNNNNNNNNNNNNNNNNNNNNNNNNNNNNNNNNNNNNNNNNNNNNNNNNNNNNNNNNNNNNNNNNNNNNNNNNNNNNNNNNNNNNNNNNNNNNNNNNNNNNNNNNNNNCUAACAUAGACUUUAUAGUAGUCACAAGUAUCUGAUUUUCACAUACCUAGAGAACAUUAAAAUCUCAGGUACUGGCACUUCUUUCAUAUGGGGUUGUCGUUGCUCUGUCAUUGCCAAGAGGGAAUUAAUUCUAUAGUCACCCAUUUCCAAAAGGCAAUAGGUUUUACAGGAACCUGUAUCACAAGAUCCCUUGUAGAGCUAACAACAGGUGUUGUAUAGGUCAUACAACAUGCUCCCCCAGAAUACUCCAUCUUCACACAAGAAAUGGCGUAUCUUUAAACUUUCUUCUUUAUGGCACUUUAAGCACCACCGUUGUAUUCCUUAGUCUGCUUUCGGAACUAUAAAAGAUCCGAAAAUACAAUUGUUUCUUUUCUUUAGGGGUAUCAUAAUGACGGUACUCCGAUGACUGUCGUACUCCCCUUGACAAUCACAUUCUUCAUUAAUGGAUCACUUUAGAUGCAUAAUGUGCAUCACAUCAUCUGAAGUACAGAGGAGUCAUGAAAUACACUACAAUGUAUUUCAUGUCUCUAUCUCCCCCUCGAAAUGUGGAAAGAACUUUUCUGCCACAAUUUUGAAACCCAUUCAUAGCUCUUUUGAAAUGAGGAAACUUCGAUUAUCUAGCUCAUUCAUCUUAUCACUUCAUGUAAAAUGAAGUUAUAAGUUAACUAGUAUGGGAGUACUUUUUCCUCAUUUCAUUUCGGAAACUCAAUAGAGUUCUUUAUAGUUGUCACUUUUGCAAGUUACACUUGCAUAUCAUUCUUGUCUUUAGGUUCGUCUGUUACUUUUAUCCUUUCUGGAUUUAGUGAUUGCAUAAUGACCGUUACACAUAAAGUGUACGGUCGAUAAUAGGAAAGCUUAAUAGCUACUCCAUACUUUUCUCCCAUAGUGGGACACAUUAACCGCACAUGAGUCAUCAUAACUUUCUCCUGUCAUAUAGGAUAAGACCUUUGCCAAAAUUUCUCCCGCCAUACACGGAUUGUUAACCUAAUACAAUGUCAACUUUACCCGGUGACGCAGGCAUUCUUCCCAGACUUUUCCCACCAUGCAGGUAAUUCCCUUUAAGGGACAUCAUAAAUGCCAUAAUUGGCUCUUUUGACUGCAUCAAAUUCAGAAAUAAAUCUGAAUUAUCUUUGACACACAUGUUUGAUCCGACGUUGGUCAAAUUAAACAUGCAUGUUGCUUGUUUCAUUUCAAUCAUGUUGACUGAAAAAAGGAGACUCCAUCAUAGAGAGUACAUGAAAGACAUUCGUCAACCAAGACUCUCAAUGAUCUAUCUCUUUUCUUUUCUUGAAUUAAUAUCCAAGAGUUCUUUUCUUUUGAAGCCAUUCUUUAGAGAGAAUUUAUUCCCUCAAGUUAUGACCUUUCUUUUCCAUCUUUCAGGUCACUAGUGCCCAAACAUUCGCUUUCAUGAGUGAAAGCUUGAAUAACUUUUAGUCUGAGAAAACAUAGCCAAUAAACAACGGUAAUGAGCAUUAAAAAUAACCCUACGUUGGUCUGAUUAAAAUCAUGCACAUUAAACCUUUUAAAACUUUCUGGAAUAUUCUAAAACACCGUUGUGGCAGAAUUAGAAUAAAACAUCAUUCUUCUGCAUUAAUUCCAUAUCAUCGUUGGGCAGAAAUGGAAAUAAUGCAUAUAACUCAUAAACAAUGUGAUGAUAGUAUUUCUAUUGAACAACUUUGCUAAUAAAUAAUCAUCAUCAUCAUUAACCAUAUUGCAGCAGAAAUAGAAAUAUGCAUUUCUUUAUCUCUACUCCGAAAAAUUGAUCACUUUGAUACAAAAUUUAUCAGAGAUUUAAGCUUUAAACAUAAGAUGACUCAUACAAUUAUGGUAUUGUUAUCAUCAACGUUGGUCACAAAAUAACAAUACCAUAUUUAACUUUAAAACAAACAUCACUCUAUUGUCAUAGCGGAAACUGUUUGAAUCCUAUUUCACCCACAAGGGAAAAACUUUGCUAAUAACAGUUCUUCUAAUUAAAUUUUCCCAUUGGUUUCAAUUUAAUUGGAGGAUUAAACAUUUACCUUGCAGCGGAAAAACGUGAAUAUAAAAUUCAUGCACCUUUACAGAAAAAUAUUCUGUUAAAAUCAAAAUUCAUGAACUUUAUUUUCCUUAUAUAAAAUCCAUGAACUUUUCAUUUUCUGAAAAAACUCUAUUUAUUUCCAGAAACAUCUACUUUUCUUUGGAGAAAUUUUUUGUCUUUUAUUCUGCACACACCUUUUAUUUAAUUUGCAUAAGGAUGCCUUUCCCUUUUCUAUUUUCUAAACAUAAUUUUCCAAGAAAAUUAUGCAUAGAAAAGACUAUUUUUCUACUUUACAGAAACUUUUCUUUUUCUGAAAAUUAUCUUUAAUUUUUCAGAAACUUUUCUGUUUUUCUUAUCAAGAAAAACUGUCAAUACUUUCUGGGCCGAAACGGGCCCAGUUACCCAGCAGCCGAGCGUGCUCCCGUGCAGCUCCUGACCUGGUGGGCCGCCGGCCUCAGCCGCCUCCCUUUUGGCCCCUUUGGCCCGAAAACUGGCCUGGGAGCGUGUCAUGUACCGCUGGCGGCGCUGGCCCGCUCUUUGCGGCCUAGUUGGCCCGGCUGGGCUAGGGUUAGGCACAGGAGCCAUCCUGGCCGCCCAUCUUGAUCCGACGGUCCCCCGUGGAGAUCGGGGAGACCAAAAACGAGACCGAGCCGGCAGGGGGAACCCUAGCGGUUCAUUCCCUCCCCCCAGCGCCGCUCAUCUGUGUCUCCCGAGCGCACAACCCCUUCCUGCCGCCGCGCCGUUUCGUUCGCCGCCGGUGGCCAGGCCACCGCUUCGCGCGCUCGCCUUUUCGUUUCCCUCCUUAUCUUGUGGCACAUCAAGAGUGAGGGACGCACCAUGCCUCAUGUCUUCCCUCGCGCGUUCUGUUACCGAACGGUGACAGCUCGGCCGCUCCGGCCACCAGCAGCGGUUUCCACCGCGCCGAGCGAGCCCUUUUCCCCUUCCUCUAUUCUUUCCUCCGGCGAGCGAGAGUGAGGGCAGCGAGGCGCGGCUGCGCGCCCCCUCUGCCCCCCGUUCCUAUUUUAGAUCCAGUGAUCUUUCUUUCAGCCACCACCGCCCCAGCGAGAAAGAGACGCGAGCAGAGCCUUCGUCUGCUUCUCUUCGCGCCCGACGACGGUUUCCAGAUGUGGCAGUGGCUGCGCCCCUGCCGACCCCUUCGCCGGUCGUGCGUUCCCCUUGCGGUGAGCGCGCCGCCGUCGAAUGGAUCGGUGGUGGUGCUUGUACUUUGCCCCGAAGGGUGGAUUUCUUUGCAUGUUUUUUUUGUUUGCUUUUUUCGGAUCCAAUCUGAUUCCUUUGUUGGUUUUCCUUUUGGAUCUAAUCAGAUCCAUACUUUUCCUCCAAGGAGGUUGGUUCUUCUUCCCCACACCUCGGCUUGCCGAUGCGUGCGGGGAUCGAGAGGAACAGGCGCGGCCGAGGCGGCACUCUUUGCCGGAGAGGACUCCGGUGAAACCUUUCUUUUCUUUGAUCUUUGCCCUUCUCGGGUUCAUAUCGGGGAGGGGGAAACUUUUCUUGUACAUGUUUCAACCGAAACUCAUCUAAAGCCUCGUGGCUCAUGAUACCAUUGAUAGAUCCCGUGGAUCUUAGGCUAGAUGUGUUCGGUAUGAUGUGGAGAUUUAUUACCUUUUAGUGUGCUCGAUGAGCUCCCUCCAGUCGUCCAUCGUGAGGUGGUGACAACGGUGGGGAAGGAGAGAGAUGUAGCAGCGGCGGCGGUGGACUUCCCAUCGCUUCAGUGCAUCCCUCUAGAUCGGAUUAGGGUUAGAGAGUGGGGAACCAGUGGCGGCGGCGAACCUCGUGUCUUGUGCCAUGGUCCCCACCUCCUCUUUAUAGCACUGCGCGACAGGGGACCACCAGGCUUACUUGGGCUGGACGCCCCCGAUCAGGGCGUGAGUCAAGGUCCAAUGGACCGUUGGGCCCAUUGGGGAAAGAGAUCAACCUAACAAGUCUCACUUGACAAUCAUUGAUUGGAUUAUGAGGAGGAUGAGGCCCACCCACCCCUGAAAAUCAGGGGGGCAUAUUUAGAUUAGUUGAAAGGUUUAGUAAACGUAAGUAAGAUUUAGUAGGUCUAGCAUUUUCGCCCGCACCAUACGUGAAGCCAUGCAUAAUCCUGCUUUUGAUCUCAUCUACCGCCAGGGAGAGUGAGGACGUUUCAGGAGGAGAAGAACACACCAUCAGCCACAGUCGGGCUAGUGCAUCUCCUACUCGAGCGAUGCGGACUUCACAUGGGAGAUGUGCUCCGAGAGAAAUGCCCAAUCGUGGGUGUGUGUCCAUGCCGCAUGGCACCUGGAAGCUAGGGCGCUGCUCCUGUAUGACUGGAAGAUGAGGAGGCCGAUGGAUGGAGACAUGCUGAAUAGUAAUCUCGUCCGCACCAGAUCAAGAAGGAAUCAACAAAGAAGUGGUUUGCAUAUGUACCUUGCAUCUGCACAGCACAAACCAAUCAGAGGCAUGGCUAGCUGCUUGGCCGAAUAAUAGGAGAUCGUUUGUUUUCUAGAAGAAAAAGAAGAGAGAUGGGUUUUCUGUAGGGAGAGAAAGGAGAGAGAUGGACGAUAGGAAUCGUGCCGCACAUGGCUACCCAAAUGUACGCGUUCAUGUAUUCAAGAAAAAAUAAAAAAAGGUAUGCGUUUAUCAUACAACUUUAGAUAGAUCAAUGGUUCUGCUAAAAGAAGAUACAUUAUGGGUUAAAAGAAACUAAUCCUAUUGAAAUAUUUGCACCAUAAAAACUUGGUCCCACCCGAGGAAGGGAUCUCCGAUGAAAAACUUUUUUAACCCUGUCGAAAGAUCUCCACCGUAAUAACUUGGUCCCACAAAAUAAACGGCUCCUAAUUUCUGAUUAACAUGAGAAUUUCUAGAGAGUCCAUAAUUAGUAUAAGUAUAAAUAUAGAUUAUGCAUGCCAUAAACUGAUGCUCAAUAAUAAAACCAACUGAUCCUCUUGUAAAAUUUGAAAGAUUUGUAGGCCAAAUCAUAUUAAAUCAAAGCAUAUUUCCACUCACCAAUUUUGCUAUGAAUUGAUCUAUGCGACGUAUUUUGAAUGGCGACAGGCAUAAUGUCUCAACUCCAUGCAAGCAUAAUACAGCUAUACGUAUAAAUUUCCACUAACACAUACCUUGUCUCACUCUCCAGUUGAACUAAGGACAAUGCUAGAAUACUGCACCAUAUUUUUUGAUACAUUCUUAGGGCGAUUGAUAAACAUUGGUGAUUACCAUAAUGUCCAUGUAAACUUCAUCCACCAAAGCCCGUAUAGCCGAAAUAAACAAAUGAAGUGAUAAAUCAAGUAUUUCGGCCCUUUGGAUCAACAACGAACUUAUAGAUAAUCAAAUGUAUAGUGAUUUGGUAAUACCCCUUCAUGAUAUAAGAAAUUAUAUUGCAUCCAUCAAUCUAAAUAAGCCCAUACAGGGUAACCGAUCAUACAUCUGACGUAAUUGUUUUUGCUUCCAUCCUACUAUUUCUUUCCUUUUGUAACACUUGUUGGAAUAGAAGGUUGCACAUCAUUUUUAUUUUUCAAAACCCAAGUCAUGUUGUUGUGUCUCAGCUCUUGUGCACUAAGCUUUUAUAGUUCCUUCAUUUUCCAAUACGUUAAGCCGAGUGGACGCCUCGACUGUGGUUUUUUUUUUCAAGCAAUGGUAACUCUUUUUUGGCCUUGUAUACUCUCAACUUCUUCCCUUCAGAUUUUGCACUUUAAUUUUAACAAUUGAUUGCUUCACUUCUUUACCUUUUGUAGCCAAUACUAACUCUUUAAGUGGUUCCUUAUAUUUUUCGACCAAACCUGAAUUGGCACUCUUGAGACCAUCUUUUUUACUCGAUAUACUUGUUUGAUCACCUUUUCUUUUUUCUUGAGCUCCGAAUUAUUGAAAUGAUUUUGAACAUAUGACUACUCAUUGAAUGUUAGUAUUCUUGGAGCUGUAUAAUAUUGGUGAUAUGGUUAUAAGAAGAUGGAGAAUGUGCCCUUGAAUCAUACCUAUCCCAUGAUGGAUACAGAUUUACGCGAGCAUAGGGAGGCAUCCACGACACUGGCAUUGGCGGCCCAAAUUAAGGAUAUGAAUAUGUUGCAUUGAAAUUCUCGCUUUCUCAAACCGAUCCUUGGUUCUGCGCCUAGGGGGUGAUCUUGAUGCUUUUACAUUAUUUAGUCGAUAAGCCCUUUUUAGCACAUUCAAUUCUUAUAUUUAAAGUUUUGAUUUUUUUUAUCCUUUUGCUUAUUUUGACCUUUUUUCUCCUUUCUUGCAUCAACCUUUGGAUUUUCUUGCUUCCCCCAGAGCUUGACGUCUUCAUUCCAGCUUCGGUGGAAUUCUUGUCGUCAAUAAUAUCUUCAAUGUGAAGUUGAACAAUCUCUUUAGAAAGCUUGAUUCCAUCCCCUGAAGUUUUUGCCUUCUCUUUAAAUGGAUGGUUUGAAGAAACCCAAGAAAAAACUUUUUGCCAUCAUGACCCAUCGGAAUAGACUGGUCAUCCCAUGUUCUUUCAACAAAUUUCAAUUUUCCUUUUUCAAUGGCCGAUUUAGCUAUUUGACGAAACAUGUUGCAAUCCUCAAAACUAUGUUUGAAUGAAUCGUGCAACUUACAAUACAUUUGUCCUUAGAUAGAUGGCUUUACAUGGUGACCAAGAAUUCUAAUAUAAUCAUUUUUAGCAACAAAUCAAAGAUUUGAUCACACAUCCUUGAGUUAAAUGUAAAUCUCUUAUUUUGCCGAUCUUUCUAUGAGAAUGGCUUUGGAAGUAAGAAAAUGAAUGGUUUCGAUUUGGCAUCUCCCCAUUCGCCUAUGAAUUUCUUUCGCAUUCUUUUUCCGAUGUCAUUGUGUAAGAAAUUAUACUAGCAUCGGUUUUCUCAAAAGUAUUUAACCUUGGCUUCAAGUUACUGGAAAGAAAAUAGCUAGAACAUACAUGCCUCAAUUGAGGCCAAGUGUAAGCCAAGUAUGAAACAAGCAAAGCUACCCAUGUAGAUAUAAACUCUAAAUAAAACAAAAGGGAAAGCUUCAAUUGUAAUAAUUUUUCACUAUCCGUCUUUUUGAAUGGUGCGAUAUGUUGACCAAUAUGCUUUGUCAUAAUAUGAUUGCUAACAAUAAAUUACCCUUAUUCAUUGGUCUCUCAGUAUUACUUAUGAAGAUUUUUCUAAUAGAUGCAUCAACAACAAAGUUAUGAACAAAUUGUAAUAGAGGUAAAUUACUUGCUAAACGUACCUCUUCGGUUAGGUUGGGAGAGAAUGAUGGUUGCAUGACAUGAAUAAUAUCAUGCUUUGUUUAUGGAUGGCUUCCCAACACCUCAAAUCCCUGAUUUUCUUGGUUUGUGCAUCAUUACAUUGAAGAUGUUUGUCAACUGAACUUUGUUCAGCUACUUGUUCUUGUCCUUGAAGCUCGUCAAUUUGUAUGGCACUAGACUCAUAGGGCAGGAAGUAGGUUCCAUUAACUUCAAAAUAAUCAAACAUGGUUACUAUUCUAUCGUUGCCAUGACCUUUCUCAAUAAUCCUUUCCUCUUUGGAUUUGAUGGAUUCAUAAUAUAUACUACUUGAUUUGGCUUUUUCAACCGAGCACUUUCAUGUUCAGAAUCAUCCUUAUUUUCAUUGAUUCUACAAACUCGCAAUAAUUAUUGAAAGGAUCGAUAUGGUUGACUAUAGGGGUGGCUAAUAGAUAACUAACAAUUUUUAAGCUUUACUUAAUCAAUUAAACUUUAGCAACAAAUAGGUUUUCUAAAUAUGCAACUAAGAGAAUGACCUAUAUGAUGCUAGCAACAUGAAUAACAAGUAAGUAAAUAAUGCAAGUAAGGGAAAGAAGUAACCACAAGUGGAACUGAUGAAGACGAGGAUGUGUUCCCAAAGUUCCUUCCCACAUGGGUAAGUACGUCUCCGUUGGAGCGGUGUAGUGGCACUAUGCUCCCCAAGAUGCCACUAAGACCACGAUAUUCUCCUCACUCCCUCACACAAUGCGAGGUGCCGUGAUUCCACUAGUGGUGCCCUUGAAGGUGGCGACCGAACCUUUACAAAAAUGGUUGGGACAAUCUCCACAGCUGAAUUGGAGGCUCCCAACGAUACCACGAAGCUUCACCACAAUGGAAUAUGGCUUCGAGGUGACCUCAACCGUCUAGGGUGCUAAAACACCCAUGAGUAACAAGAUCAGCGAGGGAUUAGUGGGGGGAUCAAAAAUUUCUUGGUGGAAGUGUAGAUCAAGGCCCUCUCAACCAGACCCUCGAGUAUCAAGAAGUUUUGUUGACUAGGGAGAGAGAUCGGGUGAAAAUGGAGGAACAAUGGAGCUUAGGGUUAGGAAAGGUGAGGUUGUUUGGGAAGAAGAACCCCUUUAUAUAGUGAGCGAAAGAACCUGCCCGUAACCCACCUGUUCUGCCCGUACAAGAGCGGUGCUACCGAUGAUAAGAGGUAGUAUCGCUCCAAAGUGAGCGGUACUACCGCUCACGCACAGGACAGCCGAUCCGAGUGAGCGGCAGGGGCUAGUAGUACUGCCGGAGUGGUACUACCGUUGCCAGAAGCGGUACUACCGCUCAUAAGAGUUAGUACUGCAUCCUACAUCCGCUCGGGGAUCAGUUGCGGUCCUAGCCCAGAAAAAAAAGGACUCCCGACAUGGUAGUAACAAGCGGUAAUACCGCCCAACGGGCGGUACUACCGCACAGUCCGACACAAAAAGUGUCGAGAUCCGCGGGCAGCAGUACUGGCCAACGGACCAAGCUCGGCAACAUCCGCCCUGGAGCGGUACUACCGCCAGCCUGUGUGGUACUACCGAUGACAAGAGGUAGUAGCGCUACCAGGAACGGUACUGCCGCUUGGGUAUUUAUGGACAUUGUUGGGCAAGGGAAGAAGCUCCAUUGAGGUGGGAAAGAUGUUGCGAGGGAAAGUGUACGUGAUGAUUCCACCCAGACCUUUCCGAGGCGGACCCUCUGUUAAUAGUAUGGCUUUUCGUGCGACUCAAGUCCACCGACAACGAAACGUAAGAGAGAAAGCCGUCUUCAUAUCAAUACACCGAGGGGCAUGCAUCGUCUUUGUGCCAAAUGAGGAAAUACCUGAAAGGCUUAGGGCACAUGAUUAGUCCGCAAAAGUAUUGUCAUCAAUCACCAAAACCACUAGGGUAGAAAUAUGCCCUUACACUUAUUUUAUUUCAUCCAAUUAUUUUCCUUCUUAUUUCUAACGGCGAGCGGCAAUUUUGGUUUUAAGUUUUUUCUCAAUUUCAGCCCGCUCAAGAUAUGAUUGCCUCCAAAUCUUUUAGAUUCUUUCGCAAUGACACACUCGUGUUGUCGAAAGUUGGCAAUUGUGUAGCGCGUGUAUAAUAUGACAUAGGACUAGGUGAAGGUGUAUGUAUUGUUGCAAAACCAUAUUUUUGCUCGCCAAUUUUAUCAUUUGGAAAAGAUUCAUCCUCUUAUAAAACUCUACUUUUAUUGCAUUAUAAUGAGGAACUAGCCCCUUAUCAUGCUCUUCAAGGCAAAGAGCACUUCCCUUGUUGUUUCAGGACGUGUCUCUUUUUAAUAUAGGUACUUCCAUCCCGGCCGUAAGGGAUUGCUCCACAAUACUUUUAGAUCUCGACAAUGCGAUGUUGCCAAAAUUGUGCAAUUGCGUAGAGGAUGCAUUAUAUGCUACAAUAUUAGAUGAUGUCAUGUGCACUCCUGCACAAUUUUCACUUAUUCAACUAUGACCAUGAAGCUUUGAAGUUGAAUUGUGAGCAUCUACAGUUGUGUACGGUGCCAAAAAAUUACUAACACAUGAGGUGUAGCAUAUGACGGUUGACAGUAACUGGUCGAAUAGUUAGUGGUAGCAUGGCCAAUUCUCCCAUCCAUCAGCAAUGGGGUAUUUAUUCCAGGCCGGCGGUAUCAUUGUUGAGCGAUCGCUCGGUUGAACUAGUACAUUGUAAAUUAGCUGUCCAAGAAUAAAAAGGUCAAACACUUUGUUGCAUGCUAUUGGAACUUCCUACACAAUGUGUUUCAAUUUGAUUGACCAAACUCAUCAUGUUGUUCAUCCGCAUAACGAUUUGUGGAGUUGCUGAUGGAUGAGAGUUUAAAUACAUAUGGUGCAUGUUACUAGUAUCAUAAGUUGAAGCACGUAUAUAACCUUGAAUUGGCCUUUGCAUGUGAUUAGAUGCAUGAUUGAAACAACUAGGGAUGGUCGAUAGAGUAUACUCAUUGAACGAUCUAGUAAUACCAUAUGAAUUAUUUGUAUGUACACUAGGGAAUUGGGUAUUCGUAUCACCUUUGUAGAUUUCAAACCCUAGAUGACGGUCUCUUCAUACCAAGAACGGGUUAGGGAUUGUUCGAAGUUUCGUCCCUAGCAGAGUCACCAAAAAGUGUGUUCGCACACGAACACAUUACUGUGCACCCUUACUGUCGAGGGUGACACAUUAAAGGAGACCAGUUUGAAAAAGCGGUUCACAAGUAGUCCGACGAGCACUUUUGUAGAUCCGAAACUCCCACAUGGCCGAAAGGGACCCCGUCAAAGCGCAUGGUGGCUAUGGGCUACAUUAGGUCGACCUGACCGCCCCUAGGGCCUUGUGGUUCGCCCAAUAGGAAGAACGAACAAAAGAACGAGGAAGAAGAAGAACUAGGGUUAAGGAGAAAAGUUAAAGGUAAAAAUUGGUAGAUUGAUUUUGCAGUUGUGUGUUGUUCAAUCGUCUGUCAUCUCUUAUCUAUUUAUGAGGCGAUUGGACUUUCCAUACAAGAAAAGGACAAAAAAAAUCCGUUUCAAAUAUCUAAAAUCCUAACCUAACUCGGACAGGAAUCUUUUGUAAUUUUCCGUCUUAAUUCGGGCCCUCCAAGUGGUUUCGUUCAGUCUCACCGAGUGGACGUUGCCAACUUUCUGUAAUCUUUUGUAUCUCACUCGAAAGUUCCAAAUGGGUUUCACUCGGUCUCACCGAGUGCACUGGAUGCUUCGUGAAUUUUUUUUCCAACACCAACUCGGUCUCACCGAGUCAAAUACACUCGGUCUGUCCAAAGUGACUCUGCGGUUUUUGUUCUUGACCUUAUUUUGACUCCACAGGUCGCAUACGAUCUAAGAUUAAGAUAAUUUUUCUAUCAAAUUCAACCAUUUCGAUGAGCCAGACAACUUUGAUGUUGAACACAUUUUCAUCAGAGUCCAUCUUAAUUAUGUUUCAUGACAUAUUAUAAUCUAAUAUCAACACGAGCAUGUGUAAAAUUUCAUAACUUUUGCAUCUGAACUCCAUUUUGGCCCAUCCUCGUAUCCAUCUUUGAUCUCCUUGAAUAGAACAGAACCAUCCGAAGGUGACUUUCAAUCGUAAGUUUGAAUUAAUUUUGACAUAGCUUAAGUUACUUUUAUGACUGUCACUUUUGAGCGCCGACAAUGGCCUAGUAUUUUCCUGGAGUUGUUGCCACUCUCUUAUACUUCUCCCGGAAGAGUUUUUCUGAUAGCCAUUCUGUCCAAAUCGUUCUCCAGGCUUUCUUCACUGUCUUAUUCUUUAAGAAGGCAAUGAGUUGUAUCUGUGAAAUUCUGUGUCAGCAAUUAGUUAUAUCUGUGAAAUUCUGUGUCAGCAGUGCUAUAUCGGGCUCUAGUGCGCCGCCCAUACUUGACAGCGAACCCAGCCUGUGCCAUGGUAUACCAUGAAGCGGAGACGUGCUCAUGGGCCCUGCGCUGAUCGCCGUCCAUAUCCGAUUCCAGCGAUUUGACACCGAAUCAGCCUACCUAUCUCACUGGGCAUGUUGGACCUCCGGUAGGCACACGUCGACAUUGCUUUCCAUAUAUUGUAUGUUGUCAUCCUCACACCACGAAAUUGUACUCUGCACAUUAGUUGAUGGGUAAUAAAGCAACGAAAAGGACAUGCACAACGCUGCACCCUCGCAGAUUCACCCAAAGGCUAGGUUGUUCACGCAUCAGGUGGACACGCUCUAGCUCUCGAACUUUCAGAAGACCAGAUGGUAUGUCAGUUGGCAAUCCUUUUCCCUUUCUGUCGUUUCUACGGACACUGUAACUUGCAUGGUUAAUUAUCUGCCGCGGUAUACCUUUAUUCUUGAGGUUGGUCCGUAGUAUGGGUUGGAUCAAUGGUGUUCCCAUUGCGUUGGUCAUAUUUCCGUUGUUCCUUUUCCUUCGUAGUACCUGCUCACGAAUAUACACGUCGAACAGAAUGCAUAAAACAGAAGCGCUUACAUCCAAGUUGGCAUAGAUGCACGUACUCCAGACUUAACUAAUCACACCAUCAUCACCAUGCAUAAAAGGGUUAUGCACUACCAGCUUUGAGCGGUGCCCAUGAUCCAUUGUCAUCGGCUUCCGCUUUUCAAAGUAUAAUAGACCAAACGGGAGAUCAGCUCAUAUGCCGUAAUUAUUGUUGCCCACGGAGCUGACAGCACAUCUUAGCUUCAUGUUAUCUGUAAAACUCUAACUCGUCUCGAACGUAGCUGUGAUGUCCUCUGUUUUCACGGCAUGCACGCAUGAAUAAGAAUAGAAUGUACUCCAUACGUGCUAGCUCGUUGUACAUCUAAUUAGUUUAUUACUAGACCACUCUUCGAUUAAAAAGUAACAUUAUCAGGCCCUUCCCGAUUGAUGAUCCUAGGCAGUAGCACUGGCGUAUUCCGCGUUCAUCUCACGCUAUGCACUAUGAUUAUCUCACGGCUCUCAAUCGGUAACAGUUUCCAGUAGUACCAAAUCAAGUCCAAUGUUCUGAACCUAACGCUAUUGUAGCUGCAAUGUUCGUAGCUAGCUAGUGUCCACGCACAUCAUUGCGCUCUUGCACACGAUUUGGUCAUGUGGGAAUCAUCAUCCUUAACCUGUGCACCUCAGUCCACUCAACGUAGCUGCAUUCAUUCAGGCUAAACACAGUAGGAGUAACUUAGAGCAUCUCUAACAAACCUCGUAAAAGGACACCACCCGUAUAAUUCUGACGAGUAUCUGGUUCUGGUGUGUUUUUCUUAUCAGGACAGACUCCAUAUCCCGUGCGCGGCCCCUAAAAAGUUUAGGGUGGCCUGAAAAAAGGCCCUCUCCAUCAUUAUUUAUGUGGUUUCAUUGUUCGGAUACGGGUCAAACCCUAUCCGCCUUCGCCGCCGCUCCACCACGAUUCCCCUCCCCCUUCGCCCCAAUUUCUCGUCAUCGACGAGCCUAAAAAAAGUCCUAGCGACCCUUCCCGACCCAUGAACGACUACGGAAGUGGUGGGGAUGACGCGAAGCGCCGCCGACGCCGCACGCAAACGGAAGGGGGGGAGUGGAUCAACUAUGGGAGCCGGCUACCACCGACGUUCGAACAUCGCGAGGUCGACGAGUACGAGCGAGAUCUCGCGGUCCACGUCCAAGGAGAUCUUCCUCGAGCAGGGUGUCGCGGCGUCGCACGCGCAAGCGUCCAAGGAGACGGACCUGAUCAUCGACCUCAACUCCGACGAGGACUGAGCACAUCUGGCUCCUCCGUCAUAUCAUGGCCGACGCAGGCUCGUGUACACUGCACGGCCCGCAGAUCUCCCCCUAUGUAGCACUAUGAUGUAGUAUGAUAAGCAACUUCUAUGAUGCAGUAUGAUAAUCAACUAUGUAUGAUGAAUGCCAUUGUAAGUUUCUCCCAUUAAUGUUUUUUCCCAAAUUUUAUAGUUUCAUAUACGGGGUCUUUAUCUGCAGCGCAUAAAUUAGCCCCGCAAAUCUGAUCUGUGGCGAACUAUAAACGUGCUUUUCGGGUCCAACUUUUACGGGGUCUGUUAUACAAGUACAUAACACACUUCAAGGCAGGUUUAUUUAUGUGGCAAGCAGUUUAUAAUGCAAGAGGUGAUUCUGCUAUAAUAAUACACUACCAAAAGAGUUGGGCGAGCUUUACUGCACCAUUAGUGUUGUUGGGUUUUCAUGUUUUAUUGUCUCAAUCUGUUUCAAAAUAUAAGGUCUAUUAGUUUUUUAAAAGUCGAACCUCUUUAAGUUUCAUCAAAUCUGCAGAGAAGUAUAUCAAAAUCCAUAAUAUGAAUUUGGUAUCACUAGAUUCAUCAUGAAAUAAAUUUCUAUAUUUUAUUUUAUUUUAUUUUGUAUUGUGGAUGUCGAUAAUUUUGGCUGUGAACUUGAUCAAAGUCAAAGAAAAUUGACUUUUCAAAAAACUAUUACACCUUAUAUUUUGGAAGUGAGGAAAUAUUUGUUUUCGCGAGUGGGAAAGAUGGUGGCGUGUGUUUUAUUUUAAUUUAUAUAAUGUGGUGUUUUGGUGUGUCUUUCGCACUGUGAUUCUUUGUUAUCUGCGAAUCAACUCAUAUUUAUGUGAGGAAUUUUUUUGCGUCACUGAGUGCAUGUACUAAAUUGGUUCUAGUGUAUCACAUGGUGGUGCUUCUUUUGUCUAGGUGAUGAGAGGAAGCGCGGAAUUGAUGUGUUUUAUAGGCUGGUUGUUGCUAAUUGAAUUGAAAAAUCGUUGGCCGGUAAAAUCAUGAAUCAAAUUCAAAACUGAAUACCUCAUUCGAAUGGAAGAGUUUCAAAUUUAGGAAGCAUGGUGAAUUAAUUGGAAUGAGAGAACUCCUUGAGAAAUUGAAUGAAAUCGGAUGACCCAAUUCUAAAUUGGGGACCUCAAUUGAUUAUGAGCGCUUCAAAAUCAGUGAGCCUCGUGUAUUAAAAGAAUUGAAUGAGUGAACUCCUUAAGAAAUUUUUGACCCUAUCAAAAUCGUAUGACCCAAUUUUAUUGAUUGCGAGGCCUUAAAAGUUAGGGAACAUAGUCUAUAGUACUAGAAAGACUGGACGUGAUUUGCUGCAUCGUUGGUGUUGUUGGGUUGUUAAAUAAUUACCCAUUCUGUUUCAAAAUAUAAGAUGUAUAUUAUUACGUUUUUGAAAAAUCAAACCUUUUAAGUUUGAUCAAUUUUGUAGAGAAAUAUGUCAAAUCACAUAAUAUUUAAUCAGUGUGAUUAGAUUCAUCAUGAAAUGAUUUUCUAUUAAAAAAUAAUAUUGUGGAUGUUGAUAUUUUUUGCUCUCGUUGUUGGUGAAAUUUGACUUUUCGAAAAACUAAUACCCCUUAUAAUUUGAAAUUGAUGGAAUUUACUUUGGCCGAUGAAGGAGAUGAUGGACUGAGUUUUAUUUUUAUUUAUAAUGCGUUGAUGUGAUGACCUUUCAUGGUGUGAUUAUGUGUUAUCUCGUAACUGAUACGUCUUCAACGUAUCGGUUAUUUAUGAAGUAUUCAUGUCAUGUUUGUCUAUGUUUACAACACUUUUAUAUGGUUUAGAUGCACUUUAUAUGAUUUAUUUAGAACUAACCCGGACUGACGCUAUUUUCUGCAGAAUUAUCGUGGGUUUUUUUGUGUGUGUUGAAAAUGAAAGUUCUCGGAAUCACCCAAAACAUUUAUAUAUUUUUUCUGGAGGAAAUAAGCAACAUUGGAGCGAAGAACUACCGGAGGGGAGCCACCUGUGGGCUACAAGCCAACAGGCCCCCACCCCCUAGGUCGUGUUGUGAUGGCUUGUGGGACCACAUGGCUCCGUUUGGCGUGAUUCCAACACUGAAAAAUCCUAUAUAUACUAAAACCUCCAGAAAUAAAGAAAGACCUUCUGCUCGGCUGGCACAACUCUCACUACUAGGAAAAACCUUAUAGGCAUUAUGUUGCAUAUUAUCGUUCAAAUUAUGUUGCAUAUUAUCGUUCAAAUCAUGCCUCUUUGUUUUCUUAAGUACAUUAUGUUGCAUAUUAUCGUUCAAAUCAACAACUCACGAUGCAGGUACCUAGAUCAGAGAUGGCGAAGGACUACUACGCCGUGUACGUUGGGAGGGUUCCAAGAGUCUACGACCACUGGCCAGCCGCUCAGGCCCAGGUGCACAGGUACCCGGGUGCUAGCCACAGAGGGUUCGACACCAGAGCCGAAGCGGAAAGUAGUUACUUGAGGUGGGGUACUACAUAGCCGCGCUCUUCAUCAUGCUGAUUGCUCUUCACUUCUACAUCAUGUUGUAGAUAGAGAUGAUGAAACUUGUGGGUGUGUCAUGACCAUGCAGUUGUACUUAUUCGAGACAUGACAUGAUCGCACUUAUGUAUUGCUAUUUUUGAGAUGAUGUGAUGAUAUUUGUGUUGAAUGAUGAUGAUGAUGAUGGUAUGACGAGACUACUGUAUGUCUAUGAUAUGUGAGAAUAGUGUAUGUUUAAUAUGAUGUGAUGAAACUAUUGUAUAGAGCAUGUAUAAAUACACCACAAAUACGUAGAGGGUGCAAAUCUGUGAAAGCAGAAAUACUUACCAGUAGCGCUUAAAAAUACUUACCAGUAGCGCGGCUUAGCAGCAACGCGCCAUAUGAACAAGCGCUACAACUAUAGUUAUCAGUAGCGCUGGACAAGGAAGCGCUACUACUAACACUACUUACCAGUAGCGCUGCCCAUACCAGCGCUACUACUAGGGUUUAGCUGUAGCCGAUAGCAGUAGCGCUUGGCCCAGCGCUACUACUAUGCAUAUUUCAAGCGCUACUACUAGGGUUUUCCCUAGUAGUGUCUGUGUAUCGACGAGAAACCAAUCUGAAUAGAAAAAACAGUAGCGAAAACAGGAGAGAAAUAGAGAGAGGGGUCCAAUCUUGGAGGGGCUUUCGCCCCUCCGGGAGCCAUGGUGGCCAAGGACCAGAGGGGAGAACCUCUCCCCAUCUAGGGAAAGGCCAUGAAGGAGGAAGCCUAAGGGGGAGACACUCUCCCCUCUGUUCCUGCAGCGCUGGACUGCCUUUGGAGGAACCAUCCCCGUGGUGAUCGUCUUCAUUAACAUCACCGUCUACAUCACCUUUGCUCAUCUAUCUAUGGCGGUUCACUCUCCCACAUCCCAUUGUAAUCCCCUACUUGAACCUGGUAUUUCACGCCACAUAUUAUUAAUCAAUGAUGUGUUUCCAUCCUAUGAUGUUUGAGUAGAUUUAUGUUGUCCUUUGGGUUGAUUGAUUUUUGUGUAUGUUUUAUUUUGUGUUGUCCUAUGGUGCCCCUCGUGUAGCACGCACGUGAGGGAAUUCUUGUUGUAGGGUUUGCAAUAUGUUCAUGAUUCGCUUAUAGUGGGUGGCUAGUGUGACAUGAGAUUACAACCGAGUAAGGAAGUUGUUUGCCUACGGGAGUAAAGGAGACUUGAUGUUUAAUAUUAUGGUUGGGUUUACCUUCAUGAUCUCUAGUAGUUGUCGAUGCUUGCUAUAGAUCAAGUCAUAAGUUCAUAUGAUCCAAGUACGGAAAGUAUGUUAGCUCAUGCCUCUCCCUCAUAUAAAAUUGUAAAAAAGAUUAUCGAUCUUUGUUAUCUAUUGCCUAGGAUUAUUCCGCACUCCAUACCAUCAUUCUUCCACACUAACUAUUUGUAAUAUAUUCUAAGUUUAUUUAAUGGAACAACUAUUUUCAUAUUUUUGUUCCCCAAUAUCAUGCAAAGUUACCCUCUUUAUACCCAAAAACAUACUUUUAAAUAGCGAAGAUAGCAUCCGCUAUUGCGUCCGCAACAGCGCUAGCGCCAUAGCGACCGCUAUCACUAAAAUUAAAUGGCAUUAGCUUUUCUUCAUGUUCUAGUGAUAUAAACAAGAAUUUAGUGUUUUUACAAAUCUGUUGCGCAGACAAAGCACCUGCAGUCUCGCGUGCUAUCCUCAUUCCACCAUGCUUAACCCAAUCCGCUACGAGUCCGCUAUCCGCUAUUUAAAACCAUGCCCACAACGCAAUUUUAUUUCUUGUUACUAGAUAGAAGCAAACGUUCGGUGUAUGUAGGGUUUGGUAAAUAGGACUUGAGAUAAUAUUGAUCUUACCUUUAGCUCCUUGUGGGUUCGAUACUUCAUACUUAGAAAUUCCUUGUGUAGAAAAUGCUAUGAUGAUUUCUUGCACUUGGGGAUUAUCAGUAGCCAACAUAUAUUUAUACAGGAAAUUUUAUGUGUCGGCAACUGCAUUGGUAUGUUGAUGUUACAUUAUCACAUGAUGGUGUUUAUUUUUAUGGGUGGUGGGAGGGUGCAUGGAAUUGACAUGUUUUUUAGGCCAGUGGUGCUCACUGAUUUGAAAAUCGAUGGUCCGACGAUAUCGCAAACCGAAUACAAAAUUGAAUACCUCAAUUAAAUGAAAGAUGAUGAGGAUAUGGCUACCUUGGGUACGAUAAAUAAUAUUUUAUAUUUGCAUAUUUAUGUGGUGAUUUAUUAUAAUAAUUAUGUAAUAAUUUAUUUGUGUUAUCCGGAACAAAAAUACUUCACCUAUUUUUACUCCAUGCCUAAAUGUAGAAUUAUCGAACGUUUGCACGAACCACAUGUGAAGAUAAAGAAAGAGGAAAUAAUUAGGUGUUGUUAAAGAAGUCGUUUCACAUCAAAGGAAAUUAUUAUGUGUUGUUCAAGAAGUUCUCUCACAUUACUUUUGGGCCAAGAGAAGAUAAAGUUCAAGUCUCUGACGUUCUUGACUCAGAUUCGGACUGCACACACAUACGUGUCUCAAAACAUCAACAACUUUUUCAUACGGACUCUGAAUUGGGUGAUUCUUUUUUUUGUAAAUUACAUUUUAUGUGCGUUCCAUCCCAAUUAGAAUCGCCUUAAAAUUCUUUCGGACCGUGGAGAUGUCGACGAAACAAUCUGACGUUGCACGAGAAUUCGAGUCAAACUACAAGUCCAAAGGUGUCGCAUCACCUCCACUUGGGCCCAUAGGCCUUGUACGACCUAUGGUUAGUUUUAGGCUGCCUUGGGUUGUCCUCCCACCUCCAUGACCGCCACCCCUUGAUCCUAUAUAAGUAGAUCUACCUAGUAUCUUUUUUAUGGGGAUUUGUUUAGUUAAAUUUAAUGGUAUUUCCGCGGCAGAUGCCAGGAGUGGCUUAGAAUGUGGUUUGGGGUCGAUGGACGCCAGCGACGUCUAGGAACGGGUGAUGGAGCGAGACAUAUGACAUCGAUCUAUCCAGGUUCAGGGUCCUCCGAUGAGGUAAAAAUCCAUAGUCCUGCCGGUUUGACUAUAUGAGAUCACAAUACAAUGGUCCUCCUUGAGCUAUUCGUGAGGAGGGACACGAAGCUCUUGCUGCCUCGGUGGUAUGUGUCUAAGGGUUCGCUAGUUUUCUUCUCCCAUUCUCUUAGGGGAUUGGGGUUCGGAUUUAUAGUGUAGCCAAAUGUAUGCAAUAAUGGGUAGAAAUGGGGUGCGGGGCCCGACUUUCAGCCUCUCUACCUGGCUGUGAGGCUCGCCGGCUGUCGGAUCUUGUCUGGCGCGGGUCCCGUCGGACGUGUGCUGCGGCGAAUAAUGCACCGGCCGCCAGGGAGUUGGUAGGGGUAGGCCCUAGCGGCCACCUCGCUCGGUCAGCCUCGGGCGUAACCGGUGGUGCUGUAGCCACGCCGAGCCUUGCAUGAUGACGCGUGUAGCUGCGCCGGCACUGUCAACAUGCACUGUAGCCAUGUGCGCCCCUGCGCUGAGGGUAUGGUCUUGUUCAUCGUACCUCAAUAUGACCGGAUGGGAUUGGCGCUGACCCACUUGCUGCUGCCAGCCGACCCGUCGUGCGCUGGCCAAACGAGCCGUCUGUGGCCAUCCGGCCAAGGGCGCCCAGCCAAAAGGGUCAAACGCCAAUAUUCGGCCCGUCACACGGUGGCUAGGCGAGCCGCGUGUAUCCAGCCGCCUAGGGGGGCAGACGGCCCGAAUGUCAAGCAGAGGGAUUCCCUCUGCUUUGGUAUACCCAAGGGCCAUAACCCCGUUAGUAGCCCGCAAAACCGUUGGGGUCUGGAGGCCUCCAGGCGAGGGGCCAGUGGUUUAUCCCUCCCCUCCGCCUGAAGGUGUUAUCGAAGUUGAUACGCCCGCCGGAGCCGGCGAGCGGGGACGCGUGUCCCCAGCCGGCUGUGGUGGCAGCCGGUUGUGUCUUAGUCGAACAUUGCGGCGCCUCGGAGGGUCGGAGGUAGAUAAGAGGCCCACCACCACGCGCGCGAUGGGACAUCGCUACAUGCCCGACCUGGCACACCUCAGCCCACGCGCGGUAUCAUUUGUGGCCGUGGACCGACGGUUGUGGUUACCCACGCUGUUUAAUGCGCGUGGGGAUCAUGUGUUAGUGGGGGACGUGGGCGUAACCGAUCGCACGCCCCCACGUCUCCCCCGAGGCUUUAAAAGGGGGGAGACCCGUUUCGCCAUUGCCUCCCCUCGUCCCACCUUCAUUUUUCCCUUGCGAUGGUGCUCUCCGUCGUCGUCCUUACUACUCACGCCUGGAGCACUCGCCGCUGCCGCCACCCCUCCUCGCGGGCGGAGCGCACACCGCCAUCUUUCCUCCAUCCUUCGCAUGUAGUGCCUCCCUGUGGUCGAUCCUAUCGGGAGUUGCAUCUCUCGCCUCCUUUUCUCCGCUUCAUUGCCGGCGACCGACGAGAUGGUCGGACCACCCGCCGGCUCGUGGGAGGGCUCGAUCAUGACGGAUGAACACAUCGACUACCUCCAGCGGACGCGGAAACUCCCGCCCGCGGAGCUUGAUACGUGUCCAACGUAUCUACAAUUUACGAAGUAUUCAUGACAUGUUUACAAUAAUUCUAUAUGAUUUUGGUAUGAUUUCAUUAGAACUAACCCGGCUCAUGUUGUUUUCAGUAGAGCUACCGUGGUGUUGUUUCUGUGCAAAAAUAAAAGUUCUCAGAAUAGGCUGAAAAUUUACGGAGAAUAUUUUUGGAAAAUAUGAAUAAAAUGGAGCAAAAAGAUAUCAGAGAGGAGUCCCAAGGCAGUGAUAAGCCACCAGGCCCCCCCCCUAGGGCACUCCCCUCGCUUAUAAGCCCCUCGAGCACUCCCCUGACGUGAUUCCAACGCCAAAUAUUCUUAUAAAUACAGAAACCCUCGAAAAGAAACCAAGAUCAGGAAUUCCGCCGUCGCAAGCCUCCACAGCCACGAAAAACCAAUCUUGUCCCUCUCUGGCACCCUGCCGGAGGGUGUCACCAUGACCGGAGACCAUGGACGAGGAAGACGGAGGGGCCAUAAUCACGAUGGAGGCCAAGGACCAGAGGGAGAACCUAUCCCCGCCUUGGGGCGGCCAUGGAGGAGUAGGCACAAGGGGGAGACCCUCUCCCCCUCUAUCAGGGUGGUCCCGGAGUGCCACCAGGACAACAAUCGCCGCAGUGAUCGUCUUCAUCAACAUCACCUUCUUCAUCACCAUCCUCAUGUUCUUUUAGCGGUCCACCCUCCCGCACCCCGUUGUAAUCUCCUACUUGAACAUGGUGCUUUAUGCCACAUAUUAUGAUCCAAUGAUGUGUUUCCGUCCUAUGAUGUUUUAAGUAGAUUCCCUUUGUCUCAUGGGCCGAUUGAUGAUCUAGAUUGGUUUGAGUUGCCUGCUUUAUUAUUGGUGAUGUCCUAUGGUGCUCUCCAUGUCGCGCAAGCGUGAAGGAUUCCCGUUGUACGGUGUUGCAAUACGUUCAUGAUUCACUUAUAGUGGGUUCUUGAGUGACAGAAGCAUAAACCCGAGUAGAUGGGUUAUUGCGUAUGGGAUAAAGGGGACUUGAUGCUUUAAUGAUAUGGUUGGGUUUUACAUUAAUGAUCUUUAGUACGAUUGCUUGCUAGAGUUCCAAUCAUAAGUGCAUAUGAUUCAAGUAGAUAAAACAUGUUAGCUUAUGCUUCUCCCUCAUAUAAAAUCGCAAUAAUAAUUAUCGAUCUUGUUAACAAUUGCCUCAGACAAUUCCGCACACCGACCCAUCCUCAUUCCACACUCACUAUUUGUAAUAUAUUCUAACUAUACGAUAACAGCACCUAUUUUUAUAUUUUAGUUCUUCGAUGUCAUGCAAAGUUAUUCUCUUCAUACCCACAAUGUAUUUUUAUUUCUCGUUCCUAGUUGGAAGCAAAUGUUUGGCAUACGUAGAGUUGUAUCAGUGGCAGAUAGGACUUGAGAGAAUAUUUCUCUUACCUUUAUCUCCUUGUGGGUUCGACACUCCAUACUUAUCACUUCCACCUUUGAAAAUUGCUACGAUGAUUCCUUGCACUUGGGGAUUAUUAAGCUCUUUUCUGGCGCCGUUGCCGGGGAGCAAUAGCGUGGGGUUGAUAUUCUUGUGUGUGCUUGUUUUCUUUCUUCACUAAGUAGGUUUUGUUUUCCAUUUUUUCUUUGUUUAGUUGUGGAUUAAAUAAAAAAUUACUUGCCUCUUAUAACUAAGAAUUUUUCAAAAAGAGAAGUGAUUGGAAGGUUGUGCAUUGGAGAAGUGACGGUCGACCUUGAGCACUUGUGUUCAUGAUCAUGGAAGCAAUGUAGAAUUUUUCAUGGAAGUUUAUCAAAAAUAAUUAUGCCCUUGUAUAUAUCCAUUGUAUUAUAAAAUAAUGUGCCAAGAUUUUCCUUUAGGAUGAUUGGAUUGCUUGUUUGGUGUGUUCAGUGCAAAAACAGAAAUUUUGGCUGUACUGCGUGAAUUUACGUUUUUUACUAGAAGGUCGCAAGUUUCUGAAUUUUUUACACAGUACUCCUAUGCAAAAAAAUUAUUUAUUCCUAAUUAUUCAGAAUUUUUUUAGUUACAUAAGUAUACGAAGUUUCCAGAUUGCUAAAAACUAUCUUGUUUUUGAUAGGUUCUGUAUUCUAUGCAUUGUUCUCUUAUUUUGAUGAAUCUAUGGGUAGUACCAGGGGGUACGAACCAUGGUGAAGUUGGACUACAGUAGAUAUAAUGUUAAUAUGAAUUUGGAAUGAGUUCACAAUAGUACUUAAGUAGUAUUUUUCUUUAUUAUACUAACGGAUCUCGCGAGGGUUUUGUUAAGUUUUGUGUGAAUGAAGUGUUCAAAGAUCGAGGAUGUAUCGAUAAAAGAAGAAUAUAGAGAGACAAUAGUUCAAGCUUGGGGAUGCCCAAGGCACCCCAAGUAAAUAUUUCAAGGAUUUUCAAGAAUAUAAGCUUGCGGAUGCCCCGGAAGGCAUCCCAUCUUUAUUCUUCAACAAUUAUCGGUAUACCUUGGUUUUUGUUUUGUUCACAUAAUAUGCUUCUUUAGUGUUUUUGUUCUCUUUUUAUGGACACUUCUAGUAUGAGAUAGUCCUUCAUUGAUUUAUAAAAUUCUUCAUGCUCUUCACUUAAAUAUUUUGAGUAUUUCUUUGUGGAAUGCUCUUUGUGUUUCACUUAAAUCGUUUGAGUAUGGCUCUGUAGAAUGCUCUUCGUACUUCACUUAAAUCUUUUGAGUAUAGCCUUAUAGAAUGCUUCGUGUGGUUCACUUAUAUAUUUUGAGCUUGGAUAUUGGUUGAUAUAUAUUAAUUGUAUAAUUCCCUAUGAACUUCACUUAUAUCUUUUAGAGUAUGAAUAAAAUCAUCAUCGGAAUUAGGCUUGGAAGGGAAUCAUUGAAAUAACCAUGCCUAACUAAAAGGCAUUAAAGAAAAGCGCUUGUUGGAAGACAACCCAACACUUUUACCUUCUGUUUUAAUGAGUUCACAAGAUUAAGCUACUGUAUUAAUCAUGUUUUGUGUCUUUUGUUGCUAUAAACUGCCAAGUAAAGCCUUUGGGAUGACUCACAAGAUGACUAGAAUUGAUGUUGAACCAAAACAGAAACUUUUGACUCCGGUACAGGAAUUUUUAUUUUUUACCGGAGCAUGAUAAUGAUCUUAAAUUUUUACAAAUUCUUUAUAUAUAAAUUAUUCUGGUUGUCCUAAUUUUUUCAGAAUUUUUAGAGACAGGUACGUAUGGCUAUACUACAGAUCUUCACAGACUGUUCUGUUUUUGACAGAUUCUAUUUUGCAUGCAUAGUAUGGUUAUUUUAGUGUUCCCAUAGCUUAUAUUCAGUAAUAUAAAUUAUGGUAAUGAUAGAAUAAAGUAGGUAUCAUGUGGUAACAAUUAUGAAUCUUGUCUUGACAGUACCUAAGUGAAUGAUCUAUCUUUUUUACACUAACCCUUCUCACGAAGUUCCGUUAAGUUUUGUGUGAUUGAAGUUUUCAAGUUUUGGGUGAGACACCGAUAUGAGGAGAACAAGGAGUGACAAGAACCUAAGAUUAGGGAUUCCCAAGGAACCCCCAAGGUAAUAUCCAUGGAAUACUCAAGUGCCUAAGCUUGAGGAUGCCCCGAAAGCAUCCCCUCUUUCGUCUCCAACGCUAUCGGUAAUCUUACUUAGAGCUAUAUUUUUAUUCAUCACAUAAUAUGAGUUUUUAUUGGAGCAUCAUUUUAUUUUGUUGAUUUAUGUUAGGUGCUAUAUAUAAAAAAAAUCAAUAAAAAAGUUUCAAGAAUUGCAUUAGGAUGCUUGCAUUGCAUGGUUUGAUGUGUGUUAUGUAAAAACAAAAACUCUUUAUGUAGUUUUUGAAUUUGCAUAUUUUACUAGAACAUGGAAAGUUUAUGAAAUUUUUACACAGUGUUAUCAUACAAAGUUUAUAGCAUGUCCUAAAUGUUCAUAAUUUUUUGAGUUACACAAGUACAAUGUUUUCAUAUAUUGCUACACACUGUUCUGUUUGGACAAAUUGUUGUUAUAGUUUUGUUAUCUACUUAUCCUAUAGUUUCCAUAGCCUAUAUUGGUAGAUAUAAAUUGUGGAAAUGAUAGUAAACAGUAGAUGAUGUUUGAAAAUUAUUAUACAACUUGUCUUGGCAGUAAAUGAAGAGUUGAUUUAUUAUUGUGUGGACUAACCUAUCUCACGAGUUCUUUUCGAGUUUUGUGUGGAUGAAGUUUUUGAGAAUAGGUGAAACCAUGAUAUGAGAGGAUUGAACGAGAUACGAAAGCUCAAUCUUGCGGAUGCACAAGGCACCCCAAGUAAAUAUUUCAAGGACUCUCAAGCAUCUAAUCUUGGGUAUGCUACGCAUCCCACCUCUCUUCGUCAACUAUCGGUUAGCCUAUGUUGAGCCUAAAUUUUUAUUCGUUCACAUGACACAUCCUAUUCUUGGAGUGUUAUUUUUCUUUUGCUUGAUGUUUAAAUAAAAUACUCAGAUCUGAAAAUCUUUAUUGAGGGAGAGGGUGAAAGUCCUCACAUAGCUACUUAAUUGUUUGACUACUCAUUCAUCUUCACUUAUAUGUUUUGGAGUAGUUUUGUCAUUUACUCUCGUGCUUCACGUAUAUCCUCUAAGUAAAUAGUUGAGUGAAUUGAAUAUCGUAAAUCUGAAAUUAUAUAUAUUUUAAAUUAUAGGUGGUAAAAUUUAUUGAACGUUAGCAAACAAUGCAUUGGCCACUUGAUCAAUUCAUGAAAUAAUAUUGAAGGAAGAGAGAGUCCACAUAUAAAUAUACUAUCUUGGACAUCUUCUAUGAUUGCGAGCCCCAUUAAUUAUUUUCAAAAUUCAUCAAAUUAGUUGAUGUUCGGCAAGGAAGACAACUUAAUGAGUUAUGUUUGGGUAUAUUUGCAUAGAAAUUAUAUUGUUAUGGAUCCUCCAACAUGUGGUGCUUGUUUAGAACCUUUUGCUAGCCAACACUGCGUACUAAGUAUAGAUACUACUUGUGCAUCCAAAAAUCCUUAAACCUAGUUUCUUGCCAAGAGAGUCCACUAUAUCGACCUAUAUGCCGUAUUUACCUGCCGUUCCAAGUAAAUUUGCAUGUGCCAAACUCUAAACCUUCAAAUAAUAUUAUGUUCUGUAUGCCCGAAUCGCUCAUGUAGUGACUAGGGGUUGUGAGUAUCUUCCAUGCUAGGUGGGUUAUUCUCAAGAUAUGUGUUGAUUCACUAUCAUUCACGAGAAAGUGGCUGGUAUUCGGGAUGCUGAGUUCCAUGCUCAAAAAUCAAAUCAAAAUAUAAGGAAACAAAACUCCCCCAAGAUUGUUGUUUGUAUGGUUGGUACCCGUGGAUUCGGCUCACUAUGGAGUGUGAUUGAUUUGUGAAGGGGGAGUAAAAACUUUACCAUUCUGUUUGGGAACCUCCUAUAAUGUAUCUAGCAUGGCAGAUACCAAUAUCUCUUGGUUGUUAUGUUGACAAUGAAAGCAUACUUCUGAAAAUUAUUAUUCAUCUCUAUUUUAAAAACUCGAGCUCUGGCACAUAUGCAAAUCACUACUUCCCUCUGCGAAGGGUCAAUCUAUUUACUUUCAUGUUAUUUACUAUUCUUGUUGAGUUAACUUAGUUUUCCAACCUCAAAGUAUUAGUUGGCAAGCAUCAUGUGGUGGGGAAAGAUCCACACAUAUAUAUGCGAACAAAUAUAUUUGAUCAUGAAUUAUAAUUGUUGACAAUUAUAAAUAUGAUAAAUAAGUUGUGAGGCGAAACUUUAAGCCCCUAUCUUUCUCCUUGUUAGAUGGAUGUUAUUUGUUCUAAAAAUAUGCUUUGAAUGUCAAUAAUCAUGGAAUCCUUCCUAAAAAUAAGAUGAAUUGCAAUUAUUCGAUGACUGAAAGCAUAGUUUGUUAGUUUUCAAGAAACUUUAUGGUCUACACUUUAACACGUGAAUAGCUUGUUACUUCAUCAUGAUAAGUUUUAUGAUAUGAGCUACUGUUUAUGAUAUAUAAUGAUGCUAGAAAAAGUGUUUGGAACUAUCAUUGAUCAAAUUUAUACACUAUGCUAGCAUUCACACUUCCUAAAUUAUUUCUUUCAUCAUUUACCUACUCGAGGACGAGCAGGAAUUAAGCUGGGGGGUGCUGAUACGUUUCCCAUGUAUCUAUAAUUUAUGAAGUAUUCAUGCCAUGUUUACAAUAAUUCUGUAUGAUUUUCGGUUGAUUUUAUUAGAACUAACCCGGACUAAUGAUGUGUUCAGCACACUAUCACGGUAUUGUUUUUGUGGAGAAAUAAAAGUUCUCGGAAUGUGCUGAAAAUUUACGGAGAAUAUUUUUGGAAAAUAUGAAAAGUAAUGGAGCAAAAAUAUGCUGGAGAGGAGUCCUGAGGCAGCCACCAGGGCGGCCCCGUAGGGUGCGCCCCCUGGCUUGUGGGUCCCUCGAGCACUCCCCUGGCGUGAUUCCAAUGCCAAAUAUUCUUAUAAAUAUAGAGGCCCCCAAAAAGAAACCUAGAUCGGGAGGUCUACCGCUGCAAGCCUAUAGAACCACGAAAAAACAAUCAGGCCCUCUCCGGCACCCUGCUGGAGGGGGUCACCAUCACCGGAGAACAUGGAGGAGGAAGACGGAGGGGCCAUCAUCACCAUGGAGGCGACGAACGAGAGGGAGAACCUCUCCUCACCUUGGGGGCCAUGGAGGAGGAGGCACAAGGCGGAGACCCUCUCCCCCUCUCUCCCGGUAGUGCCGGAGUGCCACAGAGGGAACCAUCGCCGAGGUGAUCGUCUUCAUCAACAUCACCUUCUUCAUCACCAUCCUCAUCUUCUUUUAGCAGUCCACUCUCCUGCACCCCGCUGUAAUACCCUACUUGAACAUGGUGCUUUAUGCCACAUAUUAUGAUCCAAGGAGGUGUUGCCAUCCUAUGAUGUUUUGAGUAGAUUCCCUUUGUCUUAUGGGUUAAUUGAUGAUCUAGAUUGUCUUGAGUUGCAUGCUUUAUUAUUGGUGUUAUCGUAUGGUGCUCUACGUGUCGUGCAAGCGUGAGGGAUUCCUAUUGUAUGGUGUUGCAAUACGUUCAUGAUUCGCUUAUAGUGGGUUGCUUGAGUGACACAAGCAUAAACCAGAGUAGGUGGGUUGUUGCGUAUGGGAUAAAGGGGACUUGAUGCUUUAAUGCUAUGGUAGUUAGCUUAUGCUUCUCCCUUACAUAAAAUUGCAAUAAUGCUUAACAAUCUUGUUAACAAUUGCCUAGGACAAUUCCGUACACCGACCCAUCAUCAUUCCACACUCGCUAUUUGCAAUAUAUUGUAAUAGAUUCUAACUAUAUAAUAACAUCACUUAUUUUCAUAUUUUAGUUCUCUGAUGUCAUGCAAAGCUAUUCUCUUCAUACCCACAACGUAGUUUUAUUUCUCUUUCCUAGUUGGAAGCAAACGUUCGGCGUACGUAGAGUUGUAUCAGUGGCAGAUAGGACUUGGGAGAAUAUUGCUCUUACCUUUAGCUCCUUGUGGGUUCGACACUCCAUACUUAUCAAUUCCACCUUUGGAAAUUGCUAUGAUGAUUCCUUGCACUUGGGAAUUAUAAGAGCUUCUCGAGGCCUGCGCGCUCGGCGGCGAGCAAGUGCCGGAGCCUCGAGUCGGCGAGCGUAUCGUCUUCGGCACACACUUCCUCGUCGGCUUUGGGCUUCCGGGGAGCUGCUUCUUGUGGAAUUUUCUUGAGGUCUAUGGGAUCCAGAUGCAUCAUAUGGGGCCUAACUCCGUUCCGUACCUCGCGUGCUUCGCAUUGCUAUGCAAGGCAUAUAUGGACUUCUGGCCCUUUCCCUCCUUCUUCCGCCACUUCUUCCAUUUAUGUGCCCACGCGCACGAUAGUGUGUCGUACUCCUGUGGUGGCGCGGUGGUGUACAAGAAGCGCGGCAGGCCGUUUCCGCAGAUGAAGUGGAAGGAGUCCUUCAAGAAAUGGCAGCACACCUUCUUCUACGUCCGCAACAUCGGCCUGGGGCGGGACUGGUUAACCUCCCGCCCUUUGCUGACGAGCCAACGACUGGGGAGAACUAAAAUCUCGAGUUGUGCAAUGACUUGCUGGUGUCGAUUGGCGGCCAGCUGCAGGAGCUCAUGGGCUCCCUAGGGCUGGUGGCCCCGGACCUGGUGGCGGCCUUUGUCUCUCGCCGAGUGCUGCCUCUGCAGGCACGGCCGCACCGGAUGUGCGACAUGAGCAUCCGCAAGGAACCGUGCUGGCUGUUAGUGGUGGACCUGCCGUUGAGCAAGGUUGCCGCCAGGGUGAACAGAAUCACCGACUUCCAUCGUGGCAACCAUGGACCGCUGGUAAGAUUUCGUCCAACUGAGGUCAUCCCCUUUUUUCCUUUCCCGUAGUAUGUGACACAUGGUCAUGUAUUUCCUCAGCUUUUUGUUCGGCAGAACACAUCAAACGGACCGAAUCCGGAGCGCUUUUCCCCAUAUUAGGAUGAAUCCGACGCCGAGGACUACGAAUUGAACGGGGACGGUCCUGAAGGCCCUGAAGAUUUGUACGCGACGGAGGCGGCGGAGGAUGAUGAUGGUGUUGAGGAGGACGAGGAGGAGGCGGCCGGUGCCGUGGCUGGCAAGGUGGGGACGUCAAGUACUAAUGACCCACAAGUGUAGGGGAUCUAUCAUAGUCCUUUCAAAAAGUAAGAGUGUCGAACCCAACAAGGAGCGGAAGGAUCUGACGAGUGGUUUUCAGCAAGGUAAUAUCUGCAAGAACUGAAAUUAUCGGUAACAAGUAGUUGUGUGGUGAGAUGAUUCGUAGGAAGUAGCAAGUAAGAAAAGUAACAACGGUGCAGCAAAGUGGCCCAAUCCCUUUUGUAGCAAGGGACAAGCCUGGACAAACUCUUAUAGGAGGUAAAACGCUCCCGAGGACACAUGGGAAUUUCUGUCAAGCUAGUUUUCAUCAUGUUCAUAUGAUUCGCGUUCGCUACUUUGAUAGUUUGAUAUGUGGGUGGACCGGCGCUUGGGUACUUCCCUUACUUGGACAAGCACCCCACUUAUGAUUAACCCCUCUCGCAAGAAUCCGCAACUACGAAAGAAGAAUUAAGACAAAGUCUAACCAUUGCAUUAAACUAGUGGAUCCAAAUCAGCCCCUUACGAAGCAACGCAUAAACUAGGGUUUAAGCUUCUGUCACUCUAGCAACCCAUCAUCUACUUACUACUUCCCAAUGCCUUCCUCUAGGACCAAAUAAUGGUGAAGUGUUAGGUAGUCGACGUUCACAUAACACCACUAGAGGAAAAACAACAUACAACACAUCAAAUUAUCGAACGAAUACCAAAUUCACAUGACUACUUAUAGCAAGACUUAUCACAUGUCCUCAGGAACAAAAGUAACUACUCACGAAGCAUAAUCAUAUUCAUGCCCAGGGAGGUAAUGAGUAGCAUCAAAGAUCUGAACAUAUAAUCUUCCACAAAGUAAUCCAACUAGCAUCAACUACAAAGAGUAAUUAACACUACUAGCAACCUUACAAGUACCAAUCGGAGUCGCGAGACGGAGAUUGGUUACAAGAGAUGAACUAGGGUUUGGAGAUGAGAUGGUGCUGAUGAUGAUGUUGAUGGUGACGAGUCCCCUCCGAUGAGAGGAGUGUUGGUGAUGACGAUGGCGACGAUUUCCCCCUCCGGGAGGGAAGUUUCCUCGGCAGGAUCGGCCUGCCGGAGCUCUAGAUUGGUUCUGCUCACGUUCCUCCUCAUGGCGGCGUUGAACCCUCCGAAAAGCCUCUUGUUGAUUUUUUUUUCUGGAACAAAACCAUUCUUGUAGCAAAAUGGGUGAGCCAGAGGGCUAAGUGGGAGCCCACAAGCCCCCUAGGCGCGGCCAGGGGGAGGUCGCGCCUAGCGGGCUUGUGGCCUCCUGCUGGCGCCCCUCUGGUACUUCUUCGGCCUAGUAUUUUUAAUAAAUCCCAAAAAAAUCCACGUUGAUUUUCAUGACUUUUGGAGUUGUGCAGAAGAGGUAUCUCAAACUUGCUCCUUUUUCAGGCCAGAAUUCCAGCUGCCGGCAUUCUCCCUCUUCAUGUAAACCUUGCAAAAUAAGAGAUAAAAGGCAUAAGUAUUGUACCUUGAAGUGUAAUAACAGACCAAAAAGCGAUAAAUAUAAACAUGAAAGCAUGAUGCAAAAUGGACAUAUCAACUCUCCCAAGCUUAGACCUCGCUUGUCCUCAAGCGAAAGCCGAGAUCAAUAAAUAUGCCCACAUGUUUAGAGAGAGAGGUGUCGACAAAACAAGAUACGGACAUGCAGGCAUCAUGAUCAUAAUCAGAAUAGCAAUACCAACAUAUAAUCUCUCAUGCUAAAGUGAUAAUUCCUUCACAAAGUAAAGCAUGGAUCAAGAACCUUACCGAGAAUUAACAACCGAUAGCCUUUAGUCAUUGAAGCAAUUGCAAUUUAUCACAAUAUCAGAAAGAGUCAAAUAAGAGCUUGUAAAGCAAAUCCAAAUACUCAAUCAUCCUUUCGUUCUCUACAAUUUCUACAACUCACGUGGUACUCAUGAGAUCAAAGUUUCAGCUGGACACAAAGAAAGAUAGGGAUUUAUAGUUUCGCCUCCCAACCAUUUACCUCAAGGGUAAUGUCAACAAUAAUAAUUCAUGAAUACUUACUUCCAAGUUGACAUAUGAAUAUAGAUCUUUCCCAAGCAUAUGACAUUAGCCAAGAUAAAGGCGAAACAAGGAAUUGGUGAAGAUCACCAUGACUCUUUCACGGGAAAAAUUAAAGGUACAAGAUAGGCCCUUUGCAGGGGGAAGCAGAGGUUGUCAUGUGCUUUUGAGGUUUGGAUGUGUGUCCUCUUAGUGUGGAGGAACGUCACUUUAUAUUGCCUCCUGUGAUAAAGAACUUUAUUAUGCAUUCCGUCGCUUUUAUCUAUUCCUCAUCACAGGUUCGUACAAAGCUUAUUUUCCAUGCACUAAUAGAUCAUACAUAUUAGGGGGGCAAUUUUUAUUGCUUGCAUCGAUGACAACUUACUUGAAGGAUCUUAUUCAAUCCAUAGGUAGGUAUGGUGGACUCUCAUGGAAAAACUGGGUCGAAGGUUUAUGGAUGCACAAGUAGUAUCUCUACUUGGUGCGAGUGUUUUGGCUAAUACGAGGUGGAAGCAAUCUUCACAUGCCAAGGGAUCUCUAGUCAUAUAACAUUGUUCGGAACCAAGCAAACACAAUUCAUUAUGUUGUCUUCCUUGUCCAACAUCCACUUCUAAGCAUGUAAUAGUGUAGUGAGUGUUCACAAUCAUAGAUGGUGUCAAAGAUGAUAUAUUUAUAUGUGAACCUCUCCUUCUUUAUCACUUCCUAUUAAUUGCAACAAUGACCAAGGUCUACGUUUGUCUAUCCUCAACAAGUUUCAAUCAACAUUGUUUUCAUAUGUGAAGCCAUCACUUCCCAUAAGAUCAUUACAUGAUCUUUCAUGCUUUUGUUCUUUUCUCAUUCUCUUGAUCAUGGCAUGAGGCAACGCCCUUAACUAAGACACUCUUUAUUAUAUGGCUCACGAGCUCGAAUACAUCGGGGGUGGCACAAAUAAAAACUCAAGCCUAAAACACUAAGACCUUUAAUCUACUAGAGAAAGAGAAAACUGAAAAGGAACAAACUAAAACAAAGGUAAAGGAAAAAGAUGUGAUGGUGAUACGAUAGCGGGGCAACUCCCCCAAGCUUGGCACAAGCCAAGGGGAUUGCCCAUACCCAUGCUUAGUUGUCUUCCUUUGGAGGUGAUGGUGAUGGAGUUGUUGCAGAGGUCUUGAACUUGUUUAAUUUCCACUUGAGCGUAAAAUUCUGCUCCCUCAGAUCAUCAAUUUCCUCUUCAAGCCUCAACAACCUUUUGCAUAAUUCCUGCUUACUCUCCUGCAAGAAAUGAGAAGGGAUAAACAAUGUUUUAGGCUUCUUCCUUGAGUCAGGGAGGCUCGAUUUCUUGAACUCCACAUGCGUGUGUCCAAGUUGAGGUAGAGGAGCCUCCUCCUCAUCGGAACUUGUUCGUUCCUUCCCCUUGGGAUCAUAAUCUUCUUCCUCAUAAGUGGUCCACCGAUAAGGAUACAAGUCCCCAUAGACCUUGGGGUUGGCAAGGUAAUCGGCCACAUAGCUCUCCCCCUCUAAAUCUUGAGAAGACAUCUUGCCCUAAAUCUGCGCCAGAAAAUAGGCUCGAAACGAAAACAGAGGAAAAUUGCAUGAUACGAGGGUCAGACCUUUCGAGAGAAUAUAUAAUGAUUUUUUUCUGACCAGAAGGAGUACUCCGCAAGAAAACGGAGUCCGGGAGGCACACGAGGUGGCCACAAGCCUCCCAGGCCCGGCCAGGGGGGUGGCUCGCGCCUGGCAGGCUUGUCUCCUCCUCGUUCUUUUUCCGGGCUGCUUUAAAUUUUUCUAUUUUUUCAAAAAUUCCAAAACGGAGAAAAAAUCCUACUGGAAAAGUUUUGGAGUCUAUUUACUUACCGAAUCACAUACCUCUUCGUUUUCGGAGUCUGAAAGAGGCUGAUAAAUAUCCGUUAGGUACUCCUCCUUAGUUAUGGUAUUCAUAAUAUUGCUUUCAACAUUUAUGGGAGUACCUGAGAUAUAAUGCUUGAUUCUCUGCCCAUUUACAACUCUCGGACAAUUAUCUUCCGUGUUGUUGAUCUUGAUAGCACCGGAACGAUAUAGUUCCUCAAAAAUGUAAGAAUCUUCCCAUUUAGAGAGAAGCUUCCCUGCAAAAAAUCUUAAACGAGAAUUAUAUUGCAAGACAUAAUCACCUACAUUUAACUCACGCUUUUUUAUCCUUUUAUCAUGCCACCUCUUAACCUUUUCUUUGAACAACUAGGCAUUUUCAUAUGCCUGAGUUCUCCACUCAUCAAGCAAGCUAAUAUCAAAUAACCUCUUCUCACCAGCAAGUUUGAAAUCAAAGUUAAGCUCUUUGAUUUCCCAAUAAGCUUUAUGCUCUAGCUCAAGAGGUAAAUGACAUGCUUUACCGUAUACCAUUUUGUACGGAGACAUGCCCAUGGGAUUCUUAUAGGCAGUUCUAUAAGCCCACAGUGCAUCAUCGAGCUUCUUAGACCAAUUCUUUCUAGACCUGUUGACAGUCUUUUGCAGAAUUAGUUUAAUAUCUCUAUUUCUUAGCUCUACCUGACCAUUGGACUGAGGGUGAUAGGGAGACGCAAUUAUAUGGUUAACAUCGUACUUAGAAAGCAUUUUACGGAAAGCACCAUGAAUGAAAUGUGAACCACCGUCGGUCAAUAGAUAUCUAGGGACUCCAAAUCUAGGGAAAACAACUUCUUUAAGCAUCCUGAUAGAGGUGUUGUGAUCAGCACUACUAGUGGGGAUAGCUUCUACCCACUUAGUGACGUGAUCAACAGCAACUAGGAUAUGAGUAUACCCGUUGGAUUUUGGAAGAGGUCCCAUAUAAUCAAAGCCCCAAACAUCAAAUGGUUCAAUGAAAAGUGAAUAAUUCAUAGGCAUUUCCUGACGUUUACCAAUAUUACCUAUUCUUUGACAUUCGUCACAAGACAAGACAAACUUACGGGCAUCCUUGAAGUGAGUGGGCCAAUAGAAACCUUAUUGCAAUACCUUGUGCGCAGUUCUAUCUCCCGCAUGGUGUCCUCCGUAGGCCUCGGAGUGACACUUCUGUAGCAUCUGUCCCUGUUCAUGUUCAAGUACACAACGUCUAAUAAGACCAUCUACUCCUUCCUUAUAAAGGUGAGGAGCAUCCCAAAAGUAAUGUCUCAAGUCAAAGAAGAAUUUCUUCUUUUGCUGGUAUGUGAAACUAGGUGGUAUAUAUUUGGCAACGAUAUAGUUUGCAUAAUUAGCAUACCAAGGUUCACUAGGUGAAGUAUUGAUGACAUUCAAUUGCUCAUCAGGAAAGCUAUCAGGUUGUGGGUCAUCAAGAACAUUCUCCAACCUAGACAAGUUAUCUGCUACUGGGUUAUCAGCACCCUUCCUAUCGACAACAUGCAAAUCAAAUUCUUGUAGCAAGAGAACCCAUCUGAUAAGUCUAGGUUUAGCGUCUUUCUUCUCCAUUAGGUACUUAAUAGCAAGAUGAUCAGUAUGAAUGGUGACUUUGGAAUCAACUAUGUAAGACCUGAACUUUUCACAUGCAAACACGACUGCUAAAAAUUCAUUUUCUGUAGUAGCAUAGUUUCUUUGGGCAUUGUCUAGAGUUUUACUAGCAUAGUGAAUAACAUUCAACUUCUUAUCAACUCUUUGCCAUAGAAUAGCACCAAUAGCAUAAUCACUAGCAUCACACAUGAUUUCAAAAGGUAAGUUCCAAUCAGGUGGUUGAACAAUAGGCGCAGUUAUCAAGGCCUUCUUAAGUAUUUCGAAGGGUUCCUCACAAUCAUCGUCGAAAACAAAAGGAAUAUCCUUUUGCAAGAGAUUGGUAAGAGGCCUAGAAAUGUUAGAGAAGUCUUUAAUGAACCUUCUAUAGAAACCAGCAUGACCAAGGAACCUUCUAUAGAAACCAGCAUCACCAUCCUAUAGCCAGUAAUAAUCCUCUGUGGGAUCAAUUCAUCCUUAUCAUUAGGGACAACGGUAAUGCCUCCCUUCUUAGCGACGGAAUGCACCAUACUAACCCAAUCACUAUGAGCAACAUGAUAGAUAAUACCUUCUUCCAGGAGCUUUAGUAUUUCUUUUCUUACUACCUCUUUCAUCUUAGGAUUUAAUCUCAUUUGAUGAUUAGCAACUGGUUUGGAAUCAGGAUCGGUUUUAAUCUUGUGCUGGCAUAGAGUGGGACUAAUGCCCUUAAGAUCAUCAAGAGUAUAUCCAAUAGCAGCACGGUGCUUCCUUAGAGUUUUUAGUAACUUCUUUUCUUCAUGCUCUGAGAGGCUAGCACUAAUUAUAACAGGAUAUAUCUCUUUUUCAUCAAGAUAAGCAUACUUAAGAGUAUCAGACAACUGUUUAAGCUCGAACACAGGAUCACCCUUUGGUGGGGGUGGAUCUCCAAGCAGUUCAACAGGCAAGUUAUUCUUAAGGAUAGGAUAUUGUUCUAAGACAACUCUAUCUAUCUCAUCCCUUUCAUCCAUAUGCAUAUCAUUUUCAUGCUCAAGCAAGUAUUGCUCUAAGGGAUCCGUAGGAGGCACGACAAUCGAAGCUAGGGAAAUAAUUUCAUCCUUACUAGGCAACUCUUUUUCAUGAGGUUGUCUACUAAACUUGGAGAAAUUGAACUCAUGUGACACACCUUCAAAGCCAACAGUGACAGUUUGCUUCUCAUAGUCAAUAUGAGCAUUGACGGUAUUGAGGAAGGGUCUGCCAAAUAUGAUGGGACAAAGGCUAUCUUGUGUGGUAGCAAAAACGAGGAAAUGAGGAGGAUACUUCGUUUUACCACACAAGACUUCAACAUCCCUAAUAAUUUCCACAGGGCAGAUAGUAUCUCUAUUGGCAAGCUGAAUAGUGACAUCAAUGGGUUCUAUCUCGACAGGUGCAAUCUCGUCUUUAAUUUCAUCAUAUAGGGAUUGAGGUAUUGCACUAACACUAGCACCCACAUCACAUAAACCAUGAUAACAAUGAUCUCCUAUCUUAACAGAAACAACAGGCGUGCCAACAACAGGCCUAUGUUUGUCUCUAGCAUGGGGUUUAGCAAUUCUUGCAGCAUCUUGAUACGUCUCCAACGUAUCUAUUUUUUUUUAUGGUUUCAUGCUAUUAUCUUGUCAAACUUUGGAUGUUUUGCAUGCCUUUUAUAUAUUUUUUGGGACUAACUUAUUAACUCGGUGCCAAGUGCCAGUUCUUGUUUUUUCCAUGUAUUUGACCGCUUUCAGAGGAGAUUUUGAAACGGAGUCCAAACGGAAGAAAAUCCCCGAAAAGAUUUUUUCUGAAACCGAAGAAGAUCAGGAAGCUUGAGAGCCAAGGCAGGGGGGCCCAGGGGCCCCACAAGCCCUCACCCCGCGACCAGGGGAAAGGUCGUGGCCCACAGGCUUGUGGGCCCCCUGGACGCCCUCUGCCCUAGGGUUUGCACCUAUAUAUCCCCAAAAGUUCCACAAAAAAUCAAGAGAUCAUCGAAAGUACUUUUCCGCCGCCGCAAGCUUCUGUCUCCGCAAGAUCCCAUCUGGGGCACGUUCCGGUGCCCUGUCGGAGGGGGGAUUCAGAUAUGGAGGGCUUCUUCAUCAACACCAUGACCUCUCCGAUGAUGCGUGAGUAGCUCACCAUAGACCUCCGAGUCCAUAGCUAGUAACUAGAUGGCUUCUUCUCUCUCUUGGAUCUUCUAUACAAAGUUCUCCAUGAUCUUCAUGGAGAUCUAUCCGAUGCAAUCUUAUUUUGCGGUGUGUUUGUCGAGAUCCGAUGAAUUGUGGAUUUAUGAUCAGAUUAUCUAUGAAUCUUAUUUGAGUUUCUUCUGAUCUCUCUUAUGCAUGAUUUCAUAUCCUUGUAAUUCUCUUCGAGUUGUGGGUUUUGUUUGGCCAACUAGAUCUAUGAUUCUUGUAAUGGGAGAAUUGCUUGGUUUUGGGUUCAUACCGUGUGGUGACCUCACCCAAUGACAGAAGGGGUAGCGAGGCACGCAUCGUGUUGUUGCCAUCAAGGGUAAAAAGAUGGGGUUUUCAUCAUUGGUUUGAGAUUAUCCCUCUACAUCAUGUCAUCUUUCUUAAGGCGUUACUCUAUUCGUCAUGAACUCAAUACACUAGAUGCAUGCUGGAUAGCGGUCGAUGUGUGGAGUAAUAGUAGUAGAUGCAGAAAGUAUCGGUCUACUUGUCUCGGACGUAAUGCCUAUAUGUAUGGUCAUUGCCUUAGAUAUCGUCAUGAGUUUGUGCGGUUCUAUCAAUUGCUCGACAGUAAUUUGUUCACCCACCGUGAUAUUUGCUAUUUUGAGAGAAGCCUCUAGUGAACACUAUGGCCCCCGGGUCUACUCCACACCAUACUUUCAGCCUUACACUUUUUACUUCGUUGCACUUUCCGCCUUUAGAUCUCACUUUGCAAACAAUCUUGAAGGGAUUGACAACCCCUUUGAAGCGUUGGGUGCAAGAUCGUUUGUGUUUGCGCAGGUACUCUGGACUUGACGAGACCCUCCUUCUGGAUCGAUACCUUGCUUCUCAAAACUGAGGGAAAUACUUACUACUCAUGUGCUGCAUCAUCCUUUCCUCUUCAAGGGAAAAACCGACGCAAACAAGAGAAGUAGCAAGAAGAAGUCCUGUCGUUGCUUGGGAAGGGCUUUUGUUGCUGUAGCAGAAGGAUUUCUGGUGCUGUUGCCGGGGAGGAAGAUCAAGUCAAGAACUCAUCCAAGUAAGUGUCGCAAACUCAUCUCUUGCAUUUACUUUUGUUUGUCAGUUGCCUCUCGUUUUCCUCUCCCCCACUUCACCAAUUUGCCUUUUUCAUUUGCCUUUUUCGUUUGCCUUUUUCGUUCGCCCUUUCUUCCGCUUUCUUUCUGUUUGCUUGUGUUUUAUGUGCCUUCAAUAUGCUUGCAUCUUCGCUUGCUGAAAAUAUAUUGAUAUGGAUCCUCAUCCACUUGCUAAUCUCUUUAAGAGAUCCAAUUAUGUUGAUAAAAUUGCUAUUGAGUUGAGUGCACUUGACUUUCUCUAUGGAGUUUUGCUUGAGAUGCGUGAAUCUGAAAAUUGUGAUGAAGAAAUUCAUGAAGUGAUUCACGAGGGCUCCUUGAAUGAAAAGCAUGAUUGCAAUGAUUUCAUUAUAAAUUCUAUUAAUGACAAUCAUGCUAAAAAUAUGCAAAACCCUAAGCUUGGGGAUGUUAGUUUUGCUAUGUCCACUACUUGUUGCAAUGAUCAUGAGUGGGGCAAUGAUUUUUCUUAUGAUCAUGAAAAUUUGUUUAAGCCUCAUGAUGAAUAUGAUAUUUGCAAUAUUAUUGAAAGUAGGUUUGGAGACGUCAUGACUUUAAUUGAUGAUAAUCCCAGUAUUUUUGAAGAGCAUCAACUUUGCAUGCAUGUGGAUCAUGAAAAGAAUAUCCUAUGUGAUAGUUACAUUGUUGAAUUCAGAUAUGAUCCCACAUGUAAUUAUUAUGAGAGAGGAAAAUAUGGUGGUAGAAACUUUCAUACCACUAAAUCACCUCUCGUUAUGUUGAGAUUGCUCUUGUCUCUUUCUUCUUCCUUGCAUUUGAUAACUAUUGGUUGUCUUGCCAAUUUUUUCCUAUAAAAUGCCUAUGCAUAGGAAGUAUGUUAGACUUAGACGUGAUUUUCACAUGCUUUAUGAUGCUCACGUUGUGCAUCAAUUUCUAUCUUCUAUGUGAGCAUCAUUGAAUUAUCAAUGCCUAGCUAAGGGUGUUAAACAAUAGCGCUUUUUGGGAGGCAACCCAAUGAAUUUAUCUUUUUCUUUCUGUUUUGUUGUGUCCACGCCAUCAUAAUUCUGUUGUGAUUGUGUUUUUUGGGUUUCUUUUUGUGUUUGAGCCAAGCAAAACCUUUAUGACUAGUCUUGGUAAUGGUUAUUUGAUCCUUCUGGAAAAAGACAGAAACUUUUCGCUCACGAGAUGAUUUUUCAUUUUUAUUCAGAAAGAGCUUUUGAGUUGAUUCUUUUUGCUGAUGGUUGAUAUGUAUUUUUCCCAGGCAGUCGUAAUUGUUCAUAUUUUUGUAGGUAACAGAAGUAUACGAAGUAUAUAGAUUGCUACAGACUGGUCUAUUUUUGACAGAUUCUGGUUUUGUUGAGUUGGUUGCUUGUUUUGAUGAAACUAUGGUUAGUAUCGGGGGGUACUAGCCAUGGAAAAGUGAGAAUACAAUAUCCCAACACCAACAUAGAUGGAAUUCAAGUUUCCUACAGUACCAAAAGAGGUGUUAGUUUAUUUUCUUGUGCUAAUGUUAUCACGAGUUUCUGUUUAAAUUUUGUGUUGUGAAGUUUUCAAGUUUUGGGUGAUGUUCUCAAGGACAAAGAGAUAAGGAGUGGAAAGAGCUCAAGCUUGGGUAUGCCCAAGGCAUCCCAAGCCAAAUUCAAGGACACCAAAAAUCCUAAGCUUGGGGAUGCCCUGGGAAGGCAUCCCCUCUUUCGUCUUCAGUUCAUCGGUAACAUUACUUGGAGCUAUAUUUUUAUUCACCACAUGAUAUGUGUUUUGCUUGGAGCGUCUUGUAUCGUAGGAGUCUUUUCUUUUUUUUGUUUCACAAUCAUUCUUGCUGCACACCUUUUUGAGAGAGAGAGAGAUGCACUCAUCGUGAUUUUGCUAGAAUGCUCAUAGUGCUUCACUUAUAUCUUUUGAGCUAGAUACUUUUUCUCUAUGUGCUUCACUUAUAUCUUUUAGAGCACGGUGCUGCGUGACUUGGUAGUUGGCUUAUGCUAUGAAAGUAGUCCCAAAGGUGAUAGGUACCCAAAGAGGAUGCAAAAACCUCCAUCUUGAUGUGCAUUGAGUAGAAAGAGAAGCCUUGAUUCCUCUCAAUUAGUUUUGAGACGUGGAUUUGGUAAUAUUAAGAGCUAUGUUAGUACGGUGUUGUGAAUCUAGAAGUACUUGUGUUGAAGUUAGUGAUUCCCGUAGCAUGCACGUAUGGUGAACCGCUAUGUUAGGAAGUCGGAGCAUAAUUGAUCUAUUGAUUGUCAUCCUUUGUGUUGAGGUCUUGAUCGCGUGAUGGUUAACACCUACCAACCCUUCCCCUAGGAGUAUGUGUUUAGCACUUUGUUUCGGUUACUAAUAAAAACUUUCGCAACAAGUAUGUGAGUUCAUCAUGACUAAUGUGAGUCCAUGGUAUAGAUGCACUUUCACCUUCCACCAUUGCUAGCCUCUUUAGCGCCGCGCAAUUCUCGCCGAUGCAAAAACCCACCAUAUGCCUUCCUCAAAACAGCCACCAUACCUACCUACUAUGGCAUUUUCAUAGCCAUUCCGAGAUAUAUUGCCAUGCAACUCCCACCGUUCCAUCUCAUGACUUGUGCCGUCACUCUCAUAUUGCCAUUGCAUCAUCGUAAGAUAGCUAGCGAGAUGUUUCCAACGUCAUACGCCAUGCUAGAUCGUUGCACAUCCCAGUACACUGCCGGAGGCAUUUCCUAUAGAGUCAUCAUCGUUCUAAGCUUUGAGCUGUGAGUAAAUAAAAGUGUGAUGAUCACCAUUAUUAGAGCAUUGUCCCAUGUGAGGAAAAAAAGAGAAGAAGAGGCCAAAGAGAGGGAAAAAAAGAGAAAAAAAGAGGCCUAAGAGCCCAAAUGAAAAAAAGAGAGAGAAAAAGAGAGAAGGGACAAUGCUACUAUCUUUUUCCACACUUGUGCUUCAUAAUAGCACCAUGUUCUUCAUGAUUGAGAGCUUUUUGCUUUGUGACUACCAUAUACUAGUGGGAAUCUUCAUUACAUAACUUGGUUUGUAUAUUCCAAUGAUGGGCUUCCUCAAAAUUGCCCUAGGUCUUUGUGAGCAAGCAAGUUGGAUGCACACCCACUAGGUUUCCUUUUGAGCUUUCACAUACUUAUAGCUCUAGUGCAUCUCUUGUAUGGCAAUCCCUACUCAUUCACAUUGAUAUCUAUUAAUGGGCAUCUCCAUAGCCCUUUGAUACGCCAAGUCAAUGUGACCAUCUCCUCCUUUUUGUCUCACAACCACCACCACACUCUAUUCCACCUAUAGUGCUAUAUCCAUGUCUCAUGCUCAUGUAUUGCGUGAUAGUUAUAAAAAGUUUGAGAAAGUAAGAGUGUGAAAACAAUUACUUGGCCAAUACCGGGGUUGUGCAUGAUUUACAUUGGUUGUGUGAGGAUGAUGGAGCAUAGCCAGACUAUAUGAUUUUGUAGGGAUAACUUUCUUUGGCCUUGUUAUUUUGAAAGUUCAUGAUUACCUUGCUAGUUUGCUUGAAGUAUUAUUCUUUUCAUGUCAAUAGCAAACUAUUGUUUUGAAUCUUACGGAUCUGAACAUUCAUGUCACGUGAAAUAAGUUGCAAAGGACAACUAUGCUAGGUAGCAUUCCACAUCAAAAAUUCAUUCUUUAUCACUUCCCUACUCGAAGACGAGCAGGAGUUAAGCUUGGGGAUGCUUGAUACGUCUCCACAUAUCUAUAAUUUUUAAUGGUUUCAUGCUAUUAUCUUGUCAAACUUUGGAUGUUUUGCAUGCCUUUUAUAUAUUUUUUGGGACUAACUUAUUAACUCGGUGCCAAGUGCCAGAUCCUGUUUUUUCCAUGUUUUUGACCCCUUUUAGAGGAGAUUUUGAAACGGACUCCAAACGGAAGAAAAUCCCCGAAAAGAUUUUUUCUGUAACGGAAGAAGAUCAGGAAGCUUGAGAGCCAAGGCAGGGGGGCCCAGGCGCCCCACAAGCCCUCACCUUGCGGCCAGGGGGGAGGCCGCAGCCCACAGGAUUUUGGGCCCCCGGGACGCCCUCUGCCCUAGGGUUUGCGCCUAUAUAUCCCCAAAAAUUCCACAAAAAAUCAAGAGAUCAUCGAAAUUACUUUUCCGCCACCGCAAGCUUCUGUCUCCGCAAGAUCCCAUCUGGGGCACGUUCCGGUGCCCUAUCGGAGGGGGGAUUCGGAUACGGAGGGCUUCUUCAUCAACACCAUGACCUCUCCGAUGAUGCGUGAGUAGUUCACCAUAGACCUACGGGUCCAUAGCUAGUAACUAGAUGGCUUCUUCUCUCUCUUGGAUCUUCAAUACAAAGUUCUCCAUGAUCUUCAUGGAGAUCUAUCCAAUGUAAUCUUCUUUUGCGGUGUGUUUGUCGAGAUCCGAUAAAUUGUGGAUUUAUUAUCAGAUUAUCUAUGAAUCUUAUUUGAGUUUCUUCUGAUCAUGUCAUCUUGCUUAAGGCAUUACUAUGUUCGUCAUGAACUCAAUACACUAGAUGCAUGUUAGAUAGCGGUCGAUGUGUGGAGUAAUAAUAGUAGAUGCAUAAAGUGUCGGUCUACUUGUCUCGUAUGUGAUGCCUAUAUGUAUGAUCAUUGCCUUAGAUAUCGUCAUGAAUUUGCGCGGUUCUAUCAAUUGCUCGACGGUAAUUUGUUCACCCACCGUGAUAUUUGCUAUUAUGAGAGAAGCCUCUAGUGAACACUAUGGCCCCCGGGUCUACUCCACACCAUCUUUUCAGCCUUACACUUUUUACUUAGUUGCACUUUCCGCCUUCAUAUCUCACUUUGCAAACAAUCUCGAAGGGAUUGACAACCCCUUUGAAGCGUUGGGUGCAAGCUCGUUUUUGUUUGCGCAGGUACUCUGGACUUGACGAGACCCUCCUUCUGGAUCGAUACCUUGGUUCUCAAAACUGAGGGAAAUACUUACUGCUCUUGUGCUGCAUCACCCUUUCCUCUUCAAGGGAAAAACCGACGCAAACAAGAGAAGUAGCAAGAAGAAUUCCUGGCGUUGCUUGGGAAGGACUUUUGUUGCCGUAGCACAUCUUCACAGAAGUGAAUAUCAUGGCCAUCAACAUUGUCGGACAAGAGAUAUUUGAUAAUAGCAAUGCUAGGUUCAACUCUAAUUUGCUCAGGGGGUGUAGGUGUUCUAAUGUAACCUCUACGUCUCACAUUUGAAGCUUUAGAAUGAUCUUUUAUCCUAACAGGGAAAGGUGGUUGCUCAAUGUAAGCACUAGGAACAAUAGGAUAAUUAUAGGCAAUGACUUUCUCUUCAACUGGAUUGGGUUUAACUACAUUGACUUCUAAGGGAGGAUGAUAUUUAAACCACUUCUCUUUGGGGAGAUCAAUAUGAGCAGAAAAUGAUUCACACAAUGAGGCUACUAUCUCUGAGUCAAGUCCAUAUUUAACGCUAAACUCACAAAAGGUAUUUGUUUCAACAAAGGAUUUAACGCAAUCAACCUUGAAAUUCAUACCUAACUCCUUACCUUCAUCAAGCUCCCAAUCUUCAGAGUUGCGUUUAAUUCUUUCCAAUAAAUUCCAUCUGAAGUCAAUAUCUCUCUUCAUAAAAGAACGGGUACAAGAAGUGUCAAGCAUGUUGCGAUCAUCAUGAGAAAGCCGAGCAUAGAAGUUCUGAAUGAUAAUUUCUCUCGAGAGCUCAUGGUUGGGUCAUGAAUAUAACAUUGAUUUAAGCCUCCCCCAAGCUUGAGUGAUGCUUUCUAUGUCAUGAGGCCAACAAUUAUAAUUAUAAUUCCGAUCACGAUGUACUAGAUGCAUAGGAUAAAUUUUUUGAUGAAAUUCCAAUUUCAACCGAUUGUAGUUCCAUGAUCCAGUAUCAUCACAUAGCCUAUACCAUGUCAACGCCUUAUCCCUCAAAGAUAAGGGAAAUACCUUCUUCUUGACCUCAUCCUCGGGCAAACCUGCAAGCUUAAAUAAACCACAAACUUCAUCUACAUAGAUUAGAUGCAAGUCUGGAUGUGAUGUUCCAUCUCCUACAAAAGCAUUAGCCAGCAGUUUCUCAAGCAUACCCGAAGGAAAUUCAUAGCAAAUAUUUUUAGUAGGUGCGGCAGGUUGAGGAGAAACUCUUUGUGCUUCCGUUCGAGGUGAAGAUACCCCGAACAAGCUCCUCAAAGGAUUAGUUUCCAUAGUAACAAGUGACAGUAAAUUUCAGCACACUAUAUAAAUGUUUCCUUUCCAAAUUCCACUUACGAAAGGCCCUUCACUCCCCGGCAACGGCGCCAGAAAAGAGUCUUUAUGACCCACAAGUAUAGGGGAUCUAUCAUAGUCCUUUCGAUAAGUAAGAGUGUCGAACCCAACGAGGAGCAGAAGGAUCUGACAAGUGGUUUUCAGCAAGGUAAUAUCUGCAAGCACUCAAAUUAUCGAUAACAAGUAGUUGUGUGGUGAGAUGAUUCAUAGCAAGUAGCAAGUAAAAAAGUAACAACAGUGCAACAAAGUGGACCAAUCCCUUUUGUAGCAAGGGACAAGCCUGGACAAACUCUUAUAGGAGGUAAAACGCUCCCGAGGACACAUGGGAAUUUCUAUCAAGCUAGUUUUCAUCAUGUUCAUCUGAUUCGCGUUCACUACUUUGAUAGGUUGAUAUGUGGGUGGACCGGCGCUUGGGUACUGCCCUUACUUGGACAAGCAUCCCACUUAUGAUUAACCCCUCUCGCAAGCAUCCGCAACUACGAAAGAAGAAUUAAGACAAAGUCUAACCAUAGCAUUAAACUAGUGGAUCCAAAUCAGCCCCUUACGAAGCAACGCAUAAACUAGGGUUUAAGCUUGUGUCACUCUAGCAACCCAUCAUCUACUUAAUACUUCCCAAUGCCUUCCUCUAGGCCCAAAUAAUGGUGAAGUGUUAUGUAGUUGAUGUUUACAUAACACCACUAGAGGAAAAACAACAUACAACACAUCAAAUUAUCGAACGAAUACCAAAUUCACAUGACUACUUAUAGCAAGACUUAUCCCAUGUCCUCAGGAACAAAAGUAACUACUCACAAAGCAUAAUCAUAUUCAUGACCAGAUACGUAAUGAGUAGCAUCAAAGAUCUGAACAUAUAAUCUUCCACCAAGUAAUCCAACUAGCGUCAACUACAAAGAGUAAUUAACACUACUAGCAACCUUACAAGUACCAAUCGGAGUCGCGAGACGGAGAUUGGUUACAAGAGAUGAACUAGGGUUUGGAGAUGAGAUGGUGCUGAUGAAGAUGUUGAUGGUGAUGAGUCCCCUCCAGUGAGAGGAGUGUUGGUGAUAACGAUGGCGACGAUUUCCCCCUCCGGAGGGAAGUUUCCCCCGCAGGAUCGUCCUGCCGGAGCUCUAGAUUGGUUCUGCUCAAGUUCCGCCUCAUGGCGGCGGCGAAUCCUCCGAAAAGCCUCUUGUUGAUUUUUUUUCUAGAAUGAAACCCUUCUUGUAGAAAAAGGGGGGAGCCAGAGGGCCAAGUGGGAGCCCACAAGCCCACUAGGCGCGACCAGGGGGGAGGCCGCGCCUAGCAGGCUUGUGGACUCCUACUGGCGCCCCUCUCGUACUUCUUCGACCCAUUAUUUUUUAUAAAUACCAAAAAAAAAUCCACAUUGAUUUUCACGGCUUUUGAAGUUGCGCAGAAUAGGUAUCGCAAACUUGCUCCUUUUUCAGGCCAGAAUUCCAGCUGCCGGCAUUCUCCCUCUUCAUGUAAACCUUGCAAAAUAAGAGAGAAAAGGCAUAAGUAUUGUACCUUGAAGUGUAAUAAUAGCCCAAAAAGCGAUAAUUAUCAACAUGAAAGCAUGAUGCAAAAUGGACGUAUCACGUACCCCUCCCGACGGGUCCGUGACAGACUGGAUAGAUGAUGAUGGUGACGACAACGUGUAGGUGCUUGAGGCGAUGCCACGUGUGACGGGGCCGCCUCGGGGCCAUCGUCGUGGAAAGAGCGAGGAGCUGUCGGCCGGGGGCCAGCUGGCCGUCAGCCAACUAGCCAGUUGCCACACGGAAGAGGAACGCCGUAGGGACACGCGGUCGGCCGAGGACUCGAUCGACACCCCAGCCACCAAGAAGGUUCAGUCGGCGGCGCUGCCGGCGGGCGCCCCUUGGUGCUGGGUAAGGUUUCUUUAAGGCUCAUGCCCCUUCUUUUCUUGCUUUCUUUGUCGUGUGGCAUUUGAGCUCGUGCUCUCUUGUCUUGUUUUGCUUUCUCAGUGAGGCUAUUCAGCUACCGGCGCCGGAUGCAUCGGCCCUUGGGGCCGAACAAGUAACGCCGCUUGCCAUGGAGCAUGCGACGAGGGCGCGGCUUGAACGGGAGUGUGUCGUUCAGCUUCGUGCGGCCAAGCCGAAGGCCUCGUAGGCUAUGACGACCGGAAUAAGCGUCCCCGUGGCUGGGGCAACAAGUGAUGCCACUGCUCCACAACACCGCCGGUCAGUUUUAUCGGUACUUUUGCUUGUCUUAGUCAUUUUUCCUGUGCACCCUGCUCCUUUGUCAUUUCUCCUGCCGGCCAGCCAGCUUGCGGAUUGUGACUGGGCGAAGAGUGGGCUGGUGGAGCCGAGGUGUUUGGUACUUUGGCUUUUGCAAGGCGGGUGUUGAAAAAACCGAGUAGCGUAGCCGGACCUGGCCCGCCCCUUGUCGAUAUUUCCUAUUCGCUCUGACCCUUUGCUUGUGCUCCUGCCAAACGGGCAACUAGGUUGUGGUCUGUAGCCAGCGAGGGUUGGGCUGCCGGUGCGGAGGUAUAGUACUUUGCCGAGCUGGGGUGGGAGUUGGGCGUCUCGUAGUCCCCGGGCCGGCUGGACCGAUCCGGGGAUGACCAAGAAAGUAAAAACAAUUGAAACAUGAGUAGGAUGGAAAAGGCAGUCUCUGAGUCCUGCUCUAGGGUGCCGGCUAUUCAUUGAUUUUCUUGAAAAGGGAACAUACAUAUGUUCACUUGCCUAACUGUAAAACGGGCGGAGGAGUUCCACGUUUCGUGGUCGCUCCGUCUCGGAGCCGGAUGCGUCCUUCUUGUUCUUUCUUGCCUUUUGAGCAUCGAUUAUAAAGUAGGCGUUAUUGCUCACUGACGGAUGUCCGUUGGAUCAGCAAGAGAACAAGGUCACCCUCUCGGAAUGAGAGAGGGCUUGACCCGCUGGCUACGGUAGCGGCGUAGGCCUUGCUGAUAGAUGGUUGUUCUGGACAGUGCCAGCUCGCAUGCCUCUUCGAGGAGGUCGACGUCGUCUUCUCUGGCCUCUUUGGCGUCAGCCUCGGUGUGCAGGGUGACCCGAGGCGAAUCGAACUCGACGUCGUUGAGGAUGAUCGCCUCGGCCCCGUACACCAAGAAGAAUGGGGUGAAGCCGGUCGACCGGUUGAGCGUGGUUUGCAGGCUCCACAACACCGCCGGCAGUUCCUCGACCCAGGCACCGGCCGAGCGCUUGAGUGGCUCGACAAGCCUGGGUUUCAGGACGACCAGGAUGAGGCCGAUUGCCCGCUCUAGCUGGCCGUUUGACUGCGGCUGGGCCACGGACGAGAGGUCCAGCCGGAUUCCGUGCUCGCUGCAGUAGCGGGCGAGCGCAGGCUUGGCGAAGUUGGUCCCAUUGUCGAUGAUGAUGAUGCUGGGGAGGCCAUAGUGAACGGCUAUGUCCUUGAUGAACGUGACGACCGUUGGGCCAUCGAGCUUCUCUAUUGGCUUGGCCUUGAUCCACUUUGUGAACUUGUCGACUGCCACCAGGAGAUGUGUCACACCGCCUCGGGCGGUUUUGAACAGGCCCAUCAUGUCCAACCCCCAGAAGGCAAAGGGCCGCGUGAGGGGGAUGGUUUGCAGGGCCGCGGCCGUCUGGUGGAUGCGCGCUUUGAAAUGCUAGCAGCCAUUGCACUUGUCAAUUAAUGCCUUGGCGUCCUUCAGGGCGGACGACCAAUAGAAACUGUGGCGGAAUGCCUUGGCCGCCAGGGAGCGUGAGGAGGCAUGGUGGCCACACUCGCCCUGGUGGAUGCCGAGGAGGAUAUCGUGGCCUUUGUCUGCCUCGAUGCAGUGCUGGAACACGCCAGUCACGCUGCGCUUGACGAGCUCGUUGUUGAUGAUGGUGUAGGUGGCAGAGCGUCUUUGGAUUAUCCGGGCCACGACUUCAUCGGCAGGCAGGGUGCCAUUCUCGAUGUAGUCGAGGAAGGGUUGCGCUCAGGAUAGGGCUGUGACCACCGUGAGCAUGGCCACCAUGAUUGGGUUUGCUGCGGCGGGGACGGCACGCGGUUGGCCGCCUGCCGCAGUCCCCGAGUCGGGCUGGAGGGAUCCCAGGGGAGGGUCGGCAGCCCUCGGGCCGGCUAGAGUAGUCGAUGCGGUGGCGGUAGUCGGCUGACCAGCUGCCGUAGUCCCCGAGUGGGACGGGGCAGUUCCCGCGUCAGCGCCGGCAGCCCCCAGGGCCGGCGGGGCAGCCCCCGGGUCUGCCGGGAUGAAUAUGUACUCGGAUUCCGGAGAGAGCGUGAUGGAGGGCUUCCGCAGGUUCUCAAGAGAUACGUCGACUGGGAUUGGUUGCCGGGUGGAGACGAUUUGUUGAGUGUGUCGGCGGCCUCGUUGCCGGAUCGGAGGAUGUGGUGGAACUCGCGGCCUUUGAAACCGCCGGUCAGUUGUUGCACCAGAAAGCGGUAGCUGCCCAUGUUUGCGUCUCUCGCGUCCCACUCACGAGUGACUUGCUGCACCACCAGGUCGAAGUCACCUAAGAAAAGGAUUCGUCGGACGCCGAUUUCCCUAGCCAACCGGAGGCCAUGGGUGAGCGCUUCAUACUCCGCCACGUUGUUGGACGCAACAAAGUGGAUCUUCAUGACGUACUGGAGCUGGUUACCCUUAGGGGACGAGAGGAUGAUGCCAGCCCCAAGGCCGGUGCGCAUCUUCGAGCCAUCGAAGUGCAUGCGCCAAUGGGUUGAGUCUGGAGGCGGCCGUAGGUACUCCGUUUCGGCCUAGUCGACGAGGAAAUCCACCAAGGCCUAUGACUUUACGACGGUGCGGGACUCGUAGGCGAUGUGGUGGUCGGCCAGCUGGAGAGCCCACUUGGCGAUUCGGCCGGCUACGUUCCUGUUGCCCACGAUCUCUCCGAGGGUAGCGGUGCUCACCAAAGUGAUCGAGUGCUCCUCGAAGUAAGGCUUGAGCUUCUUGGCAGCCAGGAACACGACGUAGCACAUCUUCUGAUAGUGCAGCUAGUUCUACUUGGAGGCGGAGAGCACCUCGCUCAGGUAGUAGACAGGUCGUUCGACCAGCUGCGCCCGGCCCGGCUCGGAGCGCUCGACGGUCAUGACUAUACUGACCACUCGGAUGGUCGCGGCGAUGUAGAGCAAUAUCGGCUCCUUAUCCACUGGCGAGGCCAGCAUGGGCACGAUGGUGAGUGCACGCUUGAGGUCGCGCACGGCCUCAUCCGCCCGGUCGCUCCAGACAAACUCGUCCGCCUUCUUGAGCAGACGAUAGAGAGGGAGGGCCUCCUCCCCUGGUCGGCUGAUGAAGCAGCUGAGCGAGGCGAGGCAGCCAGUGAUCUUUUGGAUGUCAGCCAAGUUGGCCCGGAUCUUCUCGGGGAUGGCCUCUAUCCCUUGUUCCAAAAUGACGAAACCGAGGAGCUGGCCGGAUGGUAAGCCGAACACGCACUUUGCCGGCUUCAGCCGGAUUUUGAACUCGCGUAGAUUCACAAAUGUCUCCUUGAGAUCAUCCAGGGGGUGCGAUUUUCCUUGGUUUUGACCACAACGUCGUCCAUGUAGACGUGUACAUUGCGGCCGAGAUGCCUAUAGAGGCAUUGCUGCAUGCAACGCUGAAACGUGGCGCCAACAUUUUUCAGCUCGAAUGCCAUCGUAACAUAGCAGAAUGCCCCGAAUGGGGUUAUGAAAGUUGUCUUGAUCCGGUCGGUCGGAUUCAGCUUGAUCUGGUGAUAGCCUGAAUAGGCGUCUAAGUAGGACAGUAGCUCGAAGCCAGCCAUCGAGUCGAUCACUUGAUCCAUACGGGGCAGAGCAAAAGGAUCCUUGGGGCAUGCCUUGUUUAGGCUCGUGUAGUCGAUACUCAUGCGCCAAGUCUUGUUCUUCUUCAGCACCAGGAAUGGGUUCGCCACCCAAUCCGGGUGGAAGACUUCCAUGAUGAAUUCAAAUGCCAGUAGCCGGGUGAUUUAUUCACCGAUGGUUUUUUGCUUCUCCUCUGAGAAGCGGCGCAACGGUUGAUUAACCAGUUUUGCGUCUGACCGGACGUGCAAGAAGUGCUCGGCGUACUUCCUCGGGACUCGUGGCAUGUCCUUUGGGGCCAUGCGAACAUAUCCCGAUUCUCACGGAGGAAGUCGACGAGCUCAAUUUCCUAUUUGCUGCUGAGACCAGCCCCACCACGACGUACUUGCCGGUGGGGUCGGCCGGGUCCUCGGGCCCCUCUUGGUGUCCUUGCCGGAGGCCGGCUGGAACUGGGCCUGUGUGGCGGGCUGCUUAAGCUUCGGCUCUGAGAGGGGCGCCGUCUCACAGGCUAGUGCCACGAAACGAUCGAUCUGUCACUGCUCCUCGAUGAUAACGAAGGAUUCGGCCAACUUGGAGACGGCCAUGGUGCACUCGGUCGAGUUCUUCUAGUCACCGGAGACGGUGACAAUGUCGUGUGGACCCGGCAGCUUCAUCUUGAGAUAAGCAUAGUGGGAGACAACCAUGAACUUGGCCAGGGGGACGGAACGAGAGCGCAUGGUAGCGGCUAGUGAGGUCGACCACCUCGAACCAUAUGGUCUCGCGACGGAAGUUCUUCGGAUAGGCCGAACAACACGUACAGUCGGACCUUGCUGGUCCGGGAGUGAUAAUCCCCAAGUGCAAGGAAUCAUUGUAGCAAUUUCAAAAGGUGGAAGUGAUAAGUAUGGAGUGUUGCACCCACAAGGAGCUAAAGGUAAGAGCAAUAUUCUCUCAAGAGCUAUCUUCCACUCAUACAACACUAUGUACGCUGAACGUUUGCUUCCAACUAGGAACGAGAAAUGAAACUACGUUGUGGGUAUGAAAAGAAUAGCUUUGCAUGACAUCGGACAACUAAAAUAUAAAAAUAGGUGUUGUUAUCAUAAAGUUAGAAUAUAUUACAAUAUAUUAGAAAUAGUGAGUGUGGAAUAAUGAUGGGUCGGUGUGCGGAAUUGUCCUAGGCAAUUGUUAACAAGAUCGGUAAUCAUUCUUGCAAUUUUAUAUGAGGGAGAGGCAUAAGCUAACAUAAUUUCUCUACUUUGAUCAUAUGCACUUAUGGUUGGAACUCUAGCAAACAUCUGCAACUAUUAAAGAUCAUUAAGGUGAAACCCAACCUUAUCAUUAAAGCAUCUCAACAACCCAGCUACUCGGGUUUAUGCUUGUGUCACUCAAGCAACCCACUAUAAGUGAAUCAUGAACGUAUUGGAACACCAUACAACAAGAGUCCCUCAUGCUUGCGCGACACGGAGAGCACCAUAGGACAACACCAAUAAUAAAGCAUACAACUUAAACCAAUCUAGAUCAUCAAUCGACCCAUAAUACCAAGGGAAUCUACUCAAAACAUCAUAGGAUGGCAACACAUCAUUGGAUCAUAAUAUGUGGCAUGGACCACCUGUUGGAGAACGUCGCAUGGGAAACAAAAAAUUUCCUACGCGCACGAAGACCUAUCAUGGUGAUGUCCAUCUACGAGAGGGGAUGAGUGAUCUACGUACCCUUGUAGACCGUACAGCAGAAGCGUUAGAGAACGCGGUUGAUGUAGUGGAACGUCCUCACGUCCCUCGAUCCGCCCCGCGAACAAUCUCGCGAUCAGUCCCACCAUCUAGUACCGAACGGACGGCACCUCCGCGUUCAGCACACGUACAGCUCGACGAUGAUCUCGGCCUUCUUGAUCCAGCAAGAGAGACGGAGAGGUAGAAGAGUUCUCCGGCAGCGUGACGGCGCUCCGGAGGUUGGUGAUGACCUUGUUUCAGCAGGGCUCCGCCCGAGCUCCGCAGAAACGCGAUCUAGAGGAAAAACCGUGGAGGUAUGUGGUCGGGCUGCCGUGGAAAAGUCGUCUCAAAUCAGCCCUAAAACCUCCGUAUAUAUAGGUGGGAGGGAGGGGGCCUUGCCUUGGGGCUCAAGGAGCCCCAAGGGGGUCGGCCGAGUCCAAGGGGGAGGACUCUCCACCCCCAAACCGAGUUGGACUAGGUUUGGUGGGAGGGAGUCCCCCUCCCUUCCCACCUCCUCCUUUUUUUUUUUUUUUNCCGAGAUUCGAUCGUCAGUAUCCGCAUACCUAUUUCAAUCUCGUUUACCGGCAAGUCUCUUUACUCGUUCCGUAAUACAAGAUCCCGAACUUACACUAAGUUACAUUGCUUGCAAGGCUUGUGUGUGAUGUUGUAUUACCGAGUGGGCCCCGAGAUACCUCUCCGUCACACGGAGUGACAAAUCCCAGUCUUGAUCCAUACUAACUCAACUAACACCUUCGGAGAUACCUGUAGAGCAUCUUUAUAGUCACCCAGUUACGUUGCGACGUUUGAUACACACAAAGCAUUCCUCCGGUGUCAGUGAGUUAUAUGAUCUCAUGGUCAUAGGAAUAAAUACUUGACACGCAGAAAACAGUAGCAACAAAAUGACACGAUCAACAUGCUACGUCUAUUAGUUUGGGUCUAGUCCAUCACAUGAUUCUCCCAAUGACUUGAUCCAGUUAUCAAGCAACAACACCUUGUUCAUAAUCAGAAGACACUGACUAUCAUUGACUAACUGGCUAGCCAACUAGAGGCAUGCUAGGGACGGUGUUUUGUCUAUGUAUCCACACAUGUAAAUGAGUCUUCAUUCAAUACAAUUAUAGCAUGGAUAAUAAACUAUUAUCUUGAUACAUGAAUUAUAAUAAUAACCAUAUUUAUUAUUGCCUCUAGGGCAUAAUUCCAACACCACCAUGUUCAAUUAGGGGAUCACAACGGGUGCGGGAGAGUGGACCGCUCAAAAAAGACGAGGAUGGUGAUGAAGAAGGUGAUGUUGAUGAAGACGGUCACCGCAGCGAUGGUUCCCCCGGUGGCACUCUGGCACCACCGGGAGAGCGGGAGAGAGGGUCUCCACCUUUUGCCUCCUCCUCCAUGGCCUCCCCCAAGGUGGGGAGAGGUUCUCCCUCUGGUUCUUUGCCUCCAUGGUGAUGGUGGCCCCUCCGUCUUCCUCCUCCAUGGUGUCCGGUGAUGGUGACCCCCUCCGGCAGGGUGCCAAAGAGGGCCAAGAUUGGUUUUUCGUGGCUCUGGAGGCUUGCGGUGGCGGAACUCCCGAUCUAGGUUUCUUUCUGGGGGUUUUGGGAUUUAUAUGAUUUUUUGGCAUCGGUCUCACAUCAAGGGGACUCUCGAGGGAUCCACAAGCCACGGGUGUGCCCUAGGGGGUGCCCUAGGCUUGUGACUGCCUCGGGACUCCUCUCUGGUAUCUUUUUGCUCCACUAUUUUUUAUAUUUUCCAAAAAUAUUUUCCGUAAAUUUUCAGCCCAUUCGGAGAACUUUUAUUUCUGCACAAAAACAUCAUCACGGUAGUUCUGCUGAAAACAGCGUGAGUUAGGGUUAGUUCUAAUAAAAUCAUAUAAAAUUAUUGUGAACAUGGCAUGUAUACUUCAUAAAUUAUAGAUACGUUGGAGAUGUAUCAGCAUCCCCAAGCUUAAUUCUUGCUCGUCCUCGAAUAGGGAAAUGAUAAAAGAAACAAUUUAUGAAGUGUGAAUGCUAGCAUAGUGCAUAAAUUUGAUCAAUGAUAGUUCCAAAGACUUGUGCUAGCAUCACUAUAUAUCAUAAACAGUAGCUCAUCUCAUAAAACUUCUCAUGAUGAAGUAACAAGCUAUUCACAUGUUAAAGUAUAGACCAUAAAGUUUCUUGAAAACUAACAAACUAUGCUUUCGGUGACCAAACAUUUGCAAUUCAUCUUAUUUUCGGGAAGGGUCUAUGUAAGAGCUUUUGAUUUAGCAAAUUCCACAUACUCAACUAUCAUAUAGUCUUCCAUGAUUCCUAACACUCAAAUCAUAUUUUUAGAGCAAAUGGCAUUCGUCGAACAGAGAGAAAGAUAGGGGCUUAAAGUGUCGCCUUCCAACUUAUUUAUCAUAUAGAUAGUUGUGAACAAUACUAAUUCAUGAACAAAUAUAUUUGAAUGGACAUAUAUGCUUGGAUCUUUCCCCAGCACAUGAUGUUUGCCAAGAGGAAAAGGCGAAAUAUAGGAAGUGCUGAAGAUCACCAUGAAUCUUGUAUAAAGGUAAGUACUGUAAAGUAAAAGAUAGGCCCUUCGCAGAGGGAAGCAUUGAUUUGCAGAGGUGCCAGAGCUCGAGCUUUUAGAACAGAGAUGAGUAAUAAUUUUGAGUGGUAUGAUCUCAUUGUCAACAUAACAACCGAGAGAUCUCGGUAUCUUCCAUGAUAGAUACAUUAUAGGCAGUUCCCAAACAGAAUGUUAAAUUUUUUACUCCCCCUCCACCAAUCAAUCACACUCCACGGCGAUCCAAAUCCACAAGUACCGUCCAUACAAACAACAAUCUUGGGGUGUUUUGUUUCAUUAUAUUUUGAUUUGAUUUUUGAGCAUGGAACUAGGCAUCCAGAAUACCAGCCACUCUCUCGUGAAUGAUAGUGAAUCAACACAUAUCGUGAGAAUAACCCACCUAGCAUGGAAGAUAUCGAUAGCCUCUACUCACUACAUGAGCGAUUCAGGCAUACAAAACAAAAUAUUAUUUGAAGGUUUAGAGUUUGGCACAUGCAAAUUUACUUGGAAUGGCACAUAAAUACCGCAUAUAGGUAGAUAUAGUGGACUAUCAUGGCAAGAAACUGAGUUUAAGGGUUUUUGGAUGCACAAGUAGUAUCCCUACUUAGUACGAAGUGUUGGCUAGCAAAAGGUUCUAAACAAGCACCACAUGUUGGAGGAUCCAUAACAAUAUAACUUCUAUGAAAAUAUACCCAAACAUAACUCAUUAAGUUGUCUUCCUUGUCCAACUUCAACUAAUUUUGUGAAGUUUGAAAAUAAUUAAUGGGGCUCACAAUCAUAGGAGAUGUCCAAGAUAGAAUAUUUAUAUGUGGAAUCUCUCUUCCUUCAAUAUUCUUUCAUGAAUUGUUCAAGGGACCAAUGCGGUGUUUGCUAACUUUUAAUAAAUUUUAGCACCUAUACUUCUUAUAUGUGAAGUCAUUACUACCCAUGGGAUAAGAAUUCAAAACAUAUAUAAUUUUAAAUUUAUGAUAUCAAAUUUAAUCAACUAUUUACUCAUAGGAUAUAAGUGAAGCACGAGAUUAAAUGACAAAGCUACUCCCAAACAUAUAAGUGGAGAUCAAUGAGUAGUCAAACAAUUAAGUAGCUAUGUGAGGAUUUUCUCCGUCUCUCGCAAUAAAGAUUUUCAGAUCUGAGUAUUUUGUUUAAACAGUAAGCAAAAGAAAAAUAGCACUCCAAGAAUAGGACGUGUCAUGUGAACGAAUAAAAAUUUAGGCUCAACAUAAUCUAACUGAUAGUUCACGAAGAGAGGUGGAUUGCGUAGCCUCCCCAACCUGAGUGUUCUUGAAAUAUUUACUUGGGGUGCCUUGGUCAUCCCCAAGCUUGAGCUUUCGUAUCUUGUUCAAUCCUCUCAUAUCAUGGUUUCACCUAUUCUCAAAAGUUUCAUCCACACAGAUCUCGAAAAUAACUCGUGAGAUAGGUUAGUACACACUAUAAUAAAUCAACUCUUCAUGUACUGCCAAGACAAGUUGUAUAAUAAUUUUCAAACAUCAUCUACUGUUUACUAUCAUUUCCACAAUUUAUAUCUACCAAUAUAUGCUGUGGAAACUAUAGGAUAAGUAGAUAACAAAACUAUGACAGCAAUCUGUCCAAACAGAACAGUCUAUAGCAAUUUAUGAAAACAAUGUACUUCUGUAACUCAAAAUAGUUUGAAAAUUUUGGACAUUCUAUAAAAUUUAUAUGAAAACACUAUGUAAAUAUUUCAGAAACUUUCCACGUUCUAGUAAAAUAUGAAAAUUCCAAUACUAUAAAAAGAGUUUCUGUUUUUACACAGCACACAUCAAACCAUGCAAUGCAAGCAUCCUAAUGCAAUUCUUGGAACUUUUUUAUUGAAAACAAAAUUAUAAAUAACACCUAACAUAAAUAAACAAAACAAAAUGACGCUCCAAGAAAAACUCAUAUUAUGUGACGAAUAAAAAUAUAGCUCUAAGUAAGAUUAUCGAUAGCGUUGGAGACAAAAGAGGAGAUGCUUCCGGAGCAUCCUCAAGCUUAGGCACUCCAGUCUUCCAUGGAUAGGACCUGGGGGGUGCCUUGGGCAUCCCCAAGCUUAGGUUCUUUUCACUCCUUCUUCUCCUCAUAUCGGUGUCUCACCCAAAACUUGAAAACUUCAAUCACACUUAACUUAAUGGAACUUCGUGAGAAGGGUUAGUGUAAUAAAGAUAGAUCAUUCACUUUGGUACUGUGAAGACAAGAUUCAUAAUUGUUACCACAUGAUACCUACUGUAUUCUAUCAUUUCCAUAAUUUAUAUUACUGAAUAUAAGCUGUGGGAACACCAAAAUAAGCAAACUAUGCAUGCAAAACAGAAUCUGUCAAAAAUAGAACAGUCUGUAAAGAUCUGUAGUAUAGCCAUACUUUCCUGCAUCUAAAAAUUCUGACAAAUUAGGACAACCAGAAGUUUUUGGAUAUAAAGACUGUGUCAAAAUUUCAAAUCAUUAUUAUGCUCCAGUAAAAAAUUAAAAUUCAUGUACUAGAGUCAAAAGUUACUGUUUUGGUUCAACAUCAAUUCUACUCAUCUUGUGAGUCAUCCCAAAGGCUUUACUUGGUACUUUAUUGAAAUAAAAGACACAAAACAUGAUUACUACAGUAUCUUAAUCAUGUGAACUCAAAAAAACAGAAGGUAAACGUGUUGGGUUGUCUCCCAACAAGGGCUUUUCUUUAAUGUCUUUUAGCUGGGCAUGGUUAUUUCAAUGAUGCUCUUCCAAGCCUAAAUACGAUGAUGAUUUUAUUCACACUCUAAAAGAUAUAAGUGAAGUUCAUAUAGAAUUCUACAAUUAAUAUAGAUCAACCAAUAUCCAUGCUGAAAAUAUAUAAGUGAAGCACACGAAGCAUUCUAUAAGGCCAUACUCAAAAGAUUUAAGUGAAGCACGAAGAGCAUUCUAUAGAGCCAUACUCAAAAGAUUUAAGUGAAGCACAAAGAGCAUUCUACAAUGCCAUACUCAAAAGAUUUAACUGAAGCACAUGAAGCAUUAUAUAAAUCAAUAAAGGACUAUCUCAUGCUAGACGGGUGCAUAAAAGGAGAAGAAAAACACUAAGGACACAUAUCAUGUGAACAAAACAAAAACCGAGGUAUACCGAUAAUUGUGGAAGAAUAAAGAUGGGAUGCCUUCCAGGGCAUCCCCAAGAUUAGAUGCUUGAGCCUCCUUGGAAUAUUUACUUGGGGUGCCUUGGGCAUCCCCAAGAUUGAACUCUUGUCUCCGUGUAUUCAUCUUUUAUUGAUACCUCCUCGAUCUUCGAAAACUUCAUUCAUACAGAACUUAACAAAACCCUCGUGAGAUCCGUUAGUAAAAUAAAGCAAAAUACUACUUUAAGUACUGUUGUGAACUCAUUCCAAAUUCAUAUUAGAAUUAUAUCUACUGUAGUCCAACUUCACAAUGGUUCAUACCCCCAGUACUACCCAUAUAUUCAUCAAAACAAGAGAACAAUGCAUAGAAAACAAAAUUUGUCAAAAAGAGGAGAGUCUAUAGUAAUCUGGAAACUUUGUAUACUACUGUAAAUCAAACAAUUCCGAAUAAGUUGGAAGAAAUAAAAAAUAUUCAUAGAAGUAGUGUGUAAAAAGUUCAGAAACUUUUUACAUUCCAGUAAAAAACGUAAAUUCACGCACUACAACGAAAGUUUCUGUUUUUGCACUUCACACACCAAACAAGCAAUCUAAUCAUCCUAAUGGCAAAUCUUGGCAUGUUACUUUUAUAAUACAAUGGAUAUAUACAAGGGGAUAAUUAUUUUUGAGAAACUUCCAUCAAAAAUUCUACAUUGCUUACAUGAUCAUGAACACAAGUGUUCAAGGUCGACCCUCACUUCCCCAAUGCACAACCUUCCAAUCACUUCUCUUUUUGAAAACUUCUUAGGCAUAAGAGGCAAGUAAAUAUUUUUGUAUUUUUAAUUAUUUUUUUAGUUUCACCCACAAAUAAAUAAAUCAAAAUGGGAAAAAAUCUACUUAGUGAAGAAAUCAAACAAGCACAUUCGAGAAUAUCAACCCCACGCUAUUGCUCCCCGAAAACGGCGCCAGAAAAGAGCUUGAUAAUCCCCAAGUGCAAGGAAUCAUCGUGGCAAUUUCCAAAGGUGGAAGUGAUAAGUAUGGACUGUCGAACCCACAAGGAGCUAAAGGUAAGAGAAAUAUUAUCCCAAGUCCUAUAUGCCACUGACACUACUCUACGUACGCCGAACAUUUGCUUCCAACUAGGAAGGAGAAAUAAAACUACGUUGUGGGUAUGAAGAGAAUAGCUUUGCAUGACAUCGAAGAACUAAAAUAUAAAAAUAGGUGCUUUUAUCAUAAAGCUAGAAUAUGUUACAAUAUAUUAUAAAUAGCGAGUGUGGAAUAAUGAUGGGUCGGUGUGCGGAAUUGUCCUAGGCAAUUGUUAAGUAGAUUGGUAAUCAUUAUUGCAAUUUUACAUGAGGGAGAGGCAUAAGCUAACAUACUUUCUCUACUUGGAUAAUAUGCAGUUAUGAAUGGAACUCUAGCAAGCAUCCGCAACUACUAAAGAUCAUUGAGGUAAAACCCAACAAUAGCAUCAAGUCCCCUUUCUCCCAUACGCAACAACCCACCUACUCGGGUUUAUGCUUCUGUCACUCUAGCAACCCACUAUAAGAGAUCAUGAACGUAUUGCAACUCCCUACAGCGAGAAUCCCUCACGCUUGCACGACACGGAGAGCGUCAUAAGACAGAACCAAUAAUAAAUCACGCGACUCAAACCAAUCUAGAUCAUCAACCAACCCAUAAGACAAAGGGAAACUACUCAAAACAUCAUACCAUGGCAACACAUCAUUGGAUCAUAAUAUGUGGCAUGAAGCACCAUUUUCAUGUAGGGGAUUAUAGCGGGAUGCGGGAGAGUGGACCGCUAAAAAGAAGAUGAGGAUGGUGAUGAAGAAGGUGAUGUUGAUGAAGACGAUCACCGCGGUGAUGGUUCCCUCGAUGGCACUCGGCACCACCGGGAGAGAGGGGGAGAGGAUCUCCCCCUUGUGGCUCCUCCCCCAUGGUUUUCCCCCCAAGGUGGGGAGAGGUUCCCCCUCUAAUCCUUGGCAUCCAUGGUGACGAUGGCCCCUCCGUCUUCCUCCUCCAUGGUCUCCGGCGAUGGUGACCCCUCCGGCAGCGUGCCGGAGUGGGUCAAGAUUGAUUUUUCGUGGCUCUAGCUUGCGGUGGCGGAACUCCCGAUCUAGGUUUCUUUCUGGGGGUUUUGGGUUUUAUAGGAAUUUUUGGCGUCAGUCUCACGUCAAGGGGACUCCUGAGGGACUCCUCGGGAGUCCUCUCUGGUAUCUUUUUCCUCCAGUAUUUUUUAUAUUCUCCAAAAAUAUUCUUUGUAAAUUUUCAGCCCAUUCCGAGGAUUUUUAUUUAUGCACAAAAACACCACAUUAGUUCUGCCGAAAACAGCGUCACUCCGGGUUAGUUCUAAUAAAAUCAUACCAAAAUCAUAUAAAAUUAAUGUAAACAUGGCAUGAAUACUUUAUAAAUUAUAGAUACGUUGGAGACGUAUCAAGGAGCAAGAGUGGCUGGGGACGAUGUCGUGGAAAACUGUCCGGGUCGGCUGGAGCUCGGACUCCAGGAUGCCGAGCUUGUCCAUGGUGUCGCGGUAGAGGAUGUUGAUGCUGCUACCUCCCUUGAUGAGCAUCGGUGCGAAACCGGGAGGUGCUCCGUGUGGAGACGAAGGUGGGGUCGAGAACCAGCGCGUAUCCGCCUCGCGUGGGCAUCACAGGAGAAUGGUCUUGGCACCGAAGGUGACGGGCUUGUUCAACCAUUGCAUGUACUCUGGGACAGGAGGAACGAUGAUGUUGACCUACAGCGCGUGACGGCGCUCGCUGUGCUUGUCGUCGUCUUCAGUGGUGAAGACACGUACGUCGCGUCUUGCUGGGGGUAGUCGUCCCGAGCGCCGCCGGCUCCCAGAGCGGGUGGUGGUGGUGGCGGCUGCGACACGGGAGGCAAAGCCUCGUCCCGCACGAUCUUGGUGAACCAGCUGCACUGGCGUCCCGUGUGCGCUGCGGGCUUGGCCCCGUUGUCGAACUUGCAGGGUCCGUCGAGCAUGGACUCGAAUUUGUACUUGCUGUGCCAUGGAUGCUUGCCCUCAUUGGUGCACUGACGCCGGCUGGCGCCUUGGCCGUCAUCCAUACAGCCGUCGGCUGGUGCCUUGGCGGGCGUACGGCUGGUCUGCCUUACGCUUGCCCUGGUCUGGCUGGUAUCGGACGGCAGCCGGGGUGGCAGCCGGCUUGGCGGCGGUCGGCUUGGCGGUCAUGUCGACAUGCACUCGGAGCUUCAUGGAAGACUCGGUCAUGGCGUAUUGGUCGACGAUGGACAUUAGUUGCACCAGGGUCGCCGGCUCCCGGCGCACGAGUUUGCUUGAGGAGGGUGUCGUCCCGGCAGCCGUAGAUGAAGUACUGCAUCGCUUGCAACUCGUGGAUGCCAUCGCAGGAAUUUCGGAGCUCGUCCCAUCGCGUUACGUAGUCGUGGAGAAGCUCGUCCGGCCCGUGCACGCACAACGUGAGCUGGUGAGGCCGGCCCGGACGCUUGUAGGUGCCGAUGAAGUUGCACACAAACGUCUCCUAGAAGUCCAGCCAGCCGUUGACGCUGUCGGCCGGAAGGCUGUUAAGCCAGGUCCGAACCGAGCUCAGUAGCAUGUGGGGCGCGUAGCACACUGCCACACGCUUGUUGCCGCUGGCGAUGCCGACAGCGGUGGUGUAGUCGAUCAACCAUUCUUCCUGCUUGGUCAAACCGUUGUACUUGGGAGUGUCGCGCGCCAAGGUUAAGCCCUUAGAAAACGACUCCUUUAGGAAGCGCGGCCCGAAGCAGGACCGGCCAGCUGUGCCUUCCUCCUCGGCGGCUUGGGACCCGGCGAUGCACGCCAUAUGGAAGCGGGCAUCCUGGUCGUCCAGCUGACGCACGUCGACACGCUUGGAUACGGGGUGACGGGAAGGCGGAUGCUCGGCCUCCCGGUCGCGGUCCUCGCAUUGAUUCCUCCGUGUGGGCUGGUGGUCGCCCUGGCCAGUCGGCUCCCUCACACGGCUGUCGACAACUGAUGGGUUGUGGUCUCGCCGACCGUGUCUGCCCGCGCCAACUGUCAUGGUGCUGGUCGGUGUUGGCAGGUAAAGAUGCGUGAUUCGGGUCCCGCCGACUGGCCGCAAGCUAGUAGGGGCCAAUGAGGUCGUUGUUGGUCCUCGAGCGGGAGCCAGUCGUGCCGCGGAGCGACUGGCUUGCCUGCUCGUGGUGCGCGUUGGCAGCCUCCAUGAGAGCGCGGAUGUGCUCCUGCUAUGCCUCAAGGGUCGGGCCGUCGAGCCCCCUAGCUAGCCGAGGGCGGCCUCUGCGGCCCUCAUGUUCUUGACGGGGGUAUCGUAGACGGGGCAGCCGCCUACCAGCUACUGGCCAACGGCACCGCCGCAGCGCCGCACUUCCGCCACCCGGCUGGGUGCGAUGUCAGCCAGCGUGAGGCCAUGGGCCACAUUGAAAUCGUGCUGAGCAGCCUCGAACUUGCUUUGGGUCGCCUCCAACGCUUCCGCCUCCGCGAGAAGGCGCUCGCGGUGGUUGUCCAGUUCCGCGGUUGCGGCCGCAGGGUCAGCCACAACCAGGAUGGGCACGCGUAGUGUGUCUAGUGAAGCGCAAAGAGGGGUGCGGUACGCGGACGUACCACCCAGGGAGAUGGCAAUCAUUACCUCCACACGGAUGCAUAGGACGUCGAUGUCGCUAGAGAGGUCGUCGUCGGACGACGACAUGACAUCACCACAUGACGGCAGACGACGGGUUACUCGUCGGAGAUGACGGCGACAUAGAAGCGGUGGGACCCGAAGGCGACGAAGGAGCCGUUGUCGGGGAAGUCUGCAUCCUCGAGGCGAUGGGCGUUGUCCUUGACACAGUUGAGUGCGUCGUAGCACAGGAGCAAGCCAUGCGCCACGCGCUCGCCAGAAAGGGUUACGGGUCCCGCCCAGAACGUCACUCCGGCCUGCAUCGCUGCCGGCCCUACGGUGGGCACCAACUAUCAUAGUAUUUCCGCGGCAGAUGCCAGGGGGUGGCUUAGAACAUGGUUUGGGGCCGAUGGGUGUGAUACAUCUCCACCGUAUCUAUAAUUUAUGAACUAUUCAUGCCAUGUUUACAAUAAUUCUAUAUGAUAUUGGUAUGAUAUUAUUAGAACUAACCCGGAGUGACGCUGUUUUCAACAAAGCUACCGUGUUGUUAUUUUUGUGCAGAAAUAAAAGUUCUCAGAAUGGGCUGAAAAUUUACGGAGAAUAUUUUUGGAAAAUAUGAAAAAUAAUGGAGCAAAAAGAUACCGGAGAGGAGUCCCGAGGCAGUCACCAGGGCGCGACCCCCCCUAGGUCGUGCCCCUGGCUUGUGGGCCCGUCGAGCACUCCCGUGACAUGGUUCCAACGCCAAAUAUUCUUAUAAAUAUAGAAACCCUCGAAAAGAAACUUUGAUCAGGAGUUCCCCCGCAGCAAGCCUCCAGAGCCAUGAAAAACCAAUCUUGGCCCGCUCUCGCACCCUGCCGGAGAGGGCCACCAUCACCGGAGACCAUGGAGGAGGAAUACGGAGGGGCCAUCAUCACCAUGGAGGCGAAGGACCAUAGGGAGAACCUCUCCCCACCUUUGGGGGAGGCCACGAAGGAGGAGGCACAAGGGGGAGAACCUCUCCACCUCUCUCCUGGUGGUGCCAGACGGCCACAUGGGGAACCAUCGCCGCGGUGAUCGUCUUCAUCAACAUCACCUUCUUCAUCACCAUCCUCAUCUUCUUUUAGCAGUCCACUCUCCCGCACCCCAAUGCCAUCCCCUACUUGAACAUGGUGCUCUAUGCCACAUAUUACGAUCCAAUGAUGUGUUGCCAACCUAUGAUGUUUUGAGUAGAUUCCCUUUGUCUUAUGGGUUGAUUGAUGAUCUAGAUUGGUUUGAGUUGCAUGCUUUAUUAUUGGUGUUGUCCUAUGGUGCUCUCCGUGUCGCGCAAGCAUGAGGGAUUCCCUUUGUAGGGUGUUGUAAUACGUUCAUGAUUCNNNNNNNNNNNNNNNNNNNNNNNNNNNNNNNNNNNNNNNNNNNNNNNNNNNNNNNNNNNNNNNNNNNNNNNNNNNNNNNNNNNNNNNNNNNNNNNNNNNNNNNNNNNNNNNNNNNNNNNNNNNNNNNNNNNNNNNNNNNNNNNNNNNNNNNNNNNNNNNNNNNNNNNNNNNNNNNGGUUGCUUGAGUGACAGAAGCAUAAACCCGAGUAGGUGGGUUGUUGCGUAUGGGAUAAAGCGGACUUGAUGCUUUAAUGCUAUGGUUGGGUUUUACCUUAAUGAUCUUUAGUAGUUGUGAUGCCUACUAGAGUUCCAACCAUAAGUGCAUAUGAUCAAAGUAGAUAAAGUAUGUUAGCUUAUGCCUCUCCCUCAUAUAAAAUUGCAAUAAUGAUUACCCAUCUUGUUAACAAUUGCCUAGGACAAUUGCGCACGCCGACCCAUCAUUAUUCCACACUCUCUAUUUGUAACACAUUAUAAUAUAUUCUAACUUUAUGAUAAUAGCACCAAUUUUCAUAUUUUAGUUCUCCAAUUUCAUGCAAAACUAUUCUCUUCAUACCCACAACGUAAUUUUAUUACUCGUUCCUAGUUGGAAGCAAACGUUCGGCGUAUGUAGAGUUGUAUCAGUGGCAGAUAGGAGAGAAUAUUGCUCUUACCUUUAGCUCCUUGUGGGUUCGACACUCCAUACUUAUCAUUUCCACCUUUGGAAAUUGCUACGAUUAUUCCUUGCACUUGGGGAUUAUCAAGCUCUUUUCUCGCGCCGUUGCCGGGGAGCAAUAGUGUGGGGUUGAUAUUCUCAUGUGUGCUUGUUUGCUUUCUUCACUAAGUAUAUUUUGUUUUCCCUUUUUGAUCUAUUUAGUUGUGGUUGAAACAAACAAAAAAAUUGAAUAAUGAAAAAUACAAAAAGAAUUACUUGCCUCUUAUGCCUAAGAAGUUUUCAAAAAGGGAAGUGAUUGGAAGGUUGUGCAAUGGAGAAGUGAGGAUCGACCUUGAACACUUGUGUUCAUGAUCAUGGAAGCAAUGUAGAUUUUUUUUCAUGGAAGUUUCUCAAAAAUAAUUAUCCCCUUAUAUAUAUAUCCAUUGUAUUAUAAAAAUAAUGUGCCAAGAUUUGCCUCUAGGAUGAUUAGAUUGCUUGUUUGGUGUGUGGUGUGCAAAAUAGAAACUUUGGCUCCACUCCGCGAGUUUACGUUUUUUACUGGAAUGUCAAAAGUGUCUGAAAUUUUUACAAAAAAAUUAUUUCGUGCUAAUUAGUCAGAAUAUUUUGAGUUACAGAAGUAUACGAAGUUUUCAGAUUGCUACAAAUUGUACUGUUUUGACAGAUUCUGUUUUCUUACGAUUGUUCUCUUGUUUUCAUGAAUCUAUGGGUAGUACCGGGGGGUAUGAACCAUGGUGAACUUGGACUACAUUAGAUAUAAUUCUAAUAUGAAUUUGGAAUGAGUUCACAACAGUACUUAAAGUAGUAUUUUUCUUUAUUAUACUAACGGAUCUCACGAGAGUUUUAUUAAGUUUUGUAUGAAUGAAGUGUCCGAAGAUCGAGGAGGUAUCGUUAAAAGAUGAAUACAGGGAGACAAGAGUUCACGAUUGGGGAUACCCAAGGCACGCCAAGUAAAUAUUUCAACGAGGCUCAAGCAUCUAAUCUUGGGGAUGCCCUCGAAGGCAUCCCAUCUUUAUUCUUCAACAAUUAUCGGUAUACCUUGGUUUUUGUUUUGUUCACAUGAUAUGCGUCCUUAGUGUUUUUCUUAUCCUUUUAUGCACCUUUCUAGUAUGAUAUAGUCCUUCAUUGAUUUAUAGAAUGCUUCAUGCGCUUCACUUAAAUCUUUUGAGUAUGGCUUUGUAGAAAGCUCUUGGUGCUUCACUUAAAUCUUUUGAGUACGGCUCUAUAGAGUGCUCUUCGUGCUUCACUUAAAUCUUUUGAGUAUGGCCUUAUAGAACGCUUCGUGUGCUUCACUUAUAUAUUUUCAGCUUAGAUAUUGGUUGAUCUAUAUUAAUUGUAGAAUGCUCUAUGAACUUCACUUAUAUCUUUUAGAGUAUGAAUAAAAUUAUCAUCGCAAUUAGGCUUGGACGAGCAUCAUUGAAAUGAUCAUGCCUAGCUAAAAGGCAUUAAAGAAAAUCGUUUAUUGGGAGAUGAUGUCCCACAAGCGUAUGGGAUCACAGCAGUUUUCGAGGGUAGAGUAUUAGACCCAAAUUUAUUGAUUCGCUCACAAGGUGAAGCUAAAGGAUAUUCUCAAGUAUUGGCAGCUGAGUUGUCAAUUCAACCACACCUGAAAAAUUAGUGUCUGCGAGCAAAGUAUCAGUAGCAAGGUAGUAUGAUAGCAACGGCACCAGAAAAAGCUUUGGCAAUGAUACGUCUCCAUCGUAUCUACUUUUCCAAACUCUUUUGCCCUUGGUUUGGACUCUAAUUUGCAUGAUUUGAAUGGAACUAACCUGGACUGACGUUGUUUUCAGCAGAAUUGCCUUGGUGUUAUUUUUGGGCAGAAAUCAAAGUUCUGAGAACGUCCUGAAAAUUUACGGGGAACAUUUUUGGAAAAUAUGAAAAAUACCUGCGCAAAGAUCCACCUCAGGGGGUGGGCGAGUGGGCCACAAGCCCUGCCUCCACCACCCCCCUGGUGGCGGUGGAUAAGCUUGUGGGGCCCACACGACUCUGCCGCCCCCAAUCUCAGGUCUAUAAGUUCACUUUCGUCCCAGAAAAAAAUAAAAAGAGAAGAUUUCGUCGCAUUUGCGAUAUGGAGGCGCCGCCACAACCUGUUCUUCAUCUGGAGGGCAGAUGUGGAGUCCGUCUUGGGCUCCGGAGAGGGGAAAUCGUCACCAUCAUCAUCAUCAACCUUCUUCCCUCUCCAAUUCCAUGAAGCUCUUCGUCGUUCGUGAGUAAUCUAUUCGUAGGCUCGCUGGGCGGUGAUGGGUAGGAUGAGAUCUAUCAUGUAAUCGAGUUAGUUUUGAUGGGGAUUGAUCCCUAGUAUCCACUAUGUUCUGAGAUUGAUGUUGCUACUACUUUGCCAUGCUUAAUGCUUGUCACUAGGGCCCGAGUGCCAUGAUUUCAGAUCUGAAAUUAUUAUGUUGCCACCAAUAGAUGUGUGUUUUAGAUCCGAUCUUGCAAGUUGUAGUUACCUACUAUGUGUUAUGAUCCGGCAACCCCGGAGUGACAAUAACCGGAACCACUCCCGGUGAUGACCAUAGUAUGAGGAGUUCAUGUGUUCACCAAGUGCUAAUGCGUUGGUCCGGUUCUUUAUUAAAAGGAGAACCUUAAUAUCCCAUAGUUUCCUUUUGGACCCCGCUGCCACGGGAGGGAUGGACAAUAGAUGUCAUGCAAGUUCUUUUCCCUAAGCAUGUAUGACGACACACGGAAUGCAUGCCUACAUCACAUUGACGAACGGGAGCUAGCCACAUAUCUCUCCGUGUUAUAAUUGUUGCAUGAUGAAUAUCACCCAAACAAAUCACCGACCCAUUGCCUACGAGUUUGUCCUACUGUUGAUGUUACUUGUCUUGCUCUGCUGCUGUUACUUGUCUUGCUCUGCUGCUACUGUUGCUACUACUGUCGCUUACCACUGGGUUACUUGCUACUUUGCUGUUACUACUUUGCUUGCAGAUACUAAUCUUUCAGGUGUGGUUGAAUCUGACGCAUUCAGCUGCUAAUACACGAGAGUAUUCUCUCACCUCCUGUCUGGCGAAUCAACAAAUUUGGGUCGAAUACUCUACCCUAGAAAACUGCUGCGAACCCACGCGCUGGUGGGCCGUCAACAACAUUCUUCUAGUUUCAUUGCCAGGGAGUGCUGGUAGCAUUCUUCUGGUUCCGUUGCAGGAGAAGGUUUGUUGUCACAGAAUCCGCAUUCGUCUAGCUAUUGCCAGAGAGUGCCAGUCAGCAUUUUUCUGGCGCCGUUGCCGGGGAGGUAUUGCUAUAUUCUCUGAGUCACUUGGGAUUUAUAUCUAAAGAUCACUAUGAAGAAUCUGAAGGAUCCAAAAACCAAAGUCUUGCCCUCAACUACGAGGGGAGGUAAGGAACUGCCAUCUAGCUCUGCACUUGAUUCACCUUCUGUUAUGAGUAAGUUUGCGACAUCACCUCCUUCUAGAAAUCUUGAUAUGUCGCCUGUGCUUGAUGAUGCUACUACUAGAGAUGCUAUGCUUGAUACUAUGCCUGAUACUGCUUUGUCUGAUGAUGUUAGAGAUACUAUGCAUGAUACUGCUUUGCCUGAUAUUGCUAGAGAUACUAUGCUUGAUAUUGCUAGAGAUGCUAUGCUUGAUACUGCUUUGCCUGAUGAUGCUAUGCUUGAUACUGCUAGAGAUACUACUUUGCCUGAUGUUCCACUAGGGGUAUUCCUUGAUGCUCAUAUUGCUAGAGUUACUUCCAAUGAUCGUGAUGCUUCUGAAACUGCCGAUACUAUUGAGAUAGAACCUGCUUUUGCUCCUGCUAGAUCUAGCUUUCCUAGAUAUGAAUUGCCUGAUAUACCUGAGGGUUACGUUAUGGAGGGAGAGAUAGCUGAGGAUUUUCUUGCAUGUAAGGAUGCCUAUGACACUGAGAAAUUACUUCUCAAGUGGAAGGAAAAAUCUCUGAAAGCUAGGAUGAAAUACGACCCGAAGUUUGCCACUUCACCUAUCUUUAUCACCCAUAAGGAUUAUGAAUUCUCUGUCGACCCCGAGAUAAUCUCUCCAGUCGAAUCUGAUCCUUUCCACGGUUAUGAGUCUGAGACGGUCGUAGCCCAUCUUGCCAAACUACACGAUAUAGCCACCCUUUUCACUAAUGAGGAGAAGAUCCGCCACUACUAUAUCCUUAAGUUGUUUCCUUUUUCCCUGAAGGAUGAUGCUAAAGCCUGGUUCACCUCUCUUGCUCCUGGAUGUGUGAGUAGUCCCCAGGAUAUGGUCUAUUACUUCUGUGAGAAAUAUUUUCCUGCCCAUAAGAGGCAAGCUGCCUUGCAGGAAAUAUACAACUUUGCUCAACUCCAAGAAGAGAGUCUUCCACAAGCUUGGGGGAGGCUCGUCCAGCUACAGAAUGCUUUGCCUGAUCACCCUCUUAAGAAGAACGAGAUACUUGAUAUCCUCUAUAACGGACUUAUCGAUGCCUCUAGAGACCAUCUAGAUAGUUGUGCCGGUUGUGUUUUUAGGGAACAAACUGCAGAACAAGCUGAGACCCUACUGAAUAACAUCUUGAUCAACGAUAAUGUUUCGACUAUUCCCGAACCACGUCCUAAGCCAACUCCUAAGAAAUAAGGUAUUCUAUUCCUCAGUCCCGAAGAUAUGCAAGAAGCCAAGAAAUCUAUGCAAGAGAAAGGCAUUAGAUCUGAAGAUGUCAAAAAUCUACCACCUAUCGAAGAGAUCCAUGGUCUCAAUAACCCGAUACAGGUAGUAGAAGUAAAUUCUCUGCGUAGGUUUGAUGAGAGUGAUAUUCGUUUUGACGAACCUGCUAGCCUAUGCUUUGAUGAAUUUGACAACUUUGUUGCCAAACAACAGAGUUUCAGUGAUUAUGUUAGCAGACAUUUGGAACAAAGUACUCGUAUGCUUAGCCAUUUAAGUGCUUGUGUAGACAGAAAUGUCAAUGAUCUGAAGCUUCUGACUAAAAAUGCCUCUAUGAUUACUACUCAGGUAGAAAAAGUACUUAAAGCUUAGAAUGACUUGCUCAAUGAAUUAAAUGACAACUCUGUCAGAGUCAUUACUAGAGGAGGCAAAAUGACUCAGGAACCUUUGUAUCCUGAAGGUCAUCCUAAGAGAAUUGAUCAAGAUUCUCAAGGAAUCAAUGCUGAUACACCCAGUCAUCCUAAGGAGAAGAAGAAGGAUGAUAGACACCUACAUGCCAGUUCACCAAAUACUGGCACACCUGAAGAACCUAAUGAUAUUUCUGCGUCUGAUGCAGAAACACAAUGUGGUGAUGAACAUGAACCUGGUGACAAUAUGGAUAGCGAUGUUCAUAAUAAUGCUCAACCUAGCAAUGAUGAGGAUGUGGAGAUUGAACCUACGGUUAAUCAUGAUAAACCACAACCUAAGAGAUACGAUAAGAAUGACUUCACUGCUAGGAAGCAUGGUAAAGAAUGGGAGCCAUGGGUUCAGAGAUCUAUGCCCUUUCCUCCUAAGCCAUCCAAGAAAAAGGAUGAUGAGGAUUUUGAGCGCUUCGUUGAGAUGAUAAGACCCAUCUUUCUGCAGAUGCGGUUAACUAAUAUGCUCAAGAUGUCUCCGCAUGCCAAGUACAUGAAAGAUAUCGUGACUAAUAAACGGAAGAUACCAGAUCUUGAGAUCUCCACCAUGCUUGCCAAUUACACUUUCAAAGGUGGAACUCCUAAGAAACUUGGUGAUCCCGGAGUGCCCACUAUACCUUGUUCCAUUAAAGGAAACUACGUAAGAACUGCCUUAUGUGACCUUGGAGCCGGUGUUAGUGUUAUGCCGCUCUCUCUUUAUCGUAGACUUGAGUUGGAUAAGUUGACACCCACUAAAAUUUCUCUGCAAAUGGCCGACAAAUCAACUGCUUUUCCUAUCGGCAUUUGCGAGGAUGUGCCUGUUGUGGUUGCUAAUACCACUAUCUUAACAGACUUUGUUAUCUUGGAUAUUCCCGAGGAUGAUGCCAUGGCUGUCAUCCUCGGAAGACCCUUUUUAAACACUGCAGGGGCUGUUAUAGAUUGCAACAAAGGCAAUGUCACUUUCCAUGUCAACGGUAAUGAGCACACAGUGCACUUUCCGAAGAAACGAUAUCAACUACAUUGCAUCAAUGCUAUUGAAAAGACUUCAUCGAUUCUUAUUGGGAGCUUUGAAUGCCCUAUUCCUCGUGUCAAGAUGAAGUAUGAUUUGCUUGUUGGGGAGAUACAUAUCCCCAUUGAGGUGACUUAGUGGCUAUUCGAAAAUUCUCCGUUCUCUCUUGCGAUUCGAGAAGGUUUUUUCAUGAGGACUUGAUCAACCCAUUGACGGAUUUCUUUCGAUGACCAUGAAAUGGAUGAAUCAAAGAGUCACAUACCUCUGUUUUGAGCUUUCAUUUUCUGUUGCUUAGAAGAAAAAUGAUGGAAUUAGUUUAGCUUUUCCUGUUUUCUCUUUUAGCGUCCCGGAGAAAAAUACCUCGAAAAUAAAAGUUCUCCGAUGGUCUUGAAAAUUUAGUUUGAUUUUUUCUGGAAUUUUUGAAAAUUACUGGGCCUGAGAGAUGGCCUGGGGGCGAGACCAGUGGGCCACAAGCCCUGCCACCGCCACCCCCCUGGUGGCGGAGAGAAAGCUUGUGGGGCCCACACGGACCCCCUCCACUCAUUCCAGCUCCCAGCCUCUUCUUCCACCUCCAGAAAAAAAUUGUUUCGCAGCUCAAACCCGUGUUCUUGCUCAUUUGGCUGUGAUUUUGGAUCUCCUUGCUCAAAGCACCAUUCUCCGAACCGUUCUGGGGAAAUUACUCCUUGGUAAGUGACUCCUCCAUUGGUCCAAUUAGUUUUUGCUCUAGUGCUUUAUCCUUCGCGUAUUCUUGCUACCUUGGUGACCCUGUUCUUGAGCUAGAAAAGUUUAUUUUAGCUAGACCCAAGUAGUUUUAGCGCGUGAUACGGUCUCUAGGCACUAGUAGGAGUAGUUGCUACAAGUUGGGUUAAUCUUUUUUCACUUUUCUUUCGAAGUCUCUAAACAUUUCAGAAUUUUUCAGAGCUAGAAAAAGGAAAAGAUGAAGAGGUUCUUGAGAGGCUCUUCAAGCCGUAACCCCAAGGAGGAUGAGAAGAACCACCCCAAGUAUGUAGUCCCUCGAGUCACAGAAGUUCGAGCGUGCGAGUGGCCAAGUGAUGAAUUUUUGCGCGCCACCGGACUUUAUGAAGACUUUUACUACUUGGUGGAGAACGCGGGUCUUACCGCGUUCGUUGAAGAUAAGUGCUCACAAUACCUCUUCCUCACCAAUAUUUUUGUUCAAAGCUUCAACUUUUAUCCGAGGAAGAAUCCUCGCAUGGUUGAGUUCAUGAUAUACGACAUCCCCCAGUGCAUGACACUACAGGAUUUUUGGAAUGUAUGCAAAUUACCUUGUGUUGGCGAUAUCCGUGACCCUCGUCCACAGGACUUGGAGGAUUUCAUUGGUUCUACUGCUGUUGGAGAGGAGAGAGGAGUGUCUCGCGCUAGAAUUGUUAGCAUACAUUUUCCUAUGCUCCGGUAGUUCUCACUAUUUGUGGGAAAAUGUUUGAUUGGCCGUGGGGAGGCUGGAUCACUUAGUUCUCCAGACCUUGCAGUUUUACGCGAAGACCUUUAUAACGAUAAGGCUUAUAGCCUAGGUGUUAUAGUGGCCCAGCGGUUGAACACCAACCGUUCCAAGGGUGUCGUCUAUGGAGGUAUCUAUGCUACCCGUCUUGCCAGACACUUUGAGAUACCCAUUAGACUGGGAGAGGAAGGAGAGAUGCUUCUCCCCGAGAAAUAUCUGGAUUAUGACAGCAUGGUUCGCCAUGAUUAUCUGGAUAGAGAUGCUAGUAUAUGGAUGAUUUAUAACCUGGUAUUUAGUCAGGGUACUCGAGAGACUAUUACUUUGCCUGCCCCUUCUUUGUUUGAUCUUCAUGCAGACAGGUACACUAUUAUGCCCUCGGACAUCUACGCAUAUUGGGGCCUGGCCCAACCACACGCGCCCGUGCCCGAGCCGUCAGUCGAGUAUCAGACGCCAGUUUAUCAGUGGGAGCCAGAGGAGCUCACACAGCAGUGGCAUCCACAGUCUGCUCCGGAGUAUCCUGGAGCUGGUGAAUUCCCACCAUGGGAGUAGUCCAAGCUAGGCCAAAAGCCUAAGCUUGGGGGAGUACGUGUUCUCACCGACUUUACAUUCAUGCUUAUGCUUUCACUUUGUUAGCCGGUGUUUACACUUUGCCACUGUAUUAUCCAUGCUAGUUUAUUUUUUUUUCUUGUUUUCUUGUUUUGUGUCCUUUUGAGAAAAUCCAAAAAGAUUUUUCUUUCUUCUUUUGCUUGUUGGGAGCUUUCCCGUGUAAAUAGUGUUCUUUUUCUUUGGGUCAAGGUAGAAGAUAUUGGUUACAAUGUUUAGUGGUUCUUGCAUGCAUACCUGUUUAGCUUUCAAAGAGCCAUAUUACCUUGUCUUCUCCUUUGUGUUUGCCUGCAGAUUCACCUUAGUCCAAUGCGCGAGCACUCUUAUUAUUGUUCACAUCGUUCGGUCAUGCAAAUGAAAGGCAAUAAUGAUGAUAUAUGAUGAAGUGACUAAGACUGAAAAGCUGGUAUGAGCUCUAUCUAUUUUGUUUUUGUAAAUAUGACUAGCUUGUCAUCCCAGAUUCAACUUUGUUGUGAGAGAACCAUGUUUGCAAUGACAACUUUGAGAUCAUAGUUUCUGAUUCCAUGCUUAUUUAGCUAGGAGCUUAUAAUGGUUUGUCUUGAAUGCCAACAUAGAUUUUGAGAUGACUAUGAUGUAGUAUGAUAGGAUGGUAUUCUCCUUUGAAUGUUUCAAGUGGCUUGACUUGGCGCAUGUUCAUGCAUGUAGUUGAAACAAAAUCAACAUAGCCUCUAUGAUGUUCGUUUUCAUGGUGAUUUAUAUCCUAUUCAUGCUUGCAUUCAAUGUUAGUCAAACGCAUUGCAUCUUGAUGACUGUUGUCGCUCUCUAGUUGGUCGCUUCCCAGUCUUUUGCUAGCCUUCACUUGUACUAAGCGGAAUACUGCUUGUGCAUCCACUUCCAUAAACCCAAGAGUUUUUCCAUGAGAGUCCACCAUACCUCCCUAUUUGCGGUAUCUACCUGCCGUUCCAAGUGAAUUUGCAUGUGACAUUCUCUAAACCAUCAAGAAAUAAUCUGUUUUGCAUGUCGGAACCGCUCAUGUGGUGACAGGGGGCUAUUGGUAUCUUCCAUGCUAGGAGUGUUAUCCUCGACAUGUGUUUAUUCACUGUCAUUCACGAGAAAGGGGCCGGUAAUAGGAAUGCCCAGUUCCACGCUUAAAUCAAAAACAUAACUGUAAAACAAGACCCCCCCCCCCCGGGUUGAUGUUAGUAUGGAUGGUACCCGAGGAUUCGGCUAGCCGUGGAUUGUGAUUGAUUGGUGGUGGGGGAGUUAAAACUUUACUUUUUUGUUUGGGAACUGCCUAUAGCAUGAGUAGCAUGGAAGAUAUUGAGAACUCUUGGUCAUUGCGUUGACAAUGAAAGCAUGCCACCCAAAAUUAUUAUCUCUGUUUUCAAAGCUUGAGCUCUGGCACCUCUGCAAAUCAAUGCUUCCCUCUGCGAAGGGCCUCUCUAUUUAUUUUCCUAUUGAGUCAUCCUCCUCUUAUAUAAGCACCAAUUAGAGAGCACUUCUGUCAUUUUUAUGCUUUGCUUUUGAUUGGUAUUGAGUAUGACUAUGACUGGAUCUUCGUUUUUAUGAAUUACAAUGUUUAGUCACCCCUUGAUCUUUGAAAGUGCUCUGCAUUUAUGUUUUGUGGUCUCAGAAAGAGCUAGCGAGAUACCACCUAUUCAUAUUGCUCCAUGCUUGUUUUGAUUGAAGUGUUGGUAUUUGAAACUCAUUAUUAUUUGCUCGUUAGCUGAUUAUGACAUUGAUAUUAGUUUACCGUGAGACCUUUGUGUCACUUGCUUAUGUGGUUAACUUGUGAUAUUGCUGAAAUUGUGGUUAUGAGUUAGACAUAGUUGCAACAACAAGAUCAAACAGAGUUUGUCAAAGUUUUUCUUUCUCUCUCAGUUUGUCAACUGAGUUGCUUGAGGACAAGCAAGGUUUUAAGCUUGGGGGAGUUGAUACGUCUCCAUCGUAUCUACUUUCCAAACUCUUUUGCCCUUGUUUUGGACUCUAAUUUGCAUGAUUGAAUGGAACUAACCUGGACUGACGCUAUUUUCAGCAGAAUUGCCUUGGUUUUAUUUUUGUGCAGAAAUCAAAGUUCUCAGAACGUCCUCAAAAUUUACGGGAACAUUUUUGGAAAAUAUGAAAAAUACCUAUGGAAAGAUCCACCUGAGGGGGUGGGCCAGUGGGCCACAAGCCCUGCCUCCGCCACCCCCUGGUCGCGGUGGGCAAGCUUGUGGGGCCCACACGGCUCUACCGCCCCCAAUCUCAGGUCUAUAAGUUCACUUUCGUCCCAGAAAAAAUAAAAAGAGAAGAUUUCGUCGCGUUUGCGAUACGGGGGCGCUGCCACAACCUAUUCUUCAUCUGGAAGGCAGAUCUGGAGUCCGUCUUGGGCUCCGGAGAGGGGAAAUCGUCGCCAUCGUCAUCAUCAACCUUCUUCCCUCUCCAAUUCCAUGAAGCUCUUCGUCGUUCAUGAGUAAUCUAUUCGUAGGCUCGCUGGGCGGUGAUGAGUAGGAUGAAAUCUAUCAUGUAAUCGAGUUAGUUUUGAUGGGGAUUGAUCCCUAGUAUCCACUAUGUUCUGAGAUUGAUGUUGCUACUACUUUGCCAUGCUUAAUGCCUGUCACUAUGGCCCGAGUGCCAUGAUUUCAGAUCUGAAAUUAUUAUGUUGCGACCAAUAUAUGUGUGUUUUAGAUCCGAUCUUGCAAGUUGUAGUUACCUACUAUGUGUUAUGAUCCGGCAACCCCAGAGUGACAAUAACCGGAACCACUCCCAGUGAUGACCAUAGUUUGAGGAGUUCAUGUGUUCACCAAGUGCUAAUGCAUUGGUCCGGUUCUUUAUUAAAAGGAGAACCUUAAUAUCCCAUAGUUUCCUUUUGGACCCCGCUGCCAAAGGAGCGAUGGACAAUAGAUGUCAUGCAAGUUCUUUUCCCUAAGCACGUAUGACGACACACGGAAUGCAUGUCUACAUUACAUUGACGAACGGGAGCUAGCCACAUAUCUCUCCGUGUUAUAACUAUUGCAUGAUGAAUAUCAUCCAAACAAAUCACCGACCCAUUGCCUACGAGUUUGUCCUACUGCUGUUGUUACUUGUCUUGCUCUGUUGCUGUUACUUGUCUUGCUCUGCUGCUACUGUUGCUACUACAGUCGCUUGCCACUGCCGUUACUCGCUACAUUGCUGUUACUACUUUUCUUGCAGAUAUUAAUCUUUCAGGUGUGGUUGAAUCUGACGCAUUCAGCUGCUAAUACUCGAGAGUAUUCUCUCACCUCCUGUCUGGCGAAUCAACAAAUUUGGGUCGAAUACUCUACCCUCGAAAACUGCUGUGAACCCACGCGUUGGUGGGCCGUCAAUAACAUUCUUCUAGUUUCAUAGUCGGGGAGUGCUAGUAGCAUUCUUCGGGUGCCAUUGCAGGGUAAGUUUUGUUCUCAUAGAAUCAGCAUUCGUCUAGCUAUUGCCAGACAGUGCCGGUCAGGCAAUUCCCAGCAAUGGCGCCAUAAAAAGGCACGUUGACGGGAUGUUAGCGCCAACAAAGUCUUGCAACAAGUAACAGCGGAGUAGGAAGGAACAGUAGUAGCAGCAGCAGCAAAGUAACAAGUAACAGCAGUAGCGACAGCAGCAGCAAAGUGGCCCAAUCCCUCUUGUAGCAAGGGACAAGCCUAGGCAAAGUAACAUAGCGAGGACCAGUAGUAAAAGACUCGUAGGCAGUGGAUCGGUGAUGGAUGAGUAUGACGGAUGUGAUUCAUCAUGUAAUAGCUAUAACACGGAGAGAUAUGUGACUAGCUCCCGUUCAUCAAUCUGAUGUAGGCAUGUAUUCCGUAUGUAGUCAUACGUGCUUAUGGAAAAGAACUUGCAUGCCAUCUAUUGUCCAUCCCUCCCAUGGCAGCGGGAUCCUAAUGGAAGCUACGGGAUAUUAAGGUUCUCCUUUUAAUAAAGAACCGGACCAACGCAUUAACACGCGGUGAACACAUGAACUCCUCAUACCAUGGUCAUCUCCGGGAGUGGUUCCGGCUAUUGUCACUCCGGGGUUGCCGGGUCAUAACACAUAGUAGGUGACUACAACUUGCAAGAUAGGAUCUAAAACACACAUAUAUUGGCGACAACAUAAUAGGUUCAGAUCUGAAAUCAUGGUACUCGGGCCCUAGUGACAAGCAUUAAGCAUAGCCAAGUAGUAGCAACAUCAAUCAAGAACAUAGUGGAUACUAGGGAUCAAUCCCCGUCAAGAACUAACUCGAUUACAUGAUAGAUCUCAUCCAACUCAUCACCGUCCAGCAAGCCUACGAUGAGAUUACUCACGAACGAUGAAGAGCAUCAUGGAAUUGUCGAUGGAGAACGGUUGAUGAUGACGAUGGCGACGAUUGCCCCUCUCCGGAGCUCGAAACGGACUCCAGAUCUGCCCUCCAAAUGAAGAACAAGAUGUGGUGGCGCCUUCGUAUCGCAAAACGCGAUGAAACCUUCUCUCUGAUUUUUUCCGUCGAAACGGAAGAUAUAGAGCUGAGUUUGGGGGCGGUGGAGCCACGUGGGCCCCACAAGACAGCAUGGCGCGGCCUAGGGGGGUGGCCGCAUCGUGUGGGCUUGUGGCCCACUGGCACACCCCCCCCCCCUCACGUGGAUCUUUGCGCAGGUAUUUUUCUUUUAUUCCAGAAAAAAUCUCCGUAAAUUUUCAGGAUGUUCCGAGAACUUUUAUUUCUGCACAAAAACAACACCAUGGCAAUUCUGCUGAAAACACCGUCAGUCCGGGUUAGUUCCAUUCAAAUCAUGCAAGUUAGAGUCCAAAACAANNNNNNNNNNNNNNNNNNNNNNNNNNNNNNNNNNNNNNNNNNNNNNNNNNNNNNNNNNNNNNNNNNNNNNNNNNNNNNNNNNNNNNNNNNNNNNNNNNNNNNNNNNNNNNNNNNNNNNNNNNNNNNNNNNNNNNNNNNNNNNNNNNNNNNNNNNNNNNNNNNNNNNNNNNNNNNAGUCCGGGUUAGUUCCAUUCAAAUCAUGCAAAUUAGAGUCCAAAACAAGGGCAAAAGAGUUCGGAAAAGUAGAUACGAGGGAGACAUAUCAGGAGACAACCCAACACUUUUACCUUCUAUUUUUGUGAGUUCACAUGAUUAAGCUACUGUAGUAAUCAUGUUUUGUGUCUUUUAUUUCAAUAAAGUGUCAAGUAAAGCCUUUGGAAUGACUCACAAGAUGAGUAGAAUUGAUGCCGAACCAAAACAGAAACUUUUCACUCAAGUACAUGAAUUUUCAUUUUUUUACCAAAGCGUGAUAAUGAUUUAAAAUUUUACACAGUAUUUAUAUAUAAAUUCUCCUGGUUUUGCUAAUUUUUUAGAAUUUUGAUAGACAGGGAAGUAUGGCUAUACUACAGAGUUCUAUAAAUUAUGGGAAACAUGGCUACUGUUCUGUUUUCGACAGAUUAUGUUUUGUAUGCAUAGUCUGCUUAUUUUAGUGUUCCCAUAGCUUAUAUUCAGUAAUAUAAAUUAUGGGAAUGAUAGAAUACAGUAGGUAUAAUGUGGUAACUAUUAUGAAUCUUGUCUUGACAGUACCUAAGUGAAUGAUCUAUCUUUAUUACACUAAGCUUUCUCACAAAGUUCCGUUAAGUUUUGUGUGAUUGAAGUUUUCAAGUUUUGGGUGAGACAUCGAUAUGAGGAGAACAAGGACUGACAAGUACCUAAGCUUGGGUAUGCCCAAGUUACCCCAAGGUAAUAUCCGUUGAAGACUCAAGUGUCUAAGCUUGAGGAUGCCCCGGAAGCAUCCCCUCUUUCAUCUCCAACGCUAUACGUAAUCUUACUUAGAGCUAUAUUUUUAUUCGUCUCGUAAUAUGUGUUUUUCUUGGAGCAUCAUUUUAUUCUAUUGAUUUCUGUUAGAUGUUAUUUAUAAUUUUGUUUUCUAUAAAAAUCCAAGAAUUGUAUUAGGAUGCUUGCAUUGCAUGGUUUGAUGUGUGCUGUAUAAAAACAGAAACUCUUGUUGUAGUGUUUGAAUUUUCAUAUUUUACUAGAAUGUGGAAAGUUUGUGAAAUAUUUACACAAAUUUUUCUUAUAAAUUUUAUAGAAUGAACUAAAUUUGCAUAAUUUUUUGAGUUACACAAGUAGACUGUUUUCAUAAAUUGCUACAAACUGUUCUGUUUGGAUAGAUUGUUGUCAUAGUUUUGUUAUCUACUUAUCAUAUAGUUUCCAUAGCCUAUAUUGGUAGAUAUAAAUUGUGGAAACGAUAGUAAACAGUACAUGAUGUUUGAAAGUUAUUAUACAACUUUUCUUGUCAGUACAUGAAGAGUUGAUUUAUUAUUGUGUGUACUAACCUAUCUCAUGAGUUCUUUUCGAGUUCUGUGUGGAUGAAGUUUUUUAGAAAAGGUGAAACCAUGAUAUGAGAGGAUUGAAUGAGAAACAAAAGCUCAAUCUUGGGGAUGCCCAAGGCAUCGCAAGUAAAUAUUUCAAGAACUCUCAAGUAUCUAAGCUUGGGGAUGCUACGCAUCCCACCUCUCUUUGUCAACUAUCGGUUAGCCUAUCUUGAGCCUAAAUUUUUAUUCGUUCACAUGACGCGUCCUAUUCUUGGACUACUAUUUUUCUUUUGCUUGCUAUUUAAAUAAAAUACUCAGAUCUGAGAAUCUUUAUUGAGAGAGAGGAAGAAAGUCCUCACAUAGAUACUUAAUUGUUUGACUACUCAUUGAUCUUCACUUAUAUGUUUUGGAGUAGUUUUGGCAUUUACUCUCGUGCUUCACUUAUAUCCUAUGAGUAAAUAGUUGAAUGAAUUGGAUAUUAUAAAUAUGAAAUUAUAUAUGUUCUAAGUGCUUAUCCCAUGGGGAGUAAUGACUUCACAUAUAAGAAGUAUAGGUGGUAUAAUUUAUUGAAAGUUAGCAAACACCGCAUUGGUCACUUGAACAAUACAUGAAAGAAUAUUGAAGGAAGAGAGAUUCCACAUAUAAAUAUACUAUCUUGGACAUCUUUCAUGAUUAUGAGCCCCAUUAAUUAUUUUCAAACUUGAGCAAAUUAGUUGAAGUUGGACAAGGAAGAGAACUUAAUGAGUUAUGUGUGGAUAUAUUUGCAUAGAAGUUAUAUUGUUAUGGAUCCUCCAACAUGUGGUGCUUGUUUAGAACCUUUUACUAGCCAAUACUUCGUGCUAAGUAGAGAUACUACUUGUGCAUCCAAAAACCCUUAAACCCAGUUUCUUGCCAUGAGAGUCCACUAUAUCUACCUAUAUGCGGUAUUUACCUCCUAUUCCAAGUAAAUUUGCAUGUGCCAAACUCUAAACCUUCAAAUAAUAUUUUGUUUUGUAUGCCCGAAUCACUCAUGUAGUGACUAGGGACUGUAUUGAUUAACGAUGUGUGUUGAUUCACUAUCAUUCACGAGAAAGUGGCCGGUAUUCGGGAUGCCCAGUUCCAUGCUAAAAAAUCAAAUCAAAAUAUAAUGAUACAAACCUCCCCCAAGAUUGUUGUUUGUAUGAACGGUACCCGUGGAUUCGGCUCGUCGUGGAGUGUGGUUGAUUGGUGGAGGGGGAGUUAAAACUUUACAAUUGUGUUUGGGAACCAUCUAUAAUCUAUCUAGCAUGGAAGAUACCGAGAUCUCUCGGUUGUUAGGUUGACAAUGAAAGCAUACCGCUCAAAAUUAUUAUUCAUUUGUGUUUUAAAACCUCGAGCUUUCGCACAUAUGCAAAUCACAGCUUCCCUGUGCGAAAUUUGCAUGACUUGAAUGGAACUAACCGAGACUAACGCUGUUUUCAGCAGAAUUGCCAUGGUGUUGUUUUUGUGCAGAAAUAAAAGUUAUCGGAAUGUCCUGAAAAUUUAAGGAUAUUUUAUCUGGAAUAAAUGAAAAAUACCUGCGCANNNNNNNNNNNNNNNNNNNNNNNNNNNNNNNNNNNNNNNNNNNNNNNNNNNNNNNNNNNNNNNNNNNNNNNNNNNNNNNNNNNNNNNNNNNNNNNNNNNNNNNNNNNNNNNNNNNNNNNNNNNNNNNNNNNNNNNNNNNNNNNNNNNNNNNNNNNNNNNNNNNNNNNNNNNNNNNNNNNCAAAGAUCCACCGGAGGGGGUAUGCCAGUGGGCCACAAGCCCCUCGGCCGCGGCCACCCCCUUAGGCCGCGCCGUGAGGGCUUGUGGGGCCCACGUGGCACCACCGCCCCCAAACUCAGCUCUAUUUAUUCCAUCUCGCCCGGAAAAAAAUCAGAGAGAAGGAUUCAUCGCGUUUUACGAUACGGAGGCGCCACGAGCUCGUGUUCUUUAUCUGGAGGACAGAUCUGGAGUCUGUUCGGGGCUCCGGAGAGGGGAAAUCGUCGCCAUCGUCAUCAUCAACCUUCCUCCAUCGACAAUUCCAUGAUGCUCUUCAUCGUUCGUGAGUAAUCUCAUCGUAGGCUUGCUGGACGGUGAUGAGUUGGAUGAGAUCUAUCAUGUAAUCGAGUUAGUUCUUGACGGGGAUUGAUCCCUAGUAUCCACUAUGUUCUUGAUUGAUGUUGCUACUACUUGGCUAUGCUUAAUGCUUGUCACUAGGGCCCGAGUACCAUGAUUUCAGAUCUGAACCUAUUAUGUUGUCGCCAAUAUAUGUGUGUUUUAGAUCCUAUCUUGCAAGUUGUAGUCACCUACUAUGUGUUAUGACCCGGCAACCCCGGAGUGACAAUAGCCGGAACCACUCCCGGAGAUGACCAUAGUAUGAGGAGUUCAUGUAUUCACCGAGUGUUAAUGCGUUGGUCCGGUUCUUUAUUAAAAGGAGAACCUUAAUAUCCCGUAGUUUCCAUUAGGACCCCGCUGCCAUGGGAGGGAUGGACAAUAGAUGUCAUGCAAGUUCUUGUCCCUAAGCACGUAUGACUACAUACGGAAUACAUGCCUACAUUAGAUUGACGAACGGGAGCUAGUUACUUAUCUCUCUGUGUUAUAGCUGUUACAUGAUGAAUCACAUCCGGUAUACUCAUCCAUCACCGAUCCACUACCUACGAGUCUUUUACUACUGGUCCUCGCUACGUUACUUUGCUGCUACUGUUGUCGCUACUGCUGUUACUUCGUGCUGCUGCUACUGCUGUUCCUUGCUGCUGCUGUCACUACUGCUGUUACUUUGCUGCUACUUGUUGCAAGACUUUUCUGGAGCCGUUGCCGAGGAAGAAUAGUCCCCCGUCCACGUGCCAUUUAUUGGCGCCAUUGAUACAACAAGCUAGGAAAAGUCUGCCGUCAACACAUCUUUUUCUGACACCGUUGCUAUCAUACCACUUUGCUACUGAUACUUUGCUUGCAGACACUAAUCUUUCAAGUGUGGUUGAAAUUGACAAACUCAGCUGCUAAUACUUGAGAAUAUUCUUUCGCUUCCCCUUGUGUCGAAUCAAUAAAUUUGGGUUGAAUACUCUACCCUCGAAAACUGUUGCGAUCCCCUACACUUGUGGGUUAUCAAGACCAUUUUCUGGUGCCGUUGCCGGGGAGGCACAUCUAUAUUCUCUGAGUCACUUGGGAUCGACGUCUGCUGGUCACUAUGAGGAAUCUGAAAGAUCCAAGAACUAAAAUCUUGCCUUCCACUACGAGGAGAGGUAAGCAACUUCCAUCUAGCUCUGCACUUGAUUCACCUUCAGUUUUGAGUAAGUUUGCGACUUCGCCUCCUGCUAGAAAUCUUGAUAUGUCGCCUGUGCAUGAUGAUGCUACUUCUGCUGCCCAUGAUGCUUAUGAUGAUGCUAUGCUNNNNNNNNNNNNNNNNNNNNNNNNNNNNNNNNNNNNNNNNNNNNNNNNNNNNNNNNNNNNNNNNNNNNNNNNNNNNNNNNNNNNNNNNNNNNNNNNNNNNNNNNNNNNNNNNNNNNNNNNNNNNNNNNNNNNNNNNNNNNNNNNNNNNNNNNNNNNNNNNNNNNNNNNNNNNNNNNNNNNNNNNNNNNNNNNNNNNNNNNNNNNNNNNNNNNNNNNNNNNNNNNNNNNNNNNNNNNNNNNNNNNNNNNNNNNNCCUGAUGAUGCUAUGCCUGAUACUCCUUUGCCACUAGGUGCAUUCCUUGAUGCACAAAUUGCUAGAGUUGCUGCUAGAUGUGAUGAUACUUCUGAAACUGCUGAUACUAUUGAAGUAGAACUUGCUAGUAUGCCUGAAUUGCCUGUUAUGCAUGAACGCUAUGUUAUGGAAGGAGAGAUAGCUGAGGACUUUCUUGCGUGUAAGGAUAGCUAUGAUGUUGAGAAAUUACUGCGCAAGUGGAAAGAAAAAUCUCUGAACGCUGGGAUGAAAUACGACCCGAAGUUUGCUACUUCGCCUAUCUUUGUGACCGAUAAGGAUUAUGAAUUCUCUGUCAACCCUGAGUUAAUCACUCUGGUUGAAUCUGAUCCUUUUCACGGUUAUGAGUCUGAAACGGUUGUAGCCCAUCUUACCAAACUGCACGAUAUAGCCACCCUAUUCACUAGUGAGGAAAAGAUCCGCCACUACUAUAUCCUCAAGUUGUUUCCUUUCUCGCUAAAGGAUGAUGCUAAGACCUGGUUCACUUCUCUUGCUCCUGGUUGUGUGCGUAGCCCCCAGGAUAUGGUCUACUACUUCUCUGAAAAAUAUUUCCCUACCCAUAAGAAGCAAGCUGCCUUGCAGGAAAUAUACAACUUUGCUCAAGCUGAGGAAGAGAGUCUCCCACAAGCUUGGGGGAGGCUCGUCCAGCUACUGAAUGCUUUGCCUCAUCACCCUCUUGAGAAGAAUGAAAUACUUGAUAUCUUCUAUAAUGGACUUACCGAUGCUUCCAAAGACCACCUAGAUAGUUGUGUCGGUUGUGUUUUUAGGGAACAAACUGUAGAACAAGCUGAGAUUCUACUGAAUAACAUCUUGUGCAAUGAGAAUGCUUGGACUAUUCCCGAAUCACCUCCUAAGCCAACUCCAAAGAAAAGAGGUAUUCUAUUCCUCAGUCCUGAAGAUAUGCAAGAAGCCAAGAAAUCUAUGCGAGAGAAAGGCAUUAAAUCUGAAGAUGUCAACAAUCUACCACCUAUCGAAGAGAUCCAUGGUCUCGAUAACCCGAUACAGGUAGUAGAAGUAAAUUCUCUCUGUAGGUUUGAUGAGAGUGAUAUUCCUUUUGAUAAACCUGCUAGCUUAUGCCUGGAUGAAUUUGAUAACUUUGUUGACAAACAACAGAGUUUCNNNNNNNNNNNNNNNNNNNNNNNNNNNNNNNNNNNNNNNNNNNNNNNNNNNNNNNNNNNNNNNNNNNNNNNNNNNNNNNNNNNNNNNNNNNNNNNNNNNNNNNNNNNNNNNNNNNNNNNNNNNNNNNNNNNNNNNNNNNNNNNNNNNNNNNNNNNNNNNNNNNNNCAAACAACAGAGUUUCAAUGAUUAUGUUAGCAGACAAUUGGAACAGAAUGCUCAUAUGCUUAGUCAUUUAAGUGCUUGUGUGGACAGAAAUGUCAAUGAUCUUAAGCUUUUGAGUAAACAUGCCUGUAUGGUUACUACUCAAGUAGAACAAGUACUUAAAGCUCAAAAUGACUUGCUCGAUGAGUUGAAUGAAAAUUCCGUUAGAGUUGUUACUAGAGGCGGUAGAAUGACCCAGUAACCUUUGUAUCCCGAGGGUCAUCCGAAGAGAAUUGAACAAGAUUCUCAAGGAGUUAGCACUGAUGCACCUAGUCAUCCUAGAAAGAAGAAGAAAGAUGAUAGGAACCUGCACGCUAGCAACCCUGUUGCUGCUACACCUGAGAGUCCAAACGAUGCCUCUGUCUGUGACACUGAAACACAAUCUGGUGAUGAACAUGAGCCUAAUGAUAAUAUCAAUAGUGAUGUUCAUGAAGAUGCUCAACCUAGCAAUGAUAAGGAUGUGGAGAUUGAACCUAUUGAUCUUGAUAACCCUCGGCCUAAGAAUAGAAGAUAUGAUAAGAAUGACUUUGCUGCUAGGAAGCAUGGUAAAGAAAGGGAGCCAUGGGUUCAGAAACCCAUGCCCUUUCCUCCAAAACCAUCCAAGAAAAAGGAUGAUGAGGAUUUUGAGUGAUUCGUUGAAAUGAUCAGACCUGACUUUCUGCAAAUGCGUUUGACAGAUAUGCUCAAAAUGUCUCCGUAUUCUAAGUACAUGAAAGAUAUUGUAACUAAUAAGAGGAGGAUACCUGAGGUUGAGAUUUCCACCAUGCUUGUUAAUUAUACCUUCAAGGGUGGAACUCCUAAGAAACUAGGUGAUCCCGGUGUGCCCACUAUACCUUGCUCCAUUAAAGGCAGGUACGUUAGACCAGUGUUAUGCGACCUUGGAGCCGGUAUUAGUGUUAUGCCUCUCUCUCUUUAUCGUAGACUUGAACUGGACAAGUUGACACCCACUGAAAUCUCUGCAAAAUGGCCGACAAAUCAACUGCUUUCCCUAUCGGCAUUUGCGAGGAUCUGCCUGUUGUGGUUGCUAACGUCACUAUCUUAACAGACUUUGUUAUCUUGGAUAUUCCUGAGGACGAUGCCAUGGCGGUCAUCCUCGGAAGACCGUUUUUAAACAAUGCAGGGGCUGUUAUAGAUUGCAACAAAGGCAAUGUCACUUCCCAUGUCAACGGUAAUGACCAUACAGUGCACUUUCCGAAGAAACAAUAUCGAGUACAUUGCAUCAAUGCUAUCGAAAAAACUUCAUCAAUUUUUAUUGGGAUCUUUGAAUGCCCUAUACCUCGUGUCAAGAUGAAGUAUGAUUUGCUUGUUGGGGAGAUACACAUCCCCAUUGAGGUGACCUAGUGAUUAUUCGGAAAUUCUCCAUUAUCUUUUGUGAUUCGAAAAAGUUUGUCAAAGAGGCUUGAUCAACCUCACUGACAGAUUUCUUUUGAUGACAAUGAGAUGGAUGAAUCGAGGAGUCACAAACCUCUGUUCCAAGCUUUCACCUUCUAUUGCUUAGAAGAAAAAUGAUAGAUUUAGUUUAGUUUUCCCUGUUUUCUGUUUUAGCGCUCGGUGGAAAAGUACCCUGAAAAUAAAAGUACUCCGAACGUCCUGAAAAUCAAGUAUGAUUUUUUUUGGAAUUUUUGAAAAAUUCUGAGACAAAGAGCUUGUCGGGGGGCUGCACGAGUGGGCCACAAGCGCUUGGGGCGCGGGCACCCCCCCUGAGCGCACCACCCAGGCUUGUGGGGCCCACAGGCACCCCCUCCACUCAUUCUUGCUCUUAUCUGGUUCUCCUACCUCCAGAAAAAAUUGUUCCGCAGCUCAAACCCGUGUUCUCGCUCCUCUUGUUGGGAUUUUCGAUCUCUUUGCUCAAAUCACCGUUCUCCGAACUGUUUUGGGGAAAUUACUCCUUGGUAAGUGACUCCUCCAUUGGUCCAAUUAUUUUUUGCUCUAGUGCCUUAUACUCCGCGUAUUUUUUCUGCCUUGGUGACCAUGUUCUUGAGCUUUGCAUGCUAAUUCUAGCUGGUCCCAAGUAGUUUUGAUGCGUAAUAUGGCCUCUAGGCAUUUGUUGGAGUAGUUGCUAUGAGUUUCAUUGAGCCUUGUUCACUUUUCCUUAGAAUCACUAAAAUUUUCAGAAAAUUUCAAAGAUAGAAAAGGGAAAAGAUGAGGAGGUUCUUAAGAGGCUCUUCAAGCCGUGACCCCAAGGAUGAUGGGAGUGAGAAGAAGCCCAAGUAUCUGGUCCCUCGAGUCGCAGAAGUUCGAGCGUGCAAGUGGCCAAGCGAUGUGUUCUUACGCACCGCUGGAAUUUAUGAGGACUUUUAUCACUUGGUGGAUAACGCAGGCCUUACCGCCUUCGUUGAAGAUAAGUGUCCGCAAUACCUCCUCCUCACUAAUAUCUUCAUACAAAGUUUUAACUUCUAUCCGAGGAAGAAUCCUCCUAUGGUUGAGUUCAAAAUUUAUGAUAUCCCCCAGCGCAUGUCACACCAAGAUUUUUGCAAUGUUUGCAAAUUACCUUAUGUUGGGGAUAUUCAUGAACCUCGUCCACGGGACUUGGAAGCUUUCAUCGAUACUAUUGUUGUAGGAGAGGAGAGAGGAGUGUCUUGCGCUAGAGCUACUAGCAUUAAUUUUCCCGUGCUUCGGUACUUCUCAUUAUUUGUGGGAAAAUGUUUGAUUGGCCGUGGGAAAGCUGGGUCACUUAGUUCCCCAGAUCUUGCGGUCUUGCGCGAAGCCCUUUAUAACGAUAAAACUUAUAGCUUGGGCGCUAUAGUAGCUCAACGGUUGAACACGAACCGUUCUAAAGGCGUUAUCUAUGGAGGUAUCUAUGCUACUCGUCUUGCUAUACAUUUUGAGAUACCUAUUAGACUGGACGAGGAAGAAGAGAUUCUUCUUCCUGAGAGAUAUCUAUAUUACAAUAGCAUGGUUCGCCAUGACUUUUUUGAUAGAGAUAUAAAUAGAAGGAUGAUUUAUAACCUGGUAUUUAGUCAGGGUACUCGUGAGACUAUUACUUUGCUUGCUCCUUCUUUGUUCAAUCUUCAUGCAGGUAGGUACAUUAUUAUGCCCUUGGACAUCUACACAUAUUGGGGCAUAGCCCAACCACAGGUGCCCGUGCCCGAGCUAGCAGUCGAGUACCAGACGCCAGUUUAUCAGUGGGAGCCAGAGGAGCUCACACAGCAGUGGCAUCCUCAGUCCACUCCGGAGUACCCCGGAGCUGGUUAUUUCCCUCCUUGGGAGUAGACCAACUUAGGCCAAAAGCCUAAGCUUGGGGGAGUAGGUGUUUCUCAUUUGUGUUUUCCUGCAGAUUCCAUCUUUAGUCCACUACACGAGCACGCUUAUUAUUGUUCACAACAUUCGGUCGUGCAAGUGAAAGUCAAAAAUGACGAUAUAUGAAGUGACUGAGCCUGGAAAAGAUGGUAUGAACUCGAUCUAUUUUGUUUUUGUAAAUAUGACUAGCCCAUCAUGCCUGAUUCAGCUUUGUUGUGAGAGAAACAUGUUUGCAAUGACAACUUAGAGAUCAUAGUUGCUUAUGCCAUGCUUACUUAGCUAGGAGCUUAUAAUGGUUUGUCUUGGAUGCCCACAUGAAUGUUGAGAUGACUGUGCUGUAGUAUGAUAGGAUGGUAUCCUCCUUUGAAUGUUUCAAGUGGCUUGACUUGGCGCAUGUUCACGCAUGUAGUUGAAACAAAAUCAACAUAGCCUCUAUGAUGUUCAUGUUCAUGGUGAUUUAUGUCCUACUCAUGCUUGCAUUCAAUGUUAGUUAAUCUCAAUGCAUUUUGAUGACUGUUGUCGCUCUCUAGUUGGUCGCUUCCCAGUCUUUUGCUAGCCUUCACUUGUACUGAGCGGGAAUACUGCUUGUGCAUCCACCCCCAUAAACCCAACGUUGUUCCAUAUGAGUCCACCAUACCUACCUAUGUGCGGUAUCUACCUGCUGUUCCAAGUAAAUUUGCAUGUGCCACUCUCUAAACCUUCAAGAAAUAAUCUGUUUUGCAUGCCCGAACCGCUCAUGUGGUGAUAGGGGGCUAUUGGUAUCUUCCAUGCUAGGCGUGUUAUCCUCGAUAUGUGUUUAUUCACUAUCAUUCACGAGAAAGGGGGCGGUAAUUGGAACUCCCAGGUCCAUGCUCAAAUCGAAAAGAUAAUUGCAAACAAACCUCCCCCAGGAUUGAUGUUGGUAUGGACAGUACUCGAGGAUUCGGCUAGCCGUGGAGUGUGAUUGAUUGGUGGUGGGGGAGUCAAAACUUUACUUUUCUGUUUGGGGACCGCCUAUAGCAUGUGUAGCGUGGAAGAUGUUGAGAACUCUUAGUCAUUGCGUUGACAAUGAAAGCAUGCCACCCAAAAUUAUUAUCUCUGUUUUAAAAGCUUGAGCUCUGGCACCUGUGCAAAUUAAUGCUUCCCUCUGCGAAGGGCAUGUCUAUUUAUGUUCCUGUUGAGUCAUCCUCCUCUUACAACAAGACCCAAUUAGAGAGCACCUUUGUCAUUUUUAUGCUUUGCUUUUAACUGUGUUGAGUAUGACUGUGACUCGAUCUUCAUUGGCUAGAAUUACAAUGUUUAGUCAGCCCUUGGUCUUUGAAGGUGCUCUGCAUUUAUGUUUUGCGGUCUCCGAAAGAGCUAGCGAGAUACCAUCUAUUCGUACUGCUUCAUGUUGUUUUGAUUGAAGUGUUGACAUUUGAGGCUUAUUAUUAUUUGCUCCCUAGCUGAUUAUGCCAUUGAUAUGAGUUUAUCGUGAGACCUAGAUGUCAUUUGCUUAUGUGGUUUGCUUGUGAUCUUGCUGAAAUUCUGGUUAUGAGUUAGACAUAGUUGCAACAACAAGAUCAAACAGAGUUCGUCAAAGUUUUUCUUUUGUCUCUUUCAGUUUGUCAACUGAAUUGCUUGAGGACAAGCAAGGCUUUAAGCUUGGGGGAGUUGAUACGUCUCCGUUGUAUAUACUUUUCUGAACUCUUUUGCCCUUGUUUUGGACUCUAAUUUGCAUGAUUUGAAUGGAACUAACCCGGACUAACGUUGUUUUCAACAAAAUUGCCAUGGUGUUGUUUUUGUGCAGAAAUAAAAGUUCUCGGAAUGUCCUGAAAAUUUACGGAGAAUUUUUCUAAAAUAAAUGAAAAAUACCUGCGCAAAGAUCCAACGGAGGGGGUGUGCCAGUGGGCCACAAGCCCGUGGGCUGCGACCACCCCCCCCCCUAGGCCGCGCCGUGAGGCCUUGUGGAACCCACGUGGCACCACCGCCCCCAAACUCAGCUCUAUUUAUUCCGUCUCGCUCGGAAAAAAUCAGAGAGAAGGAUUCAUCGCGUUCUACGAUACGGAGGCGCCGCCACCUCCUGUUCUUCAUCCAGAUGACAGAUCUGGAGUACGUUCGGGGCUCCAAAGAGGGGAAAUCAUCGCCAUCGUCAUCAUCAACCUUCCUCCAUCGACAAUUCCAUGAUGUUCUUCACCAUUCGUGAGUAAUCUCAUCGUAGGCUUGCUGGACGGUGAUGAGUUGGAUGAGAUAUAUCAUGUAAUCGAGUUAGUUUUGACGGGGAUUGAUCCCUAGUAUCCACUAUGUUCUGAGAUUGAUGUUGCUACUACUUUGCCAUGCUUAAUGCUUGUCACUAGGGCCCGAGUGCCAUGAUUUCAGAUCUGAAAUUAUUAUGUUGCCACCAAUAGAUGUGUGUUUUAGAUCCGAUCUUGCAAGUUGUAGUUACCUACUAUGUGUUAUGAUCCGGCAACCCCGGAGUGACAAUAACCGGAACCACUCCCGGUGAUGACCAUAGUAUGAGGAGUUCAUGUGUUCACCAAGUGCUAAUGCGUUGGUCCGGUUCUUUAUUAAAAGGAGAACCUUAAUAUCCCAUAGUUUCCUUUUGGACCCCGCUGCCACGGGAGGGAUGGACAAUAGAUGUCAUGCAAGUUCUUUUCCCUAAGCACGUAUGACUUCAUACGGAAUACAUUCCUACAUUAGAUUGACGAACGGGAGCUAGUUACUUAUCUCUCCGUGUUAUAGCUAUUACAUGAUGAAUCACAUCCGGUAUAAUCAUCCAUCACCGAUCCAUUGCCUACGAUUCUUUUACUACUUGUCCUUGCUACGUUACUUUGCUGCUACUGUUGUCGCUACUGCUGUUACUCUGUUGUUACUUGCUACUGAUGUUGUUGAUGUUGCUUGCUACUGCUGUCACUACUGCUGUUACUUUGCUGCUACUUGUUGCAAGACUUUUCUGGAGCCGUUGCCGGGGAAGAAUAGUCCCCCUUCCACGUGGUAUUUACUGGCGCCAUUGAUACAACAAGUUAGGAAUAGUCUGCCGUCAACACAUCUUUUUCUGACACCGUUGCUAUCAUACCACUUUGCUACUUAUACUUUGCUUGCAAACACUAAUCUUUCAGGUGUGGUUGAAAUUGGCAAACUCAGCUGCUAAUACUUGAGAAUAUUCUUUUGCUUCCCCUUGUGUCGAAUCAAUAAAUUUGGAUUGAAUACUCUACCCUCGAAAACUGUUGCGAUCCCCUACACUUGUGGGUUAUCAAGGGCCAAUCUAUUUACUUUCAUGUUAUUUACUAUUCUUGUUGAGUUAACUUCUUAUUCCAACCUCAAAGUAUUAGUUGGCAAGCAUCAUGUGGUGGGGAAAGAUGCAAACAUAUAUAUCCAUACAAAUAUAUUUGAUCAUGAAUUAUUAUUGUUGACAAUUAUCUAUAUGGUAAAUAAAUUAGGAGGCAAAACUUUAAGCCCCUGUCUUUCUUUGUGUUCGAUGGAUGCUAUUUGUUCUAAAAAUAUGCUUUGAGUGUCAACAAUCAUGGAAGACUAUAUGAUAGUUGAGUAUGUGGAAUUUUCUAAAUAAAAUCUCUUACAUAGACCCUUCCCAAAAAUAAGAUGAAUUGCAAUUGUUUGGUGACUGAAAGCAUAAUUUGUUAGUUUUCAAGAAACUUUAUGGUCUACAUUUUAACACGUGAAUAGCUUGUUACUUCAUCAUGAGAAGUUUUAUGAGAUGAGCUACUGUGUAUGAUAUGUAAUGAUGCUAGAAAAAGUGUUUGGAUAUAUCAUUGAUCAAAUUUAUGCACUAUGCUAGCAUUCACACUUCAUAAAUGAUUUCUUUUAUUAUUUACCUACUCGAGGACGAGCAGGAAUAAAGGUCGGGGAUGCUGAUACGUAUCCAACGUAUCUAUAAUUUAUGAAGUAUUCAUGCCAUGUUUACAAUAAUUCUAUAUGGUUUUUGUAUGAUUUUAUUAUAACUAACCCGGACUGAUGCUUUUUUCAGCACAACUACCGUGUUGUUGUUUUUGUGCCCAAAUAAAAGUUCUCGGAAUGGGCUGAAAAAUUACGGAGAAUAUUGUUGGUAAAUAUGAAAAAUACUGGAGCAAAAGGAUACCAGAGAGGAGUCCCGAGGCAACCACAAGCCACCAGGGCACCCCCCUAGGGUGCGCUCCUUGGCUUGUGGGCCCCUCAAGCACUCCCCUGACGUGGUUCGAACGCCAAAUAUUCUUAUAAAAACAGAAACCCCCGAAAAGAAACUUAGAUCGGGAGUUCCUCUGCCGCAAGCCUCCAGAGCCAUGAAAACCCAGUCUUGGCCCUCUUCGGCACCCUGUCGGAGAGGGUCACCAUCACCGGAGACCAUUGAGGAGGAAGAUGGAGGGGCCAUCAUCACCAUGGAGGCCAAGGACUAGAGGAAGAACCUCUCCCCACCUUGGGGGAGGCCAUGGAGGAGGAGGAACAAGGCGGAGACCCUCUCCCCCUCUCUCCCGGUGGUGCCGGAGUGCCACCGGGGGAACCAUCGCCGCGGUGAUCGUCUUCAUCAACAUCACCUUCUUCAUCACCAACCCCAUCUUCUUUUAGCGUUCCACUCCCCCGCGCCCCGCUGUAAUCACCUACUUGAACACGGUUCUCUAUGCCACAUAUUAUGAUCCAAUGAUGUGUUGCCAUCCUAUGAUGUUUUGAGUAGAUUCCCUUUGUCUUAUGGGUUGAUUGAUGAUCUAGAUUGGUUUGACUUGCAUGCUUUAUUAUUGGUGUUGUCCUAUGGUUCUCUCCGUGUCUAGCAAGCAUGAGGGAUUCCCUUUGUAGGGUGUUGUAAUACGUUCAUGAUUCGCUUAUAGUGGGUUGUUUGAGUGACAGAAGCAUAAACCCGAGUAGGUGGGUUGUUGCGAAUGCGAUAAAGGGGACUUGAUGCUUUAAUGCUAUGGUUCGGUUUUACCUUAAUGAUCUUUAGUAGUUGCGGAUGCUUGCUAGAGUUCCAAUCAUAAGUGCAUAUGAUCGAAGUAGAGAAGGUAUGUUAGCUUAUAACUCUCCCUCAUAUAAAAUUGCAAUAAUGAUUACUGAUCUUGUUAACAAUUGCCUAGGACAAUUCCGCACACCGACCCAUCACUAUUCCACACUCGCUAUUUGUAAUAUAUUCUAACUUUAUGAUAACAACACCUAUUUUUAUAUUUUAUUUCUCCGAUGUCAUGCAAAGCUAUUCUCUUCAUACCCACAAUGUAGUUUUAUUUCUCGUUCCAAGUUGGAAGCAAACGUUCGGCGUACGUAGAGUUAUAUCAGUGGCAGAUAGAACUUGAGAGAAUAUUGCUCUUACCUUUAGCUCCUUGUGGGUUCGACGCUCCAUACUUAUCAUUUCCACCUUUUGAAAUUGCUACGAUGAUUCCUUGCACUUGGGGAUUAUCAGGGCGUCGGCAGCGUCUGGGAACAGGUGAUGGCUGAUACGUCUCCAACGUAUCUACAAUUUUUGAUGGUUCCAUGCUAUUAUCUUGUCAACUUUGGAUGUUUUAUAUGCAUGAAUAUGCUAUUUUAUAUCUUUUUUGGGACUAACCUAUUAACUCAAUGCAGAGUGCCAGUUUCUGUUGUUUCCGUGUUUUUGGCCCAUUUUCAGACGAACUCCAAAUGGAAUGAAACUUUACGAUGCUUUUUUUUGGACCGAAAGAGACCCCCGAAGCUUUGGAAGAAGGCCAGAAGAGCCACGAGGGAGUCACAAGCCCUGACGCCGCCACCACCCCCCUAGGUGGUGCCGACCAGGCUUGUAACCUCCUCGUGGGCCCAACCGACGUAAUUCCACCGCCAUAAAUUCCUAUAAAUUCAGAAACCCCCCAAAAGAAACCUAGAUCAGGAGUUGCGCCGCCGCAAGCCUCUGUAGCCACCAAAAACCAAUCUGGAGCCUGUUCUGGCACCCUGUCGGAGGGGCAAUCCAUCUUCGGUGGCCAUCUUCAUCAUCUCGGCGAUCUCCAUGACGAGGAGGGAGUAGUUCUCCCUCGGGGCUGAGGGUAUGUACCAGUAGCUAUGUGUUUGAUCUCUCUCUCUCGUGUUCUUGAGAUGUCUUGGUCUCAAUGUACCAUGGGCUUUGCUACUAUAGUUGGAUCUUAUGAUGUUCUUCCCCCUCUCCUUCUUGUAAUGAAUUGAGUUUAUCCUUUGGAGUUAUCUUNUACAAGGAGAAGGUUGCGUAGUAGACAUCAAGCUCUUUUCUGCCGCCGUUGCCGGGGAGGUUAGCGCUUGAAGGUAUAUCUUUAGAUCUUGCAAUCGAAUCUUUUUGUUUCUUGUUCUUUUGCUAGAAAACUACAAAAAAAAUGGAAUUGAGGAUGUCUCAUAUGCUCCAUCUUUUCAAUGUCUUUCGUGAGCAUGAUGGGAAGGAAAAUUGUGCUCAAGUGCUGAAAGAAGAAUUACAUAGAAUGCUUGGCAUAGAUUAUGUGAAUGAUGAGCAUGAUUGCAAUGUUCUUAGCAUGAAUUCUUUGAAUACCCAUGAUGCUAAUGAUAUGCAAAGCCACAAGCUUGGAGAUGCUAUAUUUGAUGAAGAUGAUCUUUUUAGUUCUUCCACUUUGAAUGAUCAUUGUGAGGAUACUUAUGCUCUGAAGAAGAGGGAUGAUAAAACAUCUCAUACUCUCGAGAACCCCUUUGUUAAAUCUUGCUUUUUCAUUGUGGACACAAUUUGUAGUGCUCAAGUCUUUUACGAUACUCCCACUACUAUUCUUGAGAAUAGAUUUCCUUAUGUGGAGAGUAGUAAAAUUUCUAUGCUUGUAGAUCAUGAAAAGAAUGCUUUAGGUGCUGGUUAUAUUGUUGAAUUCAUUCAUGAUGCUACUGAAAAUUACUAUGAGAGAGGAUGAUAUGCUUCUACUUAUUGCAAUAGUAUCAAGCUUCCUCUCCAUAUGUUGAAAUUUUUGAAGCUAUGCUUGUUCUGCCUUCCUAUGCUAGUUGAUUCUUGCUCCAAUAAAUUGUUUAAUCACAAAAUCCCUAUGCAUAGGAAGUGGGUUAGACUUAAAUGUGCUAGCCAUUUUCUCCAUGAUGCUCUCUUGUGUUUCAAUCCUUACCUUUUAUGUGAGCAUCAUUGAAAUCAAUGCCUAGCUAAGGGCGUUAAACGAUAGCGCUUGUUGGGAGGCAACCCAAUGAAUAAAUUUUUCUUUGCUUUUUGCUUCAUGUUUUGUUUUCUCCACACCAUCAUAAUUAUGUUAUGAUUGUGUCUUUUGUGUUUAUUUUUGUGUUUGUGCCAAGCAAAACCGUUACGAUUAGUCUUGGUGAUGAUUGUUUGAUCAUGCUGGAAAAAGACAGAAACUUUCUGCUCACGAAAAGAAUUUCCAUUUUUAUUCUGUAAGAGAUUUUGAGUUGAUUCUUUUUGCUGCAUAUUCAUAUGCAAUUUAUUCGGAAUUUAGUAAUUGUUCAGAUUUGUUGAAGUACCAGAAGUAUACAAAGUAUACAUAUUGCUACAGACUGGUCUGCUGUUAACAGAUUCUGUUUUUGUUGAGUUGGUUGCUUAUUUUGAUGAAACUAUGGAUAGUAUCGGAGGGUACUAGCCAUGUAAAAGUGAAAAUACAGCAACCCAACACCAAAAUAAGUAGAAUUUAAGUUUGCUACAGUACCUAAGGAAGUGGUGAUUUGCUUUCUUAUACUAAUGAUAUCACGAGUUUCUGUUUAAGUUUCGUGUUGUGAAGUUUUCAAGUUUUGGAUGAAGUUCUUAUGGACAAAAAGAUAAAGAGUGGCAAGAUCUCAAGCUUGGGGAUGCCCAAGGCACCCCAAGAUAUUCAAGGAUGCCGUAAAAGCCUAAGAUUGGGGAUGCCCCGGGAAGGCAUCCCCUCUUUCGUCUUCAAUCCAUCGGUAAUGUUACUUGGAGCUAUAUUUUUAUUCACCACAUGAUAUGUGUUUUGCUUGGAGCGUCUUGUAUCUUAGGAGUCUUUUAUUUUUGUUGUGUCACAAUCUUCCUUCCUUCAAACCUAGAGAGAGAGACAUGCACUCACCGUGAUUUUGUCGAGCUUCACUUAUAUCCUUUGGUAGACAAUUCAGCUCACAUGUGCUUCACUUAUAUAUUUUGAGCUAGAUACUUUUGCUCUGUGUGCUUCACUUAUAUCUUUUAGAGCGCAGCGGUGCGUGUCUUGGUAGUUGAUCUAUGCUUUGAAAGUAGUCUCAAAAUGGGUAGUUAUCCAAAGGGAUACGAAAACUUCCACCUUCAUGUGCAUUGAAUAGUUAGAGAAGUUUGAUUCAUCUCAAUUAGUUUUGAGUUGUGGUUUUGGUAAUAUUGAAGUCAUGCUAGUAAGGUGUUGUGGAUCUAGAAAUACUUGUGUUGAAGUUAGUGAUUCUCGUAGCAUGCACGUAUGGUGAACCGCUAUGUGAUGAAGUCUGAGCAUGAUUAGUCUUUUGAUUGUCAUCCUUUGCGUGGCGGUCGGGAUCGCGCGAUGGUUUAUACCUACCAACCCUUCCCCUAGGAGUAUGCGUUGAAUGCUUUGUUUCGAUUACUAAUAAAACUUUUGCAACAAGUAUAUGAGUUCUUCAUGACUAAUGUUGAGUCCAUGGUUUAGAUGCACUUUCACCUUCCACCAUCACUAUCUUCUUAGUGUCGUGCAACUAUCGCCGGUGCACAAAACUCACCAUUAGCCUCCCUCAAAACAGCCACCAUACCUACCUACUAUGGCUUUUUCAAAGUCAUUCCGAGAUAUAUUGCCAUGCAACUACCACCAUGACAUGUGCCACCACGUCUACAUUGCCAUUGCAUGAUGUUUCCAUUAAUGUCUAUGCCAUGCUAGAUCAUUGCCACGGUACACUACCGAAGGCAUUCCAUAUAGAGUCAUCGUUGCUCUAAGUUUUGAGUUGAAAGUGUGAUGAUCAUCAUUGAUGGAGCAUUGUCCCAUGUGAGGAAAUAAAAGAGGCCAAAGAAGCCCACCAAAAAAAACAAGAGGCCAAAGAGCCCACCAAAUAUAUAUAUAUAUAUAUGAGAGAGAAAAAGAGAGAAGGGACAAUGCUACCACUUUUCCACACUUGUGCAUAUUAAGCACCAUGAUCUUCAUGAUUGAGAGUCUCUCGUUUUGUCACCAUCAUAUAGCUAGUGGGAAAUUCUCAUUAUAUAACUUGGCUUGUAUAUUCCAAUAAUAGGUUUCCUCAAAAUUGCCUUAGUUCUUCGUGAGCAAGCAAGUUGGAUGCACACCCACUAGUUUUCUUUAAGAGCUUUCACAUACUCUUAGCUCUAGUGCAUCAUUUGUAUGGCAAUCCCUACUCAUUCACAUUGAUAUCUAUUGAUGAGCAUCUCCACAGCUCAUUGAUAUGCCUAGUUAAUGUGAUUAUCUUCUCCUUUUUUUGUCUUGCAACCUCCACCACACUCCACACCACUUAUAGUGCUAAAACCAUGGCUCACGCUCAUGUAUUGCGUGAGAGUUGAAAGGGUUUGAGAAAGUGAAGGUGUGAAACAAUUACUUGGCCAAUACCGGGGUUGUGCAUGAUUUAAAUUCGUUGUGCAAUGAUGAUAGAGCAUAGCCAGACUAUACGCUUUUGUAGGGAUAACUUUCUUUUGGCCUUGUUAUUUUGAAAGUUCAUGAUUACCUUGCUAGUUUGCUUGAAUUAUUAUUGUUUCCACGUCGAUAGCAAACUAUUGUUUUGAAUCUAAUGGAUCUGAACAUUCAUGUCACGUGAGAGAAGUUACAAAGUACAACUAUGCUAGGUAGCAUGCAACAUCAAAAAUUCAUUCUUUAUCACUUCCCUACUCGAGGAUGAGCAUGAGUUAAGCUUGGGGAUGCUUGAUACGUCUCCAACGUAUCUAUAAUUUUUGUUGGUUCCAUGCUAUUAUCUUGUCAACUUUGGAUGUUUUAUAUGCAUGAAUAUGCUAUUUUAUAUCUUUUUGGGACUAACCUAUUAACUUAGUGCCAAGUGCCAGUUUCUGUUUUUUCCGUGUUUUUGGCCCAUUUCCACACGGAGUCCAAAUGGAAUGAAACUUUACGAUGAUUUUUUUGGACCAAAAGAGACCCCCGAAGCUUUGGAAGAAGGCCAGAAGAGCCACGAGGGAGUCACAAGCCCCAAAGCCGCCACCACCCCCCUAGGUGGUGGCGACCAGGCUUGUGACCUCCUCGUGGGCCCAACCGACGUAAUUCCACCGCCAUAAAUUCCUAUAAAUUCAGAAACCCCCAAAAAGAAACCUAGAUCGGGAGUUCCGCCGCCGCAAGCCUCUGUAGCCACCAAAAACCAAUCUGGAGCCCGUCCUCGCACCCUGUCGGAGGGGGAAUCCAUCUCCGGUGGCCAUCUUCAUCAUCCCGGCGAUCUCCAUGACAAGGAGGGAGUAGUUCUCCCUCGGGGCUGAGGGUAUGUACCUGUAGCUAUGUGUUUGAUCUCUCUCUCUCGUGUUCUUGAGAUGUCUUGAUCUCGAUGUACCAUGGGCUUUGCUACUAUAGUUGGAUCUUAUGAUGUUCUUCCCCGUAUCCUUCUUGUAAUGAAUUGAGUUUCCCCUUUGGAGUUAUCUUNUACAAGGAGAAGGUUGUGUAGUAGACAUCAAUGGCGCGAGACACAUGACGUCGAUCUAUCCAGGUUUAGGGCCCUCCGGUGAGGUAAAACUCCUAGUCCUGCCGGUGUGACUAUAUGAGAUCACAAUUCAAUGGUUCUCCUUGAGCUGUUCGUGAGGAGGGAGACGAAGUUCUCACUGCCUCGGUGGUAUGUGUCUAAGGAUUCACUAGUUUUCUCCUCCCCUUCUCUCAGGGGACUGGGGUUGGGUUUUAUAGUGCAACCAAAUGUAUACAAUAAUGGGUAGAAACGGAGUGUGGGGUCCGGCCUUCAGCCUCUCCGGCUGGCCGUGGGGCCCGUCGGUUGUCGGGUCUUGUCCUGCGCGGGUCCCGCCGGACGUGUGACGCAGAGGAUAACGCGCCGGCCGUCAGGGAGUUGGUAGGGGUAGGCCCCAGCUACACGGCCGCCUCGCCCGGUCAGCCUAGGGCGUGACCGGUGGCGCUGUAGCCACGUCGAGCCUUGCAUCAUGACGCCUGUAGCCGCGCUAGGUCUAUCAACGCGCACUAUAGCCAUGCACGCCCCUCUGCUGAGGGUAUGCUCUUGUUCGCCGUAUGUUAGUCGGCCGGAUGGGAUGGGCGUUGACCCGUCGACUGCUGCCAGUCGGCCCGCCGUGCGCUGGCCAGGCGGGCCGCCUGUGGCUAGUCAACCAAGGGCGCCUAGCCGGACGGGUCAAACGCCGCUAGCCGAACUGUCACACAGUGGCUAGGCGAACCGCUUGUAGCCAGCCGGCCUAGGGGGGCCAGCCAGCCCGAAUGUCAAGUAGAUGGAUUCCCUCCGCUUUGGUAUACCCAGGGGCCAUAUCCCCGUCAUUAAAACUUAGCCAUUGCAACUUUGUGUACUUCGUUUAUCUCCAAUGACCAGACCAAGACCGCUUUCGGAUCCUCACCCUUAACAAUACUUCAUAUGUAUUCACAAUAUUCAGAUUGCUUUUAUCAUAUUCUUGCUUGUUCUUCGAUUGCUUGGAGGAAGAGACCUUCAUGAUGAGGUUGAUCGUGCUCCCGCGUGAUCAAUAAUCUCUUGAAGUUGGUUUAGUGAUUGCUAAGGCGCAACGUCGUGCACAUUUGUAGUCGGAUCGUCAAAGUCGUCUCCACCAAAUCGGUAGCCACCAUCUCUUUGAAAGAUCGGGACACCCUUGCCUCUAUCAUCUUCAAAUUAGAACACAUAAUGCAUUAAAAGUUGAAUGGGAGAGCUCCUUAAAAAAUUAUUGAUCCAAUCAAAAUCAAUUAACACGACUCUAAAUCAAUGAUCUCAAUUAAUUAUGAGGUCUUACAAAAUAUAAAUCAUAGUGUAUAAUAUACUAAAAAAUUUAAUUAGAGAGUUUUGAAAAAAUUGUUGACCCGUUCAAAAUCAGCUCACACAACUCCAAUUAAAAACCUCAAUAGAAUACGGCCUUCAUAAAACCUCAAUUGAAUAUUUCCGUAACAUAACACAUCACAAGGCAAAAUGAACAUAUAUCUAAAUAACAAAAAUACUUGCAUAAUAUCAUACAUAUAAUAUUAUUUAAUAUGAAGUUAUUAAUAUGGACUAAUAACAUAUGGAUGCUACUAAUGCAAGUUAUUUUCUACUAUGACGAGCCUCAUCUUGAGUGGUUUCUUUGCUUCCAGUCAAUCCCAACAAUGUCUUCACCAGUCCGGAUCCGUCGACUGGGGGGUCGUCCCGUGCAGAGUGGAGGAGGCAAUAGCGGUUCGCGUUGCACUCCGCCGCUCGCGCGAGGACAGCGCCUGACCGACAGAAGGAUUUGUCCGCCGCGACUCUGUAGCAUCUGCACAAAGGGUGCUCGGCUCCUUUGGGGAAUGGCCGGACUACCACCAAAGGUGGAGAAAGAGGUGAGCGGCGAUGAGGACAGUUGUGGCGACGAGAAGAUCCGGCUCGAUCCGUACUGCGUCUUCAACCGGUACUUCCACGACAAGACGGCAAGGGUGUCGGGAAGAACAGAGGCAGCCGUAGAUGAUCUUCACCAUAGCCAAACAUGUAAAAUUUUGAUAGUCCGAUGACAUGUUUAACAAUGAUGGAGUAACUGGACAAUGUGUGUGCGUCGACGUAGUAGUUCGUCUGCGGACGUUUGAAAGAUCGGAUUUGAGGAGUCCGGAGAUGCUCUAAGGCAGAGAAUACACCUAAGUAGCUAGUGGUACUACUUCAGAUGAGGAAGAAAAUGUUAACUAAAUUCCAAAUAUACUGCCGUGCCAUCACACUUUGACAAACACGCACGGCCUUUUUUACACAUAGCUCUAGGUGGCUGCGCCCCUUUCUACUGCAUAUCGAUCAUCUACCAAGAAGAUAUGCACCACUCGAUCUAUAGGGAUCAUGUCACGGCCUUCAAUGGCGGCAUUCGAGCGCACAUUCUUCGGCUCAAGUUGCAUUGUCUCUACGCCACCAUCGAGUGCGCCGUAGAAAACCGAGAUAUAGCGAUCUCCCUGAUAUCUCCGCUUUUGCAAUCCCCAUAAAUAAAUAAUAAUUCAUGUUUGCGAAUGAUGAAGUGCCUGCAAUUUUUACUUCCUGCAUAUCAUAAUAAUUAUAGUGCAAGAAAACUAGUAAACUAGUUCUUUCAACUAUAAUUAUUAUGUUUUUCCUUAACAAUAAUUAUUAUGAUAUACUCCCUUCGUUCUUAAAUAUAAGUUUUUUUAAAGAUUUCACUAAUAGAGUAUAUACGGAUGUAUAUAGACAUACUUUAGAGUGUACAUUGAAUCAUUUUGCUCUGUAUGUAGACCUUUAGUGAAAUCGCUUAAAAGACUUAUAUUUAGAAACGGUGAAAGUAAAUGGAGUAUAAUCAAUUCUACUUCCUCUAAGUCUGAAGGUGAGGACAACACAACCACACAACGCCGCAGUGACAAGCGUUGACUCCGGAUGAGGACCUCGUUGGAGACGGGGACGAUGUUGUGACUAUCAGUGUCUCAAUUGGAAAAAGGGCACACAUGAGAUGAAUUAACAAUACUACCUCCGUUACGGUUUAGAAGACACAUUGAUCACGGUUUAGAUUUCCAGUAUUUUACGGGCAAGAAGAGGAAAAUGAAAAAAAAAUUAAGCAUACAAAUAAAAACAAGAACAAAUGAGAAAAGAAAAAGAAAUGGUGUGUAUUAUCAUUAGAAGGCCUCGCCAUCAGUGAAAAGAAAGAAAGAAAACAGCACUAUCAGUGGGACUAGGGUUAGCUAUAAUUCACAGACUGGAGAGCUCAGACCAUGACGGCAAGUAAAAUGAAUUAAAGGGAGUAGUUUAAUUUGCGUAGAAGAAUAAGAGAUGUGAUCAGCUGAGAAAUGAUGAGAUUAAUCAAGAGGCAAAUCGAAUGAUGAUUUUUCCAACAGGUUUUAUUAGAUAAAAUGUUUGGUCAUGUCUCUAGCCAUUCCAAGAACCAAACUAAAAUAUCCUAAAAUAAAAAUAAAAUAAAAUAACAGUACUAAUAGAUUCUAGCCCAGCAUUUAUUUUUGCACCGAUCUGGACCAAGGGCAGACAGCAGGAUAGUGGUACUAGGAUACAAGGCUGGCACUAUAGAACGUGCAUGGACGUGACGCGAUGUACACAUGUACUGAUCAGGUCGGUGCAUGCAUGCGUGUGACUCAGCGCGAUGGCCCCCUCUUUACAACGCCAAAGGUACGCUUGCCCUCGUGGCCUUGCCAGCCCUCUCCCUUGGCCCUUUUCCCCAAACAUAUCAAAGAAAACCAAACCCGUAAACAUAGCAGUUUGGACCUUAGCCUCCGUGCAUGCGUGGCCACCACCCUAAUUUCGAUACAGCGAUCACCGUACGCAACUUGCUUGCAUCUACAGUACGUACCAGUACUAUAGUUUUGCAAUAGUAUAUUCCCAACCAAGAUCAGAAUGAUGCAGAUCAGUGUUUUGAUUCCUCGAUUUCAUUUUAUUUUCCUGCGUGACGCAAAAGGGCUGCUCGCUUUUGCGUCCUAGCUGUGAAUCUUGUGACCGUUUUGCCCUCCAGAGCCACUAUAUAAGCCCCUCUACCGCAGCACAUUUGCUUCACACAACACAGCCGAUCGCAUACUCUGAUCUGAUCAGUCGCACCAAACCGAGCUAUAGCAUCAGCUCGUCGGAGUUCGGACCGGUCGACUCGGAACUCGUCAUCAAUGGCCGCCGUCCAGGUAGACUGCUCAAUACUGCUUCGUUGCGUUUCGAUCAUGUAGCUUUUGACCUGCUGCCACGGUGCCAUGCCACCUCGAUCUCUUCUGGCACGAGCAACCUGAUCACACGUACGCUGCGUACUGGUACUUCUCUGACAUGAAGGCGUGCAUCAAUGUAAACGCAGGUCCACGCCGCAACCCACGCCAUGCCCGUCGAGGAGGCUCCGGCGCCGGCGGUGGUGGAGGCUGUCGAGCCGGCCGUCGUCGUUGUCGAGGAUACUACCGUGGCGGUGGAGGUCGUCGAGCCGGCCGUCGUCGCGGUCGAGGAGGCUACGGUGGCAGCAGUGGAGAUUGUCGAGCCGGCCGUCGACACAGUCGAGGUGGCAACGGCUGAGGCUGUCGAGCCGGCCGUUGUCGCUGCCGAGGAGGCCGUGAAGGAGGAAGUUGCUGCGCCGGCCGUGACCGAGCUGGCGAAAGAGCCCGAGGCAGCUCCAGCGGAGACCAAGGAGGCCGAGACAGAGGUUGUCCAGCCGGCCGCCGCCGCUGAGGAGGCCCCUGUCACGCCGACAGUGACCGAGACCAAAGAGCCGGAAGCUGCCCCUGCCGAGGGAACAGAGACCGAAGUGGUGGAGCGUGAGGCAGCACCGGCUGAGGCCGAGACCAAGGAACCAGAGAAAGAAGCUGCUCCGGCCGAGACCGAGACCAAGGAACCAGAGCAAGAAGCUGCUCCGGCCGAGACCGAGACCAAAGAGGCAGAGCCAGCCGCUGCCGAGGCCGAGGCCAAAGAGCCGGUGGCAGAGGAGACACCGGCCAAGGAGGAGGCCGCUGUGGCAGUGCAGGAGGAAGCAGCAACUACGGAGGCACCUGUGGAGGCUGCCGUGGCAGCCGAAGCAGCCGUGGAAGAGACAGAAGCACCAGCUGCUGCUGCCGACGUCGAGGCCAAAGCGCCGGUGGCGGAGGCACCGGUCCAGGAGGAGGCAGCGCCCGCAGCCACCGCCGCCGAAGCGUCUUCCGUGCAGGAGGAGGCGGCACCGGCCGAGGCACCCGUGGAUGCACCCGCUGCCGCCGAGGCGGUGCCGGCAGAGGCACCAGCUGCUCAGGCUGCCGCCGCCGCCGACAAGGCCGCCGAGUGAGUUGAUGCGCGCGGGUGCGAUCGUGCUCCUGAGCUAGCCUUUGCCUGGCUUCGCCGUGCGCGUGCCGUGGCAUUGCCAUGGCACGGUACCUUAGUUCGUUUAUUAUUGGAUCCGUAUGUGUGGGCGUAUUUCGUGAGUGGUUGAUCGUCGUCGCGUGGGUGCGCAAUGUACGUCACGUAGCUGCGUACAUGGUCUAGCUAGCAGUCGUAUGUGUGUCGUUCUCAGUUGGCUUCAAUAAUGUGUCAGUGGCGUUCCGGGUCCCACUGUCAGUGAUGUCAUGGGGUCACUGGCUUUGGAGGCUGUUUUCGUCUCUUUGUUUUUUGUUUUUUGUGUUGGUUAAUACAUGCACUAGCUAUUUAUUUGUAUACUGUAUAUGUUGGUACUCCAUCCGUAAAAGAUUUUUGAGUUUUUUUUCCUUUGAGAACCCCUCCGUAAAGAAAUACAGUAUAUGAGUGUUUAGAUCACUAAAGUAGUAAUCUAAAUGAUUUUAUAUUUUUUAGAAAGGAAUACUAAAAAGGCUUGUGAUUUGUGUAAUGCCUCAUCUAUGGGGUCCAUGAUCUGAGCUGCAAUUUAAAAUAAUUAAUUCGGACAUACAUAUUUUUCAUACUAUCCUUGAAAAGGAUCUGGUUCCACUAUCAGCGGUAACGGAAGUUGGGUAUGUGCUCGCCACAAAUGUAAUCCAGGGCCGCCCGGGGUCUGCGGGGGCGGCCGCACGGGCCCAAAAAUUUUAAAAGCCCUGUAUAUAUAUAUAUAUANNNNNNNNNNNNNNNNNNNNNNNNNNNNNNNNNNNNNNNNNNNNNNNNNNNNNNNNNNNNNNNNNNNNNNNNNNNNNNNNNNNNNNNNNNNNNNNNNNNNNNNNNNNNNNNNNNNNNNNNNNNNNNNNNNNNNNNNNNNNNNNNNNNNNNNNNNNNNNNNNNNNUAUAUAUAUAUAUACACACACACACACGUAUACUAAGUACGUAACUAAUAUAAAAAAAUAAAUGAAAACCAGGGUUUAUUUUAUGCGAGGUUACUACAUGGGUCAAGAGGCAUUUUAUCAACCAGGUUACUACAUGGGCCAAUUAAUAUAGCAACCACGUAUGGAUCGAUUGUGAGUGUCUUCUGGUCAAUCGCUAUUGCGAUCCAUCUGCACGUUUGCUGCACGACAGCCGGAAAUUGCUGCCUGCUUGUUGCACACACUCACGAAGCCACGAACACGAAUCCUCUCUUGCUCUCUCGUCUCCGCGCACACCGAUGCUGGCCUCUUGAUUCGCGAUCUCAUCUUUAGACGCGUCCAACUGUCCAAGACCAAGAUCCGCCGGGCUAGGCACAUCGUCAUACUGGUACGUCAAUUGAUUACUUUUACUGAUUCGUUUUUAAUUUAUGGGCAGUUUAGGCCCUAAUUUUGAUUAGUAAUUAUUUAUUUUCAGAAUUAUUAUGAAGCCUGAAUCAGGUGCUGCUACAAGAAAAAGAAAGAAAACAGAUCAAAAAUUGGUAGAUUCACAAAGAGGAUCUCUUCAUAAAUUUUUGAAGAGUAACCCGUUCACUUAAAAAAAAUCCAGAUGAGUUGGCGUUAGUUCUUGUGGGAGAACCAAGUAAUGUGAAUCUACAAGAUGAUAUCCAUACAGAAGACAAUGUUGACAUCGACGCUGACCAUAACAAUGUGAGUGGUCAUGACCAUAAUUCAUCUCCCAUGAAAUCUGGUAGUGUUGAUGAAGAUUCAGUUCAUGUGGAUAUUUAGGGUGUGUUCAAAUUGUAAAACUUAUAUACCAUAAUGAAAUUACGCCUUUAUGCGUCCGUGGUUUUUCUCAUAAGGGUUUUCCACGUAAAAAAUUUGUGUCUCAUUUUUUUUGCUAUUUAUUUCGCUAACCUAUACUAUUUAUUUAUACUAAGGGACCCUAAAUUUUAGUUUCGCCCUGGGCCCCCAAAAUCUCAGGGCCGGCCCUGAUGUAAUCAUGCCCCAAGAUUACCAAUUGAUUCGUCUGAACCACCGAAAGUUACCAGGUUUGGAACUCGCAGCAACAUGAAAUCUUACAACUACCCAUCCAACAACCGAACAAGUGCAUGAUCUACAACAAAAGAAGAGUAAAAUGCACUCUCGGUCACUAAACUUGUUUAGGCUGGUCACUUUGAUCAAUGUAUUGCUAAAAGUGCAACUUACGGUAACUAUACUUGUUCGAAUGGAUCAAAGGAGUCACUAUGUACGACUAAAGCUCGAUUCGUGCACGUAUUGAUUGGGUUGGACCGGUCCACGCGCUGAUCUAGCGUUGUUUGCAGAUACCCCUCGUGCGAUAAUCUUGGCAUAAAGAACAGAGCACCCCACCACGUGAUCGCCGCGGGCGGCAUCGACGUGCGGAGGCCCCUGGCGGACGCGUGAUCACGGCGGGUGGAGGAGUUCGCGGACCGGAGGCAGAGGUGUUGCACCCCUAGCUCUGGUGGCGAGGAAGACGCCAUGUCCGCCGUUCGUCGACGCAACGUCGCUCAUCCACCGGUGUACGGUAAGGCCGUACCUCUCUUUUUGCCACUUUUUCAAAGUAAAGGCGGGCGAUUUGUAGUUGAUUUUGAUGAUUUGGAUUAUGAUUCUCUGUUAUAUGAGGCCGCAUUGUUGAUCGAACCAUGUUUUGAUGGAUUCUUUGGAGUAAGGGUAGUUGAUUACUAUUUUGGAAGGGAUUUGUUAGGGUUUUAGAACGGGCUUGGUUUGGGAGGAAAUUUGUUGAUUCUGAUUUGAUGGAUGUUUGUCCUGCUUACUGUGGGUACCCGCAGCUUGAAUUUCUCUAUUGAGUUCAGUGUCGGCGGCUGUUUUGUUGGUACUCAAGUUAACAUAUCAUAUGUAAAUGGGAAGGCAAUUUGGUAUGAUUAUCUUCAUGUGGACACUUGGUCAAAUCUAGUUGUUGAGCAUCUGGUACAAGAAAUUGGUUAUGAAAUGGCUGGGAGAAUAAAGGCUUAUUACCUUAUACCAUUACUUGAUAUCACAAGAAAUGGGCUCACACAGAUACGAGAUGAUGAUGACAUGGACAAAAUGUGUGAUUUUGUAGGAAUGGGGUACCAUUCUUUACAAAAUUUCCUUGACCGUGAUGACAACAUUAUCUCUAAAAACAAUGUUAGUGCUGAGCAAAGUGCAGUUUUUCGAGAUGAGGACAGGGGCGCUAAAACAGAUGCAAAGUAUGGAGUUGCUGCUGAUGCAAAGCAUCAUGGAGUUGCUGAUGAUGCAGAGCAUGAUGGAGUUGCUGAUGAUGCAGACAACGAGGGAGUUGUUCCUCAUGCAGAGCCUCAUAUACAAACUAAUGUAGAGGCUGGCCAAAUUGCAGAUGCAGAGGCAGUGCAAGCAGACUAUCGAAGGAAGAUAAUGUGGUCAAUGAAUGCAAAGGCAGUGCAAGCAGAGUACCAAAGGAAAAGAAUGGGUCAACAAAGGAGAAGGAAUGCAAGGUUGUAAAAUGCAGGUGAAUAUACAGACUCUGAAGAUGAAGACUUUGGCUCUGGGGAGAUAGUUGACUCUCAUUAUGAAAUAUCUGAUGAUGAUGAUGACAUGUUUGCUGACCAUGUGGAUUAUGAAGAAUAUGGAGAGAUUAGCCAGGAACCUCACGCAUCAAACAAGGUAAAAUCAAAGGAGAAAGUUUAUGUUGAAGAGGAGUUGAAGCCUGCAACUGAUGAUGAGUCUGAAGGGAAUGAUAUCUGGGCACCAGACUGUGAUGAGGAAGGACACAAAUUCAGAUUGAAGACAUUCAGGAAAGAAGAUUUAUAUUGUCCCAAUUUUCAUGUAGGUCAAGUGUUUGAGACAGUUGAGAUUUUUAGGAAAUCAGUUAGAGAGUACAACUGUCAAAACAGGGUGGAAAUCAAGUUUACAGUGAAUGACAAGAAGAGGUUGUGUGCUAAAUGUGAUGCAGACUGCAAUUGGUACUUGUGGGCAUCAUAUGACUCUGGAACUAAUGCAUUCAUUGUGAAGAAGUAUACUGGAGACCAUUCUUGUACAAAAAAUGGAAGAUAAAGGCAUUAACUGCAAAGUUUCUUUCACAGAAGUACAUAGAGCAUUUCAGAGCUGACCAAGGCAUGAAUCUUAGUAAAAUUUCCAAGAUUGUGCAGAAAGAGUGGAACAUGACCCCUAGCAGGACAAAAUUGCAGAGGGCUAGAAGGUUGGCUAUGAAGAAAAUACAUGGUGAUGAAGAAUCACAGUACAUGCUCUUAUGGGACUAUGGCAAUGAGAUUAGAAGAAGCAAUCCAGGAAGCAGAUUCUUUGUGACCCUUGAUGUGAACUCUAGGUUUGAGAAGUGUUAAUUUUCUCUUAAUGCAGAGAUGACACGCAACAUCUGCCCAAAGAUAAAAAAGAGGGUGCAAACUAACAGUGAGUAUGCAAGCUUAUCCCAUGUUGGAGGAGAAGGUGAUGGUGUAUUCCAAGUGCAUGACACGGGUACGGAUUAUAUUGCUGACACUAUUUGCCAGCCAUGCUCCUAUAAGAGAUGGGAUCUAAGUGGGUUGCCUUGCUGUCAUGUGUUCGCCUGUUGCAGAGAUGAUAUGAUAGAUGUUGACACAAUGGUGAAUGGUUGCUACUCAAUUUCCAUGUUUUAGAAGGCCUACAAAUAAACUGAUGUUCAAGCCAGACUCAGUCAAACAGAAGGUGGAUCUAGCCAGGGACACUCUAGCUCCAUCAUGCAGGGAGAACUAGCUAAAAAGUGAGGGCCAUGAAGAUGCAGAGAAGCUUGGAAGCUGAAGACAAAAAGAGAGCAUUGUUGGAAGCUAGGCAAGAGGCAGAGCUUAAGAAGCUUGAAUCAAGUGCAAGGAGGAAGGAAGAACUUGCUAGGAAGAAGGCAGAAGAGGCAGCAACAAGAAAGUUGCUUGCGGAGGAGAUGAAGAGGAAAAAAGAUAGGAGAGAGAGCUGAAUAAGAAAGUUCAGGCUGAAACAAGAAAGAUCAUAGCUCAGGCAAAGAAGGCAUGAGCUGCUGAGAUGAAAGCUAAGCUAAAUGCAGAGAAAAAGGAGGCAACAUCUGCAGCAAGGAAAGAAGCUCAAGCACUAGCUGCUCAGGAGAGAGCAAGACUUGUUGCAGAGAGGAAGCAUCUACUUGAUGUUGCAAAAAGAUCUUUACAAGGUACUGGUGGAUCUAGUACACAAGCCACAUGUUUCAAGAGGCCUGGAUCACCAGGUCAUACAACAAUGGUUGAGAAAUCUGCUAAGAAUGCAAACAGAGCCCCCAUGUUUGAUGUCUUGAGGUGAUUGUGUACAAGAUGUGUCCAUGGCAGAAUUUUUUGGCCUAAAACUAUAGUUUUUUUUCUCAUUAUGGCACGUGUGUGUCCAUUUUAAACCUUAUAUUCAGAGUUCAUUAUGCUUAUAGAACACCAUACUUGUAUGCUAUCAAAUGAUACUUCUAUGAUAUCACAUGAUACUUGUAUGCUAUCAAAUGAGCAAAAGAACUUGCUCACAUCAAGUGCACCUCAUACAUACAAAUAUAGGUUCAAACUGAAGAAGAAUAACCAUGAGGUGCAAGUCUUCCAUUAAGAAACAUGAUCCAAGUACAUAACCAUUACACCAAAUAAACACUCACUACAAUCACUUGAGGAUCAGAAGAACAACCUACCCACAAAGCAAAACAUCUAAUGCCAAUACAAUCUUCAAAAACAUCACUGGCUCGGCUCAAGCUCGAACAAUUUUGGGGACAUGCAGCCAUUGUUUGCUCCUCUUGCACAGUGCUCUGCAACGAUACCUUCAUGUCCUCUCUCCAGCUCUUCCCUCGUGUCCUCAUUACAGCCAAUAGCAUCAACGACAACAUUUCCUCUCAAAAUGGUCUGAUCCACAAGAUAGGACACAUACUCACGCUCCGAGUGCGAGAAUUUGCAGCCAUGCUAUCAAAUUUGGAACAAAGGAAUAAGAGACCAUCUAUGAAAAAAUCAAGUUAAAAGUUGGUUACUUACACUAUGGUUCUUGCAUAUGUAGAACACCCAACCGCCAUGGUCGUCAGUGACGGAGAUGUACCUCUUGAUAGUCCGACCACAAUCCGAACAGUCGACCAGAGGGAUCAAGGGGGCGCGGCGACGCAGAGUAGAACUGCUGCGCUGAGCAGAGCAAGAACAACUUGAAGACAUGGCAAGAAUCAAGGGGGCGCGGCGGUGCAAAGAGCUAGGGUUCGUCAGCAGUGCAGAGAGCAGAGUGGGGGAAAUGGAAUAUUUGUAGUAAACACCCCAUGUAAAUGAUCCACUACCACCCACCUCCUACAAUAGCUCUUGACCGGUCCAACCCAACCAAUACGUACACGAAUCGAGCGUCAAUCGUACAAAGUGACUUCUUUGAUCCGUUCGAACAAGUAUAGUUACCGUAAGUUGCAUUUUAGGAAUACAUUGACCAAAGUGACCAGGCUAAACAAGUAGAGUGAGCUAGAGUGCAUUUUACUCACAAAAGAAUGAUGAGCAUGGACAUAUGGCAGCAUCAACUGUAAAAUUUGUUUAUGGGUCGCGAUAACGUCCACACGUGUGGUGCGAGCAACAUCCGCCCACACGCCUAUAACACAUAGAUUGUUUCACUUCACCGCAUGCAUGGAUGUGGCGAUCUUUUUUGAUUUCUUGUUUUUUUAAAUGUUUGAUCCCUUAAAUGAAAAAAUCGAUUGAAGAUCCGUUUUCAUCAUUAAAUUCAUCGUGACGAGAUCUUCGAAACUAGAUCUGAUAUCAAUAUGUUUCGACGACAUUUUUGGGUUAAAAGUUGCCAUAUCUAUUGCACAUGAAUUGCCAUGGUAUUUACACUGAAGUUAUCAUGAUAUGUUUCACGUAUUUUUUAUUCUACCUUUAAAAGUAAAUUUUGAUGGAUUAGUAAAGAAUUUCCAUGAUCAAUGCAUUCAAUUUGUCGUUGUUAAUUACUAAAAAUUAUCAUAGUCAAUUAAUAAAAAAUGCCAUAAAAAGUAGUUGAAAAAUAUACCGGUAUCUUUGAAUAUAGAAGAAAAAAAUAGAUAGAACAUGUCAUGGAAACUUUAUUGUAAACACUAUGGCAACUACACUAUAACAUCAUGGAAACUGUUGCCCAUUUUUUUUAAUCAAAACAUAUCAACAUGGGAUCUAGUCUUUUGAAGAUCUCAUCGAGACGAAUUUAAUGAUGAAAAUGGAUUUUUAAUUAGAAGAUAAAACAUUUUUAAAUAAAAAAAACAAAGGGAAAAGAUAAUGCCCACACGUGUGGGUGUUUGCAUUAUGCCCAUACGCCUUCAUUACCAUUCAUUUUGCCACGUCAAAACAGAUGACAUCAACGGCAAUCUUUUUUGGUUUUUGCUUAAAAAUGUUUUAUUUUUUAAUUAAAAAAUCCAAUUCAAAAUCUGUUUUCACCAUUAAAUCCGUCUCGACAAGAUCUUCAAAACUAGAUCUCAUGUUGAUAUGUUUCGAUGAAAAAAAUUGAACAAGAAUUUCCAUGAUGUUAUACUAUAGUUGCCAUAGUGUUUACACUAGAGUUGCCAUGACAUGUUCUAUCUAUUAUUUCUUCUAGAUUUAAAGCUACCAGUAUAUUUUCAAUUAAAUUUUAUAGCAAUUGUUAUUAAUUGACCAUGGAAAUAUUUAGUAAUUAACCACGACAAAUUUAAAGCAUGGAUCAUGGCAAUUCUUCACUAAUCCAUCAAAAUUUACUUUUAAAGGUAGAAGAAAAAGAUACCUGAAACAUAUCAUGAAAACUUCCAUGUAAACACCAUGGUAAUUCAUGUGCAAUAGACAUGGUAACUUUUAACAAAAAAAUUCAUCGAAACAUAUUGAUAUGAGAUCUAGUUUUGAAGAUCUUGUCGCGAUUGAUUUAAUGGUGAAAAUGGAUCUUCAAUCGGAUUUUUCAUUUAGGAGAUAAAAUAUUUUAAAAACUAAAAAUAAAAAAAGAUCAUCACAUGCAUGCAUGCGGUGACCGGACACAAUAUGUGUGUUAUAGGCGUGUGGGCAGAUGUUGCUCCCACCACACGUGUGAGCGUUAUCGCGACCCAAACCAAAAAAGAUUCCCGCUGAUGUCAUCUGUUUUAACAUGGCAAAAUGAGUGGUAAUGAAAACGUGUGGCCAAAUUGCAAACAUACACAUGUGUGAGCAUUAGGUUUUUGGUUGUUUAUUUAGUAAAACUCCUACAAAGUCCGUUAAUUCAUCAGCGAAGCUGUAGCAUCUAUUGUGGGAGUUCUUAUUAGACACUCUAAGCGUGGAAAUGUCCCUAUAAUGCGUGCUGGACGUAGUCCAUGUAGUGCUUCGUGUGCUUAGCAUUUUUUCUAUUGUUUUUUAAGUUUUACGACCUGCUUUCUUAAUUUCAACCAAUUAUUUAAUUGAAAAACAUUAAAACUUUGAAAAAAAUGAAUUUUCAAAGGUUCUUUAAUUUAUUUUUUGUAGAAUUUGAUAAUAUUUAUGGAUUUUGCACAAGAGGAGUGCACGCAAAAGCUGCCCGCCUUUCCGCAUGUGAGGUCGCUCACGCCCUAGAAAACACCAUCCAAGACUCCGAGCUCCACAUACAACAUGCCCCCUCGUUUUUGCAGUGGCCGGAAAUCGUGCUCCUCUGUGGCACGGACGAGGAUGCAGCCCUUGUUGUUGCACGUGCUGAUGAUGAUGCUGAUGCAUCUGUAUCAUAAUGUGCUCACCCUCAAAAUCCUGCCUGCUGGACAACACUUAUCACGACCUCAUCAUGCCCGUGUUGUUACCGCCUACUUUUCUUUCUACGUAUGAGUGCGGAGCUUCUUGUCUCAAGCCUCCAUGCAUCAGGUCCAAUGCAAUCCAUCCCUCCCCUUCCUUCAGUAAUUUAGCUAGUUCACGUGACGUAGGUCGUUUUUAUGAGUAUUGCAACCCCCUCUAUUUGUUCGUGGAAUGUAAGAGGUAUGGGAGAUGAAUCAAAGUGUGUGGAUGUCUUGCCCAAAUUACUCUCAAUUAACCCGCAUUGUGCCCUCUUGCAAGAGUCAAAACUUAGUCAUAUAAACGAUCGCAAAUUUCUCUCGUUUCUGCCGCGCUCGCUAGACCAGAAAAUUUUCCUUCCCGCUGACGGAACGGCGGGCGACAUUGUCUCAGCAGCCAACUCAAAUCACCUAAAUCUACUCUCACAUGUGAACCACACCUUUGCCACCUCAAUAACACUAUCCUCUGUGGCCCACCUAUCACACUUGUCAUAACUAAUGUGUACGCUCCAUCUAACCGCAUCCUCAAGCAGUCCUUCGUGGACGAGCUCAAUCAGAUCAAACGAGGCAAUCAAACGCCAUGGCUCAUUGUCGGAGACAUCAACCUUAUUCAGUUCUCACAUGAAAAAACAAUUCAAACUUUAACCAACGCGAAGCUAAUGCAUUCAACGACCUAAUCAACACCCUGGCCCUAAUGGAACUACCACUUCUAGAUAGAAGAUUCACUUGGUCCAAUAAUAGUCCCUCACCAACACUCGAGCGCCUCGAUCCUGCUUUCUUCAAUCUAACCUGGAAUUAACACUUUCCAAACACCAUACUCUCCUCGCUGACACGCUUUAUGUCUGAUCACGUCCCCUUAAUUAUUCGAAUUCAAACGAGUGUCCACCGUUCGAGCCAAUUUUGCUUCGAAUCACAAUGGGCCCUCUCGACUAAGUGUCACAAAAUUGUCCAAAAAUGUUGGCCCCCCAACAGGCUGGACAACCAGAACCUAACACCCACAACCAUCCUCUCCAAAGCAAUCAAAUCUUCUAGGGACGCAAUUAAAAAAUGGGCUCGAACACGCUCCUCGGCCCAACAACGAGAAAAAGCGGCCAAAAGAAUCAUCACUCUCGUUGAUCUCACGGAAGAAUCUCGACCUCUAUCUAGAGCCGAAAAAGGCUAAGGAUUGUUCUCAUGGCUUCCCUUCAGACCGCAGCUAGAGAAAAAUGGCCUUCUGGAAGAAACGCGGCAAAGUUCGCGUAGCAAUCGAAGGAGAAGAGAACACUGAAUACUUCCACGCUGCUGCCUCCCAACGAUUCUGAAAAAACACAAUCUUCUCUCUUUCAAUUGGUGGGAAAGACUUCCACACUCACAACCAAAAGGAAAACAUUCUAGCAGACCAUUUCAACAACAUCAUUGGAAUCUCACCACACACAUCGUGGUCUUUUGACCCAAAACAAUACUACUCCCAAAACUUGUCGCAACAGCUAACACUAGACUCGCCCUUCUCUGAGGACAAAAUUGAAGCUGCCUUCCAACAAAUUUUGGGUGACAACCCGAGACCGACGCUCUAGAAGAUUCCUCUUUUAUUCUGUUGCCGCCGUGUAAUUGGAUUGUUUGUCGCACUCAUCAUCGCAUCAUUCGCAUUGCAUCAGCACUCCGUUGCCGCCAGUUUUCGAAACCUGCAUUCGUUAUUAGUUGCUGUUUCUCUCCAUUAUCAUCGUUAACCGUUUCGAGACCAACCACACACGCACGCGCUCGCGGCAUCAUUUAAAUUUUGUUUUUAAAAGUGUGUUUAAAAUAUCCUCGGACUAGAUUGGAACUUGGCGUGUGGUCUUGUUCGAGAGCCUCAAGUAUUCUUUGUCUUGCAUUUCAAAGUGCAAUUCUUCCUCCUUUUGCUCUUGAGGUGGUGUUAUAGCAUUCUUGUUAGUGGAGGAGUCUCGAAGAGAAGUUUUUUCAAGAAUGAAAUAUUUAAAUCCACCAAUUCCUUCAAUCAUGGGGUAUUUGCAACCCGUGAUUUCUUCAUUGAGCUAUCUUCGAUUGGAUUUCACCUAAGAGCUUUUCCUAUGGAUUGUUGCUAUCAUGGUGCUUGUCAUUAAUUCAAGUUCUCAAUGUAUCCUCUUGCUGAAAGAAGUUGUGCAUAUCUUGUUGCUCCCAAUCCUUGUUUCUGUUAGUGGCUGGUUGUCAACUCGUUAUUUUGGGAUGGUUUUCAUAAGUCCACUACAAGCUUGUUCUUUCUGUUAUUGGUUUGCCAACAACUCCAUUCAAUUCUUCUUGCAAGGCUGCUUGUAAAAUUCAAUUGUGAUAGUAGUUGUCAUUUUCUUCUUCAUUCUAUUCUUCUCAAAGAUCUAGUUUUUGUUCUCUUGUUCCGGAGUUGUGGUGAUGUUGCUCUCUUCAAUCUGUCAUCUUGUUCUAUCAAGAUCAUGUUCUCUCCUUACUUAUUCAAUUUAGUUAGUUUGUUGUGAAUCUUCUCAAGAUCUUUCCAUCUUAUCAAUUUUUGCCUCAUUUUUCUACCGAAGUGCUGCCGAAAUUUUGUUUGAAUCCUUGCUUGUUCCUCAUGUCAUUCUUCAUUCCUUGCAACCUUCAAAGAUCGCUGGUUUCAUUCGUUUGUCAAGGAAGCAACUAAAGUUUUACCUCUUGUUUUCUUAUCCUCUUCCCCUUUUCAUUCUUAGAUCUCGGGGCGAGAUCUCUUGUUAGUCACUACUGGAAUCACAGAAUUUGCCAUUAGCCUAAUCUUUGUCGUCUGCUGGCUGAUGGAAAAAACCGUCUUUGCCGCGAGCUGCCAAAAAACGGACGACGAAGAUCAGACUGAUGGCAAGGAUACUCUUUGCCAUCAGUCAGUUUUUUGUCGUCUACCAACUGAAGGCAAAGAGACUAAGACAAACGGCAAAGAACUGACCGCUCUUUGCCGUCUGCCAGCUGACGGCAAAGAACAUGCAGGCAGACGACAAGAGCACGGGGUGGCCCACCCCACACCCCCUCUCUUCCCAUAAUGGUCUCUCUUUUGCCGUGUGCCUUAUACCUCUUUGCCAUCGGGGGGCAGACGGCUAAGAGCCAAAUAGCCCUAAUGGACGUCGGCCCCCUAGGCCCCAACCACACCCCAACCACACCCAUCUCUCCCCCAUAACGGUUUCUCUCUUCUCUCUACCCGCACCCCCGGAACCCACCGCGCCACUGGAGCUCGCCCUCCCCUCCUCCUCGCGCCCCGNAGAAGAAGAAGAAAAGGAAGGAAGAAGAGGAGGACGAAGAAAAGGAAGAGGAGGGAAAAAGAAGAGGAGGAAGAAGAAAACGACACCCUCACACCCCGAAACGACACCCCGACACCCCGAGACAACGCCCCGACACCCCGAAAAGACGCCCCGACACGACAUCCCGACACCCCGACACGAAAAUCCGUGGAGCUAUUAAUACGCUGCCCCCGACGCCACUGAGCCCCAACCCCCGACCCUCGAGGCCUCUUCGGCCUCUUGUUGACCGGAAAGGUGAUCUUCGGCCUUCCAGAGGCUGCCGGUCGCGGACCUCACCAGGAGAAUGCUCGAAGAGGAGAGGAGAGGCAGAGAAGAGAGGUAUUCGGAACUAGAAGAGUUGGUGUGCUGACCCUUCGACCGUGUGUCGCCAUACCUGAGGGCGCCAGGGACGAGUGAGUUAGGGGGUUCCUCCGUCGGCAUGCUGCCUCUACAUCUACCGUCGAGAUUAGUUUUAAACCUUAAUAAUUGUUAUUUAGUACCAGCUUUAAGCAUGAACAUAGUAUCAGGGUCUUGCUUGAUGCGAGACGGCUACUCAUUUAAGUCAGAGAAUAAUGGUUGUUCUAUUUAGAUGAGUGAUAUGUUUUAUGGUCAUGCUCCGCUGGUGAAUGGUUUAUUCUUGAUGAAUCUUGAUCGUGAUGUUACCCAUAAUCAUAGUGUGAAUACCAAAAGAUGUAAAGUUGAUAAUGAUAGUCCCACAUACUUGUGGCACUGCCGCCUUGGUCAUAUCGGUGUUAAGCGGAUGAAAAAACUCCAUACUGAUGGACUGUUAGAGUCUCUUGACUUUGAAUCAUUUGACACAUGCGAGCCGUGCCUCAUGGGCAAAAUGACUAAUACUCCAUUCUCAGGAAUAAUGGAGAGAGCAACUGACUUAUUGGAAAUAAUACAUACUGAUGUGUAUGGUCCAAUGAACGUUGAAGCUCGCGGUGGCUAUCGUUAUGUUCUCACUCUCAUCGAUGAUUUGAGUAGGUAUGGGUAUAUCUACUUAUGAAGCACAAAUUUGAAACGUUUGAAAAGUUCAAGGAAUUUCAGAGUGAGGUUGAGAAUCAACAUGAGAGGAAAAUAAAGUGUCUACGAUCUGAUCGUGGAGGAGAAUAUUUGAGUCACGAGUUUGGCACACACCUAAGGAAAUGUGGAAUUGUUUUACAACUGACGCCGCGUGGCACACCGCAACGUAACGGAGUGUGUGAACGUCGUAAUCGAACUUUAUUAGAUACCGUACGAUCUAUGAUGUCUCUUACCGACUUACCGCUAUCAUUUUGGGGAUACGCAUUGGAAACUGCAACAUUCACUUUAAACAGGGCAUCGUCUAAAUCCAUUGAGAGGACACCGUAUGAAUUAUGGUUUCGCACGAAACCUAAGCUGUCGUUUCUAAAAGUUUUGGGCUGCGAUGCUUAUGUGAAGAAACUUCAACCAGAGAAGCUCGAACCCAAAGCGAAGAAAUGCGUAUUGAUGUCAGUUGUGCUUCCCUAGCAAUGGCGCCAGAAAAGUGCUGAUCCUGCAAUCUCUAGUGUUAGCUAGACGAAUGCUUAUGACAACAAACCUUCUCCUGCAACGACACCAGAAGAAUGCUGCUAGCACUCCCCGGCAAUGAAACUGGAAGAAUGUUGUUGAUGGCCCACCAGCACGUUGGUUCGCAACAGUUUUCGAGGGUAGAGUAUUCGACCCAAUUUGUUGAUAAGCCAGUCAGGAGGUGAGAGUAUAAUCUCAAGUAUUAGCAGCUGAAUUUGUCAUAUUCAACCACACCUGAAAGAUUAGUAUCUGCAAGCAUAGUAAUAACAGCAAAGUAAUAUGAUAACAACGGUGUCAGAAAUGAUCUGUUGACGGCAGACUAUUCCUAACGAAUGUAUCACUGGCGCCUUCGUUGCCGCGUUGACGGAAGUUGUCAAAUCCCGUCAACGGUAGGUGAACAAACCGUGUAGCAGGUAGUAGAAGUGUAACGAGCAAUGGCAGUGGCAAGGAUUAGAAGUAGUGACAGCAGUAGCAAGUAGGAACAGUAGCAAGCGACAGUAGUAGCAACAGUAACAGCAGUAGCAAUAGUAGUAACAGCAGCAAGACAAGUGACAACAGUAGCAACAGUAGUAGCAGCAGCAGAGCAAUACAAGUAACAGCAGUAGCAACAGUAGUAGCAGCAGUAGGAAAAACUCGUAGGCAAUGGGUCGGUGAUUUGUUUGGAUGAUAUUCAUCAUGCAACAGCUAUACCACGGAGAGAUAUGUGGCUAGCUCCCGUUCAUCAAUGUGAUGUAGGCAUGCAUUCCGUGUGUCGUCAUACGUGCUUAGGGAAAAGAACUUGCAUGAAAUCUAUUGUCCAUCCCUCCCGUGGCAGCGGGGUCCAAAAGGAAACUACGGGAUAUUAAGGUUCUCCUUUUAAUAAAGAACCGGACCAACGCAUUAGCACUUGGUGAACACAUGAACUCCUCAAACUAUGGUCAUCACAGGGAGUGGUUCCGGUUAUUGUCACUCCGGGGUUGGCGGAUCAUAACACAUAGUAGGUAACUACAACUUGCAAGACCGGAUCUAAAACACACAUAUAUUGGUGACAACAUAAUAAUUUCAGAUCUGAAAUCAUGGCACUCGGGCCCUAGUGACAAGCAUUAAGCAUGGCAAAGUAGUAGCAACAUCAAUCUCAGAACAUAGUGGAUACUAGGGAUCAAUCCCCAUCAAAACUAACUCGAUUACAUGAUAGAUCUCAUCCUACUCAUCACCUUCCAGCGAGCCUACGAAUAGAUUACUCACGAACAACGAAGAGCUUCAUGGAAUUGGAGAGGGAAGAAGGUUGAUGAUGAUGAUGGCGACGAUUUCCCCUCUCUGGAGCCCAAGACGGACUCCAGAUCUGCCCUCGAGAUGAAGAACAGGUGGUGGUGGCGCCUCCGUAUCGCAAACGCGACGAAAACUUCUCUUUUUAUUUUUUCUGGGAUGAAAGGCAACUUAUAGAGCCCACAAGCCUAUAAGUUGGGGGGCGGCAAGUGCCUGUGGGCCCCACAAGCCUGCCCACCGCCACCAGGGGGGUGGUGGCGGAGCAGGGGCUUGUGGCCCACUGGCCCACCCCCUGAGGUGGAACUUGGCGCAGAUAUUUUUGAUAUUUUCCGAAACUGCUCCCCGUAAAUUUCCAGGACGUUUGGAGAACUUUGAUUUCUGCACAAAAAUAACACCAAGGCAAUUCUGCUGAAUACAACGUCAGUCCAGGUUAGUUCCAUUCAAAUCAUGCAAAUUAUAGUCCAAAACAAGGGCAAAAGAGUUUGGAAAAGUAGAUACGAUGGAGACGUAUCACGUAUUCAUAGGAUACCCUAAGGAAACCAUUGGGUAUACCUUCUAUCUUAGAUCCGAAGGUAAAACCUUUGUUGCCAAGAACGGAUCCUUUCUAGAGAAAGAGUUUCUCUCGAAAUAAGUAAGUGGGAGGAAAGUAUAACUUGAUGAGGUAAUUGUACCCCCUCUCGAAUCGAAGAGUUGCGCAGCGCAGGAAAUUGUUCUUGUGGCACCUACGCCAACUGAAGAGGAAGCUAAUGAUGAUGAUCAUGAAGCUUCGUAUCAAGUUGCUACUGAACCACGAAGGUCCACAAGGGUAUGUUCCGCACCAGAGUGGUACGGCAACCCUGUGAUGGAAAUCAUGUUGUUAGACAACGGUGAACCUUCGAACUAUGAAGAGGCGAUGGCGGGCCCAGAUUCCAACAAAUGGCUUGAGGACAUGAAAUCCGAGAUAGGAUCCAUGUAUGAGAACAAAGUAUGGACUUUGGUGGACUUGCCCGAUGAUCGGCGAGCCAUAGAAAAUAAAUGGAUCUUCAAGAAGAAGACUGAAGCAAACGGUAAUGUGACCAUUUAUAAAGCUCAACUUGUCGCAAAGGGUUUUCGACAAAUUCAAGGAGUUGACUACGAUGAGACCUUCUCUCCCGUAGAGAAGUUGAAGUCAGUCCGAAUCAUGUUAGCAAUUGCCGCUUUUGAUGAUUAUGAAAUUUGGCAAAUGGACGUCAAAACAGCGUUCCUUAACGGGUAUCUUAAGGAAGAGUUGUAUAUGAUGCAACCAGAAGGUUUUGUUGAUUCUAAGUGUGCUAACAAGGUAUGCAAGCUCCAGCGCUCCAUCUAUGGGCUGGUGCAAGCAUCUCGGAGUUGGAAUAUUCGCUUCAAUGAGGUGAUUAAAGCGUUUGGGUUCAUAUAGGUUUAUGGAGAAGCCUGUCUGUACAAGAAAGUGAGUGGGAGCUCUGUAGCUUUCCUCAUACUAUAUGGGGAUGACAUAUUAUUGAUGGGGAAUAAUAUAGAGUUAUUGGAGAGCAUAAAGGCUUACUUUAACAAGAGUUUUUCAAUGAAGGACCUUGGAGAAGCUGCAUACAUAUUAGGCAUCAAGAUCUAUAGGGAUAGAUCGAGACGCCUCAUAGGUCUUUCACAAAGUACAUACCUUGACAAGAUAUUGAAGAAGUUCAAUAUGGAAAACUCGAAGAAGGGGUUCUUGCCAGUUUUGCAAGGUAAGAGAUUGAGUAAGACUCAGUCACCGACCACGGCAGCAGAUAGAGAGAAGAUGAGUAUUGUCCCCUACGCUUCAGCCAUGGGCUCUCUAAUGUAUGCCAUGCUGUGUACCAGACCUGAUAUAAACCUUGCCAUAAGUUUGGUGGGGAGGUACCAAAGUGAUCCCGGUAUGGAACACUGGACAACGGUCAAGAAUAUCCUGAAGUACCUGAAAAGGACUAAGGAGAUGUUUCUCGUUUAUGGAGGUGAAGAAGAGCUCGUCGUAAAGGGUUACACCGAUGCUAGCUUCGACACAGAUCCGGAUGACUCUAAGUCACAAACCGGAUACGUGUAUGUUUUGAAUGGCGGGGCAGUGAGCUGGUGCAGCAGCAAGCAAGACGUCGUGGCAGCAUCUACAUGUGAAGCGGAGUACAUAGCUGCUUCGGAAGUGGCUCAUGAAGCGAUCUGGAUGAAGGAGUUCAUCACCAACCUUGGAGUGGUUCCAAGCGUGUCAGGUCCGAUGACACUCUUCUGUGAUAACACUGGAGCCAUUGCCAUAGCCAAGGAGCCCAGAUUUCACCGGAAGACCAAGCACAUCCAACGCUGCUACAACUCCAUCCACGACCAGACCCAGAGAGGAGUCAUAGAUAUUUGUAAAGUACACACAGAUCUGAAUAUUGCACACCCGUUGACUAAACCUCUUCCACGAGCAAAACAUGAUCAACACCACAAUGCUAUGGGUGUUCAAUUCAUCACAAUGUAACUAGAUUAUUGACUCUAGUGCAAGUGGGAGACUGUUGGAAAUAUGCCCUAGAGGCAAUAAUAAAAUGGUUAUUAUCAUAUUUCCUUGUUCAUGAUAAUCAUCUAUUGUUCAUGCUAUAAUUGUAUUAACAUGAAACAGUAAUACAUGUGUGAAUAAAUAGAUCACAAUGUGUCCCUAGCAAGCCUCUAGUUGGCUAGCUCGUUGAUCAUGGUUUCCUAAUCAUGGACAUUGGAUGUCGUUGAUAACGGGAUCACAUCAUUAGGAGAAUGAUGUGAUGGACAAGACCCAAUCCUAAGCAUAGCACAAGAUCGUGUUGUUCGUAUGCUAAAGCUUUUCUAAUGUCAAGUGUCUUUUCCUUCGACCGUGAGAUUGUGCAACUCCCGGAUACCGUAGGAGUGCUUUGUGUGUAUCAAACAUCACAACGUAACUGGGUGACUAUAAAGGUGCACUACGGGUAUCUCCUAAAGUGUCCGUUGGGUUGGCACGAGUCAAGAUCGGGAUUUGUCACUCCGUGUGACGGAGAGGUAUCUCUAGGCCCACUCGGUAGAACAUCAUCAUAAUGAGCUCAGUGUGACUAAGGAGUUAGUCACGGGAUGAUGUGCUACGGAACGAGUAAAGAGACUUACCGGUAAUGAGAUUGAACAAGGUAUGGGAUACCGACGAUCGAAUCUCGGGUAAGUUCUAUACCGACAGACAAAGGAAAUUGUAUACGGGAUUGAUUGAAUCCUUGACAUCGUGGUUCAUCCGAUGAGAUCAUCGUGGAACAUGUGGGAGCCACCAUGGGUAUCCAGACCCCGCUGAUGGUUAUUGGCCGGAGAGGUGUCUCAGUCAUGUCUGCAUGCCUCCCGAACCCAUAGGGUCUACACACUUAAGGUUCGAUGAUGCUAGGGUUAUAGGGAAUUGUUAUACGAGGUUACCGAAGGUUGUUCGGAGUCCUGUAUGAGAUCCCGGACGUCACGAGGAGCUCCGGAAUAGUCCUGAGGUAAAGAUUGAUAUAUAGGAUGGAUGGGUUUGGACGCCGGAAAUGUUUCGGGCACCACCGGCAAAGUGCCGGGACUACCGGAAAGGUUCCGGAGGCCCACCGGGAAGGGCCACAAUGCCCGGGAGGCUACAUGGGCCAAGUGUGAGAGGGAACCAGCCCCUGGGUGGGCUGGUGCGUCCCCCACACCCAGCCCAAGGCGCCUAAGAGAGGGAAGGGGGGAACCCUAGUGCAGGUGCACCUAAGGCCCACCAGGGGUGCGCCACCCCCUCCUCCCCUCCUAGCCGCCACCUCCUCCCCCCAUCUAGGGAUGCCGCACCCCUUGGGCGUGGGAAACCUAAGGGGGGCGCCACCCUCCCCUCACCCUAUAUAUAGUGGGGGGUUUUGGCCAUUGGAGACAUGACAAUUUCUCUCUCUCUCGGCGCAGCCCUGUCUCUCUUCUUCCUCCUCUCCCACGGUGCUUGACGAAGCCAUGCCGGGAGACCUUCACGCUCCAUCGCCACCACGCCAUUGUGCUGCCGAAGCUCUUCCCCAACCUCUCCCUCCUCCUUGCUGGAUCAAGGUGCGGGAGACGUCACCGGGCUGCACGUGUGUUGAACGCGGAGGUGUCGUGGUUCGGCACUAGAUCGGAAUCACACCGCGAUCUGAAUCGCAGCGAGUACGACUCCAUCAACCACGUUCUAGCAACGCUUCCGCUUAGCGAUCUUCAAAGGUAUGAAGAUGCUCUCACCCCUCUCUCGUUGCUGGUCUCUCCAUAGGAAGAUCUGAAUAUGGCGUAGGAAAAUUUUGAAUUUUUGCUACGUUGCCCAACAAUCCUUACUUUACCCACGAGGGAUUGACAACCCCUCUACGCGUUGUGUUGUGAGGAUUUGCUAAUUGUGUGUAGGUGCUUCUUACAUAGUCUUCUGGAUCUUCCUAUGGGAUUGAUACCUUGGUUUCUUAACACAGAGAAAUACUUGGCAUCGCUGUGCUACAUCACCAUUUAAGAUUGGAGGGAAACCAACACACCUGCGAGGAAUGUCAGUAUUCCGUUAACAUGUUGCACCACGUUGACACCCACCCAAGGAUUAGAGUGAUGGAUCUGAUAGUUGAGACAGUCACGACAACAACUGCUGAUCAUAAGAGAUCAUGUGGAUAUUCUCCAUUCAUCCAAAUGCUUAUCAAUGCCAAUAUUAGGAAGCAUGCAUAUCAACUUGAUCGUCCACAUCUACCACUUAAGCGAGAGUUUGAAGACAAGGAGGUAGUGAUGGACCCCAGCCAUCCCAUCUCAGCUACUGCUCGUGAACAAGAAGAGGAAGCUACAGAGGUAGAGGCAACCAGAGAAUCUCCAGUAUCACAGCUGAGAUCCAGAGAGGAGCAAAUGUCAUUUCUUGUCAGCACCAUCCAGGGGAUGGAGAAGAAUAUCUCUGAAGUUUUGCUGAACCAGAAGAGCCAUGAGAGGAUUGCGGAGACUAAGUUCCAUCACAUGAAUAUCAAAGUAAUGGAGUUGGCUACCACAGUUGAGCAGCUAAAGCGUGAAGUUGAUGCAGUGCACACAACUCACUCGAGAAGUGAUGAUGAUGAUUCGUCUCUUCCUACAACUACUCAGUUCAAGACUCAGACUAGUUUUGCAGCUAUGCCAGUUCUGGAAGAUUGACCAUCUUCAUCAGCCCAAGCAUUAGCACCUUCAGCUCCUUGAGCUCCACCAGCUCUUGCACCUCCACUGUCAACCCCUCCACAUCACAGGACAUCCACUGAAGCCUUGGCCGCCACUAUCCUAUCGACUCCAUCAACUGCUACCGAAGGAGACCGAGUCGAGAGUGAUGCUUAGUUCUAUAUCUUUGAACUUUUUGGUAACUUGUUGCCAAGGAGGGGGGAGUGUAUAGAUCAUUAGGGCUUCAAGAGAGAGAGAGAGAGAGAGAGAGAGAGUUUUGCCUUUUGUUGCUCUCUUCGAUUUUUUAAAACAUUUGGUAUUUUGGAUGUCAUAAACUUUGUUGUGUUUAGUCAUACACUUUUAUUGUUGAUACUACUAUUUUCUAUCUUUGAGCUAUCAACAUGAUGAUCAGUCGCUCAUUUGUUUGGUGUUAUAUGCAUUACUAUUCAUCCAUAUCAUUUAUGCACACCACCAAGAUGUAUGUGACAUGGAAGAGUGACCCAUGAUCCUAAUCGAUUGUGCAUUUGCAUUCAAACGCAAAUUUAAAAUAAUGCACAAAUUUAGGGGACGGGGGCUCUUGCUUUUCACAUUCUUCUCAAAGCGACGAUGCUACAUUGAUUAUUUCUUUUGUCAAAGCUUUGAUCCAUAUGUUGUCAUCAGUUACCAAAAAGGAGGAGAUUCAAAGCACAAUUGGUCCCUAAGAUGGUUUUGUUAAUUAAUAUCAACAUAUGUGUCAUUGAACUAAUGAUCUUAUCUAAGUAUAUUUCAGAAAAGUUCAAAUAUGCAUUGGCUAAAGGAUUGUGAGGAGAAACCCCUUGAUGCAAGGAAAGGAAUAGGACCAAGCUUGAAGCUACAAGACACUACAUUUCAUGUAUGUGAGAAUCAUAUUUGCGUCCAUAGGAAAGCCAAUAAUAUUAAAAGGGGGUGAGGUAUCUAUGAUGAAAUGGUUUCUCAAGUGCUAAGAGGUAGCCACAAAAAUACUUAGCCAGUAUCCCACAAAAGUCUUUGUCCGAAGCCUAAACAUCAACAUCGGUGCCACAAAUAUUUUCCACUUGUCCCUACCGAUUUUUCCAUAGACAGAACCUAUGUCAAACCCUAGAAUCUCGCUACUACCAACUUCCACUUCGGUGUCAUCGAAAAUCAGUGAACAACUUUAUGGUUUGUCGUUUUCAAGAAUCGAAAAUUCCGAGUCUUGGAAUCGGUCUCACCGAGAUUUGGAAACUUCCCUAGGUCACCAUAUCGGUACCACCGAGAUUCCUAUAUCGGUCUCACCGGGAAUUGGUAAGUUGCCACAUUUUGUGCAAAUGAGUGCCACCGAGAUUCACUUGAGUUUCAAUAAGUUGGGGAAAAAUGUUGUAACAGUUGGUAUUUUGGAGAUGCCUACAUAUAACCAUCCACCACCUCUCACUCGUAGAGGAAGCACUCAUAACACACAUACACACUUGCAUACCCAAUUAAUCUCUUCUACCCAUGCCAAAUAUGUGAGAGAGUGAUUGAGUGUUGAGGAGACUAUCUUUUGAAGCACAAGAGCAAGGAGUUCAUCGUACUACCACAUCUAUUAACUUUUGGAGGGUGGUGCCUCCUAGAUUGGUUAGGUGUCGCUUGGGAGCCUCCCAUUUCGUGUUGUGGAGUUGAACCAAGAAGUUUCUAAGGGCAAGAUCGCCUACUUCGUGAAGAUCUACCCCGAGUGAAGCUAGUCCUUCAUGGACGUAAGGCAUGGUGGAAUAGACAAGGUUGCUUCUCCAUGGACCCUCCAUGGACUUGUGUGACCGUUACCCUUUGUGGGUUGAAGUAUCCAGUAACGUGGAUGUAUGAUAGCACCACCUAUCGGAACAACGCCAAAAAUCGAUGUGUCAACCUUUGCGUUUGAUCUUCCUAUACCUACCCUCUACUUACAUAUGCAUGUCAUUACUUUCUGCUGCAAUACUCUUAGACUUGCAUGUGUAGAGUGUGCUUGACUAGUUACAACUGCUAAAACUAGCCCACAACUAAAAUUGGGAAAAGGCUAAGUUUUUAUUUGGUCAAGUAGUCUAAUCACCCCCUCUGUAGACAUCAUCGGACCUACAAAUGUUCACUACCAGAUUGUGUCUCAACAUUAGAAAAAGAAACAUCAUUAUGAUUUUCUGCAGGUUUUUCUAUAACAGGUUCAGUAUAUGCAUGUAAAGUCUUGUCAUUUUUCUUUUUCUUCUUAGAAGGAAUAUGUGUAUCAUCAUUCAUUGUGUGAAAAUCCUAUCUACUCUUUUAGGAUGAACUUUAGGAUAAAGAGGCUCCUAGGUCAUGCUACCUCCUCUAGUUAUUACUUUAACAUCAUUUUCAUUCAUAUUAUCAUUCAUCUCAGCAACCAAAUCAUUUUUUGACUUAGCAACUUGGUCUAGUUGGGUGUGAAAUAAAGAAGCGUAUUUGCCUAAACCCUUAACAUCAUUAGCAAUUCUAAACAUCAAGUCACUCAAACGAUCUAUCAUCAUAGCAUUACAUCUCAAUUGAUCUUUGACAUAAUUAUUAAAAUGUUCUUGCUUAAUAAUAAAAUUACCGAAUUUAUCCAUGCAUUGACUAGGAGUCUUAGUGUAAGGUAUAUCACUAUCAUGUACCUAUACAGAGAGGUUGUACCUAUACUACCUGUGAAGGUGUGUCAAGUCCAUGUAUUUCUUUGAUAGGUGGUAAUUUCAUGCCAUCUUUAGUUUUAAUAUCCUUUCUAUAAUAAAUGUCUUGGAUUCUUGCAUAUAUUUAGGACUGAGGAAUAGAAUACAUAUUUUCUUCUCAAUAGGCUCCGGUGGUGGUUCGGGAAUUUUCCAAUCAUCGACAUUUUGCAAUAUGUUAUUCAAUAGUUCUUCAGCUUGCCUAACAAUUAUUUCUUUGAAAAAAGAACUGGCACAACUAUCUAGGAAAUCCCUAGAAGCAUCGGUUAGUCCACUAUAAAAGAUACCAAAUAUUUUGAUUUUUCUUAAUGGGAUGAUCACGCAAAGCUCUACAUAACUGGAGAAGCCUCCCCAAGCUUGAGGGAGAUUCUCUUCUUAGAUUUGCACAAAGUUAAAUAUCUCGUGUAAGGCAUCUUGUUUGUUAUGAGAAGGAAAAUAUUUUUUAGUGAAGUGAUAAAGCAUAUCCUGGGGACCACGCACACAACCAGGAGGAAGAGAAAGUAACCAUUCUUUAGCCCCGUCUUUUAGAGAGAAAGGAAAAAGCUUAAGGAUGUAAUAGUAACAUAUAUUUUCCUCAUUAGUAAACAAAGCAGCAAUAUCAUUCAGUUUAAUGAGAUGUCCAACAACAAAUUCGGUUUCAUAACCAUGGAAAGGGUCAUAUUCUACUAUAGUAAUCUACUAAGGCUCUAUGGAGAAUUCAUAAUAACUAUCAGUAACAAAUAUAGGGGAAGUACAAAAUUUAGGACCAUGUUUCAUUUUAUCCAUCAUAGAUUUUUCUUUCAGUUUGCAUAGUAGUUUCUUCAAGUCAUCUCUAUUUUCAGAAGCAAGAAAAUCCCUAGCUACUUCCCCAUCCAUAACAUAACCUUCAGAUACAUAAUGCAAUUCAUAUUUAUUGUGUGAGCGAGUUGUAGUAGGUGGUUCAAAAUCUUCAUUAGUUUCAGCAUUUUCAUGUUCUUUAGCUUUACCAAUAUGAGCAUCAAGUAAUUCACUCAGUGGCACAAUUUCAGUUUCGUCAAAUAUAGCAGUAGUAUCAUCGUUUAUUACAGAAUUAGCAUCAUCAAGUUCACACAAUAUAUCAGAAUGAGUAACUAGCGGUGGUGUAAUAAGCUGAUUCAAAAUAGUAGAUGAAUCAAAAGCAGAGCUACCUUACCUCCUCUCGUAUGAUACGAGAUGAUCGUAGUUCGAGUAUCUUUUAGAUUAUUCAUAGUAGAAAUUUGAUAUCCUGAAGUUAACACAAUAGAUAUAGCUAUGUCCCCGACAACGACGCUAGAAAAAGGUCUUGAUAACCCACAAGUAUAGGGGAUCACGACAGUGUUCAUGGGUAGUAUUUCACCCUAAUUUAUUGAUUCGACAAGAGGGGAGCCAAAGAAUAUUUAUCGGCCUUGAAAGUUGAUUUGUCAAUUCAACCGCACCUGUGUAUCUGUGCAGCAGAAGUUUAGUAGCACGGUAAAUAACAUUAAUAGCAGUAACAACGAUAGUAGAAACUAUGUAACACUAGUGACAGUGACAACAACAAUAGUAACUUAGCAAGAUUCAGUAUAUGUAAAGCGCAUGCCAUGGAACAACGAUGGAAAUAUAUGGAUAACAUUAAUCAUGUAACAGUUACAGACUAGAGCGACACACAACUGAUGCUUGUGAUCCACGUUGGCUUUUCUGUGAAGAGCAACGGGAUAUCGCAACGCAGUGCGGCUAAGUAUUUCCCUCGAUUAAGAAACCAAGGUUUAUCGAACCAAUAGGCCUAUCAAUCCUCAAUCGUCUUCAGCGGCUUCACACAAAAUAGCAAACAUGUUGCACCCAACGGGCAAGAGUGUUGUCAAUCCCCUUAUUCUUGUUAUUUGCAAGCAAAUGAGGUGUGUAGAUAAUUGUUGAGAAUAGUAACUAAAAUAAAAGAUAAAAGAAGGGAGCAAGGAAAAAUAUAAGUUUUCUAAAUAUAUAGGUGAAUAGACCCCGGGUCCAUAGUGUUCUCUAGUGUCAUCUCUCAUGAAAGCAACAUAUGGUGGGUAAAAAAAUACUGUUGGGCAAUUGAUAGAACAACAGAUAUUUAUGUGUUUUCACGGCAAUGAUCAUGUGUAUAUAGGCAUGACAUCUAUAAGGAAAUAGGACGACUCCUUCCUGCACCUACUACUAUUACUCCACUCAUCGACCGCUAUCCAGCAUGCAUCGAGAGUAUUAAGUAAAACAGAGUAAUGCUUGGGGAAUGAUGACAUGAUGUAGACAAAGUAAACUAAAUCAAUAUGAAUAAACCCCAAUCAUUUUAUCCUUAGUGACAACAAUACAAAGAUGCAACUUGUCCCUUUCGGUCACUAGGAUAUAGAAACUUGUCAGGUUGAACCCACUACAAUGCACAUCUACCACUUAAGAAGGAUCAAACUACUCGGUCAAACCAAUCAAUAAAUCAGAUAGAUUUAAAAAGCUAUGAUGAUCAUGCAAAUAAGAAUAAUUAGAGUUCAAAGAAGACUCAAAUACUUUUCAUGAAUAAUCUGAACAUAAACCCACAAUUCAUUGGAUCCCAACAAAUGCACCCUACCAAAGAAUUACAUGGGAUAGAUCUAAGGGAAGAUGUGAUGAUCAUUGUAUUGAAGAUCAAGAUAGAGAGAGAGAUUGCCAUCUAGGUACUAGCUACGGAUCCGUAGGUCUGAGGUGAACUACUCACACAUCAUCACGAGGGCACCGAGGUUGAUGAAGAGGUCGUCCGUGAUCGAUCCCACCUCCGGUAGAGUUCCGAAAUGGAGGUCCGAAUGGGAUUGCCGUGGAAGAGAAACCUGCGGCAGUGUAAAAAGUGUUUGAUCGAUGCCUCUAGGGUUUUUGGAAUAUUAGAGAAAUUAUAGGCCACAGAACGGGGCAAGAGUGGCCACAUGGAGUUGACAAGGCAUCAGGAUGCGCCGACCCCCCUGGGUGUGCCCUGUUGCCUUGUGGGCUCCUCGUGCAGCUCCAGGUCUCCUCCCGAAGCUUCAGGGUCUUCUUUUGGUCCAGAAAAAAUCACCAAAAAACAAUUGGACUUCAUUUGGUACUAAAAACCCAAAAAACAAAAAAAACAAAAAACAACAAGUGACACCGAGCACUGGGUUAAUAGGUUAGUGCUAAAAAAUAAUAUAAAUUGGUGCAUUAUGACCCAAAAAGUAUGUUAAUAUGAUAAUAUAAUAGCAUGGAACAAUAAAAAAUAUAGAUAUGUUGCCGACAUAUCAACAACUAGCUCCAAUUUAUCAAUAUACUAUAUGCAUGUAUUCCGUAGAUAGUCAUAUGUGUUCGUGAUAAGAACUUGCAUGAGAUCUUUUGUCCUACCCUUCCAUGGCAGCGGGGUCCUAUUGGAUACUAAGGGAUAUUUAGGCUUCCUUUUAAUAGAGAACCAGAACAAUGCAUUAGAACAUGGUGAAUACAUGAACUCCUCAAACUACGACAAUCACCGGAAAGAAUCCCAAUUAUUGUCACCUUGGGGUAUGCGGAUCAAGACAGGUAAUAGGUGCAUACAACUUGCAAGAUAGGAUCUGAACACUUUCAUAAUCAGAGAGAACAUAAUAAGUUGAAGUAUGAAAUCAUGGCACUUGGUCCCUCAUGACAAGCAUUAAUCAUAGCAAAGUAAUAGAAACAUCAAUCUCAGAACAUAGUGGAUACUAGGGAUCAAGCCGUAUCAACUGAACUCGAUUACAUGACCAGCAAGCCUACAAAGGAAUUACUCACUCCCUGUGGUGAGCAUCAUGGAAUUGUUGAUGGAGAAUGUUGGUGAUGAUGACUACGAGGAAUCUCUCUCUCCGGAGCACAAAUCAGACUCCGAAUCAGCCCUCGGGAGUACGAACAGGAGGUGGCAGUGUCUUCCUCUCGUAGAUCGCAAUGAAAACUUCUCUCUAAUUUUUCUCUCCGAAUAUGUGAAUUGAUAGGACAGGAAAUAGGGUCAGAGGACCUCAUGGGCCCACCACACAACAGGGUGUUACCUAGGGGGUGGCCGUGCCCUAUUGCCUCGUGGGCCCUAGGGAGGCCCCCUUUGGUGGAUCUUUGCUUCAUAAUUCAUUAUUAAUCCCAUAAAAAAUUCACUAAAUUGUUAAUCCAACUUUGAGAACUUCUAUUUCUGCACAAAAAUAACACCAAGGUAGUUCUACCGAAAACAACAUCAGUCCGGGUUAGUUUCAUUCAAAUCAUGCAAAUUAGACUCUAAAACAAGAGCAAAAGUGUUUGGAAAAGUAGAUAUGUUGGAGACAUAUCAAAUACCCAAGGGUCAUAUUUGGUGGUAAUUCCUUUCACACCCUUUGCACCAGCAGGUUGUGCUUCAAGCACAGACAUGGCAAUGACACCCUGUUCUUCCCUCUCGACAUUUUUCACCCAUUUGACCCAGCAUAGUGGCUCCGUGUGAUCUUCAGCGUACUAAAGUUCCCAUAUCUCUUUGAUCCUUUCAUAGUAUCUGUUAUUUUCAUUCUCGGUGAAGGAAACUAUGGUGCCACUUGAGUUCUGAAAGUCAGAGUUUUUUCAUUUCACUGGUGCAGCGACGUUCUAUACAAAAGGUUUUUAACCCCUUUUCGCGACCAAUAUUUAAACCGUUGCCUUGCAUGUGUGGGCAAUAGGGGAUCCAUACCACACGACAUGGAAAAAUCAUCGACAAAGGUGAACGAUGAACGCAUACGAUCUACCAAACAUAAUCAUGUGUGGUGGAGGAUCAUAACGCACACACUAUAUUUUGGGCCCAGGUGUGGGAUUUGGGAUCAAUCAUGCAUGCCUAUCACGAGUCAAAUGCGUCUUAUUGCUCAUAGAAAACAAAUGGUGUUUAACCAUUUAACAUUUGUGAAACAUUACCUAAUCCAAACGGGCCAUGGUAGAAACUUUGUGUGAUAUCUUCAUCAUCGCACACGAGAUUGACCUGGAAACCGUCUGCUAUGCAUGAUAUCAUCACACACGUUUCUCGAAAAAUUUACACGUGGGAUCAUCUUUGCAUCGGGAACGGUUUACUUUUGUAUCACGUGUGAAAUAAGGUGUUCUCGCAAAUGAUUGAGGAGCUCCUACGCACACGUACAAGUGCUGCAAAUCGCGUGCGAUUUUCUUAUGUAUCACCAAUGUUUCAGUUUAUUUGUCGUGUGCUUUUUCUGUAGAUCAGAGGUGGUUGCGCUAUGAGUUUCAUGUGCUUUCCUUUAUAGAUCGCACACGCUUGGUUGCUUGAACCGUGUGCACUUGAAAUGGCCAGGUUAUUGUAAAAUAUCUCAUUUGAAUCACCAUGCGAAUAGUAAGUUCGCCACAAUAUGCAAUCGAACAAAUAGGGUCCACAUGAAGAAUAUUCGUCAUAAUUUGCCACAAUAUAAAAUUGAACAAAUAGUCUCCACAGGAAGGAUAUUCAUGAUAAUUCACGACAAUAUGCAAUUGAGUAAAUGCUAGAUAAAUUCCAUAGAUUUAUGGACAUACAUAGUACAUAAUCGUAUUGUAUGAAAUACGAAGACAUGAUCACAUGGAAAACAAUGCAUCCAUGCAUGCGUAUAUGUUUAGUUGAUAACACUAUAUGAAUGCGUACUUAUUUUGGGGGAUAUAAAUAGUGAAAUCUUUGAUUCUUUAGUGGGUUUGAUACAGUGAUUCAUAAAUAAGGUGUUGAUAAAUUUCCUAACAGACAACAAUUCAUCCGCGACAAGAGGUUCAGAGGUCAUCGAUCCGAAUAUCAACUGCAGGGUUUUUAGAUUAGAAUAUGACAUACAUGUGGAGCAGAAUAUAGUAAUUGAGAAAUAGAUUUACUCGUUCAAUGUUGUCAGCAUCAAGAGCACAUAGAAUAUGUUUCCAUAGGUCAUCACUUGUGCGCACACGUAGUAUCCACAUAGGUUGGUCCCUUGUUGUUGUUGAGGACACUGAAUUUUUUUGUACACUAUUAGUCAUGUAUUUGCCCUGUUAGGAACAACCUAAUCGGUGUAAGUUGUUUUUUUUUCGUUGGAGAGAAAUAGAAAGAGGUUUACUUAGAAAAUUGAACAUAUGACUAGCAUUUGCUGAAAAUAUCAGAUUUCAUUGUUUUACUAGAGAAAACGAUGACGUGCUCAAGAGGUAGUUGGCAAUCGAACCGUCUCCCUCGUAAAGUUAUGUUCUUUGACACUACACUGCAAAUGAAGAUGAAUUUUCACAUAAUCAAUUCUUGAACCAUAUAUGAACACAACAUAUUAACAUCAAAGAAUUCAAUACCGAAAUCCUAAUUAUCAUUCAGAUCCCGAGGCUUAUUUGAAUUUUUGAGAGAAUCCAAGUAGUAAACUGUGUUGCGUUUUGGUACAAUGAUCACCAAGAUCCAGUGAUGAUUAGAGUUUAAGAAAACCUUGAACUUACGAACUAUGUCGAAAACUGAAAGACGGUCAAUGUAUGUGUGGUUGUAUAUUAAACUUACCAUUCAUGAUAUGGCCACAUGAAGAAUUCUCCUAUCUGUAAGUCGAACAAGAUCUUGGCAACAUGAUCAAUGGAAGCCUUGAGUGUGUCAUCAUGACUUAACAAAAUGUCGUUUGCUAAAUCAGGAUCUAUAAAAUACAAAUACACCCUUAUUGUUCUCUACACCGUCAAUCCCAUGAGAGAAAUACAAUACAUCUAGCUUUUUUUCAUUUACAAUCUUGUAUGGAGAAGUUGAUCAGAGUUUGUGAAGUACUUACAACAUCAAGCAUUUGACAAGAGUGGCAGCAAGCUCAUUGAAGUUGAAGAAGAUAUGAAAGUCCUUGAAUUCCACAUUGAUGCUACCUGCAAGGUGAUUCAAAUGCCUACUGUCAUAGUGCACUUGCGGAAUGUUAGUUUCUCAUCCUUCUGACAUUGUACUGAUGCAAUACUUAUGUAACUUGCAAUAACUAGAACCACAGUCCUCAAAGUAUUCGCCAACAAGAAAUGGCUGGCCAUGCUUGUACUUGCGCCCUUCAAAUGGGUCUUCAUCGGCCAUCUCAUGGUUCUGCUCGAAGAGUCUUUGUAGUAGGAUGCUCUAGUUCUUAUCCCUCCUCUGUUUCCGUCAUGUGUAAUACCAAAUUGCCAAUCUAUUAAAAAUUAUUGCUCUUGCACCCUUUUAUUUUCACUAAGUCUGAGAAUUUCUUUCUUUCAGAUUGCCAUGUUGUGUUGAUGCUAGCCAUGUUUCUAUACAUAAUUAGACCUUGCUCAUGUUGAACAAAAUGAAGUGCAUCCUGUCUACUACCAUGCUCUAAAUUUUCGUGCCAUGAUAAGUCAUGUAGCAUAUGAUUUUAUUGCUAUCAAUAUGUCGUCAGGUUAAAGAAAUUUAUAAAAAUGUUUUUUUGCACUAAGUUCCUAAAUGCUAUGUUUUAUAGUCAUGUUGUAGAUUCCUACCAUGUGAUCCGAACAAGUUUAUAACAUACUACUACUGGUCUUAAUUAAAAUGGCACUCACAAUCAUAGAAUUGUGACAGUGUCUUAUCACAUAGAGAGUCAAAAAGCACACAAAAAGUGUGUGAAUCACACCUAAUAUAACAAAUGAUUUCUAACAACGAGAGUUAGGCUAAACUUCUUUGGACGUCCUAGAAACUUGCUACCACUGUACCCUGAUUCAAAAUCUUGUAGUUACAUAGAUGGAAAUUGACGUUGACCCUGAACAAGCUGGUGUUCAGCUACCCCACUCCGUUCCUCGUAAGUGAUUGUCCUCGAUAUCUACAAGAGAAAAAUCGCUCAAAUCAGUCUGCCGCUUUAAAAUCCCCAAUUGCAAACCAAAACCCUAAUCUAAUUGAGCCAGGAAGAAGAGAGACGAAUACCGGGCUGGUGAGAGAUUCAUCGUUGGAGAUACAACUUGAGGGGUCAUUCGAGGAGACCAUGGCGUGUCCGUGAUGGUCGAAUGCUAGAGGGAGAGAUGUGGCGGCGGCGACAUGGGGGUUGGGAGGGGUAUCAGGGGAACUGUGGCCCUUGGGGGGAGGCAGAUAUUAUGACGGUCGGGGAUUUUUUUGCUAUGUAUAGGGAACUUGGCUCGCAAAGAUUAACCAGACACGGUUUCUCCGCUUUUAGCUCGUGCGAUGAUAUAGAACAUACAAUUUUUCCCCUCCUCAGGUAUUCCUUGGCUAUAGAGAUUCACCAGACAUGGUUUCUCUGCCUUUAGCGUGUGUGAUGAUAUAGAACAUACAAAAUUUUGCCCCUCCCCACGUAUUCCCUGGUUAUAGUGCACAUCCACGUCACUGCAUGAUUUAACACAAAUUGCUAACUUAGGUAUGCAUAUAAGUGGACGCAUAGCUCGAAGUUACGAAACCGAGUAAGGUCACUAAAUAAUCAAGCUGCUUGAACUAGACAUACUUCUAAAAAAAGACACACUCUCUAAAGAAAGGCUAUUAGUACUAUGCAUAAUUUAAAUAAGGACGCCGAUGAGUCGACGUCGUAUGCCUCGCUGAUGUUUGAUGAGAGAUCGAUGACUUGUCCGGGCGACAUUUCGCCGAUGCUGAAAUCUGCGUUCACCAGGCAGAAUUCGACUACGGCAAAGUCAUCUCCAUCGGCGUCGCCCUCAUCAUUGUAGCCAUCGUAGUUGUGGUGUGAUACGUCUCCAUCGUAUAUACUUUUCCAAACACUUUUGCCCUUGUUUUGGACUCUAAUUUGCAUGAUUUGAAUGGAACUAACCUGGACUGAUGCUGUUUUCAGCAGAAUUGCCUUGGUGUUAUUUUUGUGCAGAAAUAAAAAUUCUCCAAACGUCUUGAAAAUUUACGGGGAGCAGUUUUGGAAAAUAAGAAAAAUAUCUACGCCAAGUUCCACCUCAGGGGGUGGGCCAGUGGGCCACAAGCCCUGGCUCCGCCACCACCCCCCUGAUAGCGGUGGGCAGGCUUGUGGGGCCCACACGAUUCUGCCGCCCCCAACUCCAGCGCUAUAAGAUCCCUUUCGUCCCAAAAAUAAAAAUAAAAAGAGAAGUUUUCGUCGCGUUUUCGAUACGGAGGUGCCGCCACCACCUGUUCUUCAUCUGGAGGGCAGAUCUGGAGUCCAUCUUGGGCUCCAGAGAGGGGAAAUCGUCGCCAUCGUCAUCAUCAACCUUCUUCCCUCUCCAAUUCCAUGAAGCUCUUCGUCGUUCGUGAGUAAUCUAUUCGUAGGCUCGCUGGGCGGUGAUGAGUAGGAUGAGAUCUAUNNNNNNNNNNNNNNNNNNNNNNNNNNNNNNNNNNNNNNNNNNNNNNNNNNNNNNNNNNNNNNNNNNNNNNNNNNNNNNNNNNNNNNNNNNNNNNNNNNNNNNNNNNNNNNNNNNNNNNNNNNNNNNNNNNNNNNNNNNNNNNNNNNNNNNNGGAUGAGAUCUAUCAUGUAAUCGAGUUAGUUUUGAUGGGGAUUGAUCCCUAGUAUCCACUAUGUUCUGAGAUUGAUGUUGCUACUACUUUGCCAUGCUUAAUGCUUGUCACUAGGGCCCAAGUGCCAUGAUUUCAGAUCUGAAAUUAUUAUGUUGUCACCAAUAUAUGUGUGUUUUAGAUCCGAUCUUGCAAGUUGUAGUUACCUACUAUGUGUUACGAUCCGGCAACCCCGGAGUGACAAUAACCGGAACCACUCCCGGUGAUAACCAUACUUUGAGGAGUUCAUGUGUUCACCAAGUGCUAAUGCAUUGGUCCGGUUAUUUAUUAAAAGGAGAACCUUAAUAUCCCGUAGUUUCCUUUUGGACCCCACUGCCACGGGAGGGAUGGACAAUAGAUGUCAUGCAAGUUCUUUUCCCUAAGGACGUAUGACGACACAUGGAAUGCAAGCCUACACCACAUUGACGAACGAGAGCUAGCCACAUAUAUCUUCGUGUUAUAGUUGUUGCAUGAUGAAUAUCAUCCAAACAAAUCACCGACCCAUUGCCUACGAGUUUGUCCUACUACUGUUGCUACUGCUGUUACUUGUCUUGCUCUGCUGCUGCUGCUACUACUGUUGCUACUGCUGUUAGUUGUCUUGCUCUGCUGCUGUUACUACUGUUGCUACUGCUGUUACUUGUCUUGCUCUGCUACUACUAUUGCUACUACUGUCGCUUGCUACUGUUGCUACUUGCUACUGCUGUCACUACUGCUUUUCCUUGCCGCUGCUAUUGCUCGUUACACUGCCAUUACUCGCUACUUUGUUGUUACUACGUUGCUUGCAGAUACUAAUCUUUCAGGUGUGGUUGAAUCUGACACAUUCAGCUGCUAAUACUUGAGAGUAUUCUCUCACCUCCCGUCGUGCGAAUCAACAAAUUUGGGUCGAAUACUCUACCCUCAAAAACUGCUGCGAACCCAUGCGCUGGUGGGCCAUCAACAACAUUCUUCUAGUUCCGUUGCCGGGGAGUGCUAGCAGCAUUCUUCUGGUGCCGUUGUAGGGGAAGGUUUGUUGUCAUCAGCAUUCAUCUAGCCAUCGCCAGAUAUUGCAAUCAGCAUUUUUCUGGCGCCGUUGCCGGGGAGGUAUAUCCAUAUUCUCUGAGUCACUUGGGAUUUAUAUCUGCUGAUCACUAUGAAGAAUCUAAAGGAUCCGAAGACCAAAGUCUUGCCCUCAACUACGAGGGGAGGUAAGUAAUUGCCAUCUAGCUCUGCACUUGAUUCACCUUCACUUAUGAGUAAGUUUGCGACAUCACCUCCUGCUAGAAAUCUUUAUAUGUCGCCUGUGCUUGAUGAUGCUUGUGAUACUACUGCUAGAGAUGCUNNNNNNNNNNNNNNNNNNNNNNNNNNNNNNNNNNNNNNNNNNNNNNNNNNNNNNNNNNNNNNNNNNNNNNNNNNNNNNNNNNNNNNNNNNNNNNNNNNNNNNNNNNNNNNNNNNNNNNNNNNNNNNNNNNNNNNNNNNNNNNNNNNNNNNNNNNNNNNNNNNNNNNNNNNNNNNNNNNNNNNNNNNNNNNNNNNNNNNNNNNNNNNNNNNNNNNNNNNNNNNNNGCCUGAUACUGCUAGAUAUGCUAUGCUUGAUACUAUGCCUGAUGAUACUAUGCUUGAUACUAUGCCUGAUACUGCUAGAGAUGCUAUGCUUGAUACUGCUUUGCGUGAUGAUGCUAGAGAUGUUAUUUUGCCUGAUGAUGCUAUGCUUGAUACUGCUAGAGAUACUCCUUUGCGUGAUGUUCCACUAGGAGUGUUCCUUGAUGCUCAUAUUGCUAGAGUUACUGCCAAUGCUCGUGAUGCUUCUGAAACUGCCGAUACUAUUGAGAUAGAACCUGCUUUUGCUCCUGCUAGAUCUAGCUCUCCUAGACAUGAAUUGCCUGAUAUACGAGAGGGUUAUGUUAUGGAGGGAGAGAUAGCUGAGGAUUUUCUUGCAUGUAAGGAUGCCUAUGACGCUGAGAAAUUACUUCCCAAGUGGAAGGAAAAAUCUCGGGAAGCUAGGAUGAAAAAUGACCCGAAGUUUGCCACUUCGCCUAUCUUUGUCACCGAUAAGGAUUAUGAAUUAUGUGUCGACCCUGAGAUAAUCUAUCUAGUCGAAUCUGAUCCUUUUCACGGUUAUGAGUCUGAGACGGUCAUAGCCCAUCUUUCCAAACUAUCCAAAAUAGCCAACCUUUUCACUAACGAGGAGAAGAUCCGCCACUACUAUAUCCUUACGCUGUUUCCUUUCUCUCUAAAGGAUGACGCUAAAGCCUGGUUCACCUCUCUUGCUCCUGGAAGUGUGCGUAGUCCCCAGUAGAUGGUCUAUUACUUCUGUGAGAAAUAUUUCCCUGCCCAUAAGAAGCAAGCUGCCUUGCUGGAAAUAUACAACUUUGCCCAACUCCAAGAAGAGAGUCUUCCACAAGCUUGGGGGAGGCUCGCCCAGCUACAAAAUGCUUUGCCUGAUCACCCUCUUAAGAAGAACGAGAUACUUGAUAUCCUCUAUAACGGACUUACCGAUGCCUCUAGAGACCACCAAAUAGUUGUGCCGGUUGUGUUUUUAGGGAACGAACUAUAGAAUAAGCUGAGACCCUACUGAAUAACAUCUUGAUCAACGAUAAUGCUUGGACUUUUCCCGAACCACCUCCUAAGCCAACUCCUAAGAAAAGAGGUAUUCUAUUCCUCAGUCCCGAAGAUAUGCAAGAAGCCAAGAAAUCUAUGCAAGAGAAAGGCAUUAGAGCUGAAGAUGUCAAAAAUCUACCACCUAUCGNNNNNNNNNNNNNNNNNNNNNNNNNNNNNNNNNNNNNNNNNNNNNNNNNNNNNNNNNNNNNNNNNNNNNNNNNNNNNNNNNNNNNNNNNNNNNNNNNNNNCCUUUGGAGUUAUCUUAUCGGAUUGAGUCUUUGAGAACACUUGAUGUAUGUCUUGCACGUGUCUAUCUGCUGUGAUCAACUUGCGGGUUUGUGACAAUUGGGAACCUAUGCAUAUGGGUUGGCACACGUGGAUUCAUGUGAGUACUUGAUGUAUUUUUUGGUGACCAACUUGCGGGUUCGUGACAUUGGGAAACUAUGCACAGGGGUUGGCACACGUUUUGACUCUCUGGUAGAAACUUUGGGGCACUCUUUGAUGUACUAUGUGUUGGUUGAAUAGAUGAUUCUAAGAUUGUGUGAUGCAUAUCGUAUAAUCAUGCCCACGGAUACUUGAGGUGACAAUGGAGUAUCUCGGUGACAUUAGGGUCUUAGUUGAUAUGUAUCUUAAGGUGUUAUUCUAGUACGAACUCUAUGAUGGAUCGAACAGAAAGAAUAGCUUCGUGUUAUUUUACUACGGACUCUUGAAUAGAUAGAUCAGAAAGAAUAACUUUGUGGUGGUUUCGUACCCGACAAUAAUCUCUUCGUUUGUUCCCCGCUAUUAGUGACUUUGGAGUGACUCUUUGUUGCAUGUUGAGGGCUAGUUAUAUGAUCCAAUUAUGUUAUCAUUGUUGAGAGAACUUCACUAGUGAAAGUAUGAACCCUAGGCCUUGUUUCCACGCAUUGCAAUACCGUUCGUGCUCACUUUUACCAUUUGUUACGUUGCUGUUUUUGUAAUUUCAGAUUACAAAAAGCUAUAUCUACCAUCCAUAUUGCACUUGUAUCACCAUCUCUUCACCGAACUAGUGCACCUAUACAACUUACCAUUGUAUUGGGUGUGUUGGGGACACAAGAGACUCUUUGUUAUUUGGUUGCAGGGUUGCUUGAGAGAGACCAUCUUCAUCCUACGCCUCCCACGGAUUGAUAAACCUUAGGUCACCCACUUGAGGGAAAAUUGCUACUGUCCUACAACCCUCUGCACUUGGAGGCCCAACAACGUCUACAAGGAGAAGGUUGNNNNNNNNNNNNNNNNNNNNNNNNNNNNNNNNNNNNNNNNNNNNNNNNNNNNNNNNNNNNNNNNNNNNNNNNNNNNNNNNNNNNNNNNNNNNNNNNNNNNCCUUUGAUUUCUUAUCCUUGGCGCAUAGAGCCCUUUUGGGCUGUCCCACCAGCCCACUAAGGGCUGGUGCGCCACCCUUAUGUCCUAUGGGCUUCCCCGGGGUGGGUUGCCCCCCCCCCCCNNNNNNNNNNNNNNNNNNNNNNNNNNNNNNNNNNNNNNNNNNNNNNNNNNNNNNNNNNNNNNNNNNNNNNNNNNNNNNNNNNNNNNNNNNNNNNNNNNNNNNNNNNNNNNNNNNNNNNNNNNNNNNNNNNNNNNNNNNNNNNNNNNNNNNNNNNNNNNNNNNNNNNNNNNNNNNNNNNNNNNNNNNNNNNNNNNNNNNNNNNNNNNNNNNNNNNNNNNNNNNNNNNNNNNNNNNNNNNNNNNNNNNNNNNNNNNNNNNNNNNNNNNNNNNNNNNNNNNNNNNNNNNNNNNNNNNNNNNNNNNNNNNNNNNNNNNNNNNNNNNNNNNNNNNNNNNNNNNNNNNNNNNNNNNNNNNNNNNNNNNNNNNNNNNNNNNNNNNNNNNNNNNNNNNNNNNNNNNNNNNNNNNNNNNNNNNNNNNNNNNNNNNNNNNNNNNNNNNNNNNNNNNNNNNNNNNNNNNNNNNNNNNNNNNNNNNNNNNNNNNNNNNNNNNNNNNNNNNNNNNNNNNNNNNNNNNNNNNNNNNNNNNNNNNNNNNNNNNNNNNNNNNNNNNNNNNNNNNNNNNNNNNNNNNNNNNNNNNNNNNNNNNNNNNNNNNNNNNNNNNNNNNNNNNNNNNNNNNNNNNNNNNNNNNNNNNNNNNNNNNNNNNNNNNNNNNNNNNNNNNNNNNNNNNNNNNNNNNNNNNNNNNNNNNNNNNNNNNNNNNNNNNNNNNNNNNNNNNNNNNNNNNNNNNNNNNNNNNNNNNNNNNNNNNNNNNNNNNNNNNNNNNNNNNNNNNNNNNNNNNNNNNNNNNNNNNNNNNNNNNNNNNNNNNNNNNNNNNNNNNNNNNNNNNNNNNNNNNNNNNNNNNNNNNNNNNNNNNNNNNNNNNNNNNNNNNNNNNNNNNNNNNNNNNNNNNNNNNNNNNNNNNNNNNNNNNNNNNNNNNNNNNNNNNNNNNNNNNNNNNNNNNNNNNNNNNNNNNNNNNNNNNNNNNNNNNNNNNNNNNNNNNNNNNNNNNNNNNNNNNNNNNNNNNNNNNNNNNNNNNNNNNNNNNNNNNNNNNNNNNNNNNNNNNNNNNNNNNNNNNNNNNNNNNNNNNNNNNNNNNNNNNNNNNNNNNNNNNNNNNNNNNNNNNNNNNNNNNNNNNNNNNNNNNNNNNNNNNNNNNNNNNNNNNNNNNNNNNNNNNNNNNNNNNNNNNNNNNNNNNNNNNNNNNNNNNNNNNNNNNNNNNNNNNNNNNNNNNNNNNNNNNNNNNNNNNNNNNNNNNNNNNNNNNNNNNNNNNNNNNNNNNNNNNNNNNNNNNNNNNNNNNNNNNNNNNNNNNNNNNNNNNNNNNNNNNNNNNNNNNNNNNNNNNNNNNNNNNNNNNNNNNNNNNNNNNNNNNNNNNNNNNNNNNNNNNNNNNNNNNNNNNNNNNNNNNNNNNNNNNNNNNNNNNNNNNNNNNNNNNNNNNNNNNNNNNNNNNNNNNNNNNNNNNNNNNNNNNNNNNNNNNNNNNNNNNNNNNNNNNNNNNNNNNNNNNNNNNNNNNNNNNNNNNNNNNNNNNNNNNNNNNNNNNNNNNNNNNNNNNNNNNNNNNNNNNNNNNNNNNNNNNNNNNNNNNNNNNNNNNNNNNNNNNNNNNNNNNNNNNNNNNNNNNNNNNNNNNNNNNNNNNNNNNNNNNNNNNNNNNNNNNNNNNNNNNNNNNNNNNNNNNNNNNNNNNNNNNNNNNNNNNNNNNNNNNNNNNNNNNNNNNNNNNNNNNNNNNNNNNNNNNNNNNNNNNNNNNNNNNNNNNNNNNNNNNNNNNNNNNNNNNNNNNNNNNNNNNNNNNNNNNNNNNNNNNNNNNNNNNNNNNNNNNNNNNNNNNNNNNNNNNNNNNNNNNNNNNNNNNNNNNNNNNNNNNNNNNNNNNNNNNNNNNNNNNNNNNNNNNNNNNNNNNNNNNNNNNNNNNNNNNNNNNNNNNNNNNNNNNNNNNNNNNNNNNNNNNNNNNNNNNNNNNNNNNNNNNNNNNNNNNNNNNNNNNNNNNNNNNNNNNNNNNNNNNNNNNNNNNNNNNNNNNNNNNNNNNNNNNNNNNNNNNNNNNNNNNNNNNNNNNNNNNNNNNNNNNNNNNNNNNNNNNNNNNNNNNNNNNNNNNNNNNNNNNNNNNNNNNNNNNNNNNNNNNNNNNNNNNNNNNNNNNNNNNNNNNNNNNNNNNNNNNNNNNNNNNNNNNNNNNNNNNNNNNNNNNNNNNNNNNNNNNNNNNNNNNNNNNNNNNNNNNNNNNNNNNNNNNNNNNNNNNNNNNNNNNNNNNNNNNNNNNNNNNNNNNNNNNNNNNNNNNNNNNNNNNNNNNNNNNNNNNNNNNNNNNNNNNNNNNNNNNNNNNNNNNNNNNNNNNNNNNNNNNNNNNNNNNNNNNNNNNNNNNNNNNNNNNNNNNNNNNNNNNNNNNNNNNNNNNNNNNNNNNNNNNNNNNNNNNNNNNNNNNNNNNNNNNNNNNNNNNNNNNNNNNNNNNNNNNNNNNNNNNNNNNNNNNNNNNNNNNNNNNNNNNNNNNNNNNNNNNNNNNNNNNNNNNNNNNNNNNNNNNNNNNNNNNNNNNNNNNNNNNNNNNNNNNNNNNNNNNNNNNNNNNNNNNNNNNNNNNNNNNNNNNNNNNNNNNNNNNNNNNNNNNNNNNNNNNNNNNNNNNNNNNNNNNNNNNNNNNNNNNNNNNNNNNNNNNNNNNNNNNNNNNNNNNNNNNNNNNNNNNNNNNNNNNNNNNNNNNNNNNNNNNNNNNNNNNNNNNNNNNNNNNNNNNNNNNNNNNNNNNNNNNNNNNNNNNNNNNNNNNNNNNNNNNNNNNNNNNNNNNNNNNNNNNNNNNNNNNNNNNNNNNNNNNNNNNNNNNNNNNNNNNNNNNNNNNNNNNNNNNNNNNNNNNNNNNNNNNNNNNNNNNNNNNNNNNNNCCGGUGAACCCCCGGAACCCAUUCGUCAUUCCCGGUACAUUCCCGGUAACUCCGAAAACCUUCCGGUAAUCAAAUGAGGUCAUCCUAUAUAUCAAUCUUCGUUUCCGGACCAUUCCGGAAACCCUCGUGAUGUCCGUGAUCUCAUCCGGGACUCCGAACAACAUUCGGUAACCAACCAUAUAACUCAUAUACGCAUAAAACAACGUCGAACCUUAAGUGUGCAGACCCUGCGGGUUCGAGAACUAUGUAGACAUGACCCGAGAGACUCCUCGGUCAAUAUCCAAUAGCGGGACCUGGAUGCCCAUAUUGGAUCCUACAUAUUCUACGAAGAUCUUAUUGUUUGAACCUCAGUACCAAGGAUUCGUAUAAUCCCGUAUGUCAUUCCCUUUGUCCUUCGGUAUGUUACUUGCNNNNNNNNNNNNNNNNNNNNNNNNNNNNNNNNNNNNNNNNNNNNNNNNNNNNNNNNNNNNNNNNNNNNNNNNNNNNNNNNNNNNNNNNNNNNNNNNNNNNAAGAUCCACCGGAGGGGGUAUGCCAGUGGGCCACAAGCCCCUCGGCCGCGGCCACCCCCUUAGGCCGCGCCGUGAGGGCUUGUGGGGCCCACGUGGCACCACCGCCCCCAAACUCAGCUCUAUUUAUUCCAUCUCGCCCGGAAAAAAAUCAGAGAGAAGGAUUCAUCGCGUUUUACGAUACGGAGGCGCCACGAGCUCGUGUUCUUUAUCUGGAGGACAGAUCUGGAGUCUGUUCGGGGCUCCGGAGAGGGGAAAUCGUCGCCAUCGUCAUCAUCAACCUUCCUCCAUCGACAAUUCCAUGAUGCUCUUCACCGUUCGUGAGUAAUCUCAUCGUAGGCUUGCUGGACGGUGAUGAGUUGGAUGAGAUCUAUCAUGCAAUCGAGUUAGUUUUGAUGGGGAUUGAUCCCUAUUAUCCACUAUGUUCUGAGAUUGAUGUUGCUACUACUUUGCCAUGCUUAAUGCUUGUCACUAGGGCCCGAGUGCCAUGAUUUCAGAUCUGAACCUAUUAUGUUGUCGCCAAUAUAUGUGUGUUUUAGAUCCUAUCUUGCAAGUUGUAGUCACCUACUAUGUGUUAUGACCCGGCAACCCCGGAGUGACAAUAGCCGGAACCACUCCCGGAGAUGACCAUAGUAUGAGGAGUUCAUGUAUUCACCGAGUGUUAAUGCGUUGGUCCGGUUCUUUAUUAAAAGGAGAACCUUAAUAUCCCGUAGUUUCCAUUAGGACCCCGCUGCCAUGGGAGGGAUGGACAAUAGAUGUCAUGCAAGUUCUUGUCCCUAAGCACGUAUGACUACAUACGGAAUACAUGCCUACAUUAGAUUGACGAACGGGAGCUAGUUACUUAUCUCUCUGUGUUAUAGCUGUUACAUGAUGAAUCACAUCCGGUAUACUCAUCCAUCACCGAUCCACUACCUACGAGUCUUUUACUACUGGUCCUCGCUACGUUACUUUGCUGCUACUGUUGUCGCUACUGCUGUUACUUCGUGCUGCUGCUACUGCUGUUCCUUGCUGCUGCUGUCACUACUGCUGUUACUUUGCUGCUACUUGUUGCAAGACUUUUCUGGAGCCGUUGCCGAGGAAGAAUAGUCCCCCGUCCACGUGCCAUUUAUUGGCGCCAUUGAUACAACAAGCUAGGAAAAGUCUGCCGUCAACACAUCUUUUUCUGACACCGUUGCUAUCAUACCACUUUGCUACUGAUACUUUGCUUGCAGACACUAAUCUUUCAAGUGUGGUUGAAAUUGACAAACUCAGCUGCUAAUACUUGAGAAUAUUCUUUCGCUUCCCCUUGUGUCGAAUCAAUAAAUUUGGGUUGAAUACUCUACCCUCGAAAACUGUUGCGAUCCCCUACACUUGUGGGUUAUCAAGACCAUUUUCUGGUGCCGUUGCCGGGGAGGCACAUCUAUAUUCUCUGAGUCACUUGGGAUCGACGUCUGCUGGUCACUAUGAGGAAUCUGAAAGAUCCAAGAACUAAAAUCUUGCCUUCCACUACGAGGAGAGGUAAGCAACUUCCAUCUAGCUCUGCACUUGAUUCACCUUCAGUUUUGAGUAAGUUUGCGACUUCGCCUCCUGCUAGAAAUCUUGAUAUGUCGCCUGUGCAUGAUGAUGCUACUUCUGCUGCCCAUGAUGCUUAUGAUGAUGCUAUGCUUGAUACUAUGCAUGAUGAUGCUAUGCUUGAUACUAUGCCUGAUGAUGCUAUGCUUGAUACUAUGCAUGAUGAUGCUAUGCUUGAUACUAUGNNNNNNNNNNNNNNNNNNNNNNNNNNNNNNNNNNNNNNNNNNNNNNNNNNNNNNNNNNNNNNNNNNNNNNNNNNNNNNNNNNNNNNNNNNNNNNNNNNNNAUCGGAUUGAGUCUUUGAGAACACUUGAUGUAUGUCUUGCACGUGUCUAUCUGCUGUGAUCAACUUGCGGGUUUGUGACAAUUGGGAACCUAUGCAUAUGGGUUGGCACACGUGGAUUCAUGUGAGUACUUGAUGUAUUUUUUGGUGACCAACUUGCGGGUUCGUGACAUUGGGAAACUAUGCACAGGGGUUGGCACACGUUUUGACUCUCUGGUAGAAACUUUGGGGCACUCUUUGAUGUACUAUGUGUUGGUUGAAUAGAUGAUUCUAAGAUUGUGUGAUGCAUAUCGUAUAAUCAUGCCCACGGAUACUUGAGGUGACAAUGGAGUAUCUCGGUGACAUUAGGGUCUUAGUUGAUAUGUAUCUUAAGGUGUUAUUCUAGUACGAACUCUAUGAUGGAUCGAACGGAAAGAAUAGCUUCGUGUUAUUUUACUACGGACUCUUGAAUAGAUCGAUCAGAAAGAAUAACUUUGUGGUGGUUUCGUACCCGACAAUAAUCUCUUCGUUUGUUCCCCGCUAUUAGUGACUUUGGAGUGACUCUUUGUUGCAUGUUGAGGGCUAGUUAUAUGAUCCAAUUAUGUUAUCAUUGUUGAGAGAACUUCACUAGUGAAAGUAUGAACCCUAGGCCUUGUUUCCACGCAUUGCAAUACCGUUCGUGGUCAUUUUUACCAUUUGUUACCUUGCUGUUUUUGUAAUUUCAGAUUACAAAAACCUAUAUCUACCAUCCAUAUUGCACUUGUAUCACCAUCUCUUCGCCGAACUAGUGCACCUAUACAACUUACCAUUGUAUUGGGUGUGUUGGGGACACAAGAGACUCUUUGUUAUUUGGUUGCAGGGUUGCUUGAGAGAGACCAUCUUCAUCCUACGCCUCCCGCGGAUUGAUAAACCUUAGGUCACCCACUUGAGGGAAAAUUGCUACUGUCCUACAACCCUCUGCACUUGGAGGCCCAACAACGUCNNNNNNNNNNNNNNNNNNNNNNNNNNNNNNNNNNNNNNNNNNNNNNNNNNNNNNNNNNNNNNNNNNNNNNNNNNNNNNNNNNNNNNNNNNNNNNNNNNNNGGCACGGUACCUUAGUUCGUUUAUUAUUGGAUCCGUAUGUGUGGGCGUAUUUCGUGAGUGGUUGAUCGUCGUCGCGUGGGUGCGCAAUGUACGUCACGUAGCUGCGUACAUGGUCUAGCUAGCAGUCGUAUGUGUGUCGUUCUCAGUUGGCUUCAAUAAUGUGUCAGUGGCGUUCCGGGUCCCACUGUCAGUGAUGUCAUGGGGUCACUGGCUUUGGAGGCUGUUUUCGUCUCUUUGUUUUUUGUUUUUUGNNNNNNNNNNNNNNNNNNNNGUAUACUGUAUAUGUUGGUACUCCAUCCGUAAAAGAUUUUUGAGUUUUUUUUCCUUUGAGAACCCCUCCGUAAAGAAAUACAGUAUAUGAGUGUUUAGAUCACUAAAGUAGUAAUCUAAAUGAUUUUAUAUUUUUUAGAAAGGAAUACUAAAAAGGCUUGUGAUUUGUGUAAUGCCUCAUCUAUGGGGUCCAUGAUCUGAGCUGCAAUUUAAAAUAAUUAAUUCGGACAUACAUAUUUUUCAUACUAUCCUUGAAAAGGAUCUGGUUCCACUAUCAGCGGUAACGGAAGUUGGGUAUGUGCUCGCCACAAAUGUAAUCCAGGGCCGCCCGGGGUCUGCGGGGGCGGCCGCACGGGCCCAAAAAUUUUAAAAGCCCUGUAUAUAUANNNNNNNNNNNNNNNNNNNNNNNNNNNNNNNNNNNNNNNNNNNNNNNNNNNNNNNNNNNNNNNNNNNNNNNNNNNNNNNNNNNNNNNNNNNNNNNNNNNNAAGAGAUCCAUGGUCUCGAUAACCCGAUACAGGUACUAGAGGUGAAUUCUUUGCGUAGGUUUGAUGAGAGUGAUAUUCCUUUUGAUAAACCUGCUAGCCUAUGUUUUGAUGAAUUUGACAACUUUGUUGCCAAACAACAUAGUUUCAAUGAUUAUGUUAGCAGACAUUUGGAACAAAGUACUCGUAUGCUUAGCCAUUUAAGUGCUUGUGUAGAUAGAAUUGUCAACGAUCUGAAGCUUCUGAGUAAACAUGCCUCUAUGAUUACUACUCAGGUAGAACAAGUACUUAAAGCUCAGAAUGACCUUCUCAAUGAAUUAAAUGACAACUAUGUCAGAGUCAUUACUAGAGGAGGCAAGAUGACUCAGGAACCUUUGUAUCCCGAAGGUCAUCCUAAGAAAAUUGAUCAAGAUUCUCAAGGAAUCAAUGUUGAUACACCCAGUCAUCCUAAGGAGCAGAAGAAGGAUGAUAGAAACCUGCACGCCAGUUCACCAAAUACUGUCACACCUGAAGAACCUAAUGAUAUUUCUACGUCUGAUGCAGAAACACAAUCAGGUGAUGAACAUGAACCUGGUGACAAUAUGGACAGUGAUGUUCAUAACAAUGCUCAACCUAGCCAUGUCGAGGAUGUGGAGAUUGAACCUACGGUUAAUCCUGAUAAUCCACAACCUAAGAGAUACGACAAGAAUGACUUUACUGCUAGGAAGCAUGGUAAAGAAAGAGAGCCAUGUGUUCAGAGACCUAUGCCCUUUCCUCUUAAGCCAUCCAAGAAAAAGGAUGAUGAGGAUUUUGAGCGCUUCGUUGAGAUGAUAAGACCCAUCUUUAUGCAGAUGCGGUUAAUUGAUAUGCUCAAGAUGUCUCCGUAUGCCAAGUACAUGAAAGAUAUCCUGACUAAUAAACGGAAGAUACCAGAUCUUGAGAUCUCCACCAUGCUUGCCAAUUACACUUUCAAAGGUGGAACUCCUAAGAAACUUGGUGAUCCCGGAGUGCCCACUAUACCUUGCUCCAUUAAAGGAAACUACGUAAGAACUGCCUUAUGUGACCUUGGCACCGGUGUUAGUGUUAUGCCGCUCUCUCUUUAUCGUAGACUUGAAUUGGAUAAGUUGACACCCACUGAAAUUUCUCUGCAAAUGGCCGACAAAUCAACUGCUUUCCCUAUCGGCGUUUGCGAGGAUGUGUCUGAUUUGGUUGCUAAUACCUCUAUCUUAACAGACUUUGUUAUCUUGGAUAUUCCCGAGGACUAUGCCAUGGCUAUCAUCCUCGAAAGACCCUUUUUAAACACUGUAGGGGCUGUUAUAGAUUGCAACAAAGGCAAUGUCACUUUCCAUGUCAACAGUAAUGAGCACACAAUGCACUUUCCGAAGAGACGAUAUCAAGUACAUUGCAUCAAUGCUAUCCAAAAAACUUCAUCGAUUCUCAUUGGGAGCUUUGAAUGCCCUAUUCCUCGUGUCAAGAUGAAGUAUGAUUUGCUUGUUGGGGAGAUACAUAUCCCCAUUGAGGUGACUUAGUGGCUAUUCGAGAAUUCUCUGUUCUCUCUUGCGAUUCGAGAAGGUUUUGUCACAAGGACUUGAUCAAUCCCAUUGACGGAUUUCUUUUGAUGACCAUGAAACAGAUGAAUCAAGGAGUCACAUACCUCUGUUUUGAGUUUUCCUUUUCUUUUGCUUAGAAGAAAAAUGAUAGAAUUAGUUUAGUUUUUCCUGUUUUUUGUUUUAGCGUCCCGGAGAAAAAUACCUCGAAAAUAAAAUUUCUCCAAUGGUCCUCAAAAUUUAGUAUGAUUUUUUUCUGGAAUUUUUGAAAAUUUCUGGGCCUAAGAGCUGGCUUGGGGGCCUGACCAAUUGGCCACAAGCCCUGCCACCGCCACCUACCCCCUGGUGGCGGGGUGCAUGCUUAUGGGGCCCACAGGAACCCCCUCCACUCAUUCCAGCUCUCAGCCUCUUCCUCCACCUCUAGAAAAAAUUGUUUCGCANNNNNNNNNNNNNNNNNNNNNNNNNNNNNNNNNNNNNNNNNNNNNNNNNNNNNNNNNNNNNNNNNNNNNNNNNNNNNNNNNNNNNNNNNNNNNNNNNNNNNNNNNNNNNNNNNNNNNNNNNNNNNNNNNNNNNNNNNNNNNNNNNNNNNNNNNNNNNNNNNNNNNNNNNNNNNAUUUGGCUGUGAUUUUCGAUCUCCUUGCUCAAAGCACCAUUCUCCGAACCGUUUUGGGGAAAUUACUCCUUGGUAAGUGACUCCUCCAUUGGUCCAAUUAGGUUUUUCUCUAGUGCUUUAUCCUUCGCGUAUUCUUGCUACCUUGGUGACCCUGUUCUUGAGCUAGAAAUGUUGAUUUUAGCUGGUUCCAAUUAGUUUUAGCGCGUGAUACGGUCUCUAGGCACUAGUAGGAGUAGUUGCUACAAGGUGUGGUGGGUCUUUAUUCACUUUUUCUCUUGAACUUCAAAAAAUUCUGCAAAAGGAAAUUAUGUUAAGGAGGAAGUUUCAUGGUGGUUCCUCAAGUAAGAAGGGUCCUCAUAUCUCCUUUCGGGAGCCCGAACCUUUUCAACUAAGGGGCACACGAGUACAACCAGGUGAAUGGCCUUUCGAUGAGUUCAUGAUCGAAGCACGUUUCAAGGAUGAGUUUGAUGCACUUGUCCGCAAUGCCGGGUUAGAAGAAUUGCUCUCAGAUAAAUGUGAACAGUAUGCUAUGCUCACUGCCUCUUUCGUGCAUAGAUUUAAAUUCUCAGUUGGCCAUAACUCAUCCAUACUGUUUGAUCUGUACGAUAAAUCAUAUACCGUGGAUCUGGAGGAUUUCAAUAGAUUUGCAAGAUACCCGAUGGGGGUAGUGUUAAUGAUCCUCCUAAGUCCUCGGUCAGAGACUUUGUCUCCAGUAUAACUGUUGGAGAAACCAGAGAUAUCACGCAACCCACCAUAGGAAGCAUCCAUUUCCCUGCCUUGCACUACCUUGCCCUCUUCAUAGGUAGGUGCAUUAACGGCAAGGGUGCACAUUGUCACCUAUGCGCUUCCGACCUUAGUAUCCUUAAGAGCGCAGUAACAGGUGUCAGGAGCUUCAAUAUGGGAGCUAUAAUAGCAAGGAGGCUGAAUAAAAAUGCCAGUGAGGGAGAUUUCUUUGGUGGAGUUUAUGCUACUCGCGUAGCAAAUUUUCUUGGGGUAUCCAUCCGUCCAGAAGACCCUCCUCUCCGUACAGCCUACCUUGAUCGUGUCGCUCUAACAUGCUACAAGUUCCUUGAGAGAGAUCAUGGAUCCCUCCUAUACCGCUUGAUAUUUAACCCGCAGCGUGUUUUCCAUAUUACCCUUCCUGCUCCUGCUUUCUUUGACUUUCAGGUAAAACGAAGAUACUACAUAACCAUAGGAGAGGCAGAGGAGUAUGAGAGAGAGGCGACGACUGCUCGACUUCGUGAGGCAGCUAUUCAAGCAGUGGCUGCAGCACUCCCGCAUAACACCCAUUAUGACUUUGGGUUUCGCCAGGAUCAUCCAUGGGAGUAGACCAAGCUAGGCCAAAAGCCUAAGCUUGGGGGAGUACAUGUUCUCACUGACUUUACAUUCAUGCUUAUGCUUUCACUUUGUUAGCCGGUGUUUACACUUUGCCACUGUAUUAUCCAUGCUAGUUUAUUUUCGUUUUCUUGUCUUCUUGUUUUGUGUCCUUUUGAGAAAACCCAAAAAGAUUUUUCUUUCUUCUUUUGCUUGUUGGGAGCUUUCCCGUGUAAAUAGUUUUAUUUUUCUUUGUGUCAAGGUAGAAGAUAUUGGUUACAAUGUUUAUUGGUUCUUGCAUGCUUACCUGUUUAGCUUUCAAAGAGCCAUAUUACUUUGUCAUCUCCUUUGUAUUUGCCUGCAGAUUCAGCUUAGUCCAAUGCGCUUAUUAUUGUUUUCAUCGUUCGAUCGUGCAAAUGAAAGGCAACAAUGAUGAUAUAUGAUGAAGUGACUGAGACUGAAAAGCUGGUAUGAACUCUAUCUAUUUUGUUUUUGUAAAUAUGACUAGCUUGUCGACCUAGAUUUAGCUUUAUUGUGAGAGAACCAUGUUUGCAAUGGCAACUUAGAGAUCAUAGUUUCUGAUGCCAUGCUUAUUUAGCUGAGAGCUUAUAAUGGUUUGUCUUGAAUGCCAACAUAGAUUUUGAGAUGACUAUGAUGUAGUAUGAUAGGAUAGUAUUCUUCUUUGAAUGAUUCAAGUGGCUUGAAUUGGCGCAUGUUCAUGCAUGUAGUUGAAACAAAAUCAACAUAGCCUCUAUGAUGUUCGUGUUCAUGGUGAUUUAUAUCCUGUUCAUGCUUGCAUUUAAUGUUAGUCAAACUCAUUGCAUCUUGAUGACUGUUGUCGCUCUGUAGUUGGUCGCUUCCCGGUAUUUUGCUAGCCUUCACUUGUACUAAGCGGAAUACUGCUUGUGCAUUCACUUCCAUAAACCCAAAUUUUUUUCCAUGAGAGUCCACCAUACCUACCUAUUUGCGGUAUCUACCUGCCGUUCCAAGUAAAUUUGCAUGUGCCAUUCUCUAAACCUUCAAGAAAUAAUAUGUUUUGCAUGCUCGAACCACUCAUGUGGUGAAAGAGGGCUAUUGGUAUCUUCCAUGCUAGGAGUGUUAUCCUCGACAUGUGUUUAUUCACAGUCAUUCACAAGAAAGGGGCCGGAAAUUGGAAUGCCCAGUUCCACGCUUAAAUCAAAAACAUAACUGUAAAACAAGACUCCCCCCGGAUUGAUGUUAGUAUGGACGGUACCCAAGGAUUCGGCUAGCCGUGGAGUGUGAUUGAUUGGUGGUGGGGGAGUUAAAACUUUAUUUUUUCUGUUUGGGAACCGCCUAUAGCAUGAGUAGCAUGGAAGAUAUUGAGAACUCUUGGUCAUUGCGUUGAGAAUGAAAGCAUGCCACCCAAAAUUAUUAUCUUUGUUUUCAAAGCUUGAGCUCUGGCACCAGUGCAAAUCAAUGGUUCCCUCUGUGAAGGGCCUGUCUAUUUAUUUUCCUGUCGAGUCAUCCUCCUCUUAUAUAAGCACCAAUUAGAGAGCACCUCUAUCAUUUUUAUGCUUUGCUUUUGAUUGAUAUUGAGUAUGACUAUGACUGGAUCUUUGUUGCUAUGAAUUACAAUGUUUAGUCAGCCCCUUAUCUUUGAAAGUGCUCUGCAUUUAUGUUUUGCGGUCUCAGAAAGAGCUAGCGAGAUACCACCUAUUCAUAUUGCUUCAUGCUUGUUUUGAUUGAAGUGUUGGUAUUUGAGACUCAUUAUUAUUUGCUCGUUAGCUGAUUAUGCCAUUGAUAUUAGUUUACCGUGAGACAUUUUUGUCAUUUGCUUAUGUGGUUAACUUGUGUUCUUGCUGAAAUUCUGGUUAUGAGUUAGACAUAGUUGCAACAACAAGAUCAAACAGAGUUUGUCAAAGUUUUUCUUUCUCACUUAGUUUUUCAAAUGAGUUGCUUGAGGACAAGCAAGGUUUUAAGCUUGUGGGAGUUGAUACAUCUCCAUCGUAUCUACUUUUUCAAACUCUUUUGCCCUUGUUUUGGACUCUAAUUUGCAUGAUUUGAAUGGAACUAACCUGGACUGACGCUGUUUUCAGCAAAAUUGCCUUGGUGUUAUUUUUGUGCAGAAAUCAAAGUUCUCCAAACGUCCUGAUAAUUUACGGGGAGGAGUUUUGGAAAAUAAGAAAAAUAUCUGCGCCAAGUUCCACCUCAGGGGGUGGGCCAGUGGGCCACAAGCCCUGGCUCAGCCACCACCCCCCUGGUGGCGGUGGGCAGGCUUGUGGGGCCCACACGGCUCUGUCGCCCCCAACUCCAGCUCUAUAAGAUCCCUUUCGUCCCAGAAAAAAAUAAAAAGAGAAGUUUUCGUCGCGUUUUCGAUACGGAGGCGCCGCCACCACCUGUUCUUCAUCUGCAGGGCAGAUCUGGAGUCCGUUCGGGGCUCCGAAGAGGGGAAAUCGUCGCCAUCAUCAUCAUCAACCUUCUUCUCUCUCCAAUUCCAUGANNNNNNNNNNNNNNNNNNNNNNNNNNNNNNNNNNNNNNNNNNNNNNNNNNNNNNNNNNNNNNNNNNNNNNNNNNNNNNNNNNNNNNNNNNNNNNNNNNNNNNNNNNNNNNNNNNNNNNNNNNNNNNNNNNNNNNNNNNNNNNNNNNNNNNNNNNNNNNNNNNNNNNNNNNNNNNNNNNNNNNNNNNNNNNNNNNNNNNNNNNNNNNNNNNNNNNNNNNNNNNNNNNNNNNNNNNNNNNNNNNNNNNNNNNNNNNNNNNNNNNNNNNNNNNNNNNNNNNNNNNNNNNNNNNNNNNNNUUGCCAUGCUUAAUGCUUGUCACUAGGGCUCGAGUGCCAUGAUUUAAGAUCUGAAAUUACUAUGUUGUCACCAAGAUAUGUGUGUUUUAGAUCCGAUCUUGCAAGUUGUAGUUACCUACUAUGUGUUAUGAUCUGACAACCCCGGAGUGACAAUAACCGGAACCACUCCCGGUGAUGACCAUAGUUUGAGGAGUUCAUGUGUUCACCAAGUGCUAAUGCGUUGGUCCGGUUCUUUAUUAAAAGGAGAACCUUAAUAUCCCGUAGUUUCCUUUUGGACCCCGCUGCCACGGGAGGGAUGGACAAUAGAUGUCAUGCAAGUUCUUUUCCCUAAGCACAUAUGAUGACACACGGAAUGCAUGCCUACAUCAUAUUGACGAACGGGAGCUAGCGACAUAUCUCUCCGUGUUAUAGCUGUUGCAUGAUGAAUAUCAUCCAAACAAAUCACCGACCCAUUGCCUACGAGUUUGUCCUACUGCUGCUACUACUGUUGCUACUGCUGUUAGUUGUAUUGCUCUGCUACUGCUGCUAUGACUGUUUCUACUGCUGCUACGACUGUUGCUACUGCUGUUACUUGUCUUGCUCUGCUGCUGUUACUACUGCUGCUACUGUUGUUACUUGUCUUGCUCUGCUGCUACUGUUGCUACUACUGUCGCUUGCUACUGUCACUACUGCUUUUCCUUGUCGCUGCUAUUGCUCGUUACACUGCCGUUACUCGCUACUUUGCUGUUACUACGUUGCUUGCAGAUACUAAUCUUUCAGGUGUGGUUGAUUCUGACACAUCCAGCUGCUAAUACUUGAGAGUAUUCUCUCACCUCCCGUCGUGCGAAUCAACAAAUUUGGGUCGAAUACUCUACCCUCAAAAACUGCUGCGAACCCAUGCGCUGGUGGGCCAUCAACAACAUUCUUCUAGUUCCGUUGCCGGGGAGUGCUAGCAGCAUUCUUCUGGUGCCGUUGCACGGGAAGGUUUGUUGUCAUCAUCAUUCGUCUAGCCAUCACCAGAGAUUGCAAUCAUGGUGCGUGAUACAUCCAACAUAUCUAUAAUUUUUUAUUGUUCCAAGCUAUUAUAUUAUCAUUCUAGGAUGUUUUUUAGCUAAUUAUACAACAAUUUAUAUUAUUUUUUAGGACUAACCUAUUGACCCAGUGCCGAGUGCCAGUUGAUAUUUACUUCAUCUUUUAGCUUUUCAGGUUUACAGUACCCAACGAAGUCCAAUUGCCAUGAAUUUUUUAGUGAGUUCUCUGGACCAAAACAAGACCUAGAAGCUUCGGGAGGAGGCGAGUAUCCUCACAGGGGAGCACCACACAAUAGGGCGCGCCUAGAGGGGUGGCGGCACCCUGUUGCCGCAUGCCCCCUUGGCUGACUCUUGGCGUACCUCUUCGUCCUAUAUAUUCCCAUUAAUCCCAAUAACCCUAGGGAGCACCCCCAAAACACUUUUUCCACCGCCACAAGUCUCUGUUCCACUGUGAGGCCAUCUGGAGCCCUUUUACGGUGUCUUGCCAUAGGGGGAAUCGAUCAUGGUGUACCUUUACAUCAACCUCGUUGCUCCCAUGGUGAUUUGUGAGUAGUUCACCACAUACUUACGAGUCUAUAUUUAGUAUGUAGAUGAUUGUCUCUCUCUCUCUCUCUCUUGAUUUUCAAUACAAUGAUCAUCACAUCUUCGCUUUGAUCUAUCUGAUGUAACUCUUUUGCGUGGUGCGUAGGUACUUACUACAGACCCGUAGGUCUGUGGUGAAAUACUCACACAUCAUCAUGAGGCAAGCAAGGUUGAUUAAGAGGCCCUCCGUGAUCGAUCACCCCUUUGGAAGGCUGCCGGAAUGGAUCUCCAUAUGGGCUCGCCGUGGAACAGAGACUUGCGGCGGCGGAAAAAGUGUUUCACAGUCGUCCUUAGGGUUUUUGGAAUAUAUUUGAAUUAUAGGCCACAUAACGGAGGUAGAGGGGCCACCUGGGAGGGACAAGCCAUCAGGGUGCGCCGACCCCCUUGGUCGCGUCCUGUUGGCUUGUGCCUCCCUCGUGUGGCCUCUGGUCUUCUUCCAAGGUUUCCAGGUUUUCUAUUGGUCCAGAAAAAAUCAUAAAAAGUUUGGGAGCAAUUGGACAUCGUUUGGUACUAUAAACCUGAAAAGUAAAAACACGCAGAAAACAAUAGCUGGCACUUGGCACUAGGUCAAUAGGUUAGUCAUCAAAAAUAAUAUAAAUUGGUAAAUUGUUACCCAAAAAGUAUCCUAGAAUGAUAAUAUAACAUCAUGGAACAAUCAAAAAUUUAGAUACGUUGGAGACGUAUCAGUGCUCAAGGCGGAUGCGGGUGCACUCUCGGUCGAGAUAGUUGCAUUCUUGGCAGAGGCGCAAGCACUAGGGGCCGAGGGGGCGGUCCUACGCACCCUUACAAAUCGUUCCCAUGACAUCAUACUUUGUAGAAAGUGUUAGUUGGGAAUGGGGACCAAGGGUGAAUGGAACCCGAGCUAGACGAAGUCGAUGAAGCUUCCCACAUAAGACAUAAAUACACCCAUGAAUUUUCAUCGUAAACCAUUCCCAUAUUGAACCAUGUGUAUUGAGUUCACUUUUUGUAUGGAAUUGUAAAACUAUUUUGGGGUAUAUCGAUAACUGAUAUUGUUUUAUUUGUAAGAAAAAAAGAUCUCUACCGUGACAAUGCACGAACAACGUCCUAAAAUUUGGAAAUAUUUGGGGUUCAAUUGGCAUUUUUAUACAUUAAGUUAGUUUCUGAAAAUUUAACGGCAAUAAUUCAAAACUGAAACACAUGAACAUGCAAGAUGAUGCCAAAACUGCAAUAAAAAUCAUAUUUGUGCAAUACAUGCUUCUGUAUAUAUGUCACGUGCAAUAAAUUUGAAGUAGUUCCAAACAUCUCGAGUAACGGUUUGGAUACAAACAUUGAGAAUCUAGUUUUUUAAAUUCAAAAAAAUGCUUUGAAGUACAUGAAAAUCUGCAUGAUUUUCCGACAUGGGGCCAAGAUUUUGUGGUUAAAGUAAUGACUUGUUCGAAAUAAGUUUUUGACACAUGCAUCUCACAAAACGAAGCAUCACUCGAAGGUUUGUGGUUCCGAAAGGGAACAUUGAGCCUUGCUCGAUGACAAAUCGCUAGGCAUUGCGUCAUUCGACCUAACUUUUCUUUCAUCAUUACAAUGCACAAAUACGAUCGGCAUCCUGAAAUUUGGACAUUUUCAAGGUUCAAUUGGUAUUUUUAUACAUUAAGUUAGUUUCUUGAAAUUUAACAACAGUAAUACAAAACUAGAACACAUGAACAUGCAAGAUGAAGCAAAAACUACUGGAUCAUAUUUACGUAAUACUUGCUUCCGUACAUUAGCCACGUGCAAUAAAUUUGAAGGAUUGCCCAAUAUCUUGAGCAACGUUUUGGACACAAGCAUUGUGAAUCUAGGUUUUAAAUUCAAAAAAAUUAAAGAAAUGCUCUGAAUUACAUGAAGAUUCGCAUGAUUUCCCGAAAUGGGCCCAAGAUGUGGUAGUUAAAUUAAUGUCUUGUUCAAGAUAAGCUUUGACACAUGCCUCUCACAAACUGGAGCAUCACACCAAGGCUCGUGGUUCCACAAGGGAAUGUGUAAUGCACACGAUGCGGUCCUAUCCUUAUUUUGGCGCGAGGGCCUCGAUAGGGAUAGAAACACAUCUCGUCAUUUCGCAAGAAUGGAUAUCGUUACAAGUACAUGUACUGAAAAGAUGAGUAUAAGGACUUGCCUUACACUCUCCACAAGUUACAUCAAGAUCAUAUCAAUACAUCAACAUAAUCAAUCAUCAUGAAGAAGAGCAGGGUCCGACUACGGACGAAAUCAAACGGUAAAAGAACGACGUCCAUCCUAGCUAUCCCACGCCGCCAGCCUGAAACCCAUCCUAGAUCGAUGAUGAUGAAGAAGAAGAAACUCCAAAUAGCACAAUCAACUUUCUCACGUAAAAGUAUCUCUUUACCUGUACCUACAGCUGGUGUUGUAGUAAAUUGUGAGCCACAGGGACUCAUCAAUCUCAUUUCCAAAGGUAUCAAGACUAGAGGAGCUUAAUGGAUGAGGUAUGGUUAAGUGGUGAAGCUGCAACAAGCGACUAAGCAUUCAUUUGAGGUGGCUAACUUAUGAGUACAAGAAUACAAGAGGGGGAAUAUCUACGCACAGCGGACGUGAACUACUGAUGAUCAAAUGAAUGAUCCUGAACAACUACUUACGUCAGACAUAACCCCACCGUGUCCUCAGUCGGAGAAGGAGCUCACGAAAGAGACAAUCACGAUUACACACAAAGUUGGCAUAUUUUAAUUAAGCUUACUUCAAGUUAUCUAGAACCAGAUGUUAAACAAAGUUUACAUGUUGCCACAUAACCACGGGCAUGGCUUUCCGAAAGAUUUAAUCCUGUAGGGGUGCUCCAAGUAGUCCAUCACAAAUUACCACAAGCUGCAUAGAAAGCCUCGAUCAUGAAACUCGUGAUUUCCUCGGAUUCCUUAGUGGAAAACCUCAACUCUGAGAUAACAUAAAGCAUCACCGGAAUCUUGAUGCACAAGAUAUUUCGUCAAAGGUAAAACAAUCCAGCAAAGCCGCCCGACGUGUCAACGAACCCGAUAGGAGCCACGUAUCUCGUUCUCAGGACAUGACCGGAUGGGUCACACUACGAGUAAAACCAAACCUCGAGUUUGCCCAUGGUGGCCCCACGGUUUGCCCUUUUUGGACCAACACUCAUGAGAAGCACUAGCCCGUGGGUUGAUUAAUUAUCCACGGGUCUGGAAAGUCCCUAUGCGUUUUUGUUAGGUUAUUAGGCAAAUGUAGUACCAAAGUUGGGCCUUGACAAACCAGUCUUAAUCUAAAACGAAUUAUCAAGGGGGUCCCCAUAACAACCUUGAUUGUGUUAGGAGCACUCAAUUAUGGAAUAUAACACUCGUAGUUGAAACUAAGGCGACAAAGGUGGAACAAAAUACUAGGCUAGAAGGGCCGAGCCUUCCACCUUUUACCAAGUAUAUAGGUCCAUUAAAUUAAUUAGCAAAAUAUGAUGAUAUAACAAGGAACCCAUGUUAUCACAUGGAAGCAACUGCACCUAAAACUAGAAACACUAACACAUAGUUAAGCAAGCGGUAACAUAGCCAAUCGGUGGUUUGCUUGGUUGUAGAAAGGUUGAAGGUUUUCAUGGCAAUGUUGAGAGGCUUAUUAAACAGGUGGUAGGCAGCAAGACAUAGCGAAAGAAACGAGACAACUAGCAUGUCAAUGAUAGUAGUGGUGUCUAGGGAAAUGAUCAUCUUGCCUAUGAUCCUGCUUGGAAGAAGAACGACUCCAUGAAGCAGACGAACCGACGUAGCCGAACGGAUCCUCACAUUCUGACACGCUUGCGAUACUCUAUCGGGACAAAGCAAACCAAAACAACAAUGAACACACAAUAUUCACUACGACACAUGCACAAUAUGAUGCACAACCUAAUAGUAUUCAUGUCCAUUCAAUUAUGCAAGGCAUGGCAUGGCAAUUCACAACAAUCAAAACACUACACAUCAAGUGAAGCUCAAUAUGCAAUGAGUUGCAUAUUGACGAAACUCCACAUUUGAAUUACUUAGUUCACUCCCGUUUAGGUACACCUCAAUAUUAAAUGUUGUUAAACAUGGAAAGAGGUGAAGCACAACUAAUCUACCUAUCUAUCAUUUUAAAUGAGGCUGGAAACGACAUAUAGCAUUUCCUAAACAACCCCACGCAUCAACUUUGUAAUCUGUCUAGAUUUGUCCUAAUCACAUUUUAAGUUUGUUAAACGACAAAACAAAGUGGUUCACGUGAUUAUACUCGUCCUUCUAGUCCAUUUACAUAUAUGGCUCAUCUCCAAUGGAUCUACGAUUAGUUAACUACGAACUAAACCGUUUUAACCCGUUGUCACGCAAACCAAUGCGAAUAACACAGCUAACAGUUUUAAAUAUGCAUGAGAGUUGGAAAUAUAUUCUGCGCGAAAUUCUACACAUUAUACAUGUAUAACUUAUUCCGGUCCGAUGCAUGGUUUAAAAGCUACGAGCGUUUUAAAAUAAUAUUUUUUCUGAAAUUAAAUAAAAUAGCCGGACGAAAAAAUGUACAUGGGCUGAAUCUGCUAUAGCAACAUGGCGCAACAAUUCUAAACAGUGCUCGGGGCGGGGCUUAGUGCAGGCGCUCACCAGAGGGGCCAUGGCCUAGGCCAGCUUGGUGAGGAGGAGGUUGGACUGGGCCGGUUUGGGAGGCCGCUCGGCCGCACACGGGGUAGAGCAGCUGGGCCGGCUACUGGACCACAUGGGGGUGAGGCCCACCACACGCGACGGGGUGCUAGCGAGCGGCAACCUCCACUGAUCCAGAUAUGAUCGAGAAGAGGCAGCGGCUGCUGCUGCUUGGUGAUGGGGGAGGCAAGGCUGGCACUCCGACCGGCAGGGACGUGCANNNNNNNNNNNNNNNNNNNNNNNNNNNNNNNNNNNNNNNNNNNNNNNNNNNNNNNNNNNNNNNNNNNNNNNNNNNNNNNNNNNNNNNNNNNNNNNNNNNNNNNNNNNNNNNNNNNNNNNNNNNNNNNNNNNNNNNNNNNNNNNNNNNNNNNNNNNNNNNNNNNNNNNNNNNNNNNNNNNNNNNNNNNNNNNNNNNNNNNNNNNNNNNNNNNNNNNNNNNNNNNNNNNNNNNNNNNNNNNNNNNNNNNNNNNNNNNNNNNNNNNNNNNNNNNNNNNNNNNNNNNNNNNNNNNNNNNNNNNNNNNUGGCAUUCGAGCGAAAUGGUCGGGUCCGACAACCUCGCCAAGGUCGGGGCGGAGCUAGUGGCGAGGACGCCGAUGGUGGCUACCAUGGAGGGCUCGUGAGGAGCUCGGGCAUGGGGGGAUCGGGGCUGCUGCGCCCAGAUGGGCCCGGGGAGCGCUGGAUGCGGGCUGCGACGGGCCGCGUGCCUGGAGGAGGUGGGAGUCAGCGGCUAGAUUUAGGGUUUUGGGGGCACGGAUCCCGAGGGAGGGAGGUUUGCUGUCCAAAAUAGGCACGGAUGGCUGUUUAUAUAGGGAAAGGGGGGCUAGGGUUAGCAGUUUUUCACCGUUUUCGGGUCGUCGUAUCUCGAUCGGAUUGUCUGAAUUAGAGGGUUAGGCUAGGUGGAUGUUUUGGGCUGUCUAGAAUAGGCUAGGCCGAGAUGAGAGGGAAAACGGUUAGCCCGACAACUGUGUUUAAAAUAAAGAAACGCCUCACGUUUGACCGACUAUAGUGCCGCUAUAGGUUUAAUGGUUCGGGUAUCAAACGAACUCCGAUUGCGACGAAAAUUGGCAGACGGCCUACCCAUACUAUAUUAAGACAACACGUCAAAUUUGAAUCCAAUCCGAGAAAGUUUUAUAUAUACUUUUAAAAACAAAAAAUUUAAUGAUGUCGCGGGUGCGUGCGAGUGUGGUCGGUCUCAAAAUGGUCAACGACGAACACGGAGAGAACCGCAACUAAUAACGGAUGCAGGUUUUGAAAACUGACGGCAACGGAGUGCCGAUACAAUGCAUAUGAUGUGAAUGAUGCGAUGAUGAGUGCGGAAAACAAAUAAUAACACGUCGACAAUGGAAUAAAAGGGUAAUCUUCUCGAGCGUCAGUCUCGGGCUGCUACAGAAUGUGGGCCUUGUGUGAUGACGAAUUGCAAAUCGCUGCUUCGUUCAUCCUAGUUUUUCUUCAUCGUUACAGUGCAUGAUUACGACCUGCAACCUAAAAUUUGAAAAACUUCGGCGUUCUAUUGGUUUUUUAUACAUUAAGUUACUUUCUAGAAAUUUAUUGGCCGUAGUUUAGAACUGAAACACAUGAACAUGCAAGAUGAAGCAAAAACUGCUGGAUAAAUCAUAUUUGCGUACUACUUGCUUCGGUAUAUAUGCCCCAUGCAAGAAAUUUGAAGGAUUUCCAAACAUCUUGACAAACGGUUUGGACAUAAGCAUUGAGAAUCUUAGUUUUUAAAUCCGAAAUAAAAAAAUCUCUGAAGUAUAUAAAAUCUGCAUGAUUUCCCGACAUGGGGCCAAGAUGUUGUGGGUAAAGUCCUACAUUUGCUUCCAUAACAGAAAAAUCAUAUUAAAUAGUAUAGGUCUUCAAAUUUGAGAUAAUAGAAAAUGAUGUGAAAUACAUGGCACCAAGAUGACAUGGCAUUUUUUCUUUAUAUUUGAGUCACACAAAAGUAUUUAUUUUUUUAGAUUUUGCAAUAUUACGAGAGUAUAGUAAGUUAGUAGUAACACAAAUGGGGCGCAUACAUUACAUUUGGAUAGAAAAUGUAAAUACUUUGCAAGACAACCGAAUCCCACAUGAUUGGUGCUCUGUUUUGCGUUUUGAAUUUUGGAAACCAAUUUCCCGGGCUAUUAAUCCCAUGAGGUCAUGCAUUGGGAACAGGUCGGUGAUGUUAAGUCACACACGACUGUUGACCAAACAAUCAUGUGCAAUCGAAGCCCUUGAAUUCCGGCGAGCGACGCGUCCGUUGCAGUCUCUCCCAUUUUUCUGCUGCCAUUGAUCAAUAUUCUAGACACCUAUAAAUGCUUCCCAUCGAGACAUCAUCCCUCCUUAAUUCUCUUGUCUCUCUGUGCCACCCCUCGCACAUAGCUCUACCAUGGCACAUCCGGUCUGUGCACAAGCAAAUGAGGAGGCACCACCCCACAAGGACACGACAUAGUACAACGACGAACAGGACUCCUUCGCGCCCCAAGACGAGGUCUCGCCGUGAGAGUCCCACAACACUAGAUUGGUUUUGGGGCCAGUACGAUUUGGCUUUCUGGAAGGUGUUGUCGCUGGGUGAGAGAGACAGGUCGGUGGCAUUCAAGAAGGAGUGGACUGAGGAGCGUGCCAGGAACUUCGCGGCCUAGAAUGCCCUUAAUGCAUAAUCAAAAAAGGAGGUGUCGAAGCUUUGGUGGAGGGAAUGUCGACGAGCGGAGGAGGUGCACGAAGAUGGUCGGUACCACAGAACGAAAGCAAGAGGCGCUAGGCGCCUCACUACAGCCUGGGCAUGGGUCGUUAGGCUGGAGCGUGCCACCGCCAAAGAGCUUCAAUGUGCCCUCAGUGAGAUUUCCUAUAUGGUCGCAUGCCUCCGAGAUCAAGAGGUUGAUCGGUACAUCGAGCGCUGCUAGGCGGAGGCGGCAGCGAGCUCCCUCCUUGCUAGGAAGCGUCGCGCACCACGGAGAUGGUGGCGAGAGACUGUCAUUUUACUGGUUCCCGUUUAAGGAGGGGUAAUUAUUAGUUUAGUUUUUAUUUAUUAUACCUAUUAAUUAAGUAAUAUCAUCACAUAUAUAUGAUCAUAUAUGUCUGAUGUCUGAAUUGAGCUAUUGAAUAGUUAAUAUAUAUUACUAGUUUCACAUUGUAUACGUUUUCGUGUACCCACUUACCAUUUGCAUCUCAUAUGUUCAGAAACAUAAUUAUACAUCACAAGAACUCAUGCAAGUAUGAUUUUAUGUGGGGUUUUUUAUCAACAUAACCCAAAAUCACCCAAUCAAGGCACCACAACAAACAUCACACAACUUCAUACCAAUCAAAGUUCAAGAUGCUUGCCUUUGGAGUUGAGGAGGGUGGUGUGCACCCCAAAAUCUUGAAGUAAGCCUCCUCUCUCCAAGUUCCUAUUUUUAAAAUAUUUAAAUUAACAAACAAAUUCUAAACAACACAAAAAAGUUUUUUGAAUAAUUUUGAAAUAAAUUUGUAAAUAAACUAGAGGAAUUUUUAGAGAGGUAGGAAAAAAUCAGUCCAUUUGGAGUUUUCUUUAAAAAGUUGUGGCCAGUCAAAGCUUCUAGUCAAACUUGAGUUCUAAAACAAUUAUAAAAUAAAACGCAUUAACUGAAAUACUACAGGUUAAUUACGUUUCAUUAAGGUGAAGGCGUACCUACUAUUAUGCGCCUCCUUUGGGGGGAAACGCACUAGCACGGUUGCGACAUGUGAGCCGGGGCUUGCCUCGCUGACAGGCGGNNNNNNNNNNNNNNNNNNNNNNNNNNNNNNNNNNNNNNNNNNNNNNNNNNNNNNNNNNNNNNNNNNNNNNNNNNNNNNNNNNNNNNNNNNNNNNNNNNNNNNNNNNNNNNNNNNNNNNNNNNNNNNNNNNNNNNNNNNNNNNNNNNNNNNNNNCCGCCUGUCGGGUUCUUCUCCCACCUCCCGCGCGUGCCUGGGCAGAGAAAAGCGGCAAGCUUCGGCGAGGCUAGCCGGUUCUAGAGAACGUUGUUUUUAACACUCGGCACAUCUACGAGCUUAGGGGAAUCUGCCUCAUUUGAUGGAGGGGGAAGGAGGGGCUCGAGGGCUCCUAGUUGGGUGCAACUUCAUCCAUGGCAGAAGGGGAUUCGGCCAAAAAUUGGGCUCCUCCCAUGAGCUCUCGCCAUGUGGAGAGAGGAGGGGAAUGAGCUAUUGGGACCUUCUAGAGGCUUCUACGCAAGAGGGCAAGGGGUGGGAGCUUCUAAGAGCAAGGAAUUUUGGCGAGCUCCGGUGGCAGGCACUCCUGCCGGGGGGAGAAAUUCUGACGCUCGAGCCGAUUGGAGGCUACUAGGGGUGCGCUCANNNNNNNNNNNNNNNNNNNNNNNNNNNNNNNNNNNNNNNNNNNNNNNNNNNNNNNNNNNNNNNNNNNNNNNNNNNNNNNNNNNNNNNNNNNNNNNNNNNNNNNNNNNNNNNNNNNNNNNNNNNNNNNNNNNNNNNNNNNNNNNNNNNNNNNNNNNNNNNNNNNNNNNNNNNNNNNNNNNNNNNNNNNNNNNNNNNNNNNNNNNNNNNNNNNNNNNGGGCUUUCGGAUAAGCUCGACGGCGGCAGACUCUCGCAACAGCAGGGGAAGGAGUAGGGCGUAGCAGGGGAGGCAUUAGGGCUCAGCAGGGGCAACAACAGCUGGAGGACGAUGCAGGGGAGGGACCGUGGGAAGCUGGCUCACCGGAGGGGCUCGAGCAGCCCAGCGGUAGAUGUUGUUGUCAUCAGCAAGCUGCCAGUGCUGCCACGGCCGAAGCAUUGCGUGGUACAGGGGCGACGACAAACGGUCGGGAGGGGGGGGGUUACGUGGCUUUGUAGGCUUACUAGAGGGCAAGGGGCGAGUGGUUGGUGGGAUGUGGCGGNNNNNNNNNNNNNNNNNNNNNNNNNNNNNNNNNNNNNNNNNNNNNNNNNNNNNNNNNNNNNNNNNNNNNNNNNNNNNNNNNNNNNNNNNNNNNNNNNNNNNNNNNNNNNNNNNNNNNNNNNNNNNNNNNNNNNNNNNNNNNNNNNNNNNNNNNNNNNNNNNNNNNNNNNNNNNNNNNNNNNNNNNNNNNNNNNNNNNCUCGCAAGGUGCUCGGCAAAAUGCCGCGACACUCCACAGGGCUCCAAUACUUAUGCCACUACCCAGGUUUAGGCUAUAGGCACAUAGAAGCUAUUGGACAUGUUGGUUGGGUCAGAAAAGGAAAUUUCCAGUGCAAUAUCAAACCCAUGCAAAAUCUGGCUAUGCACUAGAGGUGUUUGACAAAAUGUCAGGGGCACCUAGGGAGCUCUUCUGACCACCAAAAUUACCAGUCUGGAGUCUCUUUGGACACAAAGAGAGGUGGUGUGGUUAGUGUGACAAAAAGAAAAUCCAGCUAAUUCAAAACUUUGAAAUACACAAUUCUAGACAACAAGAUGAGGCUAUUAUUGCAUGCAUUUAAAAUCAUCCAAUGGGGCUCAACUAUUGGACUUAAGGUUUUGGCAGGGUGGUAUGCAAGCAUGAAAAAUAUCAAGGCAAUUAGAGGAAAGAAAAACAUGGUUGUAGUACAAAGUACCAAACUGGACCACAACAGGAAAGUGGUUGUUUUGCUAAAGUUUUCUAAAGCACAUAGUUGGGUUUUUGCAUAAAAUUGAAUCUCAUGCAUGCCUUGACAUCUCCAAAUUUCUAUAGAACUUUGAAAGAUUACGUCUAGGGGUUGUAGUACAAACACCAAUUUGGGCUAGAAAAAAGAAGAAGUUAAUAUGCUGAUACGUCACAAACGUAUCUAUACUUUCUAUUUGUUCCAUAAUCUUUUGGGUGACAUUGUUAUAUGUUUUUUCUACACUUUCAUACCUNNNNNNNNNNNNNNNNNNNNNNNNNNNNNNNNNNNNNNNNNNNNNNNNNNNNNNNNNNNNNNNNNNNNNNNNNNNNNNNNNNNNNNNNNNNNNNNNNNNNNNNNNNNNNNNNNNNNNNNNNNNNNNNNNNNNNNNNNNNNNNNNNNNNNNNNNNNNNNNNNNNNNNNNNNNNNNNNNNNNNNNNNNNNNNNNNNNNNNNNNNNNNNNNNNNNNNNNNNNNNNNNNNNNNNNNGGACUUUUACCCCAAUUUACGGAGUCCCAAAAAUCCCGAGAAAAUAUAUAAAAAUUAGCGUGACGGAAGUUUCACGAGCACCAAACAUGGGCCAGAGGGGAGCCAGAGCCUGCCCAGGCAGCCUCCCCGCGCGGCCUACCCGCUGGCCGCGCCACGAGGUCGCCUGGGUGGGGCCCAACACCUCUGGUGCCCUCCUUCGGCCUAUAUUUACCUCUCCAAUCGAAAACCCUUCCAUCAUAUCCAGAAUCACGAAUUUCUCCGUCGUUCCGUCGCCGCAGCGCUCCCGAGAUUGUGAGCGCCAGAAGACCUCUUCCCGGCACCCUGUCGGAGGGAGGAUUGACCUCCAGGAGCUUCUCCACCACCAUGGAUGCUUCCCGGAUGUGCCGUGAGUAGUCCUCCUUGGAUCAUGGGUCCAUUACAAGUAGCUAUGUGAUGUCUUGUCUCCAAUCUUUUGCUACAAUGUUUAGCCCUUGUGAGCUGCCCUACAUGAUCAAGGCAUCUAUGUAAUUUUCCUCCUGUUGCUAUGCUUGGUUUGCUAGGCUCCAAUGGACUACGAGAUUAUGUUCAGAUUGUGAUGAGUUAUAUAUUUGUUUAUCCUUUUAUAUUAUGUUCUUGUGUAAUUCAUGCAUGUUCUUUGUUGUUUUUUAUUGCUUUUGCCGAGUAGUAGAUUGUAACUCCAAGAGGGAGCGUUAUGCAUGAUUGUGGGUUCAUUCCCUCUGAUGUCUAGCUUGAGUGACAGAAACAUGAGACUAGGGGAUGUGUUGUUGCCACCAGGAAGAAAACAAUGGUGGUUCUGACCAUGGUUGCAAGGAUUGUUUACCUUACUCAAAGUUCUUUAAUGUAGUUGUCCGUUGCUUUGAGUUCAUACGUUGGGUGCGGCUCGCAACUUAAUACCAGCGAGAUGUUCUGGAUAGAUAUCUCAAGGUGGAUAAUUAGUAAGUAGAUGCUGAUGAAUAAACGGUCUACUUGUCUUGGCGUACUGCCCAUUACUUUUGAGCCUCUAAGUUUCUAGUAGCAUGAUUAGCAUUGCGGUGCGUUUAUAAUUCUGUUAAUUACCCACCUAUAAUUUGUUUACCCAUGCAUAGUUGUUUAUCGUAUUUUUGGAGAGAGACAUCACUAGUGAACAUCAUGUGACUCUGGUCCAUAUUACCACCAUUGUUUACGCCUCCACCAUUUUGUCGUUUUUAUUUAGUUUUCCGUUGCAAUCACUAUCACUAUUCCCGCUUGUGUUUUGAUCCUUUGCAAACUACAAGGCUGGAGAGAUUGACAACCUCUUUGAACUCGUUGGGAUCAAAGUUAUUUGUUGUGUGUGCAGGUCCACGUCUUCUGCUUGCGCCAGAGCAACAGACACCUAUUGUUGAUCCUCGGAGUCCUCCUGGUUCGAUAAACCUUACAGUCCCUGUGUAAGGGAAAUCUUCUGCUGACUACAUCCCCACCUUCCACUUGGGGUAACCAACGAGGGGCGAGAAGUAUAUACAUCAACUCGUCAUCAAGCAAAUUUUUGGCGCCAUUGCCGGGGACUCCAGUCUUCAAGAUAGGGGAUUUGCAUGCUAUCUUUUACCUUUGCUUUUUAGUAUUGUUAGUUUGCUUUCUAUUUUUUGCUUUAGAGUCUUAUACUAAAAACCAUAAAAAAAUUAGUUGCUUUGUUCUUGCUGCUGCUAUGGGUUCCACUGGGAACACCAAGUUGUGUGACUUCACUAGUCACAACAACAAUGAUUUUACCUUCACUUAUAUUGGUCCAAUUGCCACUGUGGGUAUUUAUAAAAGUAAUAGACCUUAUGACUAUGUUAGUAAUUAUGGAGAACUAUGCCCUUGGCAUCGUCUCCCUGGGAAGGAACCUGAUCUUUGGUUUGAAGUUGCUCCUAAACGCCCCCAAACUUGGGAAGACAUCCAAACUUUUAUAAUACAGAGCAAAUCAAAAAUAGAGGAUGAUACUACAAUUUCACUUAAUAGAGAUGAUAUUAAUUUUGAUAAUUUUAGCCUUUUCUUAGUUAUCACUUUUUUUGCAAAGAAUGGCUAAACACCCCCACACUAGUACACUCAAUAUUGCCUUAACCGAGCAUAUUACCAAUGCUCUUAUCAAAGCUAGGGAGGAGAAGCUCAAGCUAGAGACUUCUAUUCCUAGAAAACUAGAAGAUGGUUGGGAUCCUAUCAUCAAUAUUAAAUGGAAUAAUAUCUCUUGCUUUGCUUUAUGUGAUUUUGGCGCUAGUGCCUCCGUUAUGCCCAAAAGAAUGUAUGAUAUGCUUGAUUUGAAACCUUUUGAUCAAUGUUAUUUUGGUGUUCGUCUUGUUGAUUCUUCCAUAAAGAAAGAUUUAGGGAGAACUUAUGAUGUGCUUAUUGUUGUCAAUGAUAAUUCUGUUCCCGUUGAUUUUCUUAUUAUGGACAUUCAGUGUGAUCCCUCAUGUCCAAGUAUUUUGGGACGUCCUUUUCUCCGCACCGUUGGUGCUAUCAUUGACAUGAAAGAAGGGACCAUUAGAUUCCAAUUUCCCCUUAAAAAGGGAAUGGAACACUUCCCUCGAAUGAAUAUUAAGGUACCUUAUGAGUCUGUUAUUCGGGAAAGUUAUUCUUUUGGAAUUGAUAAUACUUGAUCUUUUUGCAUCAUGCCUGGCUCAAAGGCAUAAAAGAAAGCGCUUGUUGGGAGGCAACCCAAUUUGUUUUUACUUUCAGUUUUAGUCUUCUUGAUGCUUGUUACUACUGUAGCAACAUCAUUGUAUCUUCAUUUUCAAGCUUUGUGCCAAGUUUUAGCCUCUGAUUGCAAGAAAGUUCAAAAGUUGUGACAUGUUGUCUAGAAACAGACUUUGUCUGCAUGACGGAAAAAUUCGCCAAAAAUUACCAGAUCAUCUUUUUCAUCUGCAUUGUUUUGGUAGUAUGCUUUAUAAAAUUGUCUUUCUGGCAUCUGUUCUGAGUUUUUAUUUGAGUUGGAGAAGUGCCCCGAAAAAAUUAUUUACUACCUGUUGUUCUGUAUUUCCCAGAUUCUGCCACGUUUUGCGUUUUCAUUGGUUUGCCAAUCUUAAGCUUGGUUUUCCUUUGCAAAAACCUUUUGGAAAUAUUGAGAAAUAGUAGCUCUUCAUGAAAAUAUUUAUUUCCAGUAGAUAAUAAAUUAUUUUAUUAUGGACACUAACAACUCUAAUCAGCUUAUGAUGAGUUUCGUAUGAAGGGAGUUUUCAAGUAUGCGAUGGAAGAUGGUGAAAGAAGAUCUAGGAGUGUCAAGCGCUCAAGCUUGGGGAUGCCCCCAUGCAGCCCCACGAAAUAUUCAAGGAGACUCGAGCGUCUAAGCUUGGGGACGCCCCCUUGCAUCCCCUUCUCUAUAAACAAUCAUCAGUUCGUCCUUCUCCAUGCUAUAUUUUUAUCACUUCAUAUGUUAUGUGCUAUGCUUGGAGCAUCCCACUCUUUACUUUUUAGUUUGUUUUAGUUUUUCUUGCUGUUCAUAACAAGUUGGAACCUAGCCUUCUUCGUUUGGGAGAGAUACAUGCUCCACUCCACCCUAGAACACAACAAAGGUUUUCAUGAUUAUCCUUUUUGUGUGUUCUUUAUCUUUUCAUAGUUGUUGUCAUGCUGAGCUCUUAGUUUUCAUUCUUUAUCUUUUUAAGAGCUUUUAUUUAGGUUGAUUUUGGAACUCCCUUGAAUUAUCAUGCUUAUCUUGUUUAGAGAGUUGGCUUAUUGCACUGAGUUGUGUGUCUUGCAUGAGUAGGUAACCGAUGUUGCUAUUUAAGUAUAGUAGUAACUUGCAAUAGUUUUGAGGUAUUGAUUUGAGUAAUGUUUGGAUUAUUGGUGUCAAGAGCUUGUGCCUACUAGUGAUAGGUGUCGUAUUUUUGGAAAUCCGUGUGUUUUUUCAAAACUAAAAAAGUUAGUUGAGAACUCUAGCUACUAGAUUGAUCGCUAACCUCUGGAGGGGUUGGAAUAUAUAGAGUACCCUCACGUUACCAUGGUCGAGGAUGCGCAAGGAUAACCAAACCCCCAAACACUCCUCCUCGGGGUACUUGUCUCUUUGUGAAUAUCCUGACUAGAUACUGAGUUACCGAUAAUAAGUGCAUUAGUUCUUCGGACUAAUGCGAGUAUUCGAUUGUUGGCACUUCCACCAUGCAAAUUUUGCUAGCCUCUUCGGUACCGUGCAUUGCCCUUUCUCACCUUCAGAGUUGGUGCAAACUUCACCGGUGCAUCCAAACCCUUGGCAUGAUACGCACUGUCAUCAUAAGCCCCAUUAUAUCCUUCCUCAAAACAACCACCAUGCCUACCUAUUAAGGCAUUUCCAUAGCCUUUCCGAGAUACAUUGCCAUGCAACAUCCACCAUCUCAUGACUUGAUCUUCAUGCCAUACAUGCUUUUUCUUGAUCGAGGAGCGACAUGCUAGUUGGGACUUGCCCUUAUUAUUGCUACAUCACGUGCUAGUAUUCAUUGCAUAUCCUGCUACACUGACAGAGGCAUACAUUUGCAUACAUCAUGAUAGUUUUCAUUUGUCUUUAUGAAGAGUACUUUUUAUAAAGUGUGAAGAUCUUCUUUUUAUUCUUGUAAAACAUAGAUUGUUUCCCUUAAGUGAGAAAAAGAUCCGAAGGAGGACAAAUUAAAAGAUCCCAAAAGAGGACAUAUGAAAAGAUCCAAAGAGGACAAAUGAGAGAUAAAUAGAAAGAGCCAAAGAGGCCACACAAAAAAACUAAAAAAAAAGAAAUAAAAA
rnacentral:lncRNA from 1 species